rnacentral:lncRNA from 1 species
UUGGAUAUACUUCCGUACGACUGCAGAACUCAUUUACACAAUGCGAUUUUGAUGCAGCAAUAAGAAAUUAUAUCAAACUUGAAAUCAGUCAUCCUUUGGGGUUCUAUAAAUACCAUCCUCCCUGUCAGUUAUGGACACAUUCCUGCCUAGCUACUUUAGUUUCAGCCAAACUACAUAUUCAUACCUAGCUGAACUGAAAUUAAACUUUCCAUGGCAUACCAGAGCGCCUACAAUAUGAAUUACCAGAUACUACUAUGCUUGAUACUCUUCUCCUAGUCCUUCUCCUGCCACUGCCAUCCCAUUCUGCUGAUCCAAGCCCAUUGCAAGAUUUCUGCGUUGCAGAUCUUGAUUCCUCUUUAUACAUUAAUGGCUUUCCGUGCAAAAACCCUGAUAACGUAUCUUCACAAGACUUCUUCGCCAAUGGGUUCCAACAAAGUCCAGGAGAAUUCAAUAUUUUUGACGUCAAUGUCACUCGUCAAGAUGUUCAGCGAUUUCCAGGACUCAACACUCUAGGGCUGUCAAUGAACCGAGUGGUUUUGAAGCCUGGAGGGCUGAAUGCACCCACGUCCACCCUCGUGCAGCCGAGCUGGCUCUAGUCAUGGAUGGAAAACUGUUUGUAGGCUUUGUGACAACCGGAAACGUUUUCUACUGGAAAAUUGUGACUUCAGGAGAGUUUGUUUGUGAUUCCUCCUGGCUAGUGCACUUCCAACUGAAUAUUGGACACGAGAACGCACGCUUCUUCGCCUCGUUCAACAGUCAAAAUCCAGGGAUUCAGUUCGCCCCCUUGCUCUUUUUAACUCCACGCCUUCGAUUCCUGAUCUCGUGUUGAGUAAAGCAUUUCAAGUAAAUCAAAGUAUCAUUGAGCUCAUUAAGUCUAGGUUUGCAACUGUGUCGACUGUGUCGACCGUGCUUAAGUCAUCUUACUAACAUCCUAUUCCAGGGUGUUGUUCAUUAUAGUUGGCAUAUUAAAUAAUAAAAUCUUCUAUAUUAUCGUUUAAUUGUAUUUUGGUCAAGUUAAUUUUUAGUAGUUUUAUUGGCGUCAAAUUAGGAUAGUUUUACUAUUUAGAAACUAGUAUUGUAUUAAAUAAUUUCCUAUGCUUGUCAGUAGUCAUGAUAUGUAUUUGGUUGGAAACAAUAAAAGUUUGAGUCUUGUCAUUGAUAUUAGUCCUCUUCAUGUAAAUUAGCCUCCAUAUAUAUAUAUAUUGGUUUUGUGAAAGUUAUCUCCUAUAAUUUUUUUUUGGAUAUAAUUAUUAGGCUCUACAUCUGGUAUCGAAUCCUAUUUGCAUGAAAUUAAUCUUUGGGUGAGUUGUCAGAGUUAGGACACAAGAAUUGCCGGGACUGUUCAAUUGAUCACGUAAGGGCCAUUAUGUUGGUUUUGGAGUAUUUAAUUGGUCAAAAUUUGGCCAUAAAAUUGGUGUGAAAAUUAUUAACUUGAUUGUGGAUAUUGCUAAUGGUGACAGUUUUUGACAUGGUAAGUAAACAAACACAACACAAAAAAAAAAAAAAAAGUAAACACAACACAAAAAAAUCCUAAAUGAAACAAUACACGGAAUAAUUUAUGUCAAAAAUGGAUCCAGCGCGAACAUGACGCGCAACAGAAUGGGUUGUAUUGGGCCAAUCCGUAGGUUGAUAUGACUAACAUGUUUUUGACACGUUAAGAAUUUUGAAAAAAUGCUACUCGUUUCCCUCCUAAUACUACACUUAAAAAAAUGGUUUUGUAUUAAGUUUUAUAGUUUAAGAACUAAAAUAAUAUAAUCAACCUACUAUAAGAAUACAUAAAAACACAUAAAUCGAGACUCUACAAAUUCACAUAUGCAACUGUUAUGAUUUUAAUUUUUUGCUUCCUUCCUUUAAUAUUCUUAUUUUCUCAAAUUGAUAAGCAUAAACAACCUCUAUGAUUUUAACUUUUCACUUCCGCCUUCACUCUUCAAAUUGAUCGAAACUUACCUUUAGAUCAAAAUUGCUCAAUUUUUCUUCCUUUCUUGUGAUUAAAUAUCUUUUCUAGGUAAUCUUUAAUAUUUCGGCAAAUUUAAUUUCUAUCAUUUUUGUCUAUUUUAUUUGAGCAUUUUCUAGUUUAUACUGCUCCUCUAUUUUAUCAUUUUCCCUAUCAUUUUCUUUCUAAAGUUUUUCUUUCUUGUGAAAGAAAAAUAAAAUAGGCUUUUUUCUGUAUAUUAUUAAUGAGAUAAUCAUGCAUCCAAAACUUAUACAAGUAAAAAUCCAAUGACAGGCUACAGCUAAAUUAGAUUAAGAGAAUAUUACAUAUUUUUUGAAAGAGAACCAUGUUUUAUUUUUCGGCAAUAUUUCUCCUAUAAUUUUGAUAUAAAAAGUUAAAUGAGUCAAUUGGGCCAAAACAUGAGAUGAACCUGUCCAAAUGUAUGGAGUAUUGCAGCAACAAAUCUUUUUGAAGAUUAAGAAUUCAAAUUUAUAUUAAUGAAAUUUACAAAUGAGAUUAUUAUUGCUGAACUUGAUUCAAUAGAGAGUUUGAUUUAAGGGAAACAAUGUUGGCAUAUUAAAUUAAAGCUAAAAAUUUGAAUUUCUAUACUAUUAUUUAGUAGUAUUUUGGUCACAAAUUUUUUUAGUAGUUCUAGAGAGCUAAGAAAUGGUAGUAUAUUAAGAAUUGGAGGCUCUAGGACAUAGAGGUUCUGGGUUCAAAUCUCCAUUCCUCCUCCCAUUUCUUAAAUCCUAUCCCUCCCCUUGAUUAGAAAAAGUUAAAAUAAUUAUUUAGAAAUUGGUACUGUAUUAGAUAAUUAUUGUAGCUAUCAAUACUUGUUAUCAAAUCAUGUAAUCUGUAAGUAGAGUCAUAUUACCAUACCACUUGAGAAGAUUGGAAGUUUAAUAGCCUUGUUGUUGUGGUGUUAUUAAUAUUUUAUUAUUAAUAUCAUUGUUCUUUUCUCACAUAUAUGUGUAUAUGUGUAAAUUAGCCUCCCAUAUAUAUUGGGUUUGUGGAAUUUAUCUCUCAUAAUGAUCUUUUGACUAUAAUUGUCACGCCUCGUGCCUAGAACGUAGCACCACACACGCCAUAGACAAUGCUAAAGGCGUAAGGCAACAAAUUUCCAAAAGCAACUACAUUUACCUUUAUAUAAACUUUUUAAAUCCGCAAAUACAAGAUCAUCUAUAUAACAGCAAUUUUGUGUCUUCCAAAAUAAAAGCAAGAUCAAACCUUCUACAAUAUGUACAAAAUUCAAAUCCUAUCAUAAGGUAUCUUAUAUAUAAGUACAAAAGUCAUCCUCUAACCCAAAGUCAUCUCCAUCUCCAUUACAACCCCCAAGAGCUAUCAAGGUCUACUUCAAUGAACUCAUCAUUAACUGCAUAAUUAUAACAAAGGGGUGAGCAAAAUCUCACUCAAUAAGUAGUGCAUGUAUCUCAUUAUUUGCCUGAGCAAUGUUACAUACAUAAUAUAUAUUUCAAACGUCAUUAACUUACACAUAUAACUUUAUAAGAACAUGGUUGCUAUAAACAUUUCAACGGCAUAUCAUACAUCACACACACAAAAGGAGCUCAAACCAUAAGACAACAAUUGACCCAGGAUAUCCAGUUGUUAACUUAAACUUAACCAGUUAACACAGUUCAUAGUGCUAACUACCACAUAGUUAGCCCAUUUCAUAUUGCUCACUACAACAUGGAUAGCUCGGUUCAUAUACCAACUACUUGUGAGGAACUAGUCCUAUCAAAAGUCGCUUAUACAAGAGCUCAACAAACAUAACAUUUCAUUUCACAAAUGACCAUGGCAAGAGUAAUAACAAAUAUCACAAAAUUAUACUUGCUCAUGCCAUUUUAGCAAUUAGACAAGUAGCUUUCAAAAUUUAUCAUUCAAAAGAUAAAGGAUACAUGCACCAGUUACCUCGAUCCAAUCGAUACCCACGCUAUUUCAAGUAAUCGGAAAAAUAGCUACCUUCUCACCUAGACAUAAUGAUAAAAUGUUCAAUUACAAUCUUAAAGAUACCAAACUACUCCAAAUUAUCAUAAAAACGAGCCUAAUACUACCCUUAACCACUAAUUCCUAAUAAAAGAUCAUUUCCUCAUCAAAGUAGGACAUAAGGGUUUACUUUAAAGGGUCACUAACUUCCAAAAAUACAGAAAUGGUCAAGAGAUUUAUAUAGAGUUAAAGCCCUCUGAAUCUAGUUUCCAACGCAAUAAACGGCACCUAAAUCCGAAUUUUCUACACCAAGUUAUAUCCAAAGCAUUGAAAUAUGUCUAUACAGAAAAUUCAAUCUGUCCGAGAAUUAUAGCCAAUCCAUCCGAGGAUUUUAGCCAAUUCGUUCGAGGAUUAUAGCCAUGGAUUUCUAGCAAGUUUUCAAGGCAAAAACAAGUCAUUCUUUCCCUCAACAUUUCUCCUUUUUAUAUUGAUGAUAGCCCUAUAUACCCAUUUGAAAAUGGAGACCAAAACAAACUCCAUACACCAUAGCCAUGGAAGCUAACCAAGGAUUUGAACCAAAUACUACCCAAUCACCCAAUCAAAGAAAACCAAGAUCAUGUUCAAGGUUUCAAGAAAAUACCUUGGUUAGUCGUCAAAGUAGAAUCUCCUAACUCCUCACUCCUUAUUGUGCUUGAUUUGUCAAGAAUCCUCCUUGAUUGUAAGGAAAAAGGAGAGAAAUAAGAAAGGGUUUUGUUGGAGAAGGAAGGAAAAAAGGAAAUGAAGAAGAUGAAGAAAGUUUUUGGUAAAAAUGAAUAGUGAAAUCCCAAUAUCACUUUUAUUCUUUCAAAAUUUCACAUAUUAACACAUUGGUCACUCAACUUAACGUCAUUCACUUUUCACCCCAAAAUAGUAUUUCUUCACACAAAAUUCUCUACAAGACACUUGGGUAUCACAUUCUCCCCCUCUAAUAAAAGUUUUGGCCUCGAAAUUUAACGUACCUCGUUGGUUAAACAAAUGUGAAUACUUAGUUCGCAUUUCCUCUUCGAGUUCCCAAGGCUUCACGAGUACUAUGAUUGGACCAUUGAACUUUAACAUAGGGAAUUGUCCUUCUUCUUAGCACUUGAUCUUUACAACCCACAAUUCGAAUUGGCUUCUCACUAUAAGUUUGAUCCUCUCAUACCAUUAAUGGCUCAUACUCCAGGAUAUAACUUGGAUUAAAUACAUAUUUUCUCAAUUGCAAAACAUGAAAUACAUUGUGAACUCUUGAUAAAGAUGGUGGCAAGGCUAACUUGUAUGCCAAUUCUCCAACUCUAUCCAAAAUUUCAAAAAGCCCAACAUAUCUUGCACUCAGUUUUCCACGUUUCCCAAAUUGCAUGACACCCUUCAUUGGUGAAAUUCUAAGAUAUAAUUUAUCCUCUUCUUGAAACUCUAAUGGUCUUCUUUUCAAAUCGGCCCAACUCUUUUGUCUAUCUUGUGCUGUUUUCAACCUUUCUCUCACUAGUGCCAUCUUCUUGAUUGUAGCUUGUACAAGUUCGGAUCCAGUAAUGAUCCUUUCACCUACCUCAUCCCAAUAUAAGGGCAAUUUACACUUCCUCCCAUAUAGAGCUUCAAAAGCUAGCAUGCCGAUACUACUAUGAUAACUGUUAGUGUAAGAGAACUCACUUAGCACCAGAGAAUCCUCCCAACUGCCCCAAAAUCCAUAACACAUGCUCUAAGCAUGUCCUCCAAGGUUUGAAUUGUACGCUCUGAUUGCCCGUCAAUUUGAGGAUGAUAAGCUGAGUUGAGGUUUAACUCGGUUCCUGUGGCUUGUUAGAGACUUUUCCAAAAUCGAGAGGUGAAUCUAAGAUACGAUCAGACACAAUACUCACUGGACACUAUGAUAACGAAUAAUGCAAUCCAUACAGAGAUUAGCCAAAGUAUCCAUAGAUGCAGUAGCAACCAUAGGUACAAAAUGAGCUGAUUUUGUCAGUCGAUCAACUAUUACCAAAUGGUGUCAUUACCUCUCCUAGACUUGGUAAUCCAACAACGAAAUCCAUUGCUAUAUGCUCCCAUUUCCAUUCCGGUAUUGUCAAAGGCUUUAAUAAUCUAGCAGGUCUUUGAUGUUUGGCCUUUAUUUGUUGACAAACUAAGCAUUUAGACACAUAAUUCGCGAUCUCCCUCUUCAUACCACUCCACCAAUACGACUGCUUUAAGUCUCGAUACAUCUCAGUGUUAUUAGAAUGAAUAGAGGCUUGGGAGAAGAGCAAGCCUCCGCCAUUAUUUCUUUUCGUAACUCCGGAUCUUUAGGCACCACAAGCCGAUUCCACAUCCAUAUACUACCAUCCUUGAGUAGUUGAAAGUCGGGUAAUUCCUCACUUUUAACUUUUUCCUUGAUUUUUGCCAACUCAAUAUCAUCUUCUUGAGUUUCCUUGAUUCUCGAAAUUAAGGAUGGUUAGGCAACUAGAGUUGCGAGCACAUGCAUGAAGGAUUCUACCACCUCUAAAUUCAAUUCCUCCAUUUGUUUGACAGGUGCCGAACCUGUACAAUAAUAAUAAUAAAACCUAACUACCACCAAAAGCAAUCAAUAAUCAAUUCUAAGUAUUGGAGCAGGGACUCUAGGUAUGCAAUGAGUUACUUGAUUCACCUGUUGCUGAAGAGUUUGUUGAAUCCGAUAUACCAAAAUUAAUUAGCUAACUAAAUUUACUAAGUAGUAGACAAUGGCAAGCAGGGUCGUCUCCUCAGGGGCUGGAGAGAAAUUUGUUUCUUUUUAAGCCAAGACAAACGGAGGGUUUGAAAAUUAGAUGCUAAAGAAUCACUAACUAAACAAAUUAAAUGCAAAAAAUAAUUAAUUGAGAGAAAUAAUUGGAGAAACUCUAGCCAAGGGUGCACUUCAGAAAUGGUUCAUGCAACUGAUCAUCGAUUCAAAUAUAAUUCCAACAAUUAUUAAUAGAUUAGUUAUAGUUGUCAUGCACGCGAUAAACAACCAGCAUUUCCUUAAUUUCUCGAUAGUUAAGGUACAACCGUUAACUAUUUCUCUAACCAAAAAACAACCCUAGGUACGACCGUAGGAUUUAAUUUCUAGUUUGCAUUAAGAUUUAGAAAAGCCCAAUCCUAACUAACAAACACACUACGAGGGUUUGUUUAAAUUAGAUCGUAUGUUUUCCUGACAUAAACCCAAUUACGCCAGUUGCUACCGGGAUGGAGCUAAUCAAACAAUUACGGAUUCAACUACUCCCAAUUAGCAAAUUAACUAAGUGAAUAACUAAAUAUUGCGCACUAUUCAGUCAUACACAAUAGCUAUGACAAUUAAAGGCAGAAACAUACAAAUACUAAUAAAUGAAGGAAACAGUUAAAACAAUUUCGAUCUCACAGUUAUUGUUGAACCAAAUUUUCAAUUGUCUCCUUGACUAAAAGUGGUGAUUAGUUCAUCCUCAUUGAGAGUAACUCACGCAAUGCCAUCGAAGGAAAUUGCGUCAAUGUUUGACAAUAGAAGAACUACUCAGAGAAGAAGAGAGCCAAGCGGCUGCCUUCCUCCCCUUUUCUUAUUCCCUGGCCGAGUAGUAAUCACGCGGAUCCGGCUUUUGUUCUUCCUAUUUUCUAGCUUUCUAAAAACACAUUGAACUUCUCCCUCACAAUCCGUAGUAAAUGAUUCCAAAAAAAUCUCCUACUAUAGGAAAACUAACUUCCUAAAGAUAGGUACUCAAGCGCUUAAAAGUCUCCUAAACCAACCCAAUUACUAAUUAGAAACUUGGCAAAUAAUAUCAUCUUCCAGUUAUGAUGACGACUCCCACUUGGAUUAGGAUACUGCCCGCAUAGAAUCCCCGCACUCCAGACUUGAUUGAUGUCUUCUCACGCGUCCACACUUACUUGGAGGAAAAUCUUCUAAAAACUGUUAUUUCUGCACUUUCUUUCUCCAAUUGGCUAAACAUCCCCUAAACAUAAAAUUCAAACAAAAUAUGUCCAUUAAUGCAAUAUCCAAUCCAAUAAGAAAAGGAAAUUAUAAGAAAAUUAAUGCUAAAUUAGCGUUCUAUCAUUGUUUUACUAACAUAACUGCUAUCAUUCCUGAAUUUUUCCUGCUCAAAGCAUCAGCAACCUUGUUUGCUUUUUCUGGAUGAUAACUAAUGGUAAGAUCAUAAUCUUUCAUUAACUCAAGCCAUCUUCGUUGUCUCAUGUUUAGCUCUUUCUGCGUGAACAAAUACUUUACGCUUUUAUGAUCUGUAAAGACUUCACAUUGCUCCCCAUACAAGUAGUGCCUCUAAAUCUUCAAGGCAAAAACAACGCCUGCCAAUUGCAAAUCAUGUGUAGGAUAGUUUGUUCAUACCGCUUCAAUUGACAAGAUGCAUAAGCUAUGACCUUCUCAUUUUGCAUUAGCACACAUCCCAACCCAUUUUUGGAUGUAUCGCUAUAAAUAGUGAAACCUCCAGAUCUAGAAGGUAAGGUGAGAACUGGUGCCGAAACAAGCUUAUUCUUUAAUUCUUGAAAACUAUUUAACAUUUAGGUGUCCACUCAAACUUAACAUGCUUUUGAGUUAAACAACUCAAGGACAAAGCAAUAGUAGAAAAUCCUUCAACAAAAUUUCUAUAGUAGCCAACUAAGCUCAGAAAACUCCUCAAUUCUACCACAUCAGUAGGUCGGGACAAUCCACAAUAGAUUCUAUCUUCUUAGGAUCCACAAAGACACCAUCUUGAGAAAUAACAUGCCCAAGGAAGGACACACUUUGAAGCCAAAAUUCACAUUUGUUGAGUUUUGUAUAAAGUUUCUCACGCCUCAAGAUUUGUAAAACAUCUCGCAGGUGAUUUUCGUGCUCUGCUUCACUUGGGAGUACACCAAUAUAUCAUCAAUGAACACCACCACAAAUCGGUCUAAUUGCUUUUUGAAUAUCCUAUUCAUCAAAUCCAUAAAGGCUGCAGGAGCAUUAGUCAACCCUAAAGGCAUGACGAGAAAUUCAUAAUGGCCAUACCUUAUUCUAAAUGCACUCUUUGGAAUAUCUUGCAGUUUAAUCCUUAAUUGAUGGUAUCUGUAAUGAAGAUCGAUUUUUGAAAAACCUUAGCCCUUUUAAAUUGAUCAAACAGGUCGUCAAUACGAGGCAAUGGAUACUUGUUCUUGAUCAUAAUUUUAUUGAGCUCCCAAUAAUCAAUGCACAAUUGCAUACUUCCAUCCUUCUUCUCUACAAAUAAAACUGAUGCACCCCAAGGGGAUACACUUGGUCGAAUCAAUUUCUUGUCAAGCAACUCCUGAACUUGAACUUUAAGCUCCUUCAACUCUGUGGGGGCCAUCCGAUAGGGUGCCUUAGAUAUAGGUUCUAAGUUGAGUAUUACAUUAAUCUCAAAAUCAAUUUCUCUCUUGGGAGGUAGACCUAAUAAGUCAUUUGAAAACACAUCUGAAAAUUCUCUUGCAAUUGGGAUAUCCUCAAGUUUUAUCUCUUUCUUACUAGAGUCUACUAUAUAAGUCAAAAACAUUCACAUCCUUCCUAAUUGCUCUCCAAGUUUGUAUGGCAGAUAAAAUGGGUAGAGACUUCUUCUUUGGUUUUCCUCAACACCCUUGAAAAGAAAAAUGUGGAAUGUUUGGGGUUUAAAAAUCAACACUUUUACCCAUACAAUCUAUAUGGCAUAAUUUUGUGAUAGCCAAUCCAUACCUAAGAUAGCAUCAAAUUAUAUUCAAUUGCACUAGAUUUGCCUUAAACUCUCUCCCACUAAAUCUAAAGUAUAACCUUCAUACAUAAGGUGAGAAACUAAAACUUUUCCCCGGGAAUGGCUACACGAUACGGGUCAUCCAAAACACAGGGUUUAAUAUCUAACUCUCAUGCAAACUUCUUUGAAAUGAAAGAAUGGCAAGCCCCACAACCAAAUAACACAUCCGCUGGAAGAGAAUUAAUCAUUUCCAUACUUGUCACAACAUCCUCUACUCCUGCUGCUUCUUGUUCAGUCACCUUAGAGAUUGUGUAAGGUCGAUCUGCACUAGAAUUCAAGCUAUUUCCUAGCCUAUUGUUGCCUCUAGUUUGCUUAGAAUUCGGGCAAUUACUCACUUUAUGCCCCAUUUCUCCACAACUAAAACAAGCUCCCGUUUUCCACCUGCAUUCUCCGAAUGAACCCGAUGACAAUAAUCACACAACUUAGAUGGGUUAGUAGGUAGAUACCUUGGAAAAGGUUGUUGAGAAGAAUUAGCCUAUUGCGAAACUAUAGGUCUUGGUAACGGUGCUUGUCGGGGAGGUUGCAUUGGUCGAAGAGGUUGCAUUACACGAGAAGGCUGACCAUGUUGACGAAGUUGGCCUUGCAUUACGAUUUAUCUAUUUCUCCUUUGUCUCGUCUCUUCAUCCUCCUGAAGAAUGUCUUGUUCAACAUCUAAACUAGCUUCAUACAUUUGGUCACAAUUGGCAUAGAAAUUUUCAGAUAUUUUUGAUUGAAUCUGACUAUUCAAUCCUCCCUUAAAGGAGACCAUCUUCACAGUCUCAUCGCCAUUGUAGAAGGGACGAAGCAUCCCAAGGAGAGAAAAAUAGUGUAGUACUCACCCACAGACAUGGAACCUUGAUUAAGGUUAUUGAAUAUUCGAAUAUUUUGAACUCGAAUAGCUGGUGGAAAGUAAUGCUGUAGAAACAUCUUUUUGAACUCAUCCCAUGUCAAAGUACAACCUGAAGAAACCAUGGUCAGGGCUACACCAUCCCACCAUUUCUCUGCUUCACCAAGAAAGAUGUCACUACUUGAGGUCGAAUAUCUUCUGGCACCAUCAUAGUUUGGAAUUUGUUCUCAAUUUGGGAUAACAUCUCUCUGCCACAUUCAAGUUUGGACCUCCAUCAAAAGUAGGCAAAUAGACCUUGCUAAGCUCCUUGAAAUGGUACUUAACACUAACCCAUAUCUUGCUCUCUUUCUUCUUGUUGUUGUUGUUGAUAUUGCUGCCAUCCAUGCAUGAACUAAUAUGCCACAGAUAAGGUAGUUGGAUCUAAUUUUAUUAUGACACCCAAACUUUUGCAUUUUAGCCCCAUCUGUGGUAAACUAAUUUCAUUAACUCUACCAUGACAUCUAAUCUUUUAUAAUUUAGUCUCGUAUAUGAUAAAUCGAUAUCAUUAAUUCUAUUAUGGCACCCUAUCCUUUGUACUUUAUCCUAUGUUUUUUUCAUUAGCAAAAUGCGGAAGGUAUUGUAAUAAAAAAAUGUAUAUAUAUUUUAUAAUUGAUCCAAAUUUAGUUAAUAACUUGGUAUUAAAGUUAAAAAUAUCAUGGAUUCCCUAUCCAGUUCUCUUGACAACACCUAGAAAAUUAUUGAUUAGCAUAGUAGGAAAACAAUGGCAAAGAAUUUUAAUAUGAAAUUAAGUAAAGCCUUGACAAUUGGAUGGCUAGAGUUUAUUAUUAAUUACACUAGUCACAUUGUUUAUGGUUUAUGAAUCAGUACUUGUACUAAAUACAUUUAGUGUUUCAUGCAUGUAUUAGCAAACUAUUUUGGUUAUUUGAUCAACUAAACAUAUUGUUAGGUCUUGUCAGACCAUAAUUCGUACAUAAUUGACAAAAUUAUUAAAUUAAAACAAAAAAUAUUUACAUUAAAAGAUUUUUUUUGAAUCAUAAACAUAUUUUUAAUAAGCUUUUUAGUUUUUGAACAUUAUUUUUUUGUAGAGAUAAAAAAACCUAUGUUAGUAAAAAAAAUUAUCAAAAAACACUAAAUUUUCAUAUUCUAAAAUUUUAAUACAACAAAUAAAGUUUUAAUAUAACUUGUGAGAUAAAACUCAAAAUAAUAACCAAUUUUAAUUACACAGAGAUGGGGGAAAAAAGAGAGAUAUUAGAGAAGGCAUUGUUUUUGUAAAGAAAGGUCCAAAUAGUUUGUAUAAAAGUCACUUGAAAGUGUUAUUUUUUGGCUGAAGCUAAAAUGGAAGCGGGAAUUGAAAAUUGAAAGAGUAGAGGCGGGUGAACAAAAGAAGCAGAAACGACGUCAUUUUAGCAAGAGUUAAACAAAAACACUCAUAACACUUAGAAAAAUUUCGGACAAAACUUGCUUUCCCCCUUCUUGCCAACUUCGGACACUACAUCUUCUCCUUCUCUCCAUUAUCAUCUUGCUGAAAUUAUCCAGAAAAUCAUUUUAACCCAUCAUUUUCAUCCGUAAUUUGAGCUACCCAAAAGAUUUGGGCAGCUUUAGUGGAGUUGUAGAUAGCAAAAAUCCUAACUCGGGUAGCACUUGCUUGCUGGCAAGAACACAGAAAAUUGACCAUGAAUUUUUGGGGAAAGCCAAAGUUUGAAGACUGAAUCUUAAGGAAACAAGAGCUAAGGUUGUCACAGCAUAAUUUGAGGUAAAUAAUCUGUUACAUUUUUCCAUCUAGUUUCGAUAUUUUCUGUCAAAUGUAGGUCGAGUGAGCUGAAUCUUGAGUUUAUGGGCCCAAUCUUCCACUUUAAUCUUUCAAUGGUGAGAGAUUGAGAGAGUUUUGAAAGUGAAACAAAGUGAAGGGAAGCUAUCCUUUGUGAACUGUCCAGACCCCCUGAGAAAAUUCAUGUUUGAAUUUUGGAUGUGGAAAUUUUACUUGUAGCGAACUAUUUUUCUGAGUUUGAUAUGUUAAAAAUUGAAACAUUUUUGUGUAGUUGAUAGCGAUUUAUUAUAAUUGUUGGAGAAAGUUAAUAACAUGUGCUGUUUUUUAUGUAAUUUUUCAAUUCUAAUUCUAUUUGUAAGAGUAGCUACAUAUUAUAAUGGCUUACAUACAACUGAUUUUGAGGUAAUAGAGCUUUAAUAUUCUAUAAGUCAAGUAUCCUUUUGGGAGCCAAUUCGAUAUUUAGUUUCUAAGACCUUAGAAGAAAUUUUGAUCAGUUUGGCGACUUCUAGAUAUUGAGGGAAUGAGAAGCUAUGCAAAGUGAGUGGAUUAUCUUGUUGGUAAGUGGAAGUGAGGCAGAUUGUAUAAUCUUAACUUGUGGCCUUUGACUUUAGAAGUUAACUGUAUAAACUUACCAUUACCACACACUAAUUAGACAUUGUUUACUCUGAUGUGGAGAAACAAACUCCUAAAUUGAUAAAUUCAUGUUAUUGUUAUGUUAUGAUUGUUUUAUUGCGCAUUAUGGGUUAGUGUUGCAGUAGAGUUUACUAUGGCUUUUUAAGAUUCCUCCCUAUUGAAUUAUAGUUUUUGACCUGGAUUUACCAACUGAACGUGAAAGAUUCUGCAACAAAUAAAUGUUGGCUUUGGAGUAGAAGAGCAUUGUUGUCCACCCUGUAGUUGUAUUUGUUAGAGAAGUUAUUAAGGGGACCAAGAAUAAUGCCAAUCUGUAAUGGCUUAUACAGUUAAAUAAGCCAUUAUGAAUAAAGUAUUAGUUUAGCCAUUACAAAUUGUAAUGUCAUCUACACAUUAAUGCUUUUGCAUUGUAAUGAGAAAGUGGACUCUAUUUUGAAAAUUAUGCACUAUGUUUAAGUUUGGAGCAGCAUUAACUCAUUAUUCUGCGGCAAAUGUCUUAUACAUUUGCACGGGUAAUUAGCUCUUCAAUGCAUGUUUACUUGCUAUGCAGAGACAUUUUCACUCUGAAAUGCAACCUAAUCUGUGAUGUUUGCUUGUAAGAGAGGUGCUGCAUGUUUAUUUGGAGAGUAUAGUGCUCAAACUCGCUCAAACGAUGACAAAUGAUAGUAGUGGUGUUUCUGACAUAAUACAUGUAAGUGUACUUUGAAACUUCUUAUUAAUUAACUCUAAAGAUUUUGAAGCUAUUCUGUGGCAUGUCAUCUUAGACAAGUGUGUGUUUGACUUUGAUAUGAUUCAUAGCCUCCAAAAGAUGUGGAUUCCAAUUUGGUCUGGUUUGUUGGAGUCUCAAGAUUCUCCUAACUUCAACUUUUAUUUCUUUCCCUUUUUUCUUUGGCUUCUUUAUAGGGAAUUUUUUUGUAAAGUUAUUUUAUUGAGCAACCAAGUUAAUGCCGCAUCAAAGAUUUCAUUGGCAAGUUACUUAUUAAGUUACUAGCAAGCAUAACUGUGGCGUUGCGCGGUGGAUUAGAUAGCAUGUAUGCCAUUUAGGUAUGAAUAAAUAGACAUUACAUGAAUAGUGAUAAUGUCACGGAAUUAAACAUCUUUUUUUUCAAUACGGAAUUAAAUACCUUGUGGUUACAUUAUCUAGUUUUAUUUGUUUAGAUCCAUAUACCGCGCUAAUUAAUCAUUAAUAUAUCCAUGAACGUGUAGAAGAAGGUAAGCAUUUAAUCCAAUUAAAAUUUAAUAAUAAUAUAAAAACAAUAUAGAAAGCAAUAUAACUUUGGAGAUCAAGAAUGUAAAUUUAAAAUUUAUGAUAGACAGAACAAGGGGUAGAAAUUGGAACUCAAAACAAGGUUAAUCUAUUUAAGGCAUUUAGAAGUACCAAACCAGAAAUUGGCACAUUGCAUCGGACAAAAGCAAUUGCAUUAAUGAUUUGGAGUCUACUUACAUAAUAUUUAGAUCCUGAACAGGCAAUGCUAAGGGUACAUAAUUUCUAUAUGUUAAUCUCAGUUCUUAGCUUUUGAUGAUUACAAAACAAAUGGAUGUUGCUAAUAUCUCCUCAAAAACCUUUUUAGAAAUGAAGCAAAUUAGGUUCAAAGAUGAACCUGUUGCUGAAGCUGUCGGACACACAAAAAAACUGGAUCAGAUGUUCGACAAUCAUUGAACAACUUCGGACGUAUGAGGAACUCCAUUACCGGACAUCCGAAAGAAAUCAAACACCUCCUUAAGCUCACUGACCUCGAUCGGACGCAGAACAUUAAAGCACCGGACGUCCGCAGAAUUGAAGAAGGAUUCUCAAACAUUACCAUCUGCUUUCGGGCGCAAACACUUUGGAGGUACCGGACGUCCGAAAGAAUUAAAGAAAUUUUUCUUGCUCUCUGCCUGCUGUCGGACACAAGAAACAAGACUACCGAAUGUCCGACACUACCAACGGUUAGUUGAUUUUUCAGCUACCUUCUAUUCGUUAGAAGCUUUAAUGAAGGAAUUUUUUGGUCUCCUAUCAAUAGAGCAAAGUCAACCACUUCAAAUUACUUUUGCACAUUGAAACUACAAAAGAUCGAGAGCAAUUUUAGUGAGAAAAUUCUCUUCAAAGAAGAUUUGUACUCUUAGUUGUGUAGAUUUCGUACAAGCUUUUCUUGUGUGAGAAAAUUACUUCAAUAGUGUAGCUUUGUGAGGGUUAUCCGAGUGAUAAUAAAACUUGCUAACUUGAUCAAGUGUGGUUUGGAGCAAGGAGAAAGUGAUCCUUUUUUUCUGCACAUAGAUUAGUUGUAAUUGAUUAACUUGAAGAAACUUACUCUAUAAAGUGAUAUUCAAACUCAAGAGGAGAUUGAAAUUUGGUUUGCUAUUCUAUCUCUUUUAUUUACUAUACUGCCAAUAUAAAUUGUUCAUCUCUUCUACUCACAGACAUUUGUACUUUCUCAUUAUUUGUUCCAUUGUAUGGUCAUCUAGAAAGAGGGUAAAUUUCAUAUUCAAUCAAAAAGUGUCUCAUAAUUUGGUUAUUUUGUAAUUUACCUAAUUCACCCCCGUCUUACGUUGUUUUCGAUCCUUACAAUUGUAUCAGAGUUUGGUCUCCUAGAGAUUAAGCUAAUCGACUUUGGAAUAAAAAUGACAACCAACAAUGCCAUGUUUUUUGAAGGAUAAUCUGUCACUAGACCCCCAAUGUUUAAUGGAUCCAAUUAUGUGAAUUGGAAGGAAAGAAUGAUUAUAUUCUUGCAAUCUAUUGAUAUUGAACUAUGGUUUAUUGUUAAUGAAGGUUCAUUUGAAUAACUCUACAAUUGAUGAAGCCACUCAUAGACUAAAACCAAAAUCAGAAAUGAGUUGACUGCUGAGAAUAGAUCUCAUCUCACCUUGAAUACCAAAGGUAUGAAUGUGUUGUAUAGUGCUUUAGAUUCAAAUGAGUCUAUUAGAGUCAAAGGUUGCCGAUCUGCAAAAGAAAUUUGGGAUAAACUAAGAGAGAUCCAUGAAGGAAGUGAGAAUGUAAGAGAAAAUAAAAGAAAUCAAUCCUAGUUACUAAGUAUGAAUCAUUUAAGAUGGAACCUUAUGAAAACAUUGAUAAGAUGUAUUGUAAAUUCAAUGAUCUCAUUAAAGACUUAGAUCGGUGCUGGAAAAUGAAUACACCUUAGGUCGAGAAAAAAUAGAAAGAUUUUGAAUGCACUGACCAAAGAUUGGGAGAGUAAAGUGACUUCCAUUGAAAAAGCUAAAGAUCUAAAUACUAUGUCUAUUGAAUCUCUCAUUAAUUCUCUAAUUUCUUAUGAGUUGAACCUUAAGUCUAAGGUACAAGAGGAGGAAGAUGCAAAAGUGAGAAGAAGCAUUGCUCUAAAGACUUCUCAAGAUGAAGAUGAUUCAACUUCCUUAGAUGGAGAUAAUGUAGAAGUUGAUGACAAUGAUCUUGCUCUUAUCACAAGGAGUUUUAAAAGAAUCCUCAACAAAAGGAGAUUUAGAAGAGGAGGACCUAGCAAUACAUUUUCUAAUCAGUUCAAUAAUUCAAGAAACAAAGGAAAAUAAGAGACUAAUAAAAAGCAAGUAGACAAAUGCUUUGAAUGCGGCCAACUUGGACACUACAUGAGUGAGUGUCCAAUGAAGAAGAAGAAAGAAGGAAAAGUUGAACGAAAACCAAAGUUCAACAACUUUCAAAUUACAUGGAAUGAUUGUAACUCAGAUGGUGAUAUCGAAGAGAAAGAGAAUCUGCUCAAAUGGCUUUCAUGGCCAUUGGUGAUGAUGAGGUAACUACUUGCAACUGUCAACCUGUUAGUGAUGAUGAAUCUAAAGAUGAUGUUGAGUCUUUCAUUGAGAGAUUGCAUAAUAGCUUAAAAGAAUCGUAUGCUAGAAACAAGGAACUAAAAUAGAAAAUUAAUUUUUUGAUUCAAAACAAUGCAAAUCUUUUUCGACAAAAUAAAAUGCGGAAAGCUGAAAAUGACUGCUUGAAACAGGAUGAAAAUGUUCUACUUUUUGAGCUUGAUAGAAAAACAAAGCUGUGUGAGUUGUUCAAAAAGGAACAAGGUGACUUAAAAAGAAGAAUGGAUGGCCUAGAUAAAUUGCUUAAACAUAAGAAACAAGACUGCUUUCAAAAGAGUGAAUCAAAACCUCACUUUGACAUUCACAAGAAAAGGUUGAACUCUAAUGCAAACGAAUUUAACAUCUAUAAAAGAAGGUAAGCUAGAUUUAUUAAACCUGUCUUUGUAGGAAACUCACUGACUAUGUGUAGCUUUUGUUGCCAAGUUGGUCACAUGAAAAAUAAUUACUAUGUAAGAAAGAAUAUGAGAAAUGACAUGAAAUGCAUGUGGAUAGUUAGACAUAAUGUUAACUCUCAAGGACCCAAAAAGUAGUUGGGUACCAAAUAUAUCUUGUGAACUUUUGUGUAGGUGAGAUUGGUGAAUGUUAUUAAGGAAUCAAAAUUGUUCAUAGAUAGUAGAUGCUUAAGGCAUAUGAUUGGUGAUCCCUCACAGUUCAUCAAACUCAAGUCAAAAUCAAGUGGAAAAGUAACAUUUGGACAUGAUAACAAACCAAAACAGUUGGAGUUAGAGAUGUUGGUAAGAAUGACCAAACUUUUGUUCACAAUGCUCUUCUAGUUGAUAACCUGAGUUAUAAUUUGUUGAGUGUUAGUCAAUUGUGUGACAGAAAUCUGUUUGUGCUAUUUAAAAGGCAUGAAUAUCUUAUUCUUGACUCAAAAUUUAACAUUAUUUUCAAAGAAAAAAGAGUGAAUGACAUUUAUGUAGUUAUUCUAGAAAAUAUUGAUUCUUUCAUCCUAAAUGUCUUAAAACUGCAGAUGAGGAUCUUUGGUUGUAGCAUAGAAGGUUUUGUCACUUUAAUAUAAAUUUGUUAAAAAAAAUUCAAAAAAGAACUUGUUAGAAAUUUACCAAAAAUUAACUUUGAAAAAGACAAAAUUUGUGAUGCUUGUCAAAUUAGAAAACAAGUAAAAGUUUCUUCAAAUCUAAGAAUUGUGUUUCUACUUCAAAACCACUGGAUCUUUUACAUCUUGAUUUAUUUGGUCAUACACAAAUUGCUAGUUUGGGUGAUAAAAUAUAUUAUUUGAUUAUUGUUGAUGAUUAUUUUAAUACACUUGGGUGAUAUUUCUUGCUCAAAAGGAUGAUACUUUCAAAAGUUUUCUUUCAUUAUUUGCAAAAGUUCAAAAUCUGAUUGGAUUGAAAAUUAUCAAGAUUAGAAGUGAUAAUGGCUCGGAAUUUAAAUUUUGUGGUUUUCAGAAUUUUGUGAUAACAAUAGAAUCACAAUGAGUUUUCAAUUGCUAGAACUCCUCAACAAAAUGGUGUUGUUGAAAGAAAAAAUAGAACUCUUCAAGAAACCGCACGAACUUUGUUAAAGUGAAUGUAACUUACUAAAAUAUUUUUGGGUCGAAACCGUUAAUACCGCAUGUUAUGCUAUGAAUAGAGUUCUUUUGAGACAUAUUUUAAACAAAACCUCUUAUGAGUUAAUGUUUGAAAAAAGCCAAUUGUUAGUUAGUUCAAAGUUUCUGGUUGCAAAUGCUUUAUUUUAAAUAUCAAGAAACACUUUGGAAAGUUUGAUAAGAAAUCUGAUGAAGGUAUUUUUUUGGGAUAUUGUGAGAACAAAAGAGGCUUUAGAGUCUAUAAUAGAAGGACUCUUGUUAUUGAAGAAGCUAUACAUGUCACCUUUUGAUGAAUCUAAUGAUAAUAUUUUCAAAAGUAGUUGUGAGGAUGAUGAUGUAGGUGUCCAAGAAAGACUCAAGAAACUCACAAUUCAUGAUCAAAACGAUACUCCACAAGAAGAGAGCUCAAAAGAAGAUAAUCCCCAAGAUAGUCAAGCAUUAGAAGAAAAUGACAAUCAUGGUGAUGCACCUAGGAAUCUUCCAAAGGUUUGAAAGUUUGUUCAAAAUCAUCCUAAGGAAUUCAUUAUUUGGUGAUCCAUCCGAAAAGGUAAUUGUGAGAACAAAAGAGGCUUUAGAGUCUAUAAUAGAAGGACUCUUGUUAUUGAAGAAGCUAUACAUGUCACCUUUGAUGAAUCUAAUGAUAAUAUUUUCAAAAGUAGUUGUGAGGAUGAUGAUGUAGGUGUCCAAGAAAGACUCAAGAAACUCACAAUUCAUGAUCAAAACGAUACUCCACAAGAAGAGAGCUCAAAAGAAGAUAAUCCCCAAGAUAGUCAAGCAUUAGAAGAAAAUGACAAUCAUGGUGAUGCACCUAGGAAUCUUCCAAAGGUUUGAAAGUUUGUUCAAAAUCAUCCUAAGGAAUUCAUUAUUGGUGAUCCAUCCGAAAAGGUAAGAACUCGUUCCUCUUCAAAACAAUUGAUGGACAAUUUUGCUUUGGUCUCACAUUUUGAACCAAAAAUUAUUAUUGAUGCAUUGAAAGAUGAAAACUGGAUUUUAACUAUGGAAGAGGAACUAAAUCAAUUUGAAAGGAACAAGAUGUGGACAUUAGUUGAAAAAUCUCAUGAUCAUCCUAUUAUUGGCACAAAAUAGAUGUUUAGAAAUAAAAUGACUGACAAAGGUGAAGUGGUGAGAAAUAAGACUAGAUUAGUUCUUAAGAGGUAUGCUCAAGAAGAAGGAAUAGAUUUUGAUGAAACAUUUGCUCCCAUAGCAAGACUAGAAUCUAUUAGAAUGUUUUUGACAUUUGCAUGUUUCAAGAAUUUUAAAUUAUUUAAAAUGGAUAUUAAAAGUACUUUCUUAAAUAGUUUUAUUGAUCAAGAGAUAUAUGUUGAUCAACUACCCGGUUUUGAGAAUGAAAUGUUUCCAAAUCAUGUGUUUAAACUCUCAAAAACUUUGUAUGGUUUAAAACAAGCUCCAAGAGUAUGAUAUGAAUGCUUAAGUGGUUUCUUGAUUGAAAAUGAUUUUGAAAGGGGCAUUAUAAACACCACUUUUUUCACCAAACGAUGUUCCAAUGAUCUACUAAUUGUGCAAAUAUAUGUUAAUGAUAUUAACUUUGGUGCUAUUAAUGAGUAUUUGUGUAAGAAUUUUUUCAACUAUUAUGCAAAAAGAGUUUGAGAUGAGAAUAAUAGGAGAAUUGAAUUUUUUCCUUGGGUUUCAAGUGGAACAAACUCGAGAAGAAACAUUCAUUAAUCAAGCUAAAUACACCAAGGAAUUGCUCAAAAGGUUCGGUAUAGAGGAAUCAAAAUAAGUUGGAACACCAAUGUGCACAUCUAUCAAACUUGACAAGGAUAAAGGAGGUAUAAAUGUUGAUGAAAAGAAGUAUAGAGGUAUGAUUGGCAGCUUACUUUAUUUAACUGCAAGUAGACUUGAUAUCAUGUUUGCUAUUUACUUGUGUGCUGGUUUCCAAUUUUGUUCAAAAAAAUCUCACUUGCUUGCUGUGAAAACAAUUUUUAAAUAUUUGAAAAGAACAUUGAACUAUGGUCUUUGGUAUCCUAAAUGUCAUGAAUGUCCUUUAUAUGGUUUCUCGAAUGCUGACUUUGGUGGAUGUAGAAUAGAUAGAAAGAGUACUAGUAGUACAUGCCACUUUCUUGGUAAUUGUUUAGUAUUUUGGUUAAGUAAGAAAUAAACCUAUUUCAUUGUCUACGGCCGAAACGGAAUAUGUUACCACUAGUGCAUGUUAUACUCAAUCGAUGUGGAUGAAAAGUACCUUGAAUGAUUUUGAAUUAGUAUAUGAUUGUGUGCCUGUGUAUUGUGACAAUAAAAAUGCUAUAAAUUUGACAAAAAAUCUCAUUCAACAUUCUAGGAUAAAGCAUAUUGACAUAAAGCAUCAUUUCAUUAGAGAUCUCGUCCAAAAAGAUGAAAUUUGUGUGCAAUAUGUUUGUUCAAAGGAUCAAAGUACUGACAUUCUCACAAAAGCCCUUCCACUAGAUCAGUUUAUAUUUUUAAGAACAAAAUUGGGUAUUAUUGAAAAGUUUUUUUGAAAAAUUAUCUGGUCACACUUUAUCAAACGUCUGACAGUGUUCUUGAUCACUUUUCCAGAAAAUUUGGUUUUGGACGAUAAUGUCAGACGCUUCACUUCGUUCAACCGUCCAACACUCUAAAAAUGCUUGUUAUAAGUCAGUUUUCUCCUUCAUUCAGUUUAUUUUUCUAUCCGUUAUAUCAGACGCAACUUCUCAUCCUCUCCUAUUUUCAAAUUUCAAAGUUCGUCUCUCUUCUGAACAAGUUUCAAGAAAUUAAUUAGUUCAAAGCCUUUACACUCUUUUUACCCGUUCAUAACCCCUCAUAACUUCCUCUAACUGCCAACUAGUCUAUAAAUCCCAAUUCUCACCCGAAACCCUAGUCACUUAAAAGUCACUCUCUCUGGAUGAUUCAAGCCCUCAUUAUAAUUAAUACCGCACUUUUAGUCAGUCUCAUACAUAUUUUCAUCAUUCUCCAUAACAAAAACAAUCUGCAUUUCAUCAUGGUAAGAAUUAGGGAAGGAUCUGUCAGUGCAAGACGCACCACCAGGUUCAGGUUGAGGGAUGAAGAUACUGAAAUUAUUGAGCCCUCUACCACUAAAUUUCCAAAAAGGGCGACAAAAAAACAUGGUGGAAAAGGAAAAGGUUCGGCCCAAAAAAAACAUUCAGAGAAAUGGCAAACUACUUCCGCUGAGCAAACUGCAUUACCUCUUAUCAGUGAUAGUGAAGAGGAAUUGGAGCAGCUUACUAAUGUUGAUGCAUCUGUCACGAAAUCACCCAGAAAAGGGACUGAACCUCAUUGUAAAAAGGGGAAAUGGUCUGCUAAAAAGAAUGGGACAGUUCAAACUAAGGAAAGGCAAACUGCUGAUCCUUCUGUGAGCAAAUUGAGGAACAGCAGACUGUUGAGCAAAAUGCUAAGAAUCAGCAAGCUACUGAGACUUCCACCAGAAAGUCACCAAGAACAAGGUUUGGUGGACAGACCGAUAUACAUGAUACUCCACGAAAUGGAAAAAGGAAACGAACUGCCAGAGAGCAACCUGAGGCUCAGAUUGCAGAGGAAUCUACCUCAUUGCCAAAGUUCAUUGAUGAUGAUGCCCGAGAUAGGUUCGAAUGGGUUUCUCAGAAGGACUUCAUCACCCAAUGGGCAAUUAUCCCUCAUGAAUUCCGUAAGUUUGACCUUGAACCUGUCAUUAAGUUCUUUGAAUUCCAAAAAUGGAUUCAUAUUUUGACCAUUCCCAACACCUACUACCCUGACAUGUUUCAUCAAUUUUUUGUCAAUCUUAGGAAGGGUAAAUCCCAUACUGAUCUAGUCUCACGAGUAAAUUCUGUUGAUAUAGAAUUAAAUCCUGAUAUUGUCAACACUGUUAUGAAAAUCAAAAUUGAAUAUGGUUUUAAAGGAAAAAUUGCUAACUUUUUUUCAUAUGAACAAUUUCUUUCUGCCUAUAAUCACUUUCAUAUUGCAAAACUGAUAACUUAUUUUCAAACUCAUUUUAAUACUCUUACUGAGGCAAGAUUGGAAGAUCUCAAUCCUCAAAAUUUGAUCAUCUUCUCUAUAAUUUCAUCUAUUAGUUCCUACUGAUGGUUAUAGGACAGAUGCCAACAAAAUGGAGCUUUACCUGUUUUUCUGCUUUCUUGAAAAAAUUUGAAUUGAUUUCGGCUUUGUUAUGUGUAAAUUCUUACUCAAAAUCAGCACUGAUAGCCGUAGAAAACUUUCCUAUGAAAAAUUUCUGAUCCCAAUUUUUGCUCAUUUCAAAAUUCCCUUCACUGACAAAUCACCAAAAGAAAGUACAUCUAUUGUCUUUUCAAAGGCAUAUUUUGAAAGAAAAAAUCUGAACUUUUUUUUAUGGAAAAUGGUGCUACAAGGAAACUGUUUUGGAGACUAGGAGAAAGAAUCAUCAUGAAACACCUGUCUCCCCUAGGACUCCUCAAGAUCAGUCCAUGUAUAUUUCAUCCUUUACUAUCCAUCCUAGAAGGUCAGCCACUACGCCCUCUUCAUCUAACUCUGAGGUUAUUUCUUUGCUUGAAAAUCUCAAACAACACAUUCUACUCCUUGAAAAUGGUCUAAUGAUGACCAUGCCACCCGACCAACAAGCCACCUUCAUUGACAAAAGAAAUUUGCUUGUGUGACGGCCCCACUUCCCCCUAGGGCGUACCAAAGGGUUCGGCGGGUCGCCUGCCCAACUCUCGCCGAGACUCAGUCGUUCACUACAUUCCUCAAACAGAUUACAAUAUAAAUCUCAAAAAUUACAUCAAAUGUUCCCACAAUUACACAUCCAAGUCUCCAAUAAUUAUAUGUCACAAGCGAAGCGAAAACAAUUUCCAACUAUACAUAAAAUGAUUCCAAAUCCAAAUUGUACAAAAUAUAGGCCAUCUAUUCAAGUGAAUAACCACAACAAGCCUUCCUUCGCCACGAGCCCUGUGGAGGGGAAUAAAACAUUUUUGGGUGAGUUAGAAGCUCAGCGAGUAACCAGUAAAUUCAGUAAUCAAAUAUAUUUCACAAUAUUGCAUUUCGAUCCUUUCGAUGAUGUCAUGAUUCAGAGAUCAAAUAUACAUUUAUUGCUCUUGUGAGUCAGUGAAAUCAUGGCACUUGAACACCCAACGCUCAAAUAGAUCCAGUAAUAGUAAACAGUGAGAGAGGGAGCCAUUUGCUCCAGAUGAACAGUAAACAGAGGUGGAGACGUUGGUGUUCAGCACAAGACUUCUCCAGAACUCAGUGAAGCCAAAUCAUGUCAUGAACUCACAUGCAAGCACGCAUGAUAUGCAGUCGAGUAAAUAAUGCAAGAAACAGUUCAAAAGUAACUUUGGAAUCAGUUUAGGGUCACUCACCUCCACGGCUCAGAAACCAUCCAUCAUAUAUCAUUAUCUUGCCCGAGUCUGAGCCCUAAAUCACAAACUCAAAGCAAUCGUACAUUUUCAAAGUUCGAACAGCAUUUCCCCAUAAAUGCCUCAUUUCCAACCUACAAGGUAUCACUUACAUUUCAAACCAGGCCCACAGUCCGGCAUCCUAAACUUCAAGCCUAGGAUAAACUACAGAGAUCUGAAGCCUAAACUCUGAUACCACCUGUGACGAUCCCACUUCUCCCUAGGGCGUACCCCAGGGUUCGGCGGAUCACCUGCCCAGCUCUCGCCGGGACUCAGUCGUUCACUACAAUCCUCAAAUGAAUUACAAGAAUAAACCUCAAAUAUUACAAUGUAAAUCUCCAAUAUUUAUAUAUAAACAAAACGAAGCGGAAACUAAUUCCAAGCGUGGAACGUAUGUAUACAUCCGAUCGAUUCCAGACAUUCAUUACAAUCCCUAAUAAUAACUAUUACACAAAAGGAAAUCCAAAUUCAAACCAUACACGAGAUAAUCCAUCCAUUCACAUGAAUAAGCACUACAAGCCCUUUCUUCGCCACGAGCCCUGUGGAGGGGAAUAAAACAUUUUGGGGGUGAGCUAAAAGCUCAGCGAGUAACCAGAAAAAAUCAGUAAUCAAAUCGGUUUCACAAUAGUUCAUUUCAAUGAUGUCAUAUAUCAAUGAUGUCAUAAAUCAAAUGAUAAGUCCAGAAACAACUACAACAUUUGCAAAACAGUAAAUAUGGAGUAUCAAUAAUUCAAGAAACAUUUACAAUGGAAAGCGAUAGUAACAUUCAUGAAAAGAUACGGCUCACAGGAGCAAUUCAUUCGAUCAUUCAUUCGUUCUCCUGACAUUUUCCUUCCUUCAUUCAUUUGAAAAUGCAUUUUUCAUUUAUCAAUAAACCCUCGUUCGUUCGUUCGUUCAUUUCAUUCACCAAGCUCCACCAACCUCCACCAACCUACAUAGGUAAUACUCGAGUAUACCAAACGUUCACCCAAGUCCCUAAUCGCCCGACCGAGACCGCUUCUGGCUCGAGACGACCGGUAACAAGGGGCAAUGGCCAGUUCAGCCCAAAAGGCUUACAUUAUGCGCAACUAGUAUUUCAAUAAUUAAAUCCUUGAAAAUUGCACAGUUAUUUAGGUCGAAUGCGAUAAAGUACACACUCGCCUAGAAAGCUCGUUUUGGAAAUCAUUCAAAGCAGUUAACACGUUAUCAAUCAAUAAUACAAGUCAUGAAGUCAAGAAAAUAUACCAAAUAAGGAACACUCACAAGUCACUCAAACAUUCCAAGCAAGCACUAAGAGUUACUCUAAUCCCACUUGUAGGAAUGAAAAUCCGACAAGUGGGAUUAGAGUAACUCUUAGUGCUUGCUUGGAAUGUUUGAGUGACUUGUGAGUGUUCCUUAUUUGGUAUAUUUUCUUGACUUCAUGACUUGUAUUAUUGAUUGAUAACGUGUUAACUAUUUUGAAUGAUUCCAAAACGAGCUUUUUAGGCGAGUGUGUACUUUAUCGCACUCGACCUAAAUAACUGUGCAAUUUUCAAGGAUUUAAUUAUUGAAAUGCUAGUUGCGCAUGAUGUAAGUCUUUUGGACUGAACUGGCCAUUGCCCCUUGUUACCGGUCGUCUCGAGCCAGAAGCGGUCUCGGUUGGGCGAUUAGGGACUUGGGUGAACGUUUGGUAUACUCGAGUAUUACCUAUGUAGGUUGGUGGAGGUUGGUGGAGCUUGGUGAAUGAAAUGAACGAACGAACGAACGAGGGGUUUAUUGAUAAAUGAAAAAUGCAUUUUCAAAUGAAUGAAGGAAGGAGAAUGUCAGGAGAACGAAUGAAUGAUCGAAUGAAUUGCUCCCUGUGAGCCGUAUCUUUUCAUGAAUGUUACUAUCGCUUUCCAUUGUAAAUGUUUCUUGAAUUAUUGAUACUCCAUAUUUACUGUUUUACAAAUGUUGUAGUUGUUUCUGGACUUAUCAUUUGAUUUAUGACAUCAUUGAUAUAUGACAUCAUUGAAAUGAACUAUUGUGAAACCGAUUUGAUUACUGAUUUUUUCUGGUUACUCGCUGAGCUUUUAGCUCACCCCCAAAAUAUUUUAUUCCCCUCCACAGGGCUCGUGGCGAAGAAAGGGCUUGUAGUGCUUAUUCAUGUGAAUGGAUGGAUUAUCUCGUGUAUGGUUUGAAUUUGGAUUUCCUUUUGUGUAAUGGUUAUUAUUAGGGAUUGUAAUGAAUGUCUGGAAUCGAUCGGAUGUAUACAUACGUUCCACGCUUGAAAUUAGUUUCCGCUUCGUUUUGUUUAUAUGUAAAUAUUGGAGAUUUACAUUGUAAUAUUUGAGGUUUAUUCUUGUAAUUCAUUUGAGGAUUGUAGUGAACGACUGAGUCCCGGCGAGAGCUGGGCAGGCGAUCCGCCGAACCCUGGGUACGCCGUAGGGAGAAGUGGGGUCGUCACAGCUUGUACCUCCUGUUCCUCAAGACAAUGAGAAUGUACACCAAAAGGGACCUAGAAUUGAGUCAACUGAGCAAACUCCUCGUGCUGAAACUACUCCAGGAUUCGUGCUUCCAGUUCUCAUCCAUAGGACAAGGGAAAGGCUCCAGCAACUGAAGCAGAAACUGAAGAGGAUGAUGAUGAGGAAACUAAAGAGGAAGAAGUGGAUCCUGCUCAGUUUCGCCUAGCAAGAAGGAGGUCUGGAUCGUCCAAAUUACAAUUUAGGCACCUCUAGGUUCGUGUACUUCAUGUUUAAGUAGGCAUCUCAUAUUAGACAUUUGCAUCUUCGGCAUUUUAACAUUUCAAGUACUCUGUACUCAAGAUUCUGGUUGUUUGGUUAACUCUUCUGGCUUAUAAACUAUUCAGUUAACUUCUCUAUGUUGAAUGGUUUCUAAUUAAUUUUGUUGGUUAUCUUUUUGGUUAAUUCUGUUUGCUUCUGGGUGCUUGGUAUCCCUGUGACUUCUGAUUUUUAACAUUGUUUGCUGAUAUUGGUGAUUGUUGAUUUUGUUGGAUAUUCUUGGUUAAUGAUGUUGUUGAUGACAUUGAUGUUGGAUACUGGAUUGGAAUUGGAUUUGAAUUGUAUUAAUGCCACUGGCUAUUAAGAUCUUCUAAUGAUGACAAAAAGGGAAGGAAAUGAUAACAAGUUACUACAGGAAAUGUAAUCUGGUAAAUACGUGAGGGGUAACUAUUCUGAGGGAGAGUGUCUACCUUUUUUGAUUCAUUAAGUGAGGGGAAGUUUUUAACUUAAUUAUUUUUCUCCAUCCACUGUUUUGUCAUCAUCAAAAAAGGGGAGAUUGUUAAUCUCGGUUCUUAGCUUUUGAUGAUUACAAAACAAAUGGAUGUUACUAAUAUCUCCUCAGAGACUUUUUUAGAAAUGAAGCAAAUCAGGUUCAAAGAUGAAACUGUUGCUGAAGCUGUCGGACAUACAAAAAACUGGAUCGGAUGUCUGACAAUCAUUGAGCAACUUCGAACGUAUGAGGAACUCCAUCACCGGACGUCCGAAAGAAAUCAAAACACUUCCUUAAACUCACUAAUCUCAAUCGAACGCAGAACAUUAAAGCACUGGAUGUCCGACAGAAUUGAAAAGGAUUUUCAAACUUUACCAUCUACUUUCGGACGCAAACUUUGGAGGUACCGGAAGUCCAAAAGAAUUAAAGAAAAUUCUUCUUGCUCUCUGCCUGCUGUCGGACGUAAGAAACAAGACUACCGGACGUCCGACACUACCAAUGGCUAGUUGACUGUUCAACUACCUUCUAUCCGUUGGAAGCUUUAAUGAAGGAAUUUUUUGGUCUCCUAUAAAUAGAGUAAAGUCAACCACUUUAAAAUACUUUUGCACAUUGAGACUACAAAAGAUCUAGAGCAAUUUUAGUGAGAAAAUUCUCUUCAAAGAAGAUUUAUACUCUUAGUUGUGUAGAUUUCGUAUAAGCUUUUCUUGUGUGAGAAAAUUACUUCAAUAGUAUAGCUUUGUAAGGGUUAUCCGAGUGAUAGUAAAACUUCCUAACUUAACCAAGUAUGACUUGGAACAAGGAGGAAGUAAUCCUUCUUUUGUGCACAUAGAUUGGUUGUAAUUGAUCAACUUGAAGAAGCUUGCUCUAUAAAGUGAUAUUCAAACUCAAGAGAAGUUUGGAAUUUGGUUUGCUAUUCUAUCUCUUUUAUUUACUAUACUGCAAUAUAAAUUAUUCAUCUCUUCUACUCACGAGCAUUUGUACUUUUUCAUUAUUUGUUCCAUUGUGUGGUCAUCUAGAAAAGAGGGUAAAUUUCAUAUUCAAUCAAAAAGUGUCUCAUAAUUUGGUUAGUUUUUAAUUACCUAAAUCACCCCCCUCUUAGGUUGUCUUCGAUCCUUAUACUAUAAUUUCUAUUCCACUGGCUCCAAAGAUCAGUACAACAAUUGAAGUACGAGGCUGAGCAAGAAAGAGCAAAAUGUCUCCGUCUUCUAGCCUAUGAGCUAUAACAAAGUCACUCCAUCUUCGAUGAAAGCCAUCUUUUGUGAUUCCAAUAUUGUAACUUUUGGUUCCACUUGUUAGAACAAUAUCUAGAGUCCGAGGCUCAACUACAUUUAAUCAGUGUGCUCCAGAAUUUUCUACAAGCAAAAAGCAAGGCAUAAGAAUGUAAAGGAAUUAUGUUGCAAAAUAGAAGGAUUUGUUUUAAAAUAUAUAUAUGUAUAUACCGUGCUAUAUCUAAAUCUUCGAGUAUAAACUUAGAGCGCAUUUAGCACCAUUAGAUCAUGCCUAAUGAAUUGAUUGAUGGAUGAUGCAACAAAUCCUAAACUCACAUCUAUAGCUAUACCAUCUGUAGCACAGCAACAGGUGUGUUAGUAAAGUAUAUCAAGCGACAAAAAAAAUGAUUCAUUGUGAAAUGGAAAUUUAUGCUCCUUCUAAGAUCAGUGGUGUGUAUGGGAGCAUUGGCAAGUGCAAUGUUCAUCAUGUCCACAUUAGAUUGUGAGUUGCAGAGAAAGCAAAAAUUUCGUAGAUGAAGUUCCCUCUAUUUCAAGAAAAAAAAAUUAUAUUGCCUGGAGAGAUGUAGUUAUCACUGCAGAAAUUGUUCCAUUGUUUUUCAAAACAAGAAUUCAGAAUUUUUAUUUCCAAUGAGCCAAACCAUGAUAAAUUGUCCAUCUUCAAAACAAUUAGCAACUACCAUUUCAUCAGGGAUCGCUUGAAAUGAGAUAGACAGGUUAGGUAUGUAUUAAGGGAAAAAGUGAGCAUCAAUUUAACAGAUGACUUAUUUUUUGGUGCUUGUGUAGAAUAAAACAUAACACCAUGGUUGUCCACUAUCCAUGAAACCAAUCUCUUCAUUUUCUGUUCAAGAGAACAAAAGAAAUGCAAUUAUAUGUGUAGUUCAUUGAGUAGUCCACAUUCUAUAAUGAUGCAAAAAAUGUAUAAAAAGCCACUUGUUUCUGCGAAUGCCAUUGAGGUGAUAUAUGUAUUAUUCUAUAGCCACUGCUCAAUCAAUGCAAAUGAAAAUAGUGAGGGUUCACCCAUAUAUUUUAGAACCAUUGGACAUGCUUCAAGGAAAGACCUCUUCACAUAAUAAGUUGUCGCUCCAUGAACCUUGUUUACAGCAGUUGCUGCAAGAAUCUUUUCAUGGUCAAAGGUGCAUAGAUAAAAUUUAAUAUUGUUUCCCUUCCCAACUGCCUCCUAUUUCUAAAAGGGUCUCUUGGUUUAACCAUAGGUGGUUAAUAUCAAGAGUAUUUUAGUUCUAUAAUUUCAGCAUAUCUCAAAGCCGAUCACUAAAGCAAGGAGCAAAAACAAGGGAAAGUUUGCUGUGCCACCAAAGGAAGAAGAUGUUGAAUGUAUUUUAAAGUGAGGAUGAGCAUAGCAUGUUUAAAUAAGAACUCAAUAUACAAGGAGAAGCAUUAAGUACAAGAGCAUUAUAAUUGGUUGAAAAAAUAUGAAACCUCCAAAUAGAGCAAAGCAGGAAAUACCUCACUCAAUACUUCCAAACAAAGCCACCAUACAUAUAAUUAUUUAUAAUUCACAAUACUGGGAAACAAGCAAAUAUUUUGAAAAUUUUCCCAACAAGACUUGCAUUACUGUAACCACAAUGAUCUCAAUCAUUAUGUGUUACAUAGUUGACCCAACUAUUCUAUUUUAACAAAGACAGAUUGUUUUAAAUAUUCUUACGAAAAUGAUAGAACACAAGUGGCAUGUUAGCCUUAAAAAUUUAUUGAAAAAAUACAAUAAUUUGACCUUUACUUGAAUGUCCAAUCUCCAAAACUCAAAUACGAUACUGGAAAUCCUAAAAGCUUAAGUCCAAAUUAUAGAUUAAGGCCUUUACUCCAUAUCAGCCAAGUAAUAAUCAUAUAAUACCAUCCAACUAAAUAAAAAAUUAUGCUCACAUAAGCUUUCAAGAGCUGUAUAUAUUGAGAAGUAAAUCUGUCAAGGAUGUUUAGAUAAAAUAGAACUUAAUCUAUCAAGGAUCAUCUCCAGCUAUUGUCUCACAAGUACAUCAUAACCAGAAGGAAAAGCAACUCAUCUACAUUUUUUCUUAGAAACCUCCAUUGUUUCAGAAGUGCAAGUGUAAACAGGCUCAUCCCUAGCCAUUAUCUCACAACCACAUCAGGACCAGAAGGAAAAGUAAAGGAAAUGGCCAAUGGAAAAUUCGAAAAAAAAGCUACAAUUCUCAGAAAGAUUCAACCAUGCUCAAGUAAUACUAACAUAAUACCAUCCAAGUAAAUAAAAAAAAUUUUGGCUCACAGAAGCUUCCAAAAGCUAUACACAUUGACAGACCCACAACAUGAAAGACCCAGACCAGAAUAAUGCCAAGCAAAGACAUAGCCACAACCUAAAAAGGCAAGUCCAAAUAUAAGUAAAUAUGAAAAGUUUCUGCUUACAAAGGCUGCCAAAAUCUAUGCACAUUAACAGAAUUAUAACACAAAAGACCUACGAGAAUAAACCAAUGAAAAACAAAAUCACAACCAGAAAAGAUGACAAGAGGAUAGAAAUGCAAAAUACAAAGAUAAAUGAGCAAAGAAUAGAAAAAUAUCCAACAAACAUCAAACCAAUGGACAGAACAAUAGUGAAAAUGGUAAAAAGAAACAUAACCAAAUAUCCAUGAGCAAACGAAAAAUAGAAAAAAUAUAAUUUACCUGACGGGAGAAAUUACAAUCAGAGCUCGCAAGUAAAGGAUCUGUAGAAAAGAGGAGCUUGUCAAAAUGCAAAAAGAAAAUGAAGGAAAUAGAGGAAAAUACCAAAAUAACUGAUGAGAAAAAGAAGGAGAUGAAGGGGGGAAUUUAGACAGAGCAAUAACAAAAAAUGGUACCCAAGAGCAAAGAAAAACAAAAAAAUUACAAAUUACCUGACAAAAGAAACUAUUAUUAGAGCUCGCAAGUAAAGGAUUUGCAGAAAAGAGGAGCUUGUUACAAUUUUUUUUUUUUUAAAAAGGAAGAGGGAACCAAAGGAAAUAUUGAAAUACCUGAUAAGAGAAAAGAGAUGGAAAUGCAAGACACGGAGGUAAGCGAAGAAAACAGAAGACGAUGGAAAUGUAGAACACAGCAACAAACAUCCAAAAGCAGGACACACCUAAGCUUCACAUAGGCAGAGCAAUAACCACAUAGAAUCUGCGAGACAAAGAUGAAGUGAAAGGCAAAGAAGCUGAAAAGUGCCUGACGAGAGGAGCCACAAACAAAAUUCUCAAGACAAAGAUGAAGCGUGAAAACGGAGAUGAGAAAGCAAAUGAGAAACUCUAGGAAAAAAGGGCACAACCAAUUUGUCUUGGAAUUUAGACCACAUUGGAAGAGACAGCCAUGAUAAAAUGCGCCAAUUACCAUUCUGAAGAAAGCUCUCCUGGUAGCUCCGGACAAUGCAGCGGUGAGAGCCAAGAAAGGAAAGGAACUCGUACGGCCAUCUGUUCCAAAGCAGAAAACCAUGGUCGACCCAAUUACCCGAACCAUUCCAAUGGAGCAUCUAGAAGUGCAAACUUACACAACUCACAUGCUCGGCACAUGACAACGACGAAACCCCUUGGUGCAUUGUAUGUUAUGUUGAUAAGAAAAAAUGCACCUAUAUGAUUCAUCUUCAUAUCUUGCUGUCUUGUUUAAGUUUGCAUUACUGUUCAUGCAUCCGAUGUAUGUUCUUCCAUUUUUUUUCUUCCAUGUGUAUGUCAAACCUAUGGUACUCAUGCACUUAAUUGUUUUUUCAAAAUCUUAAGAGUAACAAGUUUAUUCUACUGAUUUCAUGAACUUGCAAAACACAAAAAAUUUAUAAAUGCAGGGAAAUGAUCAUAAAGUUCAUAAAACACAAUAAAGGAAAAAAGAGCAAGGAAAAAACACAAAAUAAAUGCAAAAAAAAGUGGAAAAAAGUACAAGGGCAAGAAUCAUAAAAAGAAUGGGUAAGAAAGAAAGAUGCAGCACUUGCACUUGCACGAUAAGCCUUUGUUCACUACAAUGAAAAUCUCAAGCAAUGAUCAAUUACAUUAUUGUUAUCCUCUAGGCAUUAUAUCAAGCUAGCUUACAUAAUGUACUUUGCCAAAUCAUUAGUCUCCUAUUGGGAGUCGAGCAUUUAAAAACUAAGAUGAGUUUUGCUCUACUCAUCAAAAAAAGAAGAGGAAAAACAGCUUUUUGCCACAUUUGUGGUUUUAGAGCUUAUUGCACUACGUGCAUCUGGUGAUUUCAUUUGAUGCUAAAACUAUAUCGGUAUUUCCUUUUGAAUUUAAUGUAUCACAUCUUGCAAAAAAGGAGGCACAGUAUUAAGCGCAAUAAGGGGACAGGUGACCAUUUCAGCUGCAUGUCUUCUGAAUUUGCAGCCCAACUCUUCAUUGACUAUGAUCGGAUUGAUGAGAUGCCACUCACUUGUGUGUCCAGUUUGAAUCUACUGCUAUUAAAUGAAAGACAUAAAACGAGCGAGUUGUGCAUGAUAUGCGUAGAAGCAUAACUGGUUCCACGUAAUUUCUAAGUGCAUUUGAAGGUAGGAAGUUACACUACAGAUUUGUUGGCCUAUUAUUCUACAAAAUGGCUCAGUGAUCUAGAAUUAUAUCAUUGCAAAGAAUGAUUUGCUUGUUGAAGGCACUGACAAAAACAUCCAGCUUCUUGUUGAAGAUUAGAACAUCUGUGACAUCUAAGUUCCAGUUUGUUUUCUUUUCCCAUUUUUGGAAUGAGUUUAGUUUCUUAAGUCACCAAAUUUACAACAUUUUCAUGUUCUUGACAGUGGAUGCUAUUUGUCUAAAGUAAUUUUUCAUGUAUACUUAGCAUCGUUCACUAAAAUCGUGAUAUAGAACUUGACUUUUGACUUGAUAUUAUUUUCUGUUCUUCCUAGGCCUGUCUACUGCUUGUUGUUUUGUGUAGUCAUUGUUCAGAGUUUGAAGACUACUGGACCUGUAGGCUUUAAAAGUCUUGUUCACAAUUUUCUUCGAAGAGUUGGCUGCAAGAAGCUUUAGAACCUGCAUUUCAGAGAGCUAGUCAGAGAAUGUAUCCUUCUUGAAAGACUACAGUGGAUAAUUAUACUGAUUCAUUUUUUGCUAAAUAUCUUUUUAUGUUGACCAUACCUUUUUUUGGUUGAACUUAACUUUCGCUAUAGAGGGACAGAGAUUUGGAGAAUUGAAAACUUCCAACCAAUUCCUUUACGAAAAUCUGAUCAUCGUAGGUUCUACUCAGGUGAUUCAUACAUUGUCUUGCAGGUGCAUAUGGCUUCCAAUAUUUCUUCCUUUGUAUCUUAUUUUGGGCCUCAUUUUUACGAAUUGAGUGUUUAUGACUGAAGGAAGAGCUUAAAUCUUUUUUAUCCUGUUUUAAUUUGGAUACAAUGAACUGAUAAAAACUAAUAUCGAUCAUUGCAGUCCAGUUUAAUAUUGAUCAUGAGGAGGCUGUUGAAUAUGAUGAUAGAGAUGGUUGAAAUCUGACAUUGGUACUACGGUCUAUGCUUUAGUUUAGAAAUCUAGUACUCUUUUUUUUUGGAAGGAUAUGUAUUGGUCAUUACUGCUUGAACUUAUUAUGUGAGCUUUGGGAUCCAACAUUUGUGGUUCACUUUUGUUUUGAUGAAUGUAUAGACGUUCAUGGCCAUAUAUAUGAAUUUGUGGUUUUAUUCUACGUUGAUUUUGUCUUUUGUCAAAUUGAAUAUUCUGCUAUAAUUUGUUGAAAAUGCUAUGGCAAUGCUAUAUUCGUAAUGGUCAAUUUCAACUCUUCAAGACAAAGCUCAGUGACAACCUUUGACAUGCAAUUUCACUAAGUGACGAUUAUUUCUGUCACUGAAUAAUAGGACUGAUUGUGACAAGCUCAGGUUGUCACUGUAAACUUCAAAAUUGUGACGACUUUUGCUACAUCUAUGAUAAAAAUAUAGGUGAAACAGUGACAAGAAAAGUCAUUACAAAAUAAUAUCCAUUAGUGACGACUUUGUCCUCGUCAUUGAAUAACAAGAUUCUAUGACGACUUUCAAAGAGUUGUCACAUGGACCCAUUUAUGACAUAGAAUCUGUGACAACCAUUUGACAAUCGAAAAAGCCGUCACUAUAUCCAUAUAAUGACGACUUUUUGGCUUUUAGUGAUGACUUUUUGUUGUCACAAAAGACCCAUUUUCUUGUAGUGUAGUAUGCACAGAAAAGGUGGCUAGAUCUAAUUUUUUUGGGGGGAGGGGUGUUUUGAUUCGCAUUAUUUGAAUUCAAAGGGGUGUUACCCUAGACGUAUCUUCACCUUUAUCUCUUUGAGCGGCUUGGUGAGCAUCAAACAUAAAUCCCCUAAUAGGGGCAUCUAAUUAAUCUUCAGUCCCAUCCGGUUCAAGAUUUUCAAGUACCACAUCUUCUUCCCCCAUAGCUCGUACAUUAUUCUUGUUAGGAUCCAAUCACGAAAUAAUCAACUAUUGAGAUAUCAAGUACAUAAUAAUUUAAUGACAAACAAACCACAAACAUGAAAAAUAAAAGACACAUAAUAUUUAACAUGGUUCGAUUUCAUCAUUGAGCCUAUUCCACGGAGAGAAACUCGUUCUUUAUUAUGAGAGGAAAACCCUAUAGAAGAAUAUAAAUUGAACCCAAAUCUAACCCCUGUAUACCAUCUCUCAUCUCCCAAAAACCUUCUUUCACUCCCAUGUAUAAGGCUAGCCCUUUUGUGUGCCCCUUAUGUGUCUUUGUGUAGUAUGCAAAUCCAUCCAUUUAUAGGAAAUAUUAUUUGACCAAAACUCAAAUAACAACAAGAAACCAAUUCUAAUUUCUAAAUUUACAUAGAAUAGGACAUAACUUCUAAUCCUAAACAAAAUAGGAAAUUCUUUGACUACUAUUUCAAAUAACUAAAAUUAAUUAGAAAACUAGUUACUUUCACACAAAACAAGAACCCUACCUAAAAGAAAUUGAACCAAUUUUCUAACAAAUCUCCAUCUUGGUGAAAAUUUCUUUUAGCAACCAUUUGUCUUCAACUACCAAAUAAUAUGGUAUCGAAUUACACAUUCGAAUCAAUACAGUCUUACUACCAAAUUGAUUCAAUCGGCAAAUGAAUAUAUGUAGUUACCUAGAAUCCAACCUCCAAUUGACUCGUGAGAAGGUGCCUCAAUUCACCGUCUCCCUAUGUAAGAUUUUUUCUAAUCACUACUUGCAACCAGGGAUUCCCUUCUGUGAGCUCUAACGCUAAAUAUUGAGAAAGACUAACUCCCAACAAGGUCCGACUUUACAGGAGAAAGAAGCGUCGAUAAGGGAAGCGCCUUCAAGGAAGAUUUCAGGAAGCAUUUAUUCAAUAAGAUUGAGUGGAGAUUUCUUGAUAAAUGAAGUGGUAAAGUCACCAUACUUUUUCCCAUCCUCAAGACUCCACCUAAAAUAAAAAACUCAAAACUAUCAGAGUCUUCUGGUGAAUGGAAAUUAAAUCUCUUUUUUUCUUUACAGCACAUGCCACACUACCCAAAAAACAUAACCAAAAUCUAAAAUCCAUCGGGAUGAAGUAUCAACCGUUGGAGGUAUGGGAAAGUCUUCAUCGAUUCAUGUCCAAAUCAACAUUGGACUCCAUCUUUUCCUUGACCAUUGAAUCAGCUACCAAUUCAUUUGAUCUCAAUAGUUACCCAGGAUCCAAUCAUGAACAACCAAACUCUUGAUCCAACCAUUCAGUUUGUUGGGAUCCAAGUGCUUGUGAGCAGCCCAAUUUUCACAACCAAACUCUGAUACCACUUGUUAGGAUCCAAUCACGAAAUAAUCAACUAUUGAGAUAUUAAGUACAUAAUAAUUUAAUGACAAACAAAUUACAAGUAUGGAAAAUAGACGACACACAAUAUUUAAUGUGGUUCGACCCCACCAUUGAGUCUACGUCCACGGCGAGAAACUCAUUCUUUAUUAUGAGAGAAAAAUCUUAUACAAAAAUAUAACUUGAACCCAAGCCCAACCUCUAUAUACCAUCUCUUAUCUCCCAAGAACCCUCUCUCACCUCCAUGCAUAAGGCUAGCCCUUUUGUGUGCCCCUUGUGUGUCUUUGUAUAGUAUGUCAAUCCACCUAUUUAUAGGGAACAUUAUUUGGCCAAAACCCAAAUAACAACAGGAAACCAAUUCUAAUUUCUAGACUUGCAUAGAAUAGAAAAUAACUUCUAAUCCUAAACAAAAUAGGAAAUUCUUUGACUACUAUUUCAAAUAACUAAAAUCAAUUAGAAAACUAGUUACUUUUACACAAAUCAAGAGUUCUACCUAAAAGAAAUUAAGCCAAUUUUCUAACAAAUCUCCACCUUGACGAAAAUUUCUUUUAACAACUAUUUGCCUUCAACUACCAAAUAAUAUGAUACCAAAUUACACACCGAAUCAAUACAGUCUUGAUAUCAAAUUGAUUCAAUCGGCAAAUGAACAUGUGUAGUUACCCCGAAUCUAGCCUCCAGUUGACUUGUGAGAAGGUGUCUCAAUUCACCGUUUUCCUUUGUAGGAUUUUUUCUCACCACCACUUGCAACCGGGAUCCCUUUCUGUGAGUUCGAACUCUUAACAUUGAGGCAACCAAGUAGUAAAAUCACCAUACUUCUUCCUAUCCUCAAGACUGUCUCGCCACAUGUGGUUUCCAAGACUUCACAUAAAAUUAGAAACUUGUAACUGUCUGAGUCUUUUGGCACAUGAAAAUUAAAUCUCUUUGUUUCUUUAAGACACGUGCCACACCAUCCAAAAACAUAACCAAAAUCUAAAAUCCACCGGGAUGAAAUAUCAAUCGUUGGAGGUGUGAAAAAGUCUCCACCGAUUUACGUCCAAAAUCAAUAUUGAAUUCCAUCUUUUUCUUGACCCUUGAAUCACUUGCCUAGAUUCACCGUAUAUCUCCAUACUUUUCGACUUUCUAUCCUUCACCAUCAAUGUUUUUUCCCAAGCCAUUGAAACAAGAAUACCAGUCAUUAAAUUGUUCAAUUAGUAACAGCUACCAAUCCACUUGAUCUCAAUAGUUAACCAAGAUCCAAUGUUGAACAACUAAACUCUCGAUCCAACCAUUCAGUUUGUUGGGAUCCAAAUGCUUGUGAGAAGUCCAAUUUUGCAAUCAAGCUCUGAUACCAUUUGUUAGGAUCCAAUCACGAAAUAAUCAACUAUUGAGAUAUCAAAUACAUAACAAUUUAAUGACCAAUAAGCAACAAACAUGGAAAAUAGACGACACAUAAUAUUUAACGUGGUUCGACUCCACCAUUGAACCUACGUCCACGGAGAGAAACUAGUACUUCAAGUAACUAAAACCAAUUAGAAAACUAGUUACUUUCACAUAAAACAAGAACCCUACCUAAAAGAAAUUAAGCCAAUUUCCUAAUAAUUCUCUUGAAUACUGACAAUAUCCCUUUGCUUUCUUUUUGGUGCCAUCCUGCAAACACAAAUUAGGUUAGGGCAAAAUCUACCUACACUAAGCUACCCAAUCCUCAACUGGUAGCAAUAGGUAUUUGAACACGAAAAUCAAAACUAAGUCAAUCCACACUAAGGUUGGCCACCUGAAGUGUAAAUCAACUAAUUCCAAUAUUCUAUCCAACAUACACACUACAUUACAUCAAACUUUCAAUAAAUAUUCAUUCUUAAGGUACUAUAAGUAAGAUUCACACCUAGGCUCUGAUACCAAAUAAAUGUCACGCCCCAUGUCUGGAAUUUAACACCGCCACGCCUAGACAAUGCUAAAGAUGUAAGCCAACAAAUUUCCAAAAUAAAUAUAUUCACCUUUAUAUAAACUUUCUAAAUCCGCAAAUACAAGAUCAUCCAUAACAGCAAUUUGCGUCUUUCAAAAUAAAAGCAAGAUCAAACCUUCUACAAUAUGUACAAUAUUCGAAUCCUAUUAUAAGGUAUCUAAUAUAGAAGUACAAAAGUUAUCCUCUAACAAAAGUCAUCUCCAUCUCCAUUACCACUCCCAAGUUCUAUCAAGGUCCACUUCAAUGAAUGCAUCAUUAACUGCAUAAUUAUAACAAAGGGGCGAGCGAAAUCUCACUCAAUAAGUAGCACAUGUAUCUCAUUAUUGGCCUGAGCAUGUUACAUACAUAAUAUAUAUUUCAAACGCCAUUAACUUACACAUAUAACUUUAUAAGAACAUGGUCAUUAUAAACAUUUCAAUGGCAUAUCAUACAUCACACACAUAAAGGAGCUCAAACCAUAAGACAACAAUUGACCCUGGAUAUCCAGUUAUUAACUUAAUCGGUUAACACGGUUCAUAGUGCUAACUACUAUACGAUUAGCCUAUUUCAUAUUGCUAAUGACAACACAGAUAGCUUGUUUCAUAUACCAACUACUUGUGAGGAACUAGUCUCGUCAAAAGUCGCUUAUACAAGAGCUCAACAAACAUGACAUUUCAUUUUACAAAUGACCAUGGCAAGAGUAAUAACAAAUAUCACAAAUUAUACUUGGUCAUGCCACUUUAGCAAUUAGACAAGUAGCUUUCAAAAUUCAUCUUUCAAAAGAUAAAGGAUACGUGCAUCACUUACCUUGAUCCAAUGGAUACCCACGCUAGUUCAAGUAAUCAAAAAAAUGGCUACCUUAUUCAUCUAGACAUAAUAAUAAAAUAUUCAAUUACAAUCUUAAAGAUACUAAACUACUCCAAAUUAUCAUAAAAAGGAGUCUAAUACUACCCUUAACGACUAAUUCCUAAAAAGGAUCAUUUCCUCAUCAAAGCAGGACAUAAGGGUUAAUUUUAAAGGGUCACUAACUUUAAGAAAUAUAGAAACAUGGCAAGAUAUUUACACAGAGUUAAAGCCCCCUGAAUCUAGUUUCCAACGCAACAAACAGCACCUAAAUCCGAGUUUCCUACAUCAAGUUAUGGCCAAAAAACUGAAAUAUGGCUGUACAGAAAAUUUAAUCCAUCCGAGAAUUAUAGCCAAUCCAUCUAAGGAUUAUAGCCAUGGAUUUCUAGCACGUUUUCAAGGCAAAAACAAGUUCCAAAUUUGAUAAUCAAGUUCCAUUUCUAUCUCAAAUCAUCUUCCAACCUCCAUAGUUGUCAAAAUCAACAUAUUUUAGCUCCCAAAGUCAUGUAAAUACAUAAACAAUCUUGAAAAUGAAUUGUUAGCUCAAGUAAUUCUUUCCCUCAACAUUUCUCCUUUUUAUAUUGAUGAUAGCCCUAUAACCAUAUGAAAAUAGAGACCAAAACAAACUUUAUACAUCAUAGCCAUGGAAGUUAACCAAAAAUUUGAACCAAAUACUACCCAAUCACCCAAUCAAAGAAAACCAAAAUCAUGUUCAAGGUUUCAUGAAAAUAUGUUGGUUAGUUGUCAAAGUAGAAUCUCCUUACUCCUCACUCCUUACUUGUGCUUGAUUUGUCAAGAAUUCUUCUUGAUUGUAAGGAAAAAGGAGAGAAAUAAGAAAGGGUUUUGUUGGAGAAGGAAAGAAGAAAGGAAAUGAAGAAGAUGAAGAAAUUUUUUGACAAGGAUGAAUAGUGAAAUCCCACUAUCACUUUAUUCUUUCAAAAUUUCACUUAUUAACACAUUGGUCACUCAAUUUAACAUCUUUCACUUUUCACCACUAAAUAGUAUUUCUUCGCAUAAAAUUCUCUACAAGACACUUGGGUAUCACAAUAAUUGUUAGGACCAACAAUUCUUAUAGACUGUCUGAGACAACAGUAUUCAUGGAUAUAAAUGAAAGCAAGAACAUUUGAUAUAGCGCUAGGGAUUUUCGUAUCAUCCUUGACAUUUAUAUGCAUCUCUUCUAUUUGGAUAUUUAUCUACAGCGAGUCUUUCUAUCGAUAAUGCCCAACUAAAUAAAAAAGAAAAGACAAUUUGCAUUUUUUCUUUUUUCUCUUUUUUUUUCCCAAUGUGUCAAACAACAAGAAUGGUAACCUCCUGUUGGAUCCUUAAUCCAACGUUGGACUUAUAUGUGAAUAAUUAUGUAUUUCAAACUGUCAAAUAAGGUUAAAUUCAAUUAAAAUGAUCAAAUAUGAUUUGGACUUAAUGUAUCUAAUAAGGUGUGGGUCUUUAAUGUGUAGAGACUUAAAGGUAUUUUCUAUUUCUAUGAUGGAUUGAAAUAUGAAUCUAAAAGAUAACAGGAAUGCUAUCUAUAAAUAGGGAUAUGGUCUCCAGGUCACAAGUAUUCUUAUUGUCAUAUUUUCUAGUACCACAAAACAGUUUUUUCCUAAUGUCCCAUCAUCAGAAAACAUACCAGAGAGAAACUAAAGUGCUCUCUCAAGAAUUGGUAAAUACGUGUUGACUUAGAAGGCUAUCCUAAAAUCUUCAAGGAUUCAAGUGCCAGUUUGUCAAUAUGAAUUUAGAUACGCUUCCGCAUUUAUAUUACAGUUCUGUUCAAAUAUCUGAUAUUGGAAUUCUGGAAAUUCCUACACCUUCUCCCUUUGAAAUUUCAGAGAACAAAACCAAAUAUUUCAUUCCUACUAAGUUAUGGGCACGCAUUACAUCAUUCCUACUAAAUUUAACUAUCUUAACAACUUAGAAAAAGCUAGCUACAUAUACAUUGUCUUCUUACAUAGAUAAAAGAUAUGCAGGGCAUAUAGAAAGAUCGUCCAAAUGGGUUUAAUUUGCUGCUUUUAAGCUUGACAUUUGUAAGACUUAUGACCGGAUAUCAUGGCAAUUUCUAUAGGCUGUUCUAAGAAAAAUGGUUUUUCCAGAAUCCAAGAUUAAUAUUGUUUUGAAGAGUAUCUUUUUGUCCCUUACUCUAUCAUAGUUUUUUUUUUUUAACUUAGGGUUAUCCAAACUUUUUGGCCAACUAAUUCCCUAAAACUGUGUAGAGUCUUAUUCUAAGGAUACAUAGUAAGAUAGUACACAGGAUUCGAUUACGGGACAUGUUAGUAACUAUCAAACUACGGAAUUAGUCGAACUACCCGCGGGGCACUCAAUCGUAGUUAAUGGAGUACUAUCAUCGGUAAUAUAUCCUACCAGAGGCCAGGGGCGGAGGGAAGGGGGGGCCAGGGGGGGCAACCGCCCCCCCUCCAAUUGUUAAAAAAAAAAUUUCUAAGUAAAAAAUUUUUUAUUAUAUUGUUUUGCCCCCCCAAAUAUUGAUAAAAAAUUUCACUUUGCCCCCCCUCCAAUUGUUAUAAAAAAAUUUCUAAGUAAAAAAAAUUUUUCUUAUAUUGUUUUGCCCCCCCAAAAUAUUGAUAAAAAUUUUCACUUUGCCCCUCCUAAGGCCCAAAUAAUAAUGUUUGAAAGUUAUUUGGACUUUGUCCAAAUAACAGAGACUCGCCCCCCCUAAUUGCAAUUCCUAGCUCCGCCACUGCCAGAGCCUUCGCCAGGGAUGCCCCCUCUGAGCAUCAUAUCUCUGCUUUAUACCAAGAGGCGUUGUCAGCUGCAUUAUGUUCUUUGGCAUCUAUAGAAUCUAUGUCCCCAAAUAUGAUUUUGAAAACCUAUACUUUGACUUACAAAAUCUUAAUUUUUUUCAAAUCCAAUAAAGAUGGAAGGGAAAUAUAAAAAAAAAUAAGAAACAAAAAAUACAAAAUCUUUUUUUGACUACAAAUAUCAUUAUAAGUUUUAAUCUAAAACUUUAAUGGUAUUUUCUAUUUCUUUUUAUCUAUUUUUUUAUUUCAAUUUCUUCCUUUUUAUGUUUAGAGGAAAAAAUAAGCAACGAAAGGAUAAAUUUAUCAAUUUAUUAAUUUGAUUUUGCAUUUUACCGCUGACUCUAAGUUUUAAUGAAAAAACUAAGUCACAUUUUAUUUCAAAUCAUGAGGAGGUUAUAUAAAGUUUUCAUACCAUAGGAUGGUUAUGUUGUAAACACCAAACCAUACGGGUAAAAGGUAAUUUUCAUUAAUCUAUGCCCACUAAGUUUCGUUGGAGCUAUUAAUGCAUGAAAAAAAAGCAUGCGCUUUUCAGCAAAAUGGGGACAUAGACAAAACGCAAAUUUGAAAGUUUCAAUCUCAUAAACAUAAUAACCACCGGAUGUUUUCAUUAAUUCAUAGUGAAAACAAGAAGAUCCGCAGUCCUAGUUAAGCAAGCAAAGCUUAUGAGUCAGUUCAUUCAAAAACUUUCGGAAUUACCUGAAGAAUGAUGAGCUUUGGUGAUACUUUUUUCGGCAAACUGCAAGCUUUCUACAAUUAAGGUUGGAAUAAGAUUGGAUACAAACGUCCUCUUUAAAUACGAGACAUCAGUUUGUAAAGAGGAAGUUAUAUGGUUCUCUUUGGGAAGCUGCAAAUUUUGGUGAUUUGAAACCAAUUUGAAAAUUGACAAAAUUCGUGCUUUCCUUGGCAGCUACUGGCUUUGAUUGAAAGAGAUGAUCUUGGCAAUGGCUAUAUUGAGUCAAAAUCAGACCGUAACGAUCUUGGCUAUGGAAUUUGGAAUGUUUUGUUUCCACUUUCCAAAUGGUAGUUGGCUUGUUGCAAGAAAGAAGAAAAAUUGCAGUGGUCUUCAUUGGCAAAAUUUGAUAAUAUCAUGGUCAAAAUAUCUAACUGCUCACGUGGGACAUCUUUUUGUAAGUAUUACUGUAUUAGUUGCUUCUAAUCCACAACAAGUCAAAAGGAAAGUUGUCUUUUAACUACUUGUUCCAAUUUAUAAGUCAGGCUUCCAUUAAGGAAUUGAAGCCACCGCCUUGCACUCCAAGGUGGUUCUGUGCACUAAUCAAAUUGAUUUAGAUGCAUUACAGGGUUAGCAAACAAAGUUGUGGGCUUUCAAAUGAUUCUAAUGGAAUUUACUAAUGAAAAGUCUUGCAACUCAGGACUCGUACUUCAAGCUUUGUGUUUGGCAAUUGUCAACCAAUGCCUUACCAAAUCUUAAAGCGGGCAUUUGCAGAAAAUAAAAAUUUUAUUUAAUUUAUUUAUUCAAGAUUUAAUAAAUUAAGUUGAUUUUAAUUAAACUAAAUUAAAUUAUGAAAGUCCUUUAUUUUUGAACUAACAAAUUGGACCAGUAUUAUGUGGGCUGUAAAAUCAAUUAAAUAUGCAAGGUCCAUUUAAAUUAAAAUGGAUUAAUGGAAUCAUUAAUUCACAAUGGACUGUUGGGCUAGCUUAUUACUAAAAUCAAUAUUAAAUAGAUUUCAAAUUGAACCAGUAUUAAACGAAUUGUUGGGCCAGCUUAUUGUUAAAGUUUUUCACAUAUAUUGUUAUAAUAAAAUAUUUCAAAACAUCCGUAAAAAUAGUUAAUCCAAACAGAGACAUGGUUUUUUUAUAUUACUUUAAUUAAUUUUUUUUUUUUUUCUUCUUUGGCUGCAAAAAUUACGCACCACCAUAGGAAUAAUUCACUUAAUGAACUUCGGAGGUCUCUGACUAAAAAUAACGGAGCAAUCAUUGAUGGCAAUUUGGCAAUGGAAAUGAUGGCAUUUGACCAUGUUAUUAAUGGCACUUUAGAUCUAGCCUCAAAAAAUGCUGAUUCUAAACAUGAGGAUGGUUUCUUAGAAAAACGUUGUCCUCUUUGUUCUCUUGCUACGGUAUUUGAAGACAAUCACUAUACGCAAGCAAAAAUGCCUAAUCCCUCCUUUCACUCAGUCGCUUCAUUUUUCUUCAUUUCUCACUUGUUUGUUUUUUGGAUUUAUAGAAGAAGUGCCUUUUAAAUUUACAGAACAAGAAGAAGAUGAUGAAUGCGAGAGAAAAGAACCCUGUGGUCAUAGCACAUUGUGCUUCCUAAAUUGCCCCUUCAUUAUGUCUAGUGAAUCACACAACGGUGGAAUCUGACAGAAUGACUCAGGAUCAAAAUACAUACUUUAGAUAGUUUAGUAGCCAAAAUCAAAUUGUUAAUAGUUCAGUGACCAAAACUCAAUGAUAGCAAAAGUUUAGUGCUAAUGAGGUAAUUUGCUCGAAAAAUAAUGAUAGAAGCAGCGAAGGGUGAAAUUUGGAUGUUCAUGCUACUGAGAAAGUUUUUGUACGACUGAUUCCCUGGAGAUUGCUAUCACUUGAGGUAGGGGAAACAACAAUGGAGGCUCUCUGUCUUGGAGGUGUCUGAAGCAAAAAGUCCUGGGCAGAAAUGUGAAACAAAAUCUGAAUUGUGGGCUUGUGUUUGCGGCUGAUGACUGUAUUAUUGUCCACCGAAGUCUUCCGCCCAAACAAGGUGACCCUCUUAUUAUCCCUGCCUCAUUAUCUACUUCAUGUUUUGCUUCUACUAACUCCCCUACCACUUAAAACGAGUUUUGGGUCGAGGGUUAGGUUAGGGCGCUAGAACUCGAGAAGGGGAUGAAGAAGAUCGAAGCUUCUGUGGUCUGGAGCUUAGGAUUGAGGAUGCUGGAGUUGGGUUUGCGUUUUGCCCGCCAAUGAUCACCCUGAGUUGCUUAAUUUGGUAGAGAAAAAUCAGAACAUGGGAGUGGCCUGGAGGCAGGUUACCCCGUGCCAGCGACCUAAUUAAUAUUGAUAUGGGUAAAAUACAGUAAACCCCUUAUGGUUAGGAAAAUAAAUAUGAAACUCCCUCAUUGUUUAAAAAUACCCAUUUAACCUCCCUUGUGCUUUGAACUUCUUUGGAUUUUGACUGCUAACAGGUUGGAAGCCAGUAAUAAUAUAAAAUACCAAAAAUACCCUCAUUUAUAAUAUCUCAAAAGGCACAGCUGCAAUUAGUAGAUCUUGAGUGGUACUUCAGGUGCAGAGAGAGAAAGUGGAUGAAACCCUAAACCUAUAGUACUAUCUUCUUCCAUGACAUCAAUAAACUACAGAAUUUUCGUGUGUAUCUCACAGAUGAAGAAGGCAUUUUUGUGCAGAUUGAUCGAGGGUUGCGAAGCAUCGAGCAUAGCGAUUAACAAGGUAAUCUCAUAUCUUAACCCUAACUUUACUUGUGUUGAUUGGUUUCAUGGUAGACGUUUGGUAGUAUAUUGUUGGAGAUAUUUCGAAACUUGGUAAAAGAAGUGAUAGCUUUGGCUUAGUCAAAAGUAUUGUCGACAAUCUUUAUCGAAAAAAUUUAUAAAAAAAUUGCUAAGUAUGCAAAAAGGAGAAAAGAAUGGGUCUUUGCGGAGUAAUCUAGACUAUUGUGGUCAAUACUGGUAUUGAUUAUGUUUUUUAACCUUUUAGAUGAGUGUGUUAAUGUUGACUAUGCUUUUUUGAAACUAAAAGUGUAUGAAAUAUUGCCUGUCGUUUUCGAUACAUCUGAAAAUUAAAUUAGUAAAUUUAUCUCUGUUACUUUGGUUUAGGUGUAUAAGAAUGGAAUAAUCCGUUUAAGAGUAUAGACAUAUACAUGCAUUAUGGUGGAAAUUUCAAAUGAAACUGAGAAUUAGAUACACCGGCGAACAAGUGAGGAUAUUUUGUGGAUGGGACCUGAUGAAUUUUCUCCAUUUGACUUUCAAAAAUGUAUGACACAAUUGAGUGUGGUGUAAGCAAUAUGAAUUUCUAGUACUCUAUCCCCUUUCAUGACCUUGAUGUUGGUGUUGUUAGUAUUAAGGAUGAUGCCACAUCGAGUUAUUGACAAUAUGUUAUGAAAGGCUUCCAGAAAUACACAUAUAUGCUGAGAAAGGGCCUGAACCCAUUGAAGUUGUGUCUUUGGAUGAAUAAUUAUUGUACAAGAAAGUGACUGGUGAUAGCUUACUUGCACUUCCAUUUCGUGAUAAUUGGCAAUUGGUGUGUUCAGAUUGGAUUAUCCGCAUUUGUUAAAGGCAGUGAUAACUUUGACCCUACAGUUAUUGGGAAUGAGUACAAUAAUGAUAUUUCACAUAUUAACUAUAGAAGAAAAGGCAUCUGUGAUGAAGUGUCAUCACAAAUGGAGUUGGAUCCAAUUUUUGUGGGACCACAUAGAGAGCAGAUACAUGAUUAAACUAAUAAAUCCAAGUGGAAGAAAACAAUAAAUGGUAAAAAAACUGAGUGGCAAAGAGUAAAAUUAACUGCAAGGAAGUUAGUCCGCAGUUAGUUAAAGAGAAGGAAAAAGUUGAUACAACUACAGAGGUCUAGCAGUCUCCCAAGAAAUUCAGCAGAAGAAACAACAUUUGGGACAGAUCCAACAGAAGAAACAACUAAUUUGAGGGAGAAAAAUAGCUGAUGAAGGUGGAGAAAAGAUGAUGUCGUACCAGACUAUUUAGAUCUCCCGGACUGGCUAAGAGAAGGACUAGAAGGGCCUAAAGAUUAUGAUAUAUUUGCAGGCUUAAAUGGUCAAGAAUCAACACAGGCAUCUAUUAAUUCAGGAUCUAUAAAUUUUGUUAGAGUUGGUUCAGAGUAGCAACAAGAAAAUUAGCAAGCCAAAGCUAGAAAACAAGUGGUAUAGAUCAACAACAAGAAAAUUAGCAGGCCUAAUCCAGAAAACAAACUAGUUCAGAGCAGCAACAACAACAUCAGCAAUCGAAAUCAAGAAAACAAGCAAAGAACCAGACCCAUGAAGAGAGGAGUCAACAACACCAGGUGUGGAUGAUAGAUGCCGUGUCAAUGAGCAGGAAGAGAACUGGAAUGACCUAGUAAAGGAUGAUGAAAAGCUAUUUGACAAUGGGAUAAGAUCUGAUGAAGAAAGCAUCCCUGUUUAUAGUUACUUCAAUGCGGAGAAAAAGUUUAGGAAAGAGCACUUUGAACUAAAGGUUUGACAGAAAUUUACUAGCUUCUCCAAAUUUAGGGAGACUUUAGAGGAGUGGGAAAUUAGGGAGGGUAUGAGCACAAAUACAUCAGAAAUGAAGGCUCUCGAAUCACAACUAAAUGUGCGAAGGGGUGCAGUUGGAGAAUUCAUGCAUGCAGAAUCCAGAGAACAAAGACUUUUAUGAUCAAAACUCUUAAGCGAGAGCACCAUUGUGGUAGGGAUUAUGCAAUAGACAUGCUACUUCAACAUAUCUAAGUGAAAAAUUUCAGGCCAAGGUGAGGGAUGAUUGUGGGUGCAGUACUCCAGGCAUAGUAAAUGAGACAAGAAGACUGUUUAUGUUAGACAUUAGUGGGAAGAAAACUGCCAGAACAAAGCAGAAAGCAUUAGAGGCACUUAGGGAAAAUGACAUGGAGCAAUAUCACAGGCUUUGAAAUUGUGUAGCCACUGUAAAAAAGUCCAAUCCUGAUACUCAUAUUUCACUGCAGAUUGAUAGGCAAAGUGUUGAGGAAAAAGCUACAUUUCGGAGAUAUACUAUGGAUUAGGUGCUCUGAAGAAUGGUUUUUAGAAGGUUGCAGACCUAUAAUAGGACUAGAUGGCUAUUUCCUAAAGUCCCUUUGGAGGUUAGCUGCUUACAGUCAUGGGUAGGAAUGCCAAUGAAAACAUGUUUCCUAUUUCCUUUGCUAUUAUUGAGGUAGAGAACUAUGACAACUGAUAAGUGACUAAUUUACGUAAUAAUUGGAUGAUAUUUUAUAUUAUUUUUAGUCACUUUGGUUAUAUUAUUGGAAGAAAAUGAAUCAUUUUGGCUAUAAUUGGUGAAAAAUGCUUUUAAGUAAUUAAAUGAAGUUUUUAUCAUUUUUUACUUGGAUUUUGUGCAUUUUGACAGUUUUGACAUAUUUUUGUAUUUUGGCUAUAACUUGAGCUACAAUGAUCGGAUUGAGAGAAUUCUUAAACCAAUUUGAAGAUAAGAGAUAGAUCUACAACUUUGGUGAAGACAUCUGAAUCCAGUUUGAAGGUUUUCCAGGUCAAAAAGCCUAAUUACAGUAGCUAAUUUCCAUUGAUCGAAGCUGAAACAGAGCAAUGAGCAGUCAAGGGUUUUGGUCAUUUUGCAGCCUACACAGAUCCAAAUGAGGUGAUUCUUGAUGCAUUGGAAAUUAACUCAAGGGGCUACAAGUUUAUGUUUUGGUCAAAGGCUAAAUCAGCUUUUAUCAUCAAGAAAAGUUCAGUUGAAGUUGAUGCAAAAGGGAGCAGAGCUGGAAAUUGAACAAAAGUGCACCAAAAUGUCACUGUAGUAAUCCGGCCGGAACUUGGCUGGAUUUGUGGCCGGAUUUGUGGCCGGAUUGUGUCAAAGAAGGCUGCUCUUUACGCGGAAAACUCAAUUUCACCUCUACUAAGUCACAUGUAAUACUAGACAUGUGAGAAACAUUACCAGCUGUAAAAGGGAAGUGUAGGCCUCAUUUUCUUGACUUCCUUUGUCUUGAAAUAGUCAAAUCUUGCAAGCAGAAUGGGAUCAUCAUAUGGGAGAAUAGAGAGACAUACGGGAGAAACUUGGAGUCUGCAAAAAUGUAAUUCUUCCAUUUUCCUUAGUGUAGGAUAGUUUUAGUUUUAGACAGUUUAUCCUUUCUUGUAUGUUAGCUACAUGAAGAGGAAGAUGGAGGAUGAAGAAGGCAAGAAAUGAACUCAUGUGACAAGGGUUACAUUCCUUCCAAACUCUUUAUCUUUUGUACUUGAUUUUAUUGUUUAGUUAAUAUACAAGUCUGGAUUUUAUGUUAUUUAUGUGUCUCUAAAAUUUAUGCCUUGGGUUUGGUUGAACUUCUUAUAAUUGUUAGUGUUUAUUAUUUGACUAUUUGAUUGCUAUGAUUUGAGCAAGUUAUUUAGUACUUUAGCUCUUUAAAAUCAUGAUUAAUCUGGUAUCAUUGAUUGUGAUUAUCUAAGGUGUCGUUUUUGCAAUGAAAAUUGAGAUUUAAUACUAUUUCAAGAAGUGCUAAACAUAGGGAGUACACUCACGAAAGUAGAGGUGCACCUAUGUGGUUUUUAGUGAUUCAUUUCAUGUAAUUCACUGAAGAAAUGAACUUGUAGCUAAUUUCAUAACCAUGAGAAUAGGUAUGGAUUAGUUAUAAGUAUAAUUGAUUCACUACGAAAGUAGGAUUCAAAUGCAUAAGGAAAUUACACCAUAACUAGCAAAGAUGUAGUACUCAAUGAUCCAAAUAUAGCACUUGCAUGAGUAGUUAGGGAUACCACAACCUAAGGAGCAUUUUUUUUUUUUUGUGUAAGCAGGAGGAUUCGAACCUGAGACCUCUUGCUUACACUCCCUCCCCCCAUACCACCCAACCCAACCCUCCCCCCACAACCUAAGGAGCUUUUAUUUGUUAUUUUGUAUAAUUUCAGUAGGUUAAAUUUGUUAUAAUUCAUUGAUAGUCUAAAUAAUAGAGAAGCUUUAGUAAUACCGGUAAUUGUUCACUCUUCCCUGUGGGAUCGACCCAAUAUAUACCCUAAACUACUAGUUGACCUGUAUACUUGCAGUGAACGGGUGUAAUUCGAUUUUUUUAACUUGUACGUAUAUUAAAAUCCCGUCAACAACUAGAGCUAGUUUUUGAGAGAAUUAAUCACCCAAAUUGGAGAAGGAAACAAAGGAAUGGCUUACACUUUCAUUUCGGAUAGGCAAAAGGGUCUUGUCUAUGUAAUUGAGGCAUUGUUCCCUGAAUUAGAGCACAGAUUUUGCCUAAAACACAUGUUCGAGAACUGCAAACAAAGAUUCAAGAAUCAAAACCUUUGAGACAUGUUCUAGGAAGUUGCUGCAGUAGCAAGUAUGCCAGAGUAUGAAACUGCCCUAUCAAAUCUUGAAAGGGUUGACCCAAAGGAAGGUGACAAACUAACAAUUGCAGGAUGGUUCAAACGGUUGCCUCUAAAGCUUUGGUCCAGAGCCCACUUUAGUACUAUUUGUAGAAGUGACACGUGCAUCAACAACAUUAGUGAGUCGUGGAAUAAUUACAUUCUAAAGGCUAGAGGUGAGCCAAUAAUAACAAUGCCGGAGUAGAUUCGGAGGAGAUUAAUGCAAAGGUUGGUAACCAAGCGAGAGGGCAUGCUGAAAUAUAGUAGCACUUUAUGUCCAAACAUUCACGAGAAGUUAGAGAAACUGAAGAAAAAGCAAGAAACUGUGUCGUGGUUUAUGGAGGAAAUAGGAAUUUGGAAGUUGAUGGCUAUGGAAGGACUAAUGUCAAUUUGGAUAUGAAGACAUGUACUUGUAGUCAUUUUCAACUUAGUAGAAUUCGAUGGGUGCAUGUGGCUGCUUGCAUUCAAAGCAGAAGGUUGGAAUUCGAGCAAUUUGUUGAUGCUUGUUACUAUAGGGAAGCAUAUUUAAGGGCCUAUAACUUCACAAUUGGUCUUGUUCUUUCGAAGCAGUUCUAGGUGGAUAGCAAAAUGCAGUAUUUGAACCCGCCAUUGGUGAAAAAUCAACCUAGUAGGCCAAAGAAACAGAAGAAGAAGGGUCCAAAAGAACCUACAAAUCAGCAUAAAGCAAGUAAGAACGGGUCUGGCAGUCUACUGGCCGAGGUGUUUGAAAUUUAGACAUAACAUUAGAACCUGCAAGUCAGCAAUUCACCCUAAGUCCAAGCUUUACAAGAUAAUGUAACAUUUCAGAACCAAAUCAUUUCUCUAUCUUGUUUUGUUGCUGCUUAUACAUCCAGCCAUUUCGAUGUGAACUAUAUGCACCUAAAUGUGGUCUAAUAGUUUCAAAUGCAACAUUCCGGCUUCUGUAGCUCAGGCUAGUGUCGCAAGUACUACUGCUACUACUCUUUCACAGGUACUAGUUCUCAAUUGCCUAUUUUUGGGUAUUGUGACCUGCUUACACACUAAGCAGUGCCACUUAUAAGCAGGAACCAAGUUAGCCUAUAAGUGGUACCAAUCAAGAAAGCUAGAAGAGUAAAUCUUCAAAGAGGAAGCAACCAGCUACAGGAAUGUCAAGAUUGCAACAUUGUGGCUCUAAGAGACCAAAAAAAUGAACUGUAGUUAUCUCUCUUUUGUUUUUUGAAUAUACUGGUUAUGUUAACCACAUUGAUCCCUUCUGGGAUUGAAUCGUAAUAUUUAUUGAAACUAGAAAACUCAGAUUUUGGUUAUGUUUUGGUAGAUUGAUACCAUUAUGGUAUGAAUGUAGUAAUAUGCUUCAUUUUUAUGGCAUUCGUGGCAGUAUUGCUGGUGACCCUUUUUGGGAUUGGAUUAUAAUAUUUACUGAAACUAAAAAACUCAAAAUUUGGUUUUAUUAUGGUAGAUUGAUACCAUUGUGGUAUGGAUGUGGCAAUAUGCUAAUUGUGACAGCCCCACCUUCCCCUAAGGCGAACUAAAGAGGUUAGCGGACUGCCUGCCCAACUCUCGCCAGGACUAACGGUGCAGUAUAAAGCGAUCUAUCACGUUCUGAAACUUAUAAUGCGCGCAACAAGGCAAAAGGGCAAAAUAACCCAAAAUAAAAGAAAUGAAAUCCAAAAUCCGCCAUGAAUAGUAACCGACCCGUCCGAAACCCAACCAAACAUCGAAAUACAUAUACAACAUAACAUUAACCAUUUACAAGCCACAAUGGCCUUUAAAAGUGAUACAAAAGUCACUACAUAUGUGGGUUGCCAAAACAAAAGUGAAAACGGCCCUAAUGAUACAUUUAGGGUCCCAUUUUAUAUACAAUACAAAAGAGGCAUUCAUCUAGUUCAUUCGGCAACCAUUUUACAAAAUUCAUUCCAAAAGAGUCAUAUUCCUGUAAGGAAAACAAAAGAAACGGGGUGAGCUAAAUGCCCAAUGAGAAUACAACCACCACAGCAGCUAAGAUCACAUAAGCAUAACCGUUCAGUUCAAGUAUGCAAAUAAGCAAUAAAUCACAUCAGUGAAAGGAUACGGACGGCUCUCAAGAGCCCAUUUCCACGCUUAUUUCUUGAUCCAACUUCAUUGACCCUCCAUCAAUGUUAAAAGUAACCAUCCGUAGACAUCACUUACAUCCAACCGUCCAACUAUCAUACCCCAACCGGGCCAGCACUCCAUUCAGUCAUUUUGGUAAUACUCGAGUUUACCGGAAUCAAGAGUCUCAUUACUACAAGAUUUCCCAGUACAGUCCCCGUGGCAUGUCAAUUAUCACGACCAAGCCCUCGCCGGCUCGAUCCAAUUGACUACCUAACGGAGUUGAGCUCAGUGAUACAGUAAGGUCGUUGGACAUUCGUCCAAACAACACCAAAUCAGUUUCCAUGAAAUGGAAUGCAAUAACUCAUAUAUCAACUUCAGUAAGACAGUGAAACAGUAGACAAUCAGUGAUACUAUCAAAAGGAGUGAGGGCGGUCAAGUACACCCUCACCUUAAUCAAUUACAAUAUCCAAAUAAGCCUUCAAGGCAACACAACCACAUAUAGCAAAGCCACAUUACAACAUUUAAAUGAGUAGUAUACUCACCAAUCACGUAAGUGAUAUUUCAUGCACCAACGUUAAAAAGGUCGCCGUGAACCCUCGUCACGUCCUAGAACACAUAAACAAAGACCAUGAGACUCGAUAACUAGUCAUAAAGCCAUACCAAUUAUAACCCCAAUAGGGUUUCAUAUGCAUAAAUAAGCAUCAUAGGUAACCAGAAAUUAAGAAAUGGCAUUAGCUUAGGCCUUAACAAAAAAAACAGUUUUCGUCAUACUUUUGCGGUAAUGGCACAAAAUGUGCUAUGCUUAUCGGAUGAGGGUGUAAGACCCACCAUCUCGAAGCUAAAAGACAGGGCUACAACAAUGUAGAAGGCCACUCAGUCCAAAUCCUAGUACAACUAGGUCAAAAAUGCAGAUUACCAAACCAGAACCGCAAUUGCAGGUUCCCAAAUCGUACUAUGCUGUAAUUAGUCUAUUUCAGUCUACACAAGUCCAAAUUCAUUGAUUCCAAAGGCAUAUGAUAGCUAAGACAUCCAGCUACAUUUCAUCAGAAGACACCAACAACAAAAUCCAAACCAAUUCCAGUCAAAAUGGCCAAUUACUUGUACAGUUUUCGCAUUCUGAUCAACCCAGAACAGCAACAGUAAAAUCGACAUAUCUCACUCUACACUAAUCCAAAUGACCUGAAAUUUUGCAGGCACUUCAAACUCAUCAAUACCUACAACUUUCAUGUUUUGAGCAAAGUCUAUUUCGGCCUCUAACCCUAUGAUCCAAAACCGGACAGAAUUAGGGGUUUUGAAACCCUAACAUUUCACAUUUCAAUCCAAAUCCAAAAUUGGUUGCAAAUAUCAACAAUUCACAUCCACUAGAGUCAUAACCCCUCAUUAUCAACCAUCAUAAACAACCACAACACCAUGAUCACAUUAAACCAGAAAAUUCCUCAAAAAAAUAAAAACUUCACUAAAUCACUUCAAAUCAAGAAAUAAAUCACAAAAGGCUUCACUAUCACUACCAUUAGGCACAAUUUAAGCAUCAUUAGGUGUAAGGGAAUAGUCAAUCAUCACUUACCUAAGAAAAAAGAUAAGAGGAGUUGUAGACCACCUUAGCUCUUCCAAAAACUUCACCAAACUCAACCACCACCAAAUGGAAAAGUUGUAUGGAAUGGAAACUAGUUUAUGUGAUUGAUUUAGAUGAUUCAAGCUAGUGGAAAGCUUGAAGUUGGAAGAGGUUUUUCUCCUUCUUUGUUAGAGAGAGAGGGCCGGCUAUGGAGAAGAAAAAAAUGAGGAAAUUUUAGUGAAUUUUGGAGAUAUUUAACUAAAUGGGUCAAAAGGUCAAAAGUGGAAUAGUAACUCUUAAACUUCAACCCAUAAAAUGGUGACACUUGUCACACCAUUAAUGCAAUCUUAUCACUUCUUUUUCUCUCUCACAUCAAUCAUUUCACACACUCUACUUAUCUCUUAACACCCGAUAAAUUUUACACAGUAUCCGGAAUUUAACCUAAUUGGCCGAAUUUUUUCCGAACUUUUCGCACUAGUGGGUCCCACGUCCAAUAUAUAUUCUUAAUUUUCUAAAAAUUCUCCAAUACUAGAAAAAUCAUCUAAAAACUAUAAUUACUCAUAAAAUUCACCAGGAAAAUAUUCCUAAGCCAGAAAAUGCAGAAAACAUGCAAUUAAGGGGAAAAACCCUAGGAAAAAUAUUAGGGAAAUACGGGUUCUCACACUCUCUCCCUCUUAAAAAAAUUUCGUCCUCGAAAUUUCUCACCUUAAUUUCUGAAAAGGUUUGGAUACUUCUUUCGCAUUUCCUCUUCCACUUCCCAGGUAGCUUCCUCUACUCCGUGGUUUCUCCAUAGCACUUUCACUAGUGGAAUCCGCUUGUUUCUGAGCUCUUUGACUUUCCGAUCAAGCACUUGGACCGGUUUUUCUUCAUAGGCAAGCGAUUCGUCUACUUCGAUCUCCUCCGGUUGUAAGACAUGGGAUGGGUCAGGAUGAUACUUCUUUAGCAUCGAGAUGUGAAACACAUCGUGGAUUCGAGAGAGACUGGAUGGCAGUUCCAGUCGAUACGCGACCGAUCCAACCCUCUGAAGGAUCUUGUAGGGUCCGACGUACCGCGGUUGAAGUUUCUUUCCUUUGCCCGCUGUAAGACUUCGUAAGGGUGUGAUAUUGAGAAAUACGUAGUUUCUAACUUCAAACUCCAAGUCUUUUCUUCGAUUAUCAGCGUAGAUCUUUUGUCGGCUUUGAGCUGUUUGGAUUCGUUGCCGUAUCAACUUGACCUUCUCGUGAGCCUCUUCCAUCCAUGGAAUAGUUGCCGGGUCUAACGUCUUCGUUUCACCAAUUUCAUCCCAAUAAAUCGGCGACCGGCACUUGCGUCCGUAUAGGGCUUCGUACGGAGCCAUUUGAAUCGACGAAUGGAAGCUAUUAUUGUACGCAAACUCUACCAAGGUCAUGUGCUGACCCCAGUUGCCUCUAAAGUCUAGAAUGCACGUUCGUAGCAUGUCCUCGAGAGUUUGAAUUGUCCGUUCUGACUGGCCAUCCGUCUGAGGAUGAUAGGUCGUGCUCAAAUUGAGUUUAGUCCCCAGGGUUUCUUGAAACUUCUACCAAAAUCGAGACACAAACCGUGGAUCCCGAUCGGAGACGAUGCUUACAGGAACACCGUGUAGUCUUACUAUCUCAUCCAUGUACAGUCGGGCCAACUUGUCCAUUGAAUACUUCAUGUUUACUGGCAAGAAAUGAGCCGACUUGGUUAAUCGAUCAACGAUCACCCAAACGGCGUCAUGUCCUCUUUGCGUCCUCGGUAAACCUGAAACAAAGUCCAUUGUGAUAUUCUCCCAUUUCCACUCGGGUAUCUCCAAGGGUUGUAACAGACCCGACGGUUUUUGAUGCUCUGCUUUCACCUGUUGGCAAAUGAACAUUUCUGCACGUACUGAGAGAUUUCUUUCUUCAUAUUGUCCCAGCAAUAAGUUCCUUUCAGGUCUUGAUACAUCUUGCUGCUGCCCGGAUGGAUUGUAUACUUGGACCGAUGAGCUUCCUCCAAAAUUUCCAUUUUCAUCGACUCUUCCUUCGGUACCACUAUUCGAUUUCGAUAUUUCAAAAUGCCCUCAAGACUCAAAUUGAUGUCCGUAGUUUCUCCCUUUUCCAUUUUCUCUCUCCACUUCUGUACCAUCAAAUCUUCGUUUUGCGCCUCUUUAAUGCGUUCCAGUAGAGUGGAGGUCACCCUAACAUUGACAAAUACCACCUUAUGGCUCCCAAGACAGGGUCUCCACUCACACACGGAUUCUAAUAAAUCACACUCCUUAAUCAUCAAUCCUGCUACUUGCACCUUACAACUCAAAGCAUCUGCUACCACAUUUGCCUUUCCCCGAUGAUAGUUGAUUGUGCAGUCGUAAUCUUCCAGGAAUUCCAUCCACCUUCGUUGCCUCAUGUUCAAUUCCUUCUGGGAGAAAAGGUACUUAAGACUUUUGUGAUCCGAAUACACUUCGAAGGUCACCCCAUAUAGGUAAUGCCUCCACUUUUUCAGUGCAAAGACCACUGCGGCUAGUUCCAGAUCGUGAGUCGGGUAGUUCUGCUCGUGAAGCUUCAAUUUCCUAGAGGCGAAAGAAAUCACAUUCCGGUUCUGCAUCAACACGCACCCCAAUCCUUCUCGUGACGCGUCUGCAUACACCGCAAACCCGUCCACUCCAUUUGGCAAAACUAGCACUGGAGCCAUGGUCAAUCUUCUCUUUAGUUCCUGAAAACUUGUUUCGCAUCGGGCGUUCCAGACAAAUCCUCCAUGCUUCUUUGUCAGGUCAGUUAAAGGUCCCGCCAGUUUGGAAAAAAUCCUUAAUGAACCUUCGGUAGUACCCAACUAACCCUAGAAAGCUGCGAAUUUCCGUGGGGUUUUCUGGCCUCUUCCAAUUUGUCACGGCCUCUACCUUCGCCGGGUCCACAGAAAUACCUUCGUGGGAGAUCACGUGCCCUAGAAACGCUACUUUCUCCAACCAGAACUCGCAUUUACUAAACUUGGCGUACAGCUGAUGUUCCCUCAAUAUCUGCAACACCACUCUCAAAUGCUCCUCAUGCUCCUCGCGUGUCUUAGAGUAGACCAGAAUGUCGUCAAUGAACACAACGACAAAUCGGUCCAGAUAGGGUUUGAAAACCUGGUGCAUUAGGUCCAUGAAGGCGGCGGGAGCAUUUGUCAGUCCAAAGGGCAUAACGGCGAACUCGUAAUGCCCGUAUCUUGAGUUGAAAGCAGUUUUCGGAAUGUCCUCCUUCCUAAUCAACAACUGAUAGUAUCCCUGCCGGAGGUCCAACUUGGAGAAGACCACUGCUCCUUGCAGCUGGUCAAACAACUCGUCGAUGUGAGGCAGUGGAUACUUAUUCUUGAUGGUUACGUUGUUCAGCCCCGGUAAUCAAUGCACAUCCUCAAGGUUCCGUCCUUCUUCUUCACAAAUAGAACAGGAGCCCCCAAGGAGAUCCACUCUCGUGAAUGAAUUCCCGCUCCAAAAGAUCUUGUAAUUACAACUUAAGUUUUGCAGGCGCCAUUCGGUAAGGGAUUUUUGAGAUAGGUGAGGUUCCAGGUAAUAGAUCUAUUCGGAAUUCUAUCUCCCUUUCCGGAGGUAAGGCUACUAACUCAUCAGGAAAAACAUCCGGAAAUUCCCUCACUAUGGCCACGUCUUCCACUUUUAAUUAUCCGUAGGGGUGUUAAUCAAAAAGGCCAAAAAUCCUUGCGCCCCUCUACUUAUCAGUUUCCUAGCCCGUAUGCCCGAGAUUAAAGCAGAUGAGACUAACCUACCCCUUAUAUCUAACUUUAAGGUUGCCUCGCCAGGAAUGCGAAAUUCUACUACCUUCGUUUUACAAUCCAGUUGGGCGUUAUAUUUGGCUAGCCAGUCCAUACCCAGAAUCACGUCAUACCCCUUAAUGGACAAGCUAAUAAGAUCUCCUAAAAAUCUCUUUUCACUUACCCAUACAUCGCAGUCCCUAUAAACCAUACUAGUCACCAACCGUUGAUUCCCCGUAGGUGUACUAACCUCUAGGUCAUAUGGUAAACUAGCAGGUUUUAUAUCGAUGCCACACAUGAAAUCAGGGUUAACAAACGAAUGAGUGGCACCAGGAUCAAUUAAAACUUUGGCAAAACGGUGGAAAAUAGGGAUCGUACCUUCUACGACCUCCGAAGACUCUGGGACCUGAUGGGGCUCUAUAGAGUACACCUUAGCUGGUACUUUAGGUUUGGACCCAUCUCCCUUGGCUGGUCCAGUAUUGGUCCUCGAUGAUGGUUGGCUCCCCUUUCCGUCUUGUUUCAGGACCGGGCAUGUAGCCAAUUGGUGGUCCGCGCUUCCACAUCGCAGACAUUUGCCCUAUUUCCUCCAGCAAUUAUUUUCGGUGUGGUUUGCUUUUCCACAAUGCCCACAGGGACCACGGGGUGCCAAAGCCGAGCCACUCUGAGCGUUUCCCCUUUGUCCUCGCCCAGUUUGACCACCCCUGAACGGAGUCCCUCUGCCUGAACCAGACUGUCGACACACCACCCGUUCCUCGUCCGAAUUUAGAUGGAGUAGUCUUUUCACCCUGUCCGGAAGUACUCCCAGGAAAGCCACGCUUCUUAGCCUGUAAGUUUCGGACCUGCAGCCGUGUACUUUCAACUCGUUGGGCUUUUUCCAUUGCCUCGCUAAACGUAGUGAUUUGAGCCGCCGCGAGGUUUUCUGGAUCUCAACGUUCAAACCCUGAAUAAAGCGCCUCACCCGUCGUUGCUCAGUCAUGAUUAGCUCAGCGCGAAUUUGGACAGGCGGGUGAACUGACUCUCAUAUUCCGCCACAGUCUGAGCCCUUGCCGGAGCCGGAUAAACUCGUCCUCCUUCCUCUCCUGGACUAGAGGAGGGAAAAACUUUACAUUAAAUUCUCGGAUGAAAUUCACCCAUGUCCUAGGCAUCUGCUCCCGCUCCCAUUUCUGUCUAAUUACGUUCCACCAGGAACGGGCAGCCCCCUCAAAUUGAAAUACGGUAAAAGUCACCUGCCGUUCGUCUGGGUAAUGUAGAGCUGCAAAUAUAUCAACCAUCUUCUCAAGCCAUUUCUCAGCAACGUCAGGGUCGGGUCCCCCAACAAACUUUGACGGGAAAAACUUUUGAAAACGUUCUAGAGCUCUAUCUUCGCUCUCAAUAUGAUGGCCAGGGUUUCCGGGGUUAGGGUUUGGGUUCUGGCCCUGUUGUUGCACUACUUGUGCUAGUAAAUUGGUCAUUUGCUGCAUAGCAGCAGCUAUUUGCACAUUCGGAUCUAUUUGCGGUCCAGGAUUGGGUCCAGUAGAGGUUUCCCUCGUUUCCCUAACCGGUGUGGGUUGUCUAGUUCCGCGCCCACGUCCCCGACCACUCCGUGUACCUUCCAUGAGUUUUAUUCGCGUUUAGGCAAGAAUACUAAACCAAAGUAGUAACAAGACAUAUAAGUAACACUUAAACUUUGCACAAUAACACAUAUUUAUACAGUCCAAGCAUAAUCACAAACACACAUACAUACAAGCCAAACACAUAUAUACAAUCAGUCAAGUCAAGUACGGCCAAAGCACGUACAAACACAAACGAUCCCCCGAGGAUUGGCCUAUCAAAAGAGAUUUACGCGUAGCUAACAACCCAAAACGGUUAGCUAAGGCUCUAUCCCUAUCCCUAUGUACAUACAAAAACCACCAACUAUCCAAAAGAUGCCUAAAGAUCAAGGCCUAGUCAGUCGCUGGGGUCUGGGAUCCAGGCGACAGGGUAGACUCUCCCCCGCCUCAGCCCCCGCAUACGAAGCCUCAUCACUAGACUCCUCAAGACCAUCGUCACACAAAUUAAGGAUCGCCUCAGCGCGACCCCUGACUUUGCGAGCCCGCGUAAUCUCGCGCUCGCGUGCAGUCCUCAGCUGAUCGCAGAGGUCGUCAACUCGGUCCUCGACCUCAAGCACGUCGUACUCUAACUCUUUGAUACGUGCGACUUGCUUCUCAUUGGUUGCCUUAACCUGAGUCACCUCAGCUUCCAGCGUAGCAACCCCGCUUCCAACUUAGUGUUGUCAUCCUCUAGCUCCUUACGCUCCUUUGCCACAGCCAAAACUAAGGCGUUCGGGUAAGCAUAAGUAUCACGGCACCACACCGUCGAAGGCGGUUGGCCGGGCUCCAACGCACCACGGCCCCCUUCUGCCUGAUCUGAUAUGGAAUCACGGGAAGUGCUCUGGGAGGUCUCACUCCCGAAGGACUAGCACUAGGGUCACCACUCGCAUCCAUCCUAUAGCAAAGGAAGAAAUGACAUGAAUACACUUAAUAGGCAUAAACAAUAGAAUCCUCAAGUCAAGCAUUCCUAUAACACCCAGGCUAAUUCAAACCUAGACUCUGAUACCACCUGUGACAGCCCCACCUUCCCCUAAGGCAAACCAAAGAGGUUAGCGGACUGCCUGCCCAACUCUCGCUAGGACUAACGGUGCAGUAUAAAGCGAUCUAUCACGUUCUGAAACUUAUAAUGCGCGCAACAAGGCAAAAGGGCAAAAUAACCCAAAAUAAAAGAAAUGAAAUCCAGAGUCCGCCAUGAAUAGUAACCGACCCGUCCGAAACCCAACCAAACAUCGAAAUACAUAUACAACAUAACAUUAACCAUUUACAAGCCACAAUGGCCUUUAAAAGUGAUACAAAAGUCACUACAUAUGUGGGUUGCCAAAACAAAAGUGAAAACGGCCCUAAUGAUACAUUUAGGGUCCCAUUUUAUAUACAAUACAAAAGAGGCAUUCAUCUAGUUCAUUCGGCAACCAUUUUACAAAAUUCAUUCCAAAAGAGUCAUAUUCCUGUAAGGAAAACAAAAGAAAUGGGGUGAGCUAAAUGCCCAGUGAGAAUACAACCACCACAGCAGCUAAGAUCACAUAAGUAUAACCGUUCAGUUCAAGUAUGCAAAUAAGCAAUAAAUCACAUCAGUGAAAGGAUACGGAUGGCUCUCAAGAGCCCAUUUCCACGCUUAUUUCUUGAUCCAACCUCAUUGACCCUCCGUCAAUGUUAAAAGUAACCAUCCGUAGACAUCACUUACAUCCAACCGUCCAACUAUCAUACCCCAACCGGGCCCGCACUCCAUUCAGUCAUUUUGGUAAUACUCGAGUUUACCGGAAUCAAGAGUCUCAUUACUACAAGAUUCCCCAGUACAGUCCCCGUGGCAUGUCAAUUAUCACGACCAAGCCCUCGCCGGCUCGAUCAAUUGACUACCUAACGGAGUUGAGCUCAGUGAUACAGUAAGGUCGUUGGACAUUCGUCCAAACAACACCAAAUCAGUUUCCAUGAAAUGGAAUGCAAUAACUCAUAUAUCAAGUUCAGUAAGACAGUGAAACAGUAGACAAUAGUGAUACUAUCAAAAGGGGUGAGGGCGGUCAAGUACACCCUCACCUUAAUCAAUUACAAUAUCAAAUAAGCCUUCAAGGCAACACAACCACAUAUAGCAAAGCCACAUUACAACAUUUAAGUGAGUAGUAUACUCACCAAUCACGUAAGUGAUAUUUCAUGCACCAACGUUAAAAAGGUCGCCGUGAACCCUCGUCACGUCCUAGAACACGUAAACAAAGACCAUGAGACUCGAUAACGAGUCAUAAAGCCAUACCAAUUAUAACCCCAAUAGGGUUUCAUAUGCAUAAAUAAGCAUCAUAGGUAACCAGAAAUUAAGAAAUGACAUUAGCUUAGGCCUUAACAAAAAAAACGUUUUCGUCAUACUUUUGCGGUAAUGGCACAAAAUGCGCUACGCUUAUCGGAUGAGGGUGUAAGACCCACUAUCUCAAAGCUAAAAGACAGGGCUACAACAAUGUAGAAGGCCACUCAGUCCAAAUCCUAGCACAACUAGGUCAAAAAUGCAGAUUACCAAACCAGAACCGCAAUUGCAGGUUCCCAAAUCGCACUAUGCUGUAAUUAGUCUAUUUCAGUCUACACAAGUCCAAAUGCAUUGAUUCCAAAGGCAUAUGAUAGCUAAGACAUCCAGCUACAUUUCAUCAGAAGACACCAACAACAAAAUCCAAACCAAUUCCAGUCAAAAUGGCCAAUUACUAGUGCAGUUUUCGCAUUCUGAUCAACCAGAACAGCAACAGUAAAAUCGACAUAUCUCACUCUACACUAAUCCAAAUGACCUGAAAUUUUGUAGGCACUUCAAACUCAUCAAUACCUACAACUUUCAUGUUUCGAGCAAAGUCCAUUUCGGCCUCUAACCCUAUGAUCCAAAACCGGACAGAAUUAGGGGUUUUGAAACCCUAACAUUUCACAUUUCAAUCCAAAUCCAAAAUUGGUUGCAAUAUAACAAUUCAGAUUCACUAGAGUCAUAACCCCUCAUUAUCAACCAUCAUAAACAACCACAACACCAUGAUCACAUUAAACCAGAAAAUUCCUCAAAAAAUAAAAACUUCACUAAUUCACUUCAAAUCAAGAAAUAAAUCACAAAAGGCUUCACUAUCACUACCAUUAGGCACAAUUUAAGCAUCAUUAGGUGUAAGGGAAUAGUCAAUCAUCACUUACCUAAGAAACAAGAUAAGAGGAGUUGUAGACCACCUUAGCUCUUCCAAAAACUUCACCAAACUCACCACCAACACCAAAUGGAAAAGUUGUAUGGAAUGGAAACUAGUUUAUGUGAUUGAUUUAGAUGAUUCAAGCUAGUGGAAAGCUUGAAGUUGGAAGAGGUUUUUCUCCUUCUUUGUUAGAGAGAGAGGGCCGGCAAUGGAAGAAAAAAAUGAGGGAAUUUUAGUGAAUUUUGGAGAUAUUUAACUAAAUGGGUCAAAAGGUCAAAAGUGGAAUAGUAACUUAAACUUCAACCCAUAAAAUGGUGACACUUGUCACACCAUUAAUGCAAUCUUAUCACUUCGUUUUCUCUCUCACAUCAAUCAUUUCACACACUCUACUUAUCUCUUAACACCCGAUAAAUUUUACACAGUAUCCGGAAUUUAACCUAAUUGGCCGAAUUUUUUUCGAACUUUUCGCACUAGUGGGUCCCACGUCCAAUAUAUAUUCUUAAUUUUCUAAAAAUUCUCCAAUACUAGAAAAAUCAUCUAAAAACUAUAAUUACUCAUAAAAUUCACCAGGAAAAUAUUCCUAAGCCAGAAAAUGCAGAAAACAUGCAAUUAAGGGGAAAAACCCUAGGAAAAAAUAUUAGGGAAAUACGGGUUCUCACACUAAUGGUAUCUUUGAAAUAGAUAGGUGACAUCUUUGCUAAAACUGAUUUAAUUUGACAAGUUCAUUGCAAUGUAAUCUCCAGUCUUUUCAAUUUUUUUGUCCUGUAUUUUUUAAAUGUCUUGCAACAAAACAAUGUAGCUUCAUUCGUUCAUCUUAAUCAAAACCAGAAUGUCUACUUCAUUACAUCCAAUUGAAACUAGAUGUGGCAACAUGUUGCGACAUAACAAAAUCUACCAUUGUGCCCAACUCCCUCAUCUACUACACAUUUUUUAUACUAAUUUGUCCUGAACAUUCAUUUCAUACAUAUAACAACUAGUGACAAAAGAGACACAACUACAAACACCAUCAUCAUCAUCUCAUUAGCCCUGUCAUUGUUUCGACAUUGUGAAUCUUCGACUGUAGUGUCUCAUAAUGAUAUUAUAGUUAUUACUUUCCAUCCCUUGCCAGAGAUGAAAAAUAUUUUCGCCAUUGCAGAUCCAGUAGUGAAACUCCUUCCAUGUAUGGACUUUGACAGGAUGAUUCAUUAGUGCCUGCCUCUCUACUAAUUGGGUUGCAUCAUGUCCAAAAUGAACAAGCACCAUUUUCACAUACAAAAUACAACAUAUCUUUUGAUGGAUUUUUAGAUUCCACUACCUUAAUCUUUGCUUUAUUCUUGCAAAAACAUCAAUUUUGGUACCUUAGCUUGACAUUUUCGGUUUCUUCCUUGAACAAAGCUAUGUUGUGCCCUCCAAAGCUACGCUCUUAUGAUUUUUGUCUUAAUUUUGUGUCUCUCUGUCCAAUUUUUCCAUUUGCAAAAUAACAACUAUGGUGGGUUUCAUUCGUAAGAGACAUGGAGGGAAAAAUGGGAAUGAAAACUAGUCUCUUUCAGUCACAUGCGGCCAUUAGGUCGCAUCAAUGUCACUUGCUAGCUUCCUAGCCGGUUAGUAGGUAAAAUCCAAAGAAAUCCAAAGCACCGGGGAGGGUUAAGUGGGUGUUUUUAAAUAAUGAGAGGGUUUCGUGUUUAUUUCCCUAACCACAGGGGUUUACUGUAUUUUACCCUAUUGAUAUUGGUGAGGUGGAAUUUGGGGCAGAACCCCUCUAAGAAUUUUGUUUCUCCCCAGUGUCUCAAGAGGUAAUCAGGCCCUGCUUGAAUUCUAAUCCUGCUGGUAGACCUAGUUUGGAAGAACUAUUCAGGGUGAUUUGUUUAAGGACCUUAAGCCAUUUGAAAAGGUGGUAGGGAAAAUCUUUGAGGUGCGCGUUUUUUAUGGUAAGGGCACCUACAAACUGGUGAAAAUUCUUGGCCACCACCAGGGGAAUGUCUGGUUUACCAAGCCAAGUAUGAGCCCAUCAAAAGCACUGAUCACUAUGUGGCUUUGAAGGUAAUGGAGAUGGAGAAGUGAGUUGCUCCAGAAAUCAGCUGAGAUCAGUGUGGAUGCUAAUUCCCAUCCGUGUAUCAUCGGGGUUAUAAACGAAUUUGCAAGCGGUACAAGUUAUUGUGUCUCGAUGCCCUUAUUUGAUAAGGGUUCACUGAGGCUUCUUUCAAGGAAUCGAUGAAAUGAUGGUUGACCCGACGAUUGUAUUGCCCUGGUUCGGAUGGAACCCUUAAAAGGUCUUGGUUUCCUCCAUGAAAAUCAUAUGGUUCUCAAACGUGCCAGUCCAGACGAUAUUUUUUUCUGUAGGAAUCCUUUAUGCAUUGCUUUGGGUCAUGAUGCAACUCUGUGUCAUGCUUGGAAAUCUGACAAUGCUAAAAAUUCAGUGAUAAAUUCAACGAUUGAUGAAUUCAGUCAUGCUUCAGAAGUCUAUGAUGCUGGGGAGGCUCUGACAUAUGGCUCCUCAGAUUAACUGCUUUGGAGUUGGCCUAUCACCGCAUCCCUGUCAAGACAAGAGUAGGCUUAAUGGUUAUUAUACAUCAAUCAAAACAAUUGUUUGCCUACAGGACUGAAGCACCGCUUGUCUAGGGAGAAACGAGACAGUUCGCCAGCAAUUUCGGUCACCUUGUCAGCCUAUGUCUCCCUGAAAAUCCUGCACAAAGACCAUUAGCUAUCCAGCUGUUGGAACAUCCAUUCUUGAGAAGUUGCACUAGUCUUGAAUGUUUCGAUAAGGUGCUUUAAGUAAUAUGGCCAUUUUGAAGCUUCUCCUCCCCUGAGUCUGCUUGAAGUAUUUCGUGUUUUCGACUUAUUGUUUUUUAUUUUUAAAGGUGCUCAAGUAAUGUGGCAAGUUUGAAAAGUUCUCCUGCCUAUGUUAAAAUGAGAAAUUUCAUAUUUUCGGUGUACAGUUUUUGUGCUCUUAAGUUUAUCUUGCUUACUUUUUGACAUCUUGUGAAAUUUAAGUAUUUAGAUUUUUUUUUUAAAUUUUGGGUUAAUUAUUGACCUUUUGAAAUUGAGAAUGCUUGGAUGUUGGUGUUACAACAAUUUUUUUUGGGAUGCUUCUUCUCAAAUUGUUACUUGGGAGCUUUAUUUUCCCCUGAUAAGAAGAAGAUGAGGCAUCAACAAUUAUUAUCCCUGGCAAACCAACAUUUAUUUGCAACAUGUCUUAGUAUAAUGAUGGAAUAUCUUAGUGCCUUCAGAAUCAUAUUGCAUUUGGUUAUGCAGGUAAAAUUUUCAUAGGAAGGGGAAAAUUGAAAGUAGAAAUGCCUUUAAUAAUCAUUUCACCAGUCAAUAAUUCCUUCAGAAUGCCAAUUGACACUGGAUGUUGAAACUUUGAAUGCAUAAAACUACUUUAUUGAGAGGCAAUUGGUGACAUUAUGUUUACUGAAGUGAUUCUUUGCAAUGCUACAGAACGUAUGAACUAGUUAUAAAACCAAACCGCAUUGAUAGCCUCUACUCGUGUCCUACCUCGUGAGAGCUAGAUUUGCUAAUACUUUGAAAAUUAAAGUUUUUCACCUUUUUAUCAUUUUUGGCACUGACGGGCUAUGUUAUUGCAUCUGGAUAAUCCACCUAAUUCUAUCCUAAAAUUCUAUGCAGCUGUGUUUUUCUUCUUCAUCUCCUCAGAUCUCUUUUCUUUUUCCCCCCUUUCCUCUCUGUUUUGAACUUAUGCCUCAUGGUAUGCCUAACUUGCGACCUUCAUAAUGAUAUGGCCUAUUUCUUAAUGUCAGUUUGCUGGCGCCUUCAAGCAAUCUCAAGUUCUUAGGAUCAGAGAGUUUGUCCAAAAUGGUCUUAUUUCUGCAGCUCUUUUGCGGAAUAUCCCAUUCUGCUGGAGCAGCAGACCUUUUGGCAAAAAGUGCUUGUGGCUUCAAUGUUUUGGAGCAGUUAGUCUUGCCUAGUCCUUUUUUGCAAUAUCUGCUGGAUUUGAAUUCUACUUAACAUCCUCAAGAAAGAAGGACAACUUGUAGUUUCCACUCUAGACAUGUAUUAUUGAGGUUGACGUUAGUCUGUUUUAGUUCUUUGAUGCUUGCUAAAUCGUGUGUUCAGUGCUUUGUACGGUUGUGUGACUUUCUUCAAGCAAUCUGUGCAUUGUUGUUUUCUCAUUCAGAAAACUUGCAAUCCUUAAUAGUUGUAAGAAAUGGAUUUUCUGUCUCCUGAUUUCAAUUAAAUAUGUAUGUAUGUGUAUCUAGUCUUUCAAAAUGGAGCUUCUGAAGUAUCAGCAUAUUUUACACUUGCAGACACUAAUUCUGGAAAAACUAGAGAUAAAUAUAUAGCGAGUUCUUUCAUCCUUGUAGUCACUGUGCUGACAACUUCCAAAGUCUCAUGAAGAGCUUAUUGUUUCCUAAAUUGUCCAUUAUGUUUGACAAUUGGCAGUAGUUCAACUUGAGGAUAUGUUGGCUUCUAGCCACUCUGGUUUCUUCAGUGCUUUAGUCUAGAUAUAUAUCGAACUCUUGCUAACAUCCUGUAUAGCAACUUGUUAUAGCUUCAACUUGAUCCAUUUUUUUGACAUGCUGGCCUUCAGGCAUGGAAACUUGAAUUUAUUUGGUUUAAUUUUAUCAAAAGUUUGUCAGAGAAGUUUGUUUUGAGUAUCUUUUUAGUUGAUAUAGAAGACGUGCUAUGUUGAUGAAUGCACAUAAUCAGUUGUAUCGCUCGUAAAGAGCAUGCUUGGAGCAGGCUGAUGACUCCUGUUAGAAGUUUUUGGAACUAUAUAGAGUAUACCUCAAAUAUGAUACUUGAUAUGUGCCCUCUUAAAGCUGUGAAGUCCUUGAAUGUUCCAUGUUCUGUGAAAGAUGUAUAUAUCAACAUCAUAAUAUCUUGACUGUAGGUUAGCAUCUAGACUGUAGAUCUUUUAAGGUCCAAUCAUAGAAGAAGUGGUUUAUCACCUCGAUGAAGAUUUGGUCUUGUAACGACCCCAUUUUCCCCUAAGGCGAACCAGAGGGGUCAACGGCCGCCUGCCCAACUCUCGCCAGGACUCCGUCAAUCACUACAGUUCUCCAAAAAAUUUCACUAUAAAUCUCAAAUAUAUUUAUCAAAUUCUCCAAGAACUACAUAUCAUAAACGCUGCGGAAUGUACACGUACGUCCAUUCAAGUCCAAUCAUUCAUUACAAACCAUAUCCACAAGCUAUUACACAAGAGGCGAUCCAAAUUCAAACCGUACAAAGUGUAAUUCCAUCCAUUCCAAUUCCCCUAGCCCAACAAUUACACAAACGAUUCCAAAUCUAAACUAUACAAAUUACAAGCCAUCCAGGUACACCGAUAACGUAAUACAGCUCUUCCUUUGUUCGAAACCGGUACUCGCAUAAACACAUCAAACACGUAAUGCAGUUUAUCGAAGACUUGAUAAGGACAUAGAUAUACAUGAGAAAGGUUCAAUUGUACACUUCAAAAGUACUUGAAUUCAUUUACAUCAAAAUUUCAAGUUUUCGAGGAGCAACUCAAAACUAGCUACAUAACUAGCUCAACUCAUUUCAAAACUUGAGUCCAGCAGUGUCCCUGUAAGGAAAACAAAACAACGGGGGUGAGCUUGCGCUCGUGAGGUACCAAAUGCACAAGUACAUGAUAUGGCCAAAUAACAUAUAUGCAUAAGUGCCUUCGUUCAAACAUCCAUUUAUAAAAGGAUACAUUCGGCCCUCAAGGGCCGUUUCCGAGGUCCAUACUUGAUCGUACUCGUUGACACUCCGUCAACCAUUGAGGAUAACCAAAAACCGUAGACACCACUUCGCACCAACUCCUUCCACCAUUCACCCCCUAUUCGGGCCCACACACCUCAUAGUUUCAAAAGGUAAUACUCGAGUAUACCACAAGGUCGAGGAGAUAACACUCCACUCGCCUAUCAGAGACCCGAAGGCUCGUUAACGAAUCGCCCAAGCCCUUGCUGGCUCGACUCAAAUAACGGUCCAAGGGAAUGAGCUCAGUUUUCACAGAAAUAAUAGGGCAUUGCCCUAACAAAUAUCAAAUCACAUAUUCAUGAAAUUUCACAGUCCAACAGUAGCAAUAGUGCAAGCAAGUGGUCAAGAGCGGUAAAGUACACCCUCGACCUAUUCAAGUCAUAUAACAAGUACAUUGAACCAUUUAAUGAUACACUCACCAAGCACGGCUCACGAAGCUUAUCCGGCAAACCUCACUAUCUCGAUCAAGUUGGAAUCCUAAAACCAAAUAUCAAGUCAAGCAAAGGAAAAUUCUAACAUUAACAAGUUUCUAUUGCCUUUUGGCAUUUUAAAGCUACACCCAUCCGAUCGAAACAAAUCUUAUGGCGUUACAAAGCUAAAACAUAUGUCAACAUUUCUUAUGAAGAUUUCCAAGGCCAAAUCAUACAUUUUCAAAACCAAAAAUCUGAAUUCUAGAGAAAGAACGAAAACUGUCAUAAAACAGGAGUCUAUAAACAGUCAGAGCAAAUCAGUCAUUUUCCAGGCUACAGAGGUCCAAACAAUCUGAAAUUUUGCAGGUAGGUAGUUAACUCAUAUAUCUACAAAAUUCAUGUUUUGAGCAAAAGCUGGUUCGGUCUAAAACACAGAGAAAAUGACUGUCCAAGUUCAGUCCAGAAACAGGGGAAAAACUGAAAUUACUCUCCUUGAACCUAUCUUUGCGUAUAACCAUCCCUAACCACAAUUAAGGCCUAGAAAUCCCCACUUAACAUGAGACUAGUCUAUACUAAUCAUGUACAUGGCAAUUCCACGAGGACAAAUCAUUUCGAUAACGUCUGGAAGUACCACCAAACUUUCAAUCAUAAGAAUUCAUAAACUUAACCAAGAUUAACUCAAGUUCAAAGUAAUCAAAUGUUCUCUAAAAUUUGACAGCAUUUCCCUUAAGUUUACACAUUUCCAACCUACCAUACAAAUACCCCAAUCAUAUAGCCAUUAACCACAAUUGCACAUACGGUUCGUAAACGAUAAAACAUAUCCAAUUAGGGCCACAAAACCCUUUAAUCAAAACUAAUUAAAAGCUUAAAGCCAACCAUUAGAAAAACCCCCAAUUAAAACCCUAGAACCGGAAAUUCAUAUUAUAAGCGUAAAUUUUCCGCAAUUGAUCACCAUUAACGUAUAAGAGCUUCCAUUAACACCAUUUAAACCACUAAUCCAAAUCCAAUCCAAGACUUUCAUAUAAAAUCAUAAAAUACCCAAUAAAUCAGAAAAUCACCAUAAUUUCCAUAAACCCAUGAAAUACUCCAUAAUACAACACAUUUAAACAUCACAAACCCUAAAUUAACCAAUUUUAGAACCAAAAGGAACUUGUUUAAGCAACUUACCACAAAUUCAAGAAGCUAACACCUUAGAGCCUUCCCUCCACAAUCAAUCCAUCUAAAAGCUUUAAACCACCUUUGAGAGCACUUGUGUGAAAUAUUUGGCAAAACCACCGAUUAAAACUCAAGAUUCAAAGAAGGAAAUCAAAGGGAAGAAAUGGAGUUUUUCUUUUCUUGUUUUCUCUCCAAGACAGCCGGGCAAGGAGGUGCAAAAUGACGAGCAAACACAGCCAAAACAAGAUAUUUAUCAAGCACAAAAGCUGGUCAAAAGUGGCUGCCGGACAUGACACGUCACAAUCCGGCCGGAAUCUGGCCGGAUUUCCGGCCGGAUUCUUGGCCGGAUUCAAGGCAGAAUCGAAACCAAUUUUUUUUCAAAAUUGCAAGGCAAUCCGGCCAUCUAUCCGGCCAGAAACUGGCCGGAUUUCCGGCCGGAUUUGGCCCUUGCCAUUUUUCGAAACUUUUCUUUUCUUGUCCGAGUUGAAAAACUGUGCUACUCCGCUCGUCCAACAAAAAUAUCCAUAAAAUGAAAACCCUACUUUUCGGGGCGUCACAAUCUCCCCUCCUUAAAACAAUGUCGUCCUCGACAUUCUACCUCAUAUACAUCUGGUCAAGAUAUCGUUCAAAAACGCAUUCAAGCAUUAGAAUUCCAUAAUCCAACUUGCAUUCACCAGGUCCAAUUAGUCUUCCCAAAGUCGGUCAAAUACUAAGAAUUGUUCCAAUCUCACUUAUCGAAAUCAAGUACUAAGGAGUAUCCAAAUCCAGCUUAUCAAAUAGUCAUGAUCCAGUAAAGCAUGGCUUAUCAAAUAAUCACUUAUCAAUUUCAAGUACUAAAUACACGCCAAUCCAACUUAUCAAAUAGUCAUGAUCCAAUAAGGAGUUAUCGCGUAGCCAGAUAAAACAGGCAAAAGGCUUGAAAUCGGACGUAAAGUCCCAGAUAUCUGGAAGAAAUUCAGGGUGUAGCGAAGCUGCAAAUCAAAAACUCAUCCUGGUGGUGCUGGACAACACAACAAGCUAGCACAACGGCUAUGCUUCACCAAAGAAUUUCAAUUCAGUAAGUUGGCCCUGGUGGUGCCGGACAACACAACAAGUUAGAACCACGGCUAAACUUCGCCAGAGAGCCUCAAUUCAAAAUUCCAUCCCUGGUGGUGCUGGACCACACAACAGGCAUGCCUCGCCUGAAGAAUGGCGGUGCUGGACAACACAACAAGCAAUGCCUCACCAGAGAGGUUCAGUUCACCCGCUACAAAAGAGUAGUAGCCGGUCUACAACCAUAUGAGUAUGAAUAAGUUCAAGAGUAGGGUCAAAGCAGCGCCAAUUACUUCAGGUUCAUAGUGCAUGAGUACGAGGAAGUUCAAAAGCAGGGUCAAUUAUUGCAGGUUCAGGGAGCACGGUCACAAAUAAGAGUACAAGUUCAGGUUCAAGUGCAAGUUCAAGUUCAGGGAUCAUGAGUACUGGUAAAACACACUAGCCUAACCUCUGUCCAACUAUUCACAUUCUUAAGCAGUCAUGAAAUUCAAGUCCACCUACAGGUCCAAUACCAUAUAUUCAGUGAAGUUAGGUCCAUCAAGGAUACGUAUAAACACACUCGCCUAACGAGGUCAAGUCUCAAGGAAGUUCAAUCUAGUCGAUCUCAGGCAGCUCAAGACCAAUCUCAGGUAGUUCGAGGUCAAUCCAAGUAGUUCAAGUAUAGCAAAUUCCAACACUUACCACUCAAGUGGUGCAACUUUAAUCCAACAGGAAUACUAGAAGAGAGAUACAAAACUAAAAAUUUUCAACAAUUCUAGCCACUACCGAAAUCUAUCAAAACCCGAGCCACAUACUUAUUGAACAAGUCCAAGUCAUUAUUUCACUCUCCUUAUUCGGUUUAGCCGUGAGUACAAUACAAAAUCUUCUGUGCUCUAACCUAUGCCAUCACAACUUAUCUCAAACUCACUUAUAAUUUCCAUUCACAUCGUCAUACAUUAAACUAUGUUCCAACCAAGAUUCAUGAGCAUUUCCUCAAGAAAAUGUCAAGUACUCAAAUACAAGAAUUCCAACUAAGAACUUCACGACUCAGAUCGUAUGGUAUUCAGCGAAAAUCAAAGUCAUAUUUUACAUAUACUACUUCCAGAAUUAGUGCCAAUGUCACCAAGUUCAAUCGGAUCACAUGCCUUUACGAAAUUAGAUCCAAUAAGUCCAUAACACAAGCUGAAACCAAAGAUUAUCCAUUCGAAGUUCAAAAUCUUCAAUAAACCAGCUACUAGUAAGAGCACCAUCAUCUCCAAGAAUAACCAAUCUUAGGUUCUAUAGCAGAGUCUCAAGUUCAAGUUCAAAUCCAAGAAGUAAGCACAGCUUGCUAACUUACAUGUUAAAUAGAAACCAAGUCAAAUAAGCUCAUCAGUUAUUCACAAAUUUUCGAAUUCGAAAUUCAAGUAAAAUUCACCUUUUUACCAAAAUCGGAAAAUUACACAUUUUUAAAGCAUAUAUAUCGUAUUUCCAAUCAUCGCUUGCAAAUAAAACUAGGAAGUAUACAGGCAGAAAAUGCAUUUUAUUCAUUUGAUACUCUUUUAUCUUGGUUCAAAAUCAUCAUACGUGGAGUUUGGCCAGCAAACCUCGGUCUCUUAUUCCCCAUAGCCAGUACUAAUGAUUAUAUCAAUUCUUUCCACACUUACAAGUAUAAUUGCAAUUCAAAUUCGUCCAAUCUUUCACUACCAAACUCUCAUCCCAUAUUUUCCUUCAAUAUAACAUCACCUAACUCCUCAGUUUCUUCUGCAAGUCCCAAAUAAACUCCCAAAUAAUCAAUUUCUUUAACCCCUAAGAUCAAUCGUCCUUGUUCACACAAUAUUCAAAUCAAUCCCACAGUCAGGCAUCCUAAAUUUCAAACUUAGGAUACGCUACAGAGAUCUGAAGCCUAAGCUCUGAUACCAAUUGUAACGACCCCAUUUUCCCUAAGGCGAACCAGAGGGGUCAACGGGCCGCCUGCCCAGCUCUCGCCAGGACUCGUCAAUCACUACAGUUCUCCAAAAAAUUUCACUAUAAAUCUCAAAUAUAUUUAUCAAAUUCUCAAGAACUACAUAUCAUAAACGCUGCGGAAUGUACACGUACGUCCAUUCAAGUCCAAUCAUUCAUUACAAACCAUAUCCACAAGCUAUUACACAAGAGGCGAUCCAAAUUCAAACCGUACAAAGUGUAAUUCCAUCCAUUCCAAUUCCCCUAGCCAACAAUUACACAAACGAUUCCAAAUCUAAACUAUACAAAUUACAAGCCAUCCAGGUACACCGAUAACGUAAUACAGCUCUUCCUUUGUUCGAAACCGGUACUCGCAUCACAUCAAACACGUAAUGCAGUUUAUCGAAGACUUGAUAAGGACAUAGAUAUACAUGAGAAAGGUUCAAUUGUACACUUCAAAGUACUUGAAUUCAUUUACAUCAAAAUUUCAAGUUUUCGAGGAGCAACUCAAAACUAGCUACAUAACUAGCUCAACUCAUUUCAAAACUUGAGUCCAGCAGUGUCCUGUAAGGAAAACAAAACAACGGGGGUGAGCUUGCGCUCGUGAGGUACAAAUGCACAAGUACAUGAUAUGGCCAAAUAACAUAUAUGCAUAAGUGCCUUCGUUCAAACAUCCAUUUAUAAAAGGAUACAUUCGGCCCUCAAGGGCCGUUUCGAGGUCCAUACUUGAUCGUACUCGUUGACACUCCGUCAACCAUUAGAGAUAAAAAAACCGUAGACACCACUUCGCACCAACUCCUUCCACCAUUCACCCCCUAUUCGGGCCCACACUCAUAGUUUCAAAAGGUAAUACUCGAGUAUACCACAAGGUCGAGGAGAUAACACUCCACUCGCCUAUCAAGACCGAAGGCUCGUUACGAAUCGCCCAAGCCCUUGCUGGCUCGACUCAAAUAACGGUCCAAGGGAAAGAGUAUAAUAGGGCAUUGCCCUAACAAAUAUCAAAUCACAUAUUCAUGAAAUUUCACAGUCACAGUAGCAAUAGUGCAAGCAAGUGGUCAAGAGCGGUAAAGUACACCUUCAAGUCAUAUAACAAGUACUAUUGAACCAUUUAAUGAUACACUCACCAAGCACACGGCUCACGAAGCUUAUCCGGCAAACGCUCACUAUCUCGAUCAAGUUGGAAUCCUAAAACCAAAUAUCAAGUCAAGAAAGGAAAAUUCUAAAUUAACAAGUUUCUAUUGCCUUUUGGCAUUUUAAAAGCUACACCAUCCGAUCGAAACAAAUCUUAUGGCGUUACAAAGCUAAAACAUAUGUCAACAUUUCUUAUGAAGAUUUCCAAGGCCAAUCAUACAUUUUCAAAACCAAAAAUCUGAAUUCUAGAGAAAGAACGAAAACUGUCAUAAAAGAGGAGUCUAUAAACAGUCAGAGCAAAUCAGUCAUUUUCCAGGCUACAGAGGUCAAACAAUCUGAAAUUUUGCAGGUAGGUAGUUAACUCAUAUAUCUACAAAUUCAUGUUUUGAGCAAAAGCUGGUUCGCGUCUAAAACACAGAGAAAAUGACUGUCCAAGUUCAGUCCAGAAACAGGGGAAAAACUGAAAUUACUCUCCUUGAACCUAUCUUUGCGUAUAACCAUCCCUAACCACAAUUAAGGCCUAGAAAUCCCCACUUAACAUGAGACUAUCUUACUAAUCAUGUACAUGGCAAUUCCACGAGGACAAUCAUUUCGAUAACGUCUGGAAGUACCACCAAACUUUCAAUCAUAAGAAUUCAUAAACUUAACCAAGAUUAACUCAAGUUCAAAGUAAUCAAAUGUUCUCUAAAAUUUGACAGCAUUUCCCCUUAAGUUUACACAUUUCAACCUACCAUACAAAUACCCCAAUCAUAUAGCCAUUAACCACAAUUGCACAUACGGUUCGUAAACGAUAAACAUAUCCAAUUAGGGCCACAAAAAUUUAAUCAAAAACUAAUUAAAAGCUUAAGCCAAUCCAUUAGAAAAACCCAUUAAAACCCUAGAACCGGAAAUUCAUAUUAUAAGCGUAAAUUUCCGCAAUUGAUCACCAUUGAGUAUAAGAGCUUCCAUUAACACAUUUAAACCACUAAUCCAAAUCCAAUCCAAGACUUUCAUAUAAAAUCAUAAAAUACCCAAUAAAUCAGAAAAUCACCAUAAUUUCCAUAAACCCAUGAAAUACUCCAUAAUACAACACAUUUAAACAUCACAAACCCUAAAUUAACCAAUUUUAGAACCAAAAGGAACUUGUUUAAGCAACUUACCACAAAUUCAAGAAGCUAACACCUUAGAGCCUUCCCUCCACAAUCAAUCCAUCUAAAAGCUUUAAACCACCUUUGAGAGCACUUGUGUGAAAUAUUUGGCAAAACCACCGAUUAAAACUCAAGAUUCAAAGAAGGAAAUCAAAGGGAAGAAAUGGAGUUUUUCUUUUCUUGUUUUCUCUCCAAGACAGCCGGGCAAGGAGGGUGCAAAAUGACGAGCAAACACAGCCAAAACAAGAUAUUUAUCAAGCACAAAAGCUGGUCAAAAGUGGCUGCCGGACAUGACACGUCACAAUCCGGCCGGAAUCUGGCCGGAUUUCCGGCCGGAUUCUUGCCGGAUUCAAGGCAGAAUCGAAACCAAUUUUUUUUCAAAAUUGCAAGGCAAUCCGGCCAUCUAUCCGGCCAGAAACUGGCCGGAUUUCCGGCCGGAUUUGGCCCUUGCCAUUUUUCGAAACUUUUCUUUUCUUGUCCGAGUUGAAAAACUGUGCUACUCCGCUCGUCCAACAAAAAUAUCCAUAAAAUGAAAACCCUACUUUUCGGGCGUCACAAUCUCCCCUCCUUAAAACAAUGUCGUCCUCGACAUUCUACCUCAUAUACAUCUGGUCAAGAUAUCGUUCAAAAACCAUUCAAGCAUUAGAAUUCCAUCUAAUCCAACUUGCAUUCACCAGGUCCAAUUAGUCUUCCCAAAGUCGGUCAAAUACUAAGAAUUGUUCCAAUCUCACUUAUCGAAAUCAAGUACUAAGGAGUAUCCAAAUCCAGCUUAUCAAAUAGUCAUGAUCCAGUAAAGCAUGGCUUAUCAAAUAAUCACUUAUCAAUUUCAAGUACUAAAUACACGCCAAUCCAACUUAUCAAAUAGUCAUGAUCCAAUAAGGAGUUAUCGCGUAGCCAGAUAAAACAGGCAAAAGGCUUGAAAUCGGACGUAAAGUCCCAGAUAUCUGGAAGAAAUUCAGGGUGUAGCGAAGCUGCAAAUCAAAAACUCAUCCCUGGUGGUGCUGGACAACACAACAAGCUAGCACAACGGCUAUGCUUCACCAAAGAAUUUCAAUUCAGUAAGUUGGCCCUGGUGGUGCCGGACAACACAACAAGUUAGAACCACGGCUAAACUUCGCCAGAGAGCCUCAAUUCAAAAUUCCAUCCCUGGUGGUGCUGGACCACACAACAGGCAUGCCUCGCCUGAAGAAUGGCGGUGCUGGACAACACAACAGGCAAUGCCUCACCAGAGAGGUUCAGUUCACCCGCUACAAAAGAGUAGUAGCCGGUCUACAACCAUAUGAGUACGAAUAAGUUCAAGAGUAGGGUCAAAGCAGCGCCAAUUACUUCAGGUUCAUAGUGCAUGAGUACGAGGAAGUUCAAAAGCAGGGUCAAUUAUUGCAGGUUCAGGGAGCACGGUCACAAAUAAGAGUACAAGUUCAGGUUCAAGUGCAAGUUCAAGUUCAAGGAUCAUGAGUACUGGUAAAACACACUAGCCUAACCUCUGUCCAACUAUUCACAUUCUUAAGCAGUCAUGAAAUUCAAGUCCACCUACAGGUCCAAUACCAUAUAUUCAGUGAAGUUAGGUCCAUCAAGGAUACGUAUAAACACACUCGCCUAACGAGGUCAAGUCUCAAGGAAGUUCAAUCUAGUCGAUCUCAGGCAGCUCAAGACCAAUCUCAGGUAGUUCGAGGUCAAUCCCAAGUAGUUCAAGUAUAGCAAAUUCCAACACUUACCACUCAAGUGGUGCAACUUUAAUCCAACAGGAAUACUAGAAGAGAGAUACAAAACUAAAAAUUUCUCAACAAUUCUAGCCACUACCGAAAUCUAUCAAAACCCGAGCCACAUACUUAUUGAACAAGUCCAAGUCAUUAUUCACUCUCCUUAUUCGGUUUAGUCGUGAGUACAAUACAAAAUCUUCUGUGCUCUAACCUAUGCCAUCACAACUUAUCUCAAACUCACUUAUAAUUUCCAUUCACAUCGUCAUACAUUAAACUAUGUUCCAACCAAGAUUCAUGAGCAUUUCCUCAAGAAAAUGUCAAGUACUCAAAUACAAGAAUUCCAACUAAGAACUUCACGACUCAGAUCGUAUGGUAUUCAGCGAAAAUCAAAGUCAUAUUUUACAUAUACUACUUCCAGAAUUAGUGCCAAUGUCACCAAGUUCAAUCGGAUCACAUGCCUUUACGAAAUUAGAUCCAAUAGUCCAUAACACAAGCUGAAACCAAAGUUAUCCAUUCGAAGUUCAAAAUCUUCAAUAAACCAGCUACUAGUAAGAGCACCAUCAUCUCCAAGAAUAACCAAUCUUAGGUUCUAUAGCAGAGUCUCAAGUUCCAAGUUCAAAUCCAAGAAGUAAGCACAGCUUGCUAACUUACAUGUUAAAUAGAAACCAAGUCAAAUAAGCUCAUCAGUUAUUCACAAAUUUUCGAAUUCGAAAUUCAAGUAAAAUUCACCUUUUUACCAAAAUCGGAAAAUUACACAUUUUUAAAGCAUAUAUAUCGUAUUUCCAAUCAUCGCUUGCAAAUAAAACUAGGAAGUAUACAGGCAGAAAAUGCAUUUUAUUCAUUUGAUACUCUUUUAUCUUGGUUCAAAAUCAUCAUACGUGGAGUUUGGCCAGCAAACCUCGGUCUCUUAUUCCCCAUAGCCAGUACUAAUGAUUAUCUCAAUUCUUUCCACACUUACAAGUAUAAUUGCAAUUCAAAUUCGUCCAAUCUUUCACUACAAAACUCUCAUCCCAUAUUUUCCUUCAAUAUAAAUCAUAAACGCAAGCAAGAACUCCCAAAUAAUCAAUUUCUUUAACCUCUAAGAUACAAUAGAUCCUUGUUCACACAAUAUUCAAAUCAAUCCCACAGUCAGGCAUCCUAAAUUUCAAACUUAGGAUACACUACAGAGAUCGGAAGCCUAAGCUCUGAUACCAAUUGUAACGACCCCAUUUUCCCCUAAGGCGAACCAGAGGGGUCAACGGGCCGCCUGCCCAGCUCUCGCCAGGACUCCGUCAAUCACUACAGUUCUCCAAAAAUUACAAUAUAAAUCUCAAAUAUAUAUCAAUUCUCCAAGAACUACAUAUCACAAACGCUGCGGAAUGUACACGUACGUCCAUUCAAGUCCAAUCAUUCAUUACAAACCAUAUCCACAAGCUAUUACACAAGAGGCGAUCCAAAUUCAAACCGUACAAGGUGUAAUUCCAUCCAUUCCAAUUCCCCUAGCCCAACAAUUACACAAACGAUUCCAAAUCUAAACUAUACAAAUUACAAGCCAUCCAGGUACACGAUAACGUAAUACAGCUCUUCCUUUGUUCGAAACCGGUACUCGCAUAAACACAUCAAACACAUAAUGCAGUUUAUCCAAGACUUGAUAAGGACAUAUAUAUACAUGAGAAAGGUUCAAUUGUACACUUCAAAAGUACUUGAAUCAUUUACAUCAAAAUUCAAGUUUUCGAGGAGCAACUCAAAACUAGCUACAUAACUAGCUCAACUCAUUUCAAAACUUGAGUCCACAGUGUCCCUGUAAGGAAAACAAAACAACGGGGGUGAGCUUGCGCUCGUGAGGUACCAAAUGCACAAUACAUGAUAUGGCCAAAUAACAUAUAUGCAUAAGUGCCUUCAUUCAAACAUCCAUUUAUAAAAGGAUACAUUCGGCCCUCAAGGGCCGUUUCCGAGGUCCAUACUUGAUCGUACUCGUUGACACUCCGUCAACCAUUGAGGAUAACCAAAAACCGUAGACACCACUUCGCACCAAUUCCUUCCACCAUUCACCCCCUAUUCGGGCCCGCACACCUCAUAGUUUCAAAAGGUAAUACUCGAGUAUACCACAAGGUCGAGGAGAUAACACUCCACUCGCCUAUCAGAGACCCGAAGGCUCGUUAACGAAUCGCCCAAGCCCUUGCCGGCUCGACUCAAAUAACGGUCCAAGGGAAUGAGCUCAGUUUUCACAGAAAUAAUAGGGCAUUGCCCUAACAAAUAUCAAAUCACAUAUUCAUGAAAUUUCACAGUCCAACAGUAACAAUAGUGCAAGCAAGUGGUCAAGAGCGGUAAAGUACACCCUCGACCUAUUCAAGUCAUAUAACAAGUACAUUGAACCAUUUAAUGAUACACUCACCAAGCACGGCUCACGAAGCUUAUUCGGCAAACCUCAUUAUCUUGAUCAAGUUGAAAUCCUAAAACCAAAUAUCAAGUCAAGCAAAGGAAAAUUCUAACAUUAACAAGCUUCUAUUGCCUUUUGGCAUUUUAAGCAAGUAGCACCUAUCCGAUCGAAACAAAUCUUAUGGCGUUACGAAGCUAAAACAUAUGUCAACAUUUCUUAUGAAGAUUUCCAAGGCCAAAUCAUACAUUUUCAAAACCAAAAUCUGAAUUCUAGAGAAAGAACGAAAACUGUCAUAAAACAGGAGUCUAUAAACAGUCAGAGCAAAUCAGUCAUUUUCCAGGCUACAGAGGUCCAAACAAUCUGAAAUUUUGCAGGUAGGUAGUUAACUCAUAUAUCUACAAAAUUCAUGUUUUGAGCAAAAGCUGGUUCGGUCUAAAACACAGAGAAAAUGACAGUCCAAGUUCAGUCCAGAAACAGGGGAAAAACUGAAAUUACUCUCUUGAACCUAUCUUUGCGUAUAACCAUCCCUAACCACAAUUAAGGCCUAGAAAUCCCCACUUAACAUGAGACUAGUCUAUACUAAUCAUGUACAUGGCAAUUCCACGAGGACAAAUCAUUUCGAUAACGUCUGGAAGUACCACCAAACUUUCAAUCAUAAGAAUUCAUAAACUUAACCAAGAUUAACUCAAGUUCAAAGUAAUCAAAUGUUCUCUAAAAUUUGACAGCAUUUCCCCUUAAGUUUACACAUUUCCAACCUACCAUACAAAUACCCCAAUCAUAUAGCCAUUAACCACAAUUGCACAUACGGUUCGUAAACGAUAAAACAUAUCCAAUUAGGCCACAAAACCCUUUAAUCAAAACUAAUUAAAAGCUUAAAGCCAACCAUUAGAAAAACCCCCAAUUGAAACCCUAGAACCGGAAAUUCAUAUUAUAAGCGUAAAUUUUCCGCAAUUGAUCACCAUUAACGUAUAAGAGCUUCCAUUAACACCAUUUAAACCACUAAUCCAAAUCCAAUCCAAGACUUUCAUAUAAAAUCAUAAAAUACCCAAUAAAUCAGAAAAUCACCAUAAUUUCCAUAAACCCAUGAAAUACUCCAUAAUACAACACAUUUAAACAUCACAAACCCUAAAUUAACCAAUUUUAGAACCAAAAGGAACUUGUUUAAGCAACUUACCACAAAUUCAAGAAGCUAACACCUUAGAGCCUUCCCUCCACAAUCAAUCCAUCUAAAAGCUUUAAACCACCUUUGAGAGCACUUGUGUGAAAUAUUUGGCAAAACCACCGAUUAAAACUCAAGAUUCAAAGAAGGAAAUCAAAGGGAAGAAAUGGAGUUUUUCUUUUCUUGUUUUCUCUCCAAGACAGCCGGGCAAGGAGGGUGCAAAAUGACGAGCAAACACAGCCAAAACAAGAUAUUUAUCAAGCACAAAAGCUGGUCAAAAGUGGCUGCCGGACAUGACACGUCACAAUCCGGCCGGAUUCUUGGCCGGAUUCAAGGCAGAAUCGAAACCAAUUUUUUUUCAAAAUUGCAAGGCAAUCCGGCCAUCUAUCCGGCCAGAAACUGGCCGGAUUUCCGGCCGGAUUUGGCCCUUGCCAUUUUUCGAAACUUUUCUUUUCUUGUCCGAGUUGAAAAACUGUGCUACUCCGCUCGUCCAACAAAAAUAUCCAUAAAAUGAAAACCCUACUUUUCGGGGCGUCACAGGUCUUUAUAGCUAAUACCUUACACAACCCAAGGAGAAAGCCCAAUGGAAAAUCAUAGGGUUUUACCUAUAAAAACCUGUGUUGACAGUGACUGGAGAAAUGUAGUGUUCACUGUAAGUGUUACUUUUCUACCAGGAGAUGCCUGAUAAUGUGUAUUACCGACUUUGAGUGUGUUAUAUGUGCAUUUAUGAAUGUACACAUAAAAUUCCUUUAUUGUGUCAAAUAGUUCUUUAGCUACAAUUUCAGUGAGAAUCCCCUCCCAGACUUGGUGCAGAUGUUGUACAUUUCUUUCUGUACAUGAUAUAUUUGGUUCAUUAAACUGCAAGACAUCUUAAUGUAUUUUGGCUUCUGAACUCGCAGUAAAUUGGCGUUAUGGUAACGAAUGGUUUAUGAAUCUAUUCAAAUUAAUCAGCACGUUUGUUGUGGCUCACAUUCAUAAUUCAACAAGAUACCACUAGGGGUGUCCGGCAUGUAGCUCACACCAUCAGGGUGACACAGCCGAGCAUUAUUUCUCAAAUUUUGUAGUUAAUGCGAGACUGCUCAAUCUCAAAUGGUUCAAUUGAGCAUAAUAUUAAUGUGUGGAAUGGUAUGAUGAAAGUGGUUACUUCGAUUUGUAUUUUUGACGAGUGCACUUCAAGUUUUCAGUCUAUGCCUAUUGCUUAUGCUUACAAUUUUCUUCCAGCUUCACAAUGUUCUGACUUCUGGACCUUUAAGUUUCUAAACGUUUAACCAUAAACUGAUGCAUAGAUUGAACUCUUUUUCCUAAUCCUCUUGUUCCACCGUGUAUUUUAGAUCCUUGCACUCAUUCAGAUUUUGCAAGAUCUCUACAUAUUCUUUGCUUAGAAUUUUUUUCUUCCUGGAACUCAGAAGUUUUGGACUUGAUUUGGUGGGUCAAUGGAUGCAACAUAAUUGAACACUGUAUUACACAGGAAGACAUCCCAAGGCGUUCCGCCCUGGAAAUUCAAAGAUGUCUACUUGAGUGAGAUUCACAUUAAAGGCAUCGAACACUGUUCCCUUUCAUGUGACCAGUCGUAGCAUCCAUGGGAAGGCAUUGGUAGAAUGCAGAACUGACAAAAAUAUCAAGCAAAAGACUAACAUUGUUGUAGGAAGCCAUGUUGUGAAUUUUGCUAGAGGGUAGCCAAAAGUGCUUAUUAGCUUCCUGGUUGCUAGGAAUUAGGUAAGUUGGUAUAUUUACAGAAGCCCCUUAUGCACGGCGUUGGGGCAACUUUUCAAAUAUGGCUGCCAAUUAACGUAGGUUGUGUUGGAUGCAUUGAUUGUAUCUCGUUACAUAUUUGUUUGGUAUGUGCUUAAUGUCGUGCAAGUUAUCAAAUAAGCAGUCGAUUGACACUUUUUUCUUCGUUUAGCUAAGUCUGUAUCUCAUUGCAUCAUGAUUUAAAAUGACACUUGAUCCUUCAUUUGGAUUGAGUCGGUCGUGAGAUUUAACUCCUUCUUGAAUUUGAAGCUGUCAAUUCUCUAGUUUGCCAUUCUUGAUCAGAAAAAGUAAUAUGAUGAUAUGAAAUAUAACCAGUUGCAUCACUUACGUGGUCAUUAACUCUGACUUUUUUGUCUCAACACUGGUUAAGUCGAGCAAGUAAAUUUAAAUGCUAAGAACUCGCAUGCAUUUAUCUGAUAAAAUUGAAGAUGACAGCUUCGAUCUUUUCUUAUUGUUUUCUGUAGUAAAUUAUACUUCUUUUUAGUUUUAUAAUUAUGAAGAAUACUUUUUAUAAUUAUGUUUACAAUUAUAUUUCUUCAAAAAACUCAAUAGCGCCAGAAACUAAUUAGGAAAAUUCAAUGGGCUUGCAAUGCUUCAGUUUUUCUUCCUUUUUUUGGUUGAAACAUAAAGCAUUCCACUUGAGUUGUGUUGAUUUUAUCUUAGGUUUUGGGGUUGAGGAUAAAAGAGGAAGACUAUUAUAUUUUGGGUUUAAAAAACUUUGUAAACUAAUAGCUACUUGUCUGUAUUCCUACUUUUCAUGAUUUACUUGUGAAAUUUCACUCAAAAUAGAAAAUAUAAAACCAUAUAUCAAAUUUCAAGAGUCAUAAGAAUCACAAGGAUUGCCCAAAUUAACAUUUGAGCUAACCUUUACUAAGUUGAUGAACCAUAGAAUAUUAAUUGUAACUUGUUUCUUUUUGAAUUAAUUUUUCUUAUAUUAUCUGUGUAUAUACUUACAGACCUAUAUGCAUGUCGCAUUAUUUCAAUUUGAAUUUAAAUACUGAAUUUUUGUAUACGUGACCUGCAUCUAAAUGCGUUAAUGUAUACAUUCAUCUAAAUGCAUUAAUGUAUAAUGCAUUAAUGUAUACAUUGACCAUGCCAUAAAAAGAUGUUAAUGUACAAACGGAAAAUUUAUAAAUAUUCCUAUACUUGUCAAGCAUUUACAAUGAUAUAAUGACAGCACUUAUCAGUUUACAAUGAGAUAAGAUACGUUGAAUUUGAACGAAUCUAAAUUAGUUAAGUAAUCUAAUCCAAAUCUUAAUUGACCACUAAUUUGAAAAUUCAAAAGGUAUUUACAAAUGUCUUUAACUCAGUCCAACAAGAGUACGGUAGAGCAAAUAGAAUGGUGGAAUGAUCCACCUGAUUUUGAACCACUAAACUUGCUGGAUAAUUCAUUUGCAAGUUGAUGCAUCGAAUCCUGCUUUGAUGUCAUAAAGAAACCAAGAAAAGAAAAAAGGUUCAAUAGCAAUAUAGCACUCGUGGGAUUGCUGUUUGAAAUGUAAGUUAGAUUAGUAUUGCAAUUGUCAAAAGUCAAUUUGGGUAGCAAAGCCUCAGAGGAAAUGAUUUCAUGUCCUUUUUUGUUUGUUCCAAAGUAAUCUUAAACGAGAGGUUCCGUUGUUAACUUGUUAAGGAUGUGAUCAUGCAUCGUGGCUCCAUAGUCAACUAGAGGAAAGAAGUGAUACAAAUUAUGAAAAGGGGCAAUUAAAAUUCAAGCUUUUUCUUGUGUUUCAGGCUCUGAAAAUUUUACCCUAAUGAUAAUAAUUAGGCAAUAAGAAAAGCUAAUACAGUAAUUAACAGCAAAGUCAAAUGCUGUAACGUGCUUUAUUGGCAACCCUUUGGAUUUUAUCAGUUCAAAACCAAUUACAUUUGGGCAUGACAGGAUUUGUACACUAGUUCUGAAUUUAUACACCCUCAAUUAUGGCCAAAGAAGAAAAAGGUGUACACUUCAAUAUUUGGUCAAAAAAUGGCCAACCUCAGCAAUUGCUAAACGCCUAAACCAGAUGUGCCUCCUUGAAUUUUUGUUCUUCAAAUAUUUCUGCUGAAUCGGAUAUUCAAUGUAAACAUAUUGGAAAAAUCACCAAUCAAGAUCACCUUUAAAUACAUCCCCCAUAUUUGAUCUCUUGCAAACACACUUCUUUUAUUAUAAAUAUUAGUAAGUAACUAAAAAAGUAUCCUUUGUCUGCCCUAGCCGAAAAAACACAUAGCCUCCUUAAAUGUUAUUAUCAACCUGAUUAAACAAUUAUUUUUGUAUUUAAAAAACUUCCUUUUUCUAGAUUUAUACGUUUUAUUAUAUUUCAGCCGUAAAAUAGGUAUUGAUGAUUUCAGAAAUUUGACGUUUCUCAUAAUAUUACUUAACACCUCUAAAGUUUAAAAAAUUUCAUAAACUAUUAUUGCUAAUUUAUUAGAAGUUUUACAUUAAACUUGAAAGUUCGUGCAUAUGCUCUCAUAGCUUAUAGCUUAUGUAUCAUGUCUGACAUCACCCAGUUCUCUCUUGUGACCGUCACGACCGUCGUCCACCUUAAAACUCCGAUUUCCACAGGAUCCAACUUUAACUUAUCGUUUCGACCAAAAAAAAAAAAAAGAAGACCACACGACAGUUGUCCACCUCACACUUCCAAGGACCAUUCUUUGUAUUAAUGCUUCCUUUUUUCUAAGAAGACAGUAUAGCAUAUGUUGACAAGGAUUUUCUUAGAGGUGGUGGGAUGAAAGAAAGGAUUGCUUUACAGGUACGUAAUCCAAAAACAUUAGGAUUUGAAACUUAGAAAGUUGACAAGAAGGUAUUAUAUAAUUAUAAGGUACGUGUCAUGGUGCGAUGUGUUGCACUACUGUCAAUCAUGUUUAACCAAAUAAAUAAAGUAAUUCUAUCAUGUUUAGCAAGGGCAGAACUAGGGGGAUGCGGAGUGGCCUCAUCCCCCAAGUUUUAUAAAAUUUAAUUUUCUUUUCCUGUAAAAUUAAAAUUUAUAAAAAUACUUUUUUAUAAAUUUAAGCUCUCACCCUUGCAAAAGCCUAAAACAUUUUAGUUUCCAUGUUAAAGUUUAGGUAUCCUAAAGGUUGCCCCCUCAAAUUAUAUUUUCUGGUUUUGUCUAUAACGUUUAGUACCUACUAGACAAAUUAAUAAUUCUAUUUUUUCAUUGUCAAACCAUCUAUCUCAAAAUUAACAAAAUAAAAACUCUUUCACUUUCACUCAUGUGGACCACAUUGAAUAUAUUCCGUCAUAAAGAAGGCAUGAGGGUCGUCCACAAGUGCAGAUCCAAUUGUACAUCUGCAAUACACGACACGGAAUGUACCUAUCUUUGAAUUCCAUAACCGUAGUUAGAUUUUAUAACACAAAUCUUCGAUAAGAAGAAAAUCAUGUGUACACGCACAUGUGUAAAGAAGUGAUAAACCAUUGGAGUUUACCUAGUGUCAGAAGAAUACUCUUAAAAUCUUUUUUACUGUCAAGUUCAAGAUUCAAAUUUCAUGCUUAGUAGUUGGAGGUAGGAAGUAUGUAAAGAAGUAAUAGGUUCUAUGUGUUUUGAUUACGAGUUAUUCAAGAAAAAACUUUUAAAAUAUUUUCUAGACACGUUUCUCAUUUACCUGUUCAUCUUGUAUAGAUUACAUCACUAAAACGUAUUUUUCUAUAAAUUCUCCCAUCCAAAUAGAUCCAGUUCUUGAUUUUUUUUCAAAAUUAAACAAAAAUUUGUUAUUGCUCAGAAUCGAUGAUGGAAGAAGCUUGAGCGAUAGAAGAACAAGUGGCGAAUGGAAACAAGGGUAGAAAUGAAAGUUUGAACCUCAUUGAAUGGUCAAAGACUCAAAGCUGUCAUGGCUUAAAUUUGAAGUCCCAGGCCGGCAGGGAAAGGGGAAUUUGCCGGCAGGGAAAGGGGAAUUUGAAGUUUAUGAAUUGAGAUCUUGAUUUCAAAUCUCUCUAUUUUUCCCACUUUUACGGCCCCACAAGUUUUCCCUGCUGAAAAAAAAAAGAGAGGGGAUUAGUGUUUGUAAGCCUAAACAUUUAUUAUGCAUGUCUUCAAGCACUUUGAUAUAUAUGAACAUCGUACUCAACGAUCCUCAGCCAAUAAGUACAGAAAUGAGUGAUCGUCUUUUUCUGCAUUUUAGGUACCUUUCUAUUUCCAUUUCCCACUCGGCCAAUAAGAAUAGAAAUGAGUGAUCAUCUUUUUCAGAGCUUUAGUUGCCUUUUGAUUUCCUUCCACGACAGUUGGGACCUCAUGGCUACAACCUUACAAAGGAACCUUGUGAAGGGGAAGAAAAAAACAGAAAAGGAACCUUGUGAAGCCCUAGUCGUUUCUGCUACUGCUUUUAUUCUUGCACGAUAUUUAUUCUCUUGGUCGAGAACGUAGCAAUAGAUACUGUUCAAUUAUGUCUCAGCAUAAGAGGAUAAUUUUAGAAACCUCCUCUAAGGUUUCUGACAAUUUUAUUUAGCCCUCAAAUUUUAAAAAUUUUCACUUGUCUCUCUAACUAUAAGUUUUUUUGUAUCAUUUACGACCAUUUUAAAAUAUAAUAUUAAAAAUUUAUUUUGGGGGGAGAGAAUACAAUUUCAUUCCAAACUUGCCCAUUUUCUUGUGAUUUCUUGAUUGUCAAAAUACACCAAAUUUUUCUCUUAAUUUUUGUAAAUUGAUCGAUAAAAAUUUAAAAAUUGAUAGCAAGAUCAGAAAAUUCUUUAAUAGCUUUUGCAUCAUUGUUUUGAACAAGAAAUGUUAAAUUACUUAAAAUUAUGAAUAAUUUACAAUACUCUUAAAAAUAACUUGAAAUAAUUUACAGUCAUAAUAUUACAACCAACCAUAAUAAUACCUUAUUGUACUAGCUUAAAAAUAAUACAAACAAAUUUUAUAUAUAAUUUUUAGCAUCUUUUAUCUUUUAGUUUUUAAACCAUCGAUUUAGAAAAAAAAAAUUAGAAAAUUGAAAAAAAUGUAAAUGAUUGAUGAAACUUCUUAAAUUUACUCAAAACACUUUACAAUUAAAAAAUACACUAUAUUCUGUACAAUAAGAAUAAGUCUUCAAAAUUUUUGUUUUUAUUUGUUAUUAAUAUACUCAAGUUUUUGUAAUAAAAAAUAAGACAAUAAAACUGCAAAUUUGGAACGAGAUUAUAUUUACUCUCUCGAAAUGAAUUUUUUAAUAUUAUAUUUUCCAAUGGAUUGUAAAUGAUACAAAAAAAUUUAAAGUAAGAGAGGCAAGUGAAUUUUUCAAAAUUCAAAGGUGCUAAGUGAAAUUGUCAAGGUUUCUGAAAUUAUCCCAAUAUUAAUAAGGAAUACUUGGUACUGCAAAAGAAGCAAUUAAGUAUACCUUUUAUGCAAUUAACCUACAGUAGUUUUGUUUUUCUUUUUUUUUGGUGCCUUGAAUUUUCUUUUUUAUAAUCAACAGAGAUAUCCACAUUUUCUUGAAAACCUUGAAGCCAUUUCAAUGCAUAUGGUGGAUGACAAAGGAUACACCAAUUGGUUCAGUGAUACAAUAGUAUGUACCUACAGUUGUCAACAGAUAUACAAUUGGUUCGGAUUAACUCUACUUGCACUUUUAAACUUGUAUCCCUUUUUCACUUUGCACCAUGAACUUCAAUUUUGAACACUUUACACCCUAAACUCUUAAUUUCAAGCACUUUGUACCCUAAAUUCUUAAAUUUAUUUCAUUUAAUUUCAAUCAAUUAUUAUAUUGAUAAAAUUAAUGAGAUAAAGGGAGGUAAAAAUUAAUAGCAAUGUACUUUUGUUAUUAUAUUCUUAAAUGUACUUUUGUUAUUUUCUUCAGGAAAAGACUUAAACCCCACCUGCACUAGGGUACAACAAACAAAGGUGAAUUGGAUAUACUUCCGUACGACUGCAGAACUCAUUUACACAAUGCGAUUUUGAUGCAGCAAUAAGAAAUUAUAUCAAACUUGAAAUCAGUCAUCCUUUGGGGUUCUAUAAAUACCAUCCUCCCUGUCAGUUAUGGACACAUUCCUGCCUAGCUACUUUUAGUUUCAGGCAAACUACAUAUUCAUACCUAGCUGAACUGAAAUUAAACUUUCCAUGGCAUACCAGAGCGCCUACAAUAUGAAUUACCAGAUACUACUAUGCUUGAUACUCUUCUCCUAGUCCUUCUCCUGCCACUGCCAUCCCAUUCUGCUGAUCCAAGCCCAUUGCAAGAUUUCUGCGUUGCAGAUCUUGAUUCCUCUUUAUACAUUAAUGGCUUUCCGUGCAAAAACCCUGAUAACGUAUCUUCACAAGACUUCUUCGCCAAUGGGUUCCAACAAAGUCCAGGAGAAUUCAAUAUUUUUGACGUCAAUGUCACUCGCCAAGAUGUUCAGCGAUUUCCAGGACUCAACACUCUAGGGCUGUCAAUGAACCGAGUGGUUUUGAAGCCUGGAGGGCUGAAUGCACCCCACGUCCACCCUCGUGCAGCCGAGCUGGCUCUAGUCAUGGAUGGAAAACUGUUUGUAGGCUUUGUGACAACCGGAAACGUUUUCUACUGGAAAAUUGUGACUUCAGGAGAGUUGUUUGUGAUUCCUCCUGGGCUAGUGCACUUCCAACUGAAUAUUGGACACGAGAACGCACGCUUCUUCGCCUCGUUCAACAGUCAAAAUCCAGGGAUUCAGUUCGCCCCCCUUGCUCUUUUUAACUCCACGCCUUCGAUUCCUGAUCUCGUGUUGAGUAAAGCAUUUCAAGUAAAUCAAAGUAUCAUUGAGCUCAUUAAGUCUAGGUUUGCAACUGUGUCGACUGUGUCGACCGUGCUUAAGUCAUCUUACUAACAUCCUAUUCCAGGGUGUUGUUCAUUAUAGUUGGCAUAUUAAAUAAUAAAAUCUUCUAUAUUAUCGUUUAAUUGUAUUUUGGUCAAGUUAAUUUUUAGUAGUUUUAUUGGCGUCAAAUUAGGAUAGUUUUACUAUUUAGAAACUAGUAUUGUAUUAAGUAAUUUCCUAUGCUUGUCAGUAGUCAUGAUAUGUAUUUGGUUGGAAACAAUAAAAGUUUGAGUCUUGUCAUUGAUAUUAGUCCUCUUCAUGUAAAUUAGCCUCCAUAUAUAUAUAUAUAUAUAUAUAUAUUGGUUUUGCGAAAGUUAUCUCCUAUAAUUUUUUUUGGGUAUAAUUAUUAGGCUCUACAUCUGGUAUCGAAUCCUAUUUGCAUGAAAUUAAUCUUUGGGUGAGUUGUCAGAGUUAGGACACAAGAAUUGCCGGGACUGUUCAAUUGAUCACGUAAGGCCAUUAUGUUGGUUUUGGAGUAUUUAAUUGGUCAAAAUUAGGCCAUAAAAUUGGUGUGAAAAUUAUUAACUUGAUUGUGGAUAUUGCUAAUGGUGACAGUUUUUGACAUGGUACGUAAACGCGGCACAAAAAAUCCUAAAUGAAACAUGAUACGGAAUAAUUUAUGUCAAAAAUGGAUCCACGCAAACAGAAUGGGUUGUAUUGGGCCAAUCCAUAGGUUGAUAUGACUAACAUGUUUUUGACACGUUAAGAAUUUUGAAAAAAUGCUACUUGCUUCCCUCCUAAUACUGCACUUAAAAUAAAUGGUUUUGUAUUAAAUUUUAUAGUUUAAGAACUAAAAUAAUAUAAUCAACCUCCUAUAAGAAUACAUAAACAACACAUAAAUCGAGACUCUGCAAAUUCACAUAUGCAACUGUUAUGAUUUUAAUUUUUUGCUUCCUUCCUUUAAUAUUCUUAUUUUCUCAAAUUGACAAGCAUAAACAACCUCUAUGAUUUUAACUUUUCACUUCGAAACUUACCUUUAGAUCAAAAAUAUUAUUGCUCAAUUUUUCUUCCUUUCUUGUGAUUAAAUAUCUUUUCUAGGUAAACUUUAAUAUUUCACAAAUUUUCUAUCAUUUUUGUCUAUUUUAUUUGAACAUUUUCUAGUUUAUACUGCUCCUCUAUUUUAUCAUUUUCCCUAUCAUUUUCUUUCUAAAGUUUUUCUUUCUUGUGAAAGAAAAAAGAAAGAAAAACAAAAUAGGCUUUUUUCUGUAUAUUAUUAAUGAGAUAAUCAUGCAUCCAAAACUUAUACAAGUAAAAAUCCAAUGACAGGCUACAACUAAAUUAGAUUAAGAGAAUAUUACAUAUUUUCUUGAAAGAGAACCAUGUUUUAUUUUUCGGCAAUAUUUCUCCUAUAAUUUUGAUAUAAAAAGUUAAAUGAGUCAAUUGGGUCAAAACAUGAGAUGAACCUGUCCAAAUGUAUGGAGUAUUGCAGCAACAAAUCUUUUUGAAGAUUAAGAAUUCAAAUUUAUAUUAAUGAAAUUUACAAAUGAGAUUAUUAUUGCUGAACUUGAUUCAAUAGAGAGUUUGAUUUAAGGGAAACAAUGUUGGCAUAUUAAAUUAAAGCUAAAAAUUUGAAUUUUCUAUACUAUUAUUUAGUAGUAUUUUGGUCACACAAAUUUUUUUAGUAGUUCUACGAGAGCUAAGAUAUGGUAGUAUAUUUAAGAAUUGGAGGCUCUAGGACAUAGAGGUUCUGGGUUCAAAUCUCCAUUCCUCCUCCCCAUUUCUUAAAUCCUAUCUCUCCCCUUGAUUAGAAAAAGUUAAAAUAAUUAUUUAGAAAUUGGUACUGUAUUAGAUAAUUAUUGUAGCUAUCAAUACUUGUUUAUCAAAUCAUGUAAUCUGUAAGUAGAGUCAUAUUACCAUACCCACUUGAGAAGAUUGGAAGUUUAAUAGCCUUGUUGUUGUGGUGUUAUUAAUAUUUUAUUAUUAAUAUCAUUGUUCUUUUCUCACAUAUACGUGUAUAUGUGUAAAUUAGCCUCCCAUAUAUAUUGGGUUUGUGGAAUUUAUCUCUCAUAAUGAUCUUUUGACUAUAAUUGUCACGCCUCGUGCCUAGAACGUAGCACCACCACACAUAGACAAUGCUAAAGGCGUAAGGCAACAAAUUUCCAAAGCAACUACAUUUACCUUUAUAUAAACUUUUUAAAUCCACAAAUACAAGAUCAUCUAUAACAGCAAUUUUGUGUCUUCCAAAAUAAAAGCAAGAUCAAACCUUCUACAAUAUGUACAAAAUUCAAAUCCUAUCAUAAGGUCUCUUAUAUAUAAGUACAAAAGUCAUCCUCUAACCCAAAGUCAUCUCCAUCUCCAUUACAACCCCCAAGAGCUAUCAAGGUCUACUUCAAUGAACUCAUCAUUAACUGCAUAAUUAUAACAAAGGGGUGAGCAAAAUCUCACUUAAUAAGUAGUGCAUGUAUCUCAUUAUUUGCCUGAGCAUGUUACAUACAUAAUAUAUAUUUCAAACGUCAUUAACUUACACAUAUAACUUUAUAAGAACAUGGUUACUAUAAACAUUUCAAUGGCAUAUCAUACAUCACACACACAAAGGAGCUCAAACCAUAAGACAACAAUUGACCCAGGAUAUCCAGUUGUUAACUUAAACUUAACCAGUUAACACAUUUCAUAGUGCUAACUACCACAUAGUUAGCCCAUUUCAUAUUGCUCACUACAACAUGGAUAGCUCGUUUCAUAUACCAACUACUUGUGAGGAACUAGUCCUGUCAAAAGUCGCUUAUACAAGAGCUCAACAAACAUAACAUUUCAUUUCACAAAUGACCAUAGCAAGAGUAAUAACAAAUAUCACAAAUUAUACUUGCUCAUGCCAUUUUAGCAAUUAGACAAGUAGCUUUCAAAAUUUAUCAUUCAAAAAUAAAGGAUACAUGCACCAGUUACCUCGAUCCAAUCGAUACCCACGCUAUUUCAAGUAAUCGGAAAAUAGCUACCUUCCUCACCUAGACAUAAUGAUAAAAUGUUCAAUUACAAUCUUAAAGAUACCAAACUACUCCAAAUUAUCAUAAAAACGAGCCUAAUACUACCCUUAACCACUAAUUCCUAAUAAAAGAUCAUUUCCUCAUCAAAGUAGGACAUAAGGGUUUACUUUAAAGGGUCACUAACUUCCAAAAAUACAGAAAUAGGUCAAGAGAUUUAUAUAGAGUUAAAGCCCUCUGAAUCUAGUUUCCAACGCAAUAAACGGCACCUAAAUCCGAAUUUUCUACACCAAGUUAUAUCCAAAGCAUUGAAAUAUGUCUAUACAGAAAAUUCAAUCUGUCCGAGAAUUAUAGCCAAUCCAUCCGAGGAUUUUAGCCAAUUCGUUCGAGGAUUAUAGCCAUGGAUUUCUAGCAAGUUUUCAAGGCAAAAAAAGUCAUUCUUUCCCUCAACAUUUCUCCUUUUUAUAUUGAUGAUAGCCCUACAUACCCAUUUGAAAAUGGAGACCAAAACAAACUCCAUACACCAUAGCCAUGGAAGCUAACCAAGGAUUUGAACCAAAUACUACCCAAUCACCCAAUCAAAGAAAACCAAGAUCAUGUUCAAGGUUUCAAGAAAAUACCUUGGUUAGUCGUCAAAGUAGAAUCUCCUAACUCCUCACUCCUUACUUGUGCUUGAUUUGUCAAGAAUCCUCCUUGAUUGUAAGGAAAAAGGAGAGAAAUAAGAAAGGGUUUUGUUGGAGAAGGAAGGAAAAAAGGAAAUGAAGAAGAUGAAGAAAGUUUUUGGUAAAAAUGAAUAGUGAAAUCCCAAUAUCACUUUUAUUCUUUCAAAAUUUCACAUAUUAACACAUUGGUCACUCAACUUAACGUCAUUCACUUUUCACCCCAAAAUAGUAUUUCUUCACACAAAAUUCUCUACAAGACACUUGGGUAUCACAUUCUCCCCCUCUAAUAAAAGUUUUGGCCUCGAAAUUUAACGUACCUCGUUGGUUAAACAAAUGUGAAUACUUAGUUCGCAUUUCCUCUUCGAGUUCCCAAGUAGCUUCACGAGUACUAUGAUUGGACCAUUGAACUUUAACAUAGGGAAUUGUCCUUCUUCUUAGCACUUGAUCUUUACAACCCACAAUUCGAAUUGGCUUCUCACUAUAAGUUUAAUCCUCUCAUACCAUUAAUGGCUCAUACUCCAGGAUAUAACUUGGAUUAAAUACAUAUUUUCUCAAUUGCAAAACAUGAAAUACAUUGUGAACUCUUGAUAAAGAUGGUGGCAAGGCUAACUUGUAUGCCAAUUCUCCAACUCUAUCCAAAAUUUCAAAAAGCCCAACAUAUCUUGCACUCAGUUUUCCACGUUUCCCAAAUUGCAUGACACCCUUCAUUGGUGAAAUUCUAAGAUAUAAUUUAUCCUCUUCUUGAAACUCUAAUGGUCUUCUUUUCAAAUCGGCCCAACUCUUUUGUCUAUCUUGUGCUGUUUUCAACCUUUCUCUCACUAGUGCCAUCUUCUUGAUUGUAGCUUGUACACUUCCUCCCAUAUAGAGCUUCAAAAGCUAGCAUGCCGAUACUACUAUGAUAACUGUCAGUGGCAUGGGCAGUAGUGGAAAAAGAAGCAACUGAGUAGUGGAGGUGGGUCUUGACACUUUGAAGGUUGACUUAGAAAUUGAUAAUCAAUUCCACUACACAUUUAGUUCUGAUCAAUAGAAGGUAUGCCAUUUACUGUAUCAUAGCUAUCAUUUUUUUUGUGCAAGCCACGAUUAUCUGUUUGUUUGUUCUUGCUACAGGGGUUGGACAACACUUUCAGAUGUGCUUCUGAACUCUGAACAUAGGUACUGUGUGUAGUAUAUAUAUAGGAACUUCAAGAAAAAGCAUCCUAGACAAGGUUUAAAGGACAGACUUUGGAAUAUUGCUAGUAGCACAACAAUCCCACUUUACAAUAAAGCUAUGGAUGACUUGAAAAAGUAUAACAAAGAGGCCUUCCAGUGGGUCAAGAAUACUCCACCUCUUAGGGGCAAAACUUUCUUCCUUACUCACACAAAAUCGGAUUUACUUGUAAAUAAUUUGUGAGUCAUUUAAUGCACAUAUUUUGGAGGCAAGAGAAUAGUCUAUUAUAUCAAUGCUAGAGUCAAUUAGAAUUAUGCUAAUGGAGAGGAUUCACGCAAGAAAGUUAGCAAUGUAAAGGUACGAGGUCCAACAGGCCCACUGAUUAGAGAAAUUGUAGGAGAAAGGGUCAAAUUAGCAAGUUAGUGGAAGCCAAUCUUCAAUUCAAUUGAUAGUUAUCAAGUUCAUGGCCCACAUGGGGCCCAAUUUGUUGUUAAUUUGAAAAAAAGGCACUGCGCAUGUCUAUUAUGGGAGGUGAGUGGUAUUCCUUGCUAUCAUGCCAUUGCUUCUAUUCACAUGAACAAUGGUGACCCGUACAAAGAGUUAGAUAAGUGUUACAGUAAAGAGCUAUUCCUUAGAAUCUACAAUAAUGUGCUAGAGUCUAUUAAUGGUCAUGAUCAUUGGCCCUUUUCAUCAAUACUAGUGUUGGACCCACCUUCGAGUGUAACUCCACUCGAGAGGCCCAAGAAAGUUAGAAAAAGAGACGUGACUAAGGUAAAUAUCAUGGAAGAAAAUUAAGGCGAAGAGUUGCGAUACAUUGCAGGAAAUAAGGGCAGCAGGACAUAAUGUAGCAACAUGCAAAAAAGAGAACAAUUCAAGGGUGUCUCAGGGAGAUCAACAGCAAAUAGUAAUAAGUAAAGUGCAGCAGUCAGCAACAAAUACAUCACAGCAGGUCAGGGGCUUUAAACCUUGUUACAUCUUGGUAUUAAUUUUCAUACAUAUUUAUUCAUGUAAUUUGUAAAUGAUGACAGGUCAAAAGGGUUCAACGGAAAGCCAGACAACAUACCAGAGCACAACAGAGUACCAAUGGAGGGUCGCAUUAGGAGCUUGCGUAGAACCAAUCCAAGCAGCUAGAGAUUGCAUAGGAGCAUUCCCACUAGCAACAGGCUACACAUGAGCCAUCUCAUCAGCAAGAGGCUGCACAUGAGCACUCCCAAUAGCCGCAGCAACCUGCUCAUCAGCAGCGUACCAAUCAACUAAGAAGGAUUGCUUUUUAGAGACUCUUAAUUGAUGCAAAUAAGGGAAUGAUAAAUUUGAACUAUGCUUAUUUAGGAAAGAACCACUUAUUCACUGUUGGGAAUUGGAGAAGGAAGUGGAGUGAGAGAGGAAAGCGGGGAAGAGGAUCUGGAAGAAGACAAGGGAGUGAAAGAUGAGAGACAACUGCUUCUCCUUUUGUCAUUUGGUGAUAAUUGUAAAUGAUGUCAACCUGCAAGGCCAACAACAGCUCUCUUUUUGUCAAUUGUAAUUUUUUGUUCAUGGAUAUGUGCUAGUUAUCAAUUGUAAUGAGUUGGUUGGAAACUUUCUUUCUGUUGUAGGGGUUGAUUUGUGGUACAAUUGGCUAGCUAUUUGGUGUAAACUUACUUUUUGUAUAUGAGAUCAAGACUUCGGUUGAUUAAUGGGAAUUGGUUCUUUUCAUUUCUUGUGCCUGUUGAACUUUGGUUAGCAACACGUUUCAAUUGAACUCACGUUAUCAUUAACAUUCUUGACUGAAUUAGUAGCUAAUUUACUUAACUAACAACAAGGCUUACAAAUUUUGUCUAGACAUACACUAGCUUCACCAAACUAGCUAAACAUUCCAUAAACCUAUCUACCAUGUACAUUUGCUACUAUAUUUGAAGAGUCCAAAAUAGUGUACAUUCACUACUACACCUAAACAAUCUAAAACAACGCCUUCAUUUUUCACCUUCAAUUUGUCAUAUAUAGGUUGUAUUCCUUCACUUUUGAACCCAAACAAGCACUAUCACAAUGACCCAGGUGAUCAAAAGCAGUCUCAUCAGAAUCUUGUUCAACCAUUUAUGUGAUUGGAUUUCUUUUUGCAAUACUAUUAUUUUCUGAUUCUUGUUUUCCAACUUUCUCUCCAACCUUCUUCUAACAUCUUUACUUUCAUCUCUUUCUUUUUCCGUCCAAUUGAUUCUCCUAAGAAAACAACAUAUCAACUCUACGGAAUGAUGACCCAGGUGAUCAAAAGUAGCCAAGUGUCAACUCUAAGAAGACCAGGUAUCAACAAUGACCCAGGUGAUCAAAAGUAAAGUAGCUUUAUCAGAAUCUUGUUCAACCAUUUAUGCGAUCGGAUUUCAUUUUGCAACUCUCUUAUUUUUUGAUUCUUGUUUUCUACCUUUCUCUUCAACCUUCUUCUAACAUCUUCACUUUCAUCUCUUUCUUUUUUCGUCCAAUUGAUUCUUCUUAGAAGACCAGGUAUCAACUCUACGGAAUGGCAACACAUUUCCCUGUCAAUUCAAGACCCAGUGCUAGCAGCCACCAUCUACACAAACAGCAUGCCUCCUCCCUAGAUUCCUGUCGGUCCAUGAAAUAAUCAUCUUACAAGCUUUGUCGCACCCACAAUUGGGGAUUGAAAGGCAUUCAUAUGCUCACAUUUUUUCACUGCGAUAGUUGCCUUUGUUACUCAGAACAACUAGAUCUAUUUCUUGCAAGCGCACUUUGGAAACCAUGGAAACAGCCAUGAAAAUAUGAAAAAAGAGGCUUCCUUUCAUGUUUUAACCUAGCAGCUAUGGUGUGCUGAUGAAAAUGCCCUUCACUUAUCCCCUCUGUCUCGUGUCUGUUGCUCUUUCUAUUGGACUUAACGGCUCUAGCUCACGGAAGGGCCACAAACAUACCAUUUAAUUAGAUGGAGGGCCAAAAGCAUUCAUUUAAUAGUUGGGGGGCCAAAACUUGAAUUUUUAAAUAGUUCGAGAGCCAUGGAGACAUUCUACCCUUUUAUUGCAGCACGUGAAAGAGUAGAUCUGUCACUGCAAGAAAUGAGCAUUAGUAUACUCUUAAUGAAAAAUUAUUUUUUGAAAUAAAAAAAUAUGUAUACAAUCUGUCUAAAUAACUAUAAGAGGCGUAAUUGGUAAAGCUACUACCUUAUUCAUCAUAUGACCAAAGUAAAAUUUUAUAAUUUCUGCCCAAUAUCAACUGUGAAAACAAUAAUGCAAAGAAUGAUAUGCCAAAAGCACACCUAAAUAGUGUUUUAAAAACUAGAUUAGACCAAUCGAUUCAACUAGUUUAACUACUAAGCAGUCAUAUUGCAUGGGUCAGAUUCUGUAUUAAACCUAAAAAGUUAAUUGAACCAGUCAAGAACUAGUUGAGGCAAUCAAAACAGUAAAAAUCGAAUGAUUAUACUAGUUUGCACUAAUUUUUUAAAAUUUUAGUGUUAUCAAAUUAUUUAAAAUAAAAAAAAACCUUAACCAUGUGGUUGAAAACAUUAGCUACACCCAAACAUCAAUGUUGUCUAUUUGGUGGUGGUGCUCUCUAUUUGGUGAUGGUGGUGCUAUAAGUGAGAAUGGUAGGAUUUGGUGGUAAUGCUCACUAUUUGGUGAUGGUGAUGGUGUAAGUGGGAAUGGUGGGGAAGGAUUGGGAAUGGUGUUCUCUAUUUGGUGGUGGUGGUGAUGUAAGUGGGAAUGGUGGGGAAAAUGGCAAUCAAAGAGCAAAAUGGUGCAUUUAUAAGUUUGUUAAAUUAGAGCUUAGGUGAUGCAGAAUUGAAGAAAAUGAUAGAUUAAGUGACUUGCUAGUUUGACCAAAAAAAAAAAAAAGUGACUUGCUAGUGAUUGCCCGUGACUUUCUCCUAUCAAAAUUUGACCGAAAAGAUGAGCAUGAACAAAAAAUGAGCAUUUAUAUAAAGAGUAUUUAUAUGAACAAAAAAUGCUCAAUCCCUCUAGGAAAACAAGGACUUGCUUGCUACCUUUCCCAUAUGGUUUUUCACUAUUUUUCAAAAACCCUAAUAACCAAUUGUUGAAAAAUCGAGUUGGAAGAAUGGUAAAGGGGCUUUUGCUGUUGGUAGAACAGAGGAUGGAACUGUAUUACAGAUGUUGGAAGGGUCGAAGAGCAAUAAAAAGGAAAGGAUAAAGAAACAUAGGGAUGAGAAUGACGACAGAGGGAGGAUAGACAUAAGAGACACAUUUUAUUUAGCAGUCAUUUAUGAAUAUCAAAUUAAAUAAUAUAACAAUAUUAUUAACCGAGAAUAACAGAUUGCCAAUCUUCAUUAACGAGGUAGCACAAUAUGAUGAGCCGUUAGUGUAAAGUAGGUUUACACUGACGGUAUAGGAAAGAUUUACUCAUAAUUUUAGGGCAUUCUACAAUCAUUUGUGAGUGUUAUACCCACACGUGAAAUUUAUCGUUGAAUGGUGAAAGAAGUGUUAUUGACCCUUAGAUUAAACAUUAUUAAAUAUUUAAAUUUAAACUAUUAUCUUUAGUGAGAAAUACUAGUUGAGCAAUGGUACCAAUAAAAAGACCAUGAAAUUUUUUUAAGUGCAUUUAACUGAUCUUCUAUAGUUGUGGAUCGCCUAAUGUUUGGUAAUUGAAAGAUAAUGUGAUGUGAUUGUAAAUAUAAUAUUUCAAGCAACUUAUAAUAGGUUUGUUAGAAUCUAAACUACGUACAGGAGAGAAAAGAUAAGCUUUGUCUAUGAAUUACUUGUUUGCUUUUUAACAGAUAAAAACAAAAAUUGAUUAAUAGUACUUAAAUAAUGGUAGUACCUACAUAAUUUAAAAUGCACCAUAGAAAUGCUAUGCUACUACUAAAAGAAAAUGAAUAACUAUAGAAGAAAUCAGCGGUGGAGCUAGAAAAAAAUUUUCAGUGAGGGCAGAAUUAGCAUAGAGCUUUGCACAUAACAUUGGGCAAUAACAAAUAUAAACAUGGUAAGUAAUAUGAAAUAGUGGCAUACAUAUUUAAUCAAAAGGACAAGAGAAUGUCACUAAUAUUCUACGAUUCAUUAUAGUGUAAAUUUUUUGUGUAUGGGAAUCUUCACAAGUAAACUUAAUAUCUUAAACUAUCGAGUUUGUGCAUACAUAUAUUCAUCAUUAGAGUGAUAUAUUGUGUCUGUCGUUAUUAAACAUUGUUAUCAAACAUAUGUAUUGAAUUAGAAACAAAUUUUUUGACAAAUCAACACUUAGAAUCUAUAUUUUUCUUUUGUCAGUAAGGACAAAUUGAUAAAUUAGAUAGGGGAAAAUUAUAUUUUUCUAAAUAUUAUAUACCUAAAAAUGAAAAUUUUCUUUGGUCAGUGGGCAGUGUAGAUAGGGGAAAAUUAUAUUUUUCUAAAUACUAUUGCCUAAAAAUGAAAAUUUUCUUUGGUCAGUGGAGGCAGUAGGUGCAAAUGCCCCUAUUGAUGAAAGAGCAGAUUUAUCACUGCAAGAAAUGAGCAUUAUUAUACUCUGAAUUAAAAUUAUUUGCUGAAAUAAAAAAAUAUGUAUAGAAUCAGCUAUCUAAAUAAUUAUAUGAUGUUUUAAUUGGUCGGUGAAGCUACUACCUCAUUUAGCAUAUGACCAAAGUAAAAUUUUGUAAUUUCUGCCCAAUACCAACCUUGACAACAAUAAUGCUAAGAAUGAUAUGCCAAAAAGUACACCUAAACAAUGUUUUGAAAACUAGAUUGGACCAAUUAGUUCAACUAGUUGGACCAUUGAGUAGUCAUAUGGUGUGGAGUCAGAUUCUGUAUUAAACUUAAAAAGUUAAUUGAACCAGUCAAAAACUAGUUCAUGCAGUCAAAACAGUAAAAAUGGGAUGAUUAUGUCGAUUUGCACUAAUUUUUUUUAUUUUAUUAUUAUCCAAAUUAUAUAAAAUAAAAACAAAUAAUAAGUUUAACUCAUUACUGAAAACAUUGUCUACAACCAAACAUCAAUGCUCUCUAUUUGGUGAUGGUGCAGUCUAUUUGGUAAUGGUAGGGGAGGAUUGGGAAUGGUGCUCACUAUUAGGUGGUGGUGGUGGUGUAAGUGGGAAUGGUCGAGAAAGAUUGGGAAUGAAGAAGGGAAAUGGCGCAUAGGUAAGUUUGUUAAAUUAGAGUUUGGAUAGAAUAAAAUCGAAGAAAAUGAUAGAUUAAGUAAGGUGCCAGUGAUUGUUCGUGACUUUCUCCUACCAAAAUUUGACCAAAGAUGGUAGAUUAAGUGAGUUAUCAACAAUGUUUUGAAAAUCGGACCGGACCGGCGGGUUCGGCCGGUUGAACCGCGAACCGGCCAUGGCACCGGCCCGGUUCAAUGACAUAGUUGACCUUGCCAGAAAAUCGGUCGAACCGCGAAAACCGCCGAACCGGUGGUUUUCGAUUUCCAACUUUUCUUUUUUUUUUUUUUAUUUUUAGUUUUGCAAAAUGCAACUAUCAAAAUUCAAACUCAAGACCUUUGUAAUAGAAGACCAAUGUAUUAACCGUUGCACCAUCACAUCUUAUUAGUUUUUUUUUGAUAACUUAUUUAUAUGAAGCAAACACUCAUAUUUCUUUUUUUCAUUUGUCUUACAAAUCUCAUCCUCUCAUGGCUCUUUCUUUUUAAUUUUCAAUUCUCUCUCUCUCUAUUCUCUUUUCUUUUGUCACUCUCUUUUUUAUCAAACCUCUUUAUUUUUAAUUUAUUGAUGUUUUCUUAAAUCUUUUAAUUUUGUUUUUGUCCAUUAAAUUGAAAAAAGGUAAAAAAAUUAUUUUUUAAACCCAAAUUAUUUAAUGCCACAACCACUCACUUUUAUCUCAUUUUUUGUUUCUUAUCAAGUUUACAUUUCUAUUUUUUAUUUUCUUGACUUCCUUCGAACUCCAAACUUCCUUUUUUAAAUUACAAUUUCUAAAUCCCAAAACGUAAAUUAAAAUUUAAGUUUACAAUAUCUAAAUUCUCAUAGACGUAAAUUUUGUAUAAUUUCAAAAUAUUGUGAUAUUUUUGGGUUGGAUUUAGAUAUAAUUGAAAUUGAGAUGAAAUUUAUUUAUUUUAACUUAUAAUUUAAAAAAUUUAUUUUUAAAAAUCCAAGUUAUUAAAAAAUAGUAAACUUUUCAUCAUAUAAAGUAUUAAAUUAGUCCAUUACAUGUCUUAUUUUAUAAAUAUAUAUUUAUAUAAAUUAUUUUUAAAAAAAUUCAUUGAACCGAGAUUGAACCGAUCCGACCGGUUGAACCUCGAUCCUUUCACUUCACCGGUUCAAUUAACGGUCCGAUUUUUAAAACAUUGGUUAUCAGUAAUUAUUUGCUAGUUUCAAAAUGGUAGAUCAAAAUUUGACCAGAAAGAUGACCACAAAUAAAAAAAUGAGCAUUAAAAUCUCUUAAAGAAUAAAAUGGCUCAUUUUCAUUGUGAACGAUUAAAAUUUAACAUAAAAAAUUCAAUUUUCCGACGUCUAAAACUUAAUCAUGUUGAAUGUAUAUUAAUGACAAAUAAACUCAUAAAACUGCUUAAUCAUGUUAUAACUGCUCAUACAUUUUUUAUUCUCAUUUUGGUGGAGAUAAAAAAAGCUUUAUAUAUCUAUGUCGUUUUUUCAAUGCAAUUCUUAUAAGAGGGAUUUCUCCAAAUUUGGGCCGAGCCCUAAUUCCGCAUUGGAGGCAGGGUUUUAACCUUGCUACUUGCUACUUGCCCUGAAGAAAAAAAGAAGGAAAAAAAGAAAGAAAACCUUUAUUACGUUUUACUGUGGAAAAGAAUAUCCUUGUUUUCAAGUACAGAACAAGGGCCCUGAGAGACAAGACUAUCCCUGCAAGUAAUUUCUAGUGAGGGAUCAAUUAUUAAUUAUUUACCCCAUUCUCCAUCACUGCUAGAAAAAUUAUCCCAAAACAGAAUAACCUUCUCAACCCAGAAUGCAGGACUAUUCCAUCACAGGAAUGCCCAUAUGAGGAGGGAGCUGGUAGCUAGCUGAAAGUUUUACAAGCUUCUAUAAUCACAAUGAAACUACAGCCAACCUCAGAGCUUUGAGAUGAAUAACAUCCUAAGCUCCAAGUUCACCCUAUAGUGACAAAGAAUAGGGAGACUUGUUGCUUAAAUCAAUUGGUUCGCCAGUUUUUUUACAAAUGUAUAUAAAAUGAGAAUCUGGAUCUUCUAAAACAUAAUCUGCAGGAAGUUGUCCCUUUUCAGUGAUAGGAACAGGUUCCAAGAAUGAUUUUGCUGAAGAGGCGGAAUCGGCUGGCUUUUGAAAUCCAGGUCUAGCUGCAAAAUGAAGAACAUUUAACAUGACUAAUUCAUAUAAAUCUCCUGACAACAAACAAUAGGCUUCCCCAAGUAAAACGUCACAAAGGUCACAAAAUUGUCAAAAGCAUAUUCAUGUUGAGUUUUACAUCCAGUAUUUUAGGAGGACAAAACAAUCAAGAGGCGAAAUUUGUGAUUUGGAAAACAAUAGGUUCCCUUCAUCUGUUUUGCAAGUAAAUUAGAAUGGACUACUGUUUUUUCUCCUCAAAUAUAGAAAAGGAAGCAACAUUUUGCGCAAGAAGUUUCACAAUGCAGUUCCUAAUGUUUGAUAGUUUGCUGUCCACCUUGUUUCAAAGUCAUACAAGUAUAAAUCUCAACUUAUUCAAGAAUAUAGCUCUAAUGAAUUUUCAUCAAGAGACAAAUUACAAAAAAACAAUCAGCCAUUCCACAUUCAUCGAUAUACUUGAUGCUGUCAUACUAGCAAGCAAAUGUCAAUUUCACACCAGAUGACCAAUAAUGAGUAUCAGAAAUAAAACCGAAAGAACAAUUUUCAACCCAAGCAAAGAUUAAUUGAACAAAUUAUAUUAGACCCCUCGAAAUAAAGUUUGUGGCACAUUACCACUUCAAGUACAUUUUAUCCCAUUAAACACCUUUCCAUUUCUUGUCAUAAAAGAGUCUCAGAACAUUCUUUUUUUUUUUUUUUCAUUUUUAAAUUAGAGAAGAACAUGAACUAAGAUGGCAUAAACAGCCCCGUCUCCAUUGUGAUCACUACAUACUCCAAAAGAUUCUCUGUCUCUCUGUCUCUGUCUCUGUCUCUCUCAUGGUAAAAACGAAGAAGCAAGCCUGCAGGCAAAAAGCAAAUAUUGCUGCUCCACUAAAAAAGCCGCACCGUCAGCAUCACCAAAUUUGACCAUAUAAUGGCUCAUCAAGUCUUGUGGUACUGGCAGUCCUAUUUUUCAUCUUGGCACUCGACUAUACAGUCUUUCUUUCCCUGGACCAACAUGUCCUUGUUUAUUUUCUGACUUUCCCAUUGUGGUUUCUAUUGCAAGGUCAAACAACAGUCACAAACUAGUCCUCUUGACUUUCUCUAUCCAAGCCCACAUAAUAAACCAGCAGUUGUUACUUUUCCUAUCCCAUCUUUCCUCUUCCAAGCCACACGCAACCCAAUAACAAGACCACAGGCAUCAAGCAUAAUGAACAUAUCUCUGAUGGCAAUAGUGGUCAAAAGAACACAUAGCCACAUAGUGAAGUACAGAAAUCAGAAAACAUGCUUUAUAGCCUAGAGACUGUUCUAUGCAAAUUCCACCCUUGUUAGAAAAUUUUACUGAGGUACUGUUAAGUUUUCUAGCAUCAUGAUCUUAAUUUAAUUCUUACUAUUUAAAUUUUCACCAACUUACGGCAAUCUUUUCUUUAGACCAGCUCCUAGUGGGGCUUUCUAAUUCUGGUUGGAGGACCAUAUCUAAGGGACAUGGCAUACCUUAGUAUGAAUGGUCAUGCUGCAAGAAAUAAAGAGAAUAACAUGUUGACUAACUGAAGAAUAUGUUCCAGCAAACAAAAAAAUUCCACAUUCCUAGUCAUCCUGGGUGCUUUGGCCAUUUGACCAGAGAUGCAAGCCGUAAACUACAUGUAUAUGUACCAGAGAUGUAAGCCGUAAACUACAUGUAUAUGUAGUAACAAUGACAGAGUUAAAGUUGAUUUCCUAAAGAGCAAACCAUCCGCAUAGCCACUGAACUUCUAGAAUAGUUAAUAUUUCACCACUCAACUAUUAAUAGUAUGUUUUUACCCACUGAACUGUCAAUAAGUGUAAAUUUUAGGCAAUUUCAUCUUGUUCCACCGUUAACUCCACCAAAUCUAAAGGCCCGCAUGAUUCACGAGACAUACCAUUAAUAGCUCAAUCUGGUAGAUUUAACAGUGAAAUCAGACGGAACAGUCCAAAAUUUACACUUUUGAUAAUUCAAUGGAUAAAAACAUAUUAUUAAUAGUUGAGUGGCCAAAACUCGACUAUUCGGAAAGUUUAGCAGCUACCCAGAUAAUUUGUCUUCCCUAAACUUUAAUGGCAAUAGAACAUAUAUCACAAUAACAGGAAUAGGCAUGCCGUUCCUCAACAUUAAUGAGAUAGAAUAAUGAUUAACAAAUUGAUUAUGUGACUAAAGUGUAAGUAAAUAAGAAUAAGAAAAUGCUACCACUCCUUGUUCACCUUUAUCGACACCCUACGUCCAUGAUUUGUCAUAAAGAAAUCUCACAAUAUACUAUCACACUGUUUAGCCAUACUGAAUAAGAUAAUUAAUUAGCAACACACAACUAUUAACUAGAUUGAUAUCCAAAUGUGUUGGACGAAAAGCAAAUUUGUUAUCCAAACAUAAUUUCAAAUUCAUUUUCCUGAGAGAUUAACACGGCCACCAUUUUUAGCUUUAAAAAACAAUCUCCGCAUGUCACUCUAGGAAAAUGAAUCUGAAUGCAUCCCAUGCAGCUUCUAAAUUCAAUGCAUACCAGGAGUAGUAAUCAAAGAUCAGUAUGUCCCAAUAUCACUUGGGGUAUGUUGGAGCCAAAGUUGUCGCAUGAAGAUAUAACGAACAUUAAAAUACUAUUGUCCCAUAAAUACUCAAACUAUGACAUAUAAGUAGACUAGAGCAUAAUAGUAAAAGAGAAUAAACAGGUUUUCAUAUCAAGGAAAAAUCCACUUACGUAUAAUGUAUAGUUCUAUCUUCCAACUGUACACUGAUCGAUAUAGAUGAGGAAUUCUUACAGUAGGGUCACCAUAAGUAAUCUGCAAUUGGCAAGUAAUUUCAAACUCCAAAAGUUUACGUCUAAUUUAUGAUUCAGAAGAAGAAAAGCUACAGACAUUAGGGUUAACAUUACCAACAGAUAGACUCCUCCGGGUUUAAGAAGCCUGAAACAGAGAAAAAUCAAUAAAUUUAGGUCAGAAGAAUGAGAAACCGAAAAUCACAUCAAGGAGGUACAAAUACUUCAAAAGAUAAACAAAUCCAACAACCUGCUCACCUCCCCCAGCAUAUGAGCAGCACUGAUUGGAGCAUUGUUCCCACACUAUGAAAUGCAAGCAUUAAACAAUUUAAAGUUAGACAACCCCAAGACUAACGAGGACUAAGCAGAUAACAAGGGGAAAAGUAGAAACAUAACUUACCAUUAAUGAAUCCAGAGUUCCUAUGUGGAUCAGCAAGACCAGAAAUGCCAAAUUAAGAGAUAUAUCAGAGAAUUAACAUUUUGUAACUCAAUCUUCAAGAAGUAUUAAAACUUCACCGCUUACUAUGGACAUCUUACCUUUAUCAAUCACACUAUGGAAUGAGUCAUCGGGAAAAAAGCUCAUGUCCCUAACAUCCAUUUUCAUGUCUGUAGAGUUUCAUAAGGAAGUUUUACUGGCUAGAUGCGUUCUUUCAAUCAAGUAGAAAAAGUAUAAAUGAUAAAACUCAGCAACAGUAUAAUAAACUAUUCCUUAGCCUGGAUACAUUUCAUUUGCGGAACUUGUUCAUAUUUCCUUCUCAUCAUGUCAAUAGCCACUGAUGAUAUGUCGAUGUUCAUUAUAUCUUCAUAGCCAUCCUUCACCAUAUCCUCUGACAUAACUGCAAAACAAGUUCUUUUAUGGUCAGCAUUUUAAUUACCAUUGACAAGUCAACAUCUACAUUAUGGAACAAGUAUAAACAUGAAUUACAAAGACAGAUAACCAUCAAACUCAUAAAAUAAGAUACCCAAAUAAGAAGCCUGAAUUUGACAACUCAAAUUGUGAUUUUAACGCUCGAUUCUUUGGUUUGGCCAUUACUGGACACCAUCACAAACUUAUGCAUUUGAAAUUGUGUAUUUUGAAGAAAAUAGAAGAAAUAAAUAUAAUGGUAACUACAGCUUCAACAACUCGGCUUUGGCAAAACUUCACGUGAGUUAAAUGCUAUGAAGAAUACUUGGGAUGUGGAAUUGCUGGAAAAUAGCCUAAUACUAAAGAAGCAAUAAGAAAUGGGUAUAGCACAUCCUUAUUGAAAAGCAUAAAACAUCCUAAGCUGAGUACAGGAAUAUGGGAAGGCAGGGACUAAAAAUAAAAUAAUCAGACUUGGGACAUCUGAGACUCACAUGUAAUUUGAUAGUCAUUUAUUUUUCUUAAAGAAUAAGCCUGCAAGUCAAUAGAUACUACAUGCAGUACAAAAAUUUAUGCUACAUUUGUAUAACAACAUACAUCAAUCACAGUGAUGUAUAAUCUCGGCUAAAAGUCAUAAAUGCUGAACAAAACCAAGUAGUAACCCCAAUCACAAUGUAUCACUAAGUUCCAAGUGGAAGCUCGACUAACCCCAAGUCAAUCACAAUUUUCACUGAAGCACUGAGCAAUCCAAGCUUAGUGCAACUGCACCCUAUUUUGAUGCAUUUACAUGCUAUGAGCACUCUGUAAAGUAUCUGCAGUCACUGAACAAAGGCAUAAUGAUUCCCAAAUAGAUUUGUUGACAAAUUUUCCACUUCGAUGCAUUGGAAAAUCCAGCUUGGAUCAAAGUAUCCAACACUAAGGCAGGUUCUGUUUCACAGAUGACUCCAAUAAACAUGUUGAUAAUAUCUUUUUCCCAUAUCACAUGUCGAUUAAAUCCUCAAUUUCACAAAAUCAGCUUGUAAGUAAUCCAGCAGUUAACUACAAUAUUAACUGCAAGAUCCACAAUGAUAGGAACCUUAUUUUGAUCCACAUCUUUCAAUUUCCUCCAUACUUCUCCUGUACAGAUAUAGGCUAGUAACAAUAUCAGCUGUUUUGAUCAUAAUCAUUUGCAGCUUCUAGGUUAUCAGAUCCAAAUCCAGACCUCCAUGCUCAAUUUCUGCAAAUUUUGAUGCUGAAACUUAGAAGUCCUUUUUUUUGUUUGGGGGGGGGGGUGGUGUAGAAGUGGGUUGGGGAACUAAUUUAGCAGUCCAACUGAUGCAGCAACAAGAAGCUUUUGCAGGUAAUAUUAUUUUUAGAAUUUCUACUGUUAACUUUUUGAGAAUGUAGAAGAAAGUUUCGAGAGUUAGAAAUGGGAAGGGGCGCCAAUAGGGGUUUUAAAAGGAAGCAACGAGCAGGAAAAGAGGAAAAAAUGGGAGAAGCAAGAAAUCAAGGAAUCCCACCAAGAUUUUCUUAAAAAAUACACGCAGAGGAAAGCUUGCUUCCAUUUGUUAAACAAAGCCCAACACAUUAUCUUAAGCUCAAAGCAAAAAUUCUUCCCAUCAUUCCUCUCUUCCCAAUGCCAUUACAAUUUACAACUGAUUAGCUACAGUAUACUUGGAAGUUAAGAAUUGUUAUGACUAAGUAAUAAACAUAGCUAAGCAAACCUGUCAACUAUUAAAAUGCAGCUAAUCACUGUAGUAAGCCAGGUUGACUUUUACCAUCCCAAGUUGACUCUGUCAACUUGGACUGGAAACCUAUCAUAAUUCAGAAAUCUUAGCUUACAGGCUUAAUCCGUCUACAGUGGAACCUAUUGCAACAUAUGUUGUAUUAGGGAUGGCCACAGUUCUAUUUUGAACUGGGAACCGCACCUGCAGUUCCUGUAACCAGAACCUUGCCUACAGGAUCCGGUUCUGGUACUUAAUCUUGAAACUGGAGUUCCAAGUGACAAGUGAACCAAAUAAGCUGUUACCCUUGCCCAGGCCCAGUCAAUGCUACAGCAACGACUCAAAACUUAGCAGUUUCAAUCCAAAACGAAAGACAAAUUUAUUGCAUUAACAAACAGCAGGCAAGGAAUGAUAACAUUGGCUAUAAUAGCAUUUGCUAUCUUUUUUUUAUUUAUUUAAUUUUGAAUUAAACCCUAUAAAAGCCCCCAUGGUCUCACCACACCACAUAUUUAUUCUCCCUCUUCUACCCUUUAAUUCUUUUAAUUACCCAUUCACUCAUUAUAAUCCCAUAAUUUCUUUUAUUCCUUUAAAGUCCAAAACUAGUACUAUUAUUAUUUUACAUCUCCUUUUACUUACAUAAUUUAUUUAAAGAAGAUAUCAGAGGGGGAGAACUAAAAGGUCUCUUACACAAGCUAUCUCUUUGUGCUGCUGUCUAUUUCAUAUGGCAAGAAAGGAACAUACACUUGUUUCGGCAGGAAAGUAGACCACCAACAGCAUUAGCUCACACUAUUUUGGAUCAAAUCCAUAAGAAGAGUGAAAGAAACUGUUAAGGACAAUCCAAGCAACAGAUCCCUAGCUAUGAGAUGGGGACUUCAAGCUGCUUUCUUUCAUCCAACCAUACAUUGGUGCAAACGGUAAACUCCCAAAUCUGGACUAAAAUGUCUGAAUUGUGAUGAUUCAGUUAGAGGCGACAUAGGGGGUGCAGGCUUCAUUCUUAGAGAUGAAAAUGGCAAAAUCUUAAGGGUUGGGGCUAUAGGAGUAUGUGAUGAUUCAAUAUUAAUCCAUGAGCUGGAAGCUAUCAAGAAAGAGUUGGUGAUUGCCAAACUCAAAGGAUGGAGACAUAUUGAAGUCCACACUGAUUCAAAACUUACUGCAGAUAUCUUAAAUAGCAAAAGAUGCUAUAAGCGGAGGGUUCCAGUUGUAUAUCUGAUAUAAAGGACUUAAUCCCAUCCUUUAGGGAGGUGAAUGUGUAUCUUGUAUAUCGCCAAUGUAAUCAAGCUGCUGACUUUAUGGCUGGUUAUCUCAAUAGGUAGAUAAAGUUAUUUUUGAGUCAAAUCAUCCCCCCCGGGGCAAUCUUAUUAGAAUUGUAGAGGAAGAAAAUAGGCGGAAGUUGACUGUUAGAAUGUAAAUUCUUUUAUUUUGUUUAUAUAAAGCUCACCAAUUCUCCCAAAAAAAAAAAAAUUAUGACACGCCAUACCAAGUCAACCAACAUCUUCAACAUUGAUGAUGUUGAAUUUCAUAUAUUCUCAUACUACUGCUUGCAUGAUUUAUUUAAUACCUUUAAAUUCUCAACAAUAUUUACAAUGUACUUUUGUUUAUUUCCUACAAAAUGGCACAUUUUGGUGGCAGUAGUUCAUCUUCUAAAUCAAGGAACUACAAGGAAAAAGAAGUUACGCACAUUUUUUCCUCAAUUAACAUCUUCAACACUGAUGAUACUGAAAUUCCAACAGAUAUUUCAGGACAAGGGAGUCAAGAUAUAAAAAUUAUGUUAACAAGAAGAACAAAAAUUUUAAUAAGGUUUUUAUAGGGUUUAACUCAAGAUUUUUACAGCAUUUAGCUCAAAACUUUUGAAAAAAUAAAAAGAUAGCACCGUCUAUAAUAGCAGUUGCUGUCAUUCAUUUUCAAUGCCAUGGCUUAAUUUUGAGUCUCUUAAGUAGCAAAACUGGGCAUGGACAAGGGUUGCAGCUUUGUGACUCCUGUUCAAUUCCACAUUUUGAUGAGGUAGAACCAAAACAUGAAAGGUUCAUGUCAUGGUUCCAGAUUCGGUGUGGAAGUUGGUUUGAAAUGGAAGUGCAGCCACCCCUAUCACCAAACAAGUUAGAAAAUAUAGAACCACAAAUCUAGAAUAUCAUGUUUGGUUGACAUGAAGCAGCUUAGACAUGUCAGUUUGAUACCAUAUUUUUAUUUAUUCCCGAUAAAAAUCCAAAUAGUACUUUUUUGCAUUGAACUUGUCCAAAGAAAGUACAUUACAUAUUGUCCCACUUAUAACCAUCCCUACCUGUACGGCUCAGACACAUACUAAUUCCCAAUUAUCGUUGAACAGAAACUUUUUUGGUGUGGAUACCACAAGCAAUAGGAUGAAACCUAUCAAAUCAAACGGUCAAUCUAGGUCUACAUCUCAUGACUACUUCAAUAAGCAGCUGACUUCAAGUAUGGGUUAAUCUACACAACUAAGAUGCUAUCCCAAUCAAUCAACUUCUUAAACUAAAACCUUUCACAAUGUACAGCUCAGCAUCAUAAAAGCUAGAAUGCUUUAAGGAUUGGAAACUCUUAAAAAGAAUCAUUAGGAACAUGACAUAUCACUAAAACUUGCAAGGAAGAAUUCCAUCAUACCUUUAAUUUAUGUUUCUAUUGUAUUAACAAAAGCACAGGGCCUCAGUGGACUAGCAGUUGGUUGCUAACUUUCCAGUUCCCAUAAUCUAAAAUACAUCUUUCACCACAAUAGUUCCCUGGAAGCAAUUUACUAGAGAAUAAAGGUAUUCUUCUUAGAUGAAGUUUCUUUGAUCAUUUUCAGUUAGACAAUUUGUAACCCAGUUAAAUGCCUUUCGUCAGAAAUACUCAUCCUCAAACGUAUCAUUUUCUAAUUACAGUUCACCCAACCAAAGAUGUCUACCUUCCAGUCUCCUUGGAAAGCAAAACUAUAUCUUAACUACCUGACCCCAAAUUAAGAUAAUAAAUAUUCAACUAAUUUUUCUAUGUUCCUUUGUCACCUUAUUCACCUUUGGACCAUGAGUUCACGUUGAUCAAAAGUUCAUUCUGUCCAGUCUUCUGGGACUGCAAAUGAUCUCACUGCACAGUUCUUAGGACUUCCAUUGUGUCUUAGACAUCAUUCCCUCUAUUGCUAUCAGCUACUGCCAAAAAGCUUUCCAUUAUCCUGUUUAUAUUCCAGGUCAGGUCAGCCAACAUUCAUUUAUUACAUUUUGUAUUUCAUUUUUGCAUGAUUUCCUUUUCAAGCAUUUGUUUCACUAUUUUCUAUGGUUUGUGGAGUUUUUUAGUUCCCUACUUCAUGCCAAGGUAUUGUUUGAUCUCUGAUGACUAUCUUUUCCACUGUGUUUUUGAAGUUUAUGUUCCUCAUUUCUAAAGUUAAGGCCUUGUCUUCAAGAUGAGAGCCAACACUGCCAAUUCUAGGCUUGAAGUAUCACUAUUUUUGCAUCAUCUUUCUAACACUUCUAAUCAUUUUCUUUUUCCUUGUUUUUAUACAGUGCCUAACAUAGGACACAAUAUUAAAUUUUUGAUUCCCCAGAGUAAAGCUGCAAUCUUUGCCCCAGAAAACUUCUGCAGAACUAAUUCUUAGCUUCUACAGCAAUUAUACCAACACAACAGAAUCAUAAGGCAAUAGCUCAAAAUACAACCUCCAGGCUUCAUGUUCUGAUACUUCUAAGCAUUCUUUUUCCUGUCUAUACAUUGCAUUGGAUAUUGAACACAAUCACAAAAUCGGAUUCCUCUAAGCAUUCUGGGGCAACUUCUGCAGAACUAAAUUCUUAGCUUCUACAGCAAUUUUACGAACACAACAGAAUCAUAAGGCAAUAGCUCAAAAUACAACUUCUAGGCUUCAUGUUUUUGAUACUUCUAAGCAUUCUUUUUCCUGUCUAUACAUGGCAUUGGAUAUUGAACACAAUCACAAAAUCGGACCUCAAAAUAAAGCUGCAAUCCUUGCCCCAGAAAACUUGGGCAGAAUUACCAAUACAUCAAAAUUUUAAGGAAGUAUCUCAAAAAGAUACAAUCUCUGCGGCUGAAAUUCAUUUUCACUGCAAAAUUUGAAUUGUUUCUAUUCUAAAGCCCUGUUCUUGGAUUGUUUCAAAACCUCAUGCAGCCAAGUAAGGGUAGUCCACCCCAGAAACAAUAAGAGGAAAAAAAAAGGGAGAGCCACCACAGGAAAAGGUUGCCAAAUGAUUAAAUUCUUUCCCCAUGCAAUAAAGAAAAAGGAAACUAACUACCUGCAAAAUCAUCAGAGCUUCCCUGACUUAAUCAACAAUAUUACUAUCAUGUAGCUAAAAACCCAUCCUUACCCUUGACUUCCAUUUUCAACUUCUUUCAUUCCAAGACUUGUUCUUUUCAUCACUAGCACGCAGCUCACUGAACUUUAGCAUCUUUACUCCUAUAUAUCAACUUAAUGCACAAAACUCACAUCUACAACAGAAAAAAUUACACCCAACAAAGAACUGAAAAACAAAACUCUACUAAAUAUUGAACUGCUUCAUGGCACAAAUCUAUGCAGUUCUCAGUGUAGCCAUCAUAAAAUAGGAAACACAAUGAAACCCAUUAAAAAUAAGCAGCAAAAGUCCAACAACUACAGCUAUAAUCAGCAAAAAAAAUUUAAAUUUCACCUCAAGUUUGAGAAAGGAAAUGAAUUAGGAGGGCAUGCAUAUGUCUAGCUUUGAAAUGGGUCAUAAGAAUACAGCAAAAUAAACAAAACCAACGAAAUUUAGAGCAGCAAAAGCUCAAAAAACCUGUUAUCAUAAAAAAUUCGUAAUUUUAGCGAAUAAUUAGGAAACGAAAUUAAAAGCAUUUGCCACAGCCAAAAAAAGUAAAGGAAGAGCAAAGGGAAGAGAUUCCUUACGGGCGUUGCCACACCCAACCAUGAGGACACGGGCGGAAGUUGGAAUAUACUUGCGGACAAAAGGGCGAAGUGCAGAGUAACGUUGAUACCAAUCAAAAGAACCACAAUUCGCUUCUUGAAUAUACCGCGCGUCCCAGUAAAGCGCGUCGCCAUAGUUGUAUGUACUGCAAGCUGAAACGUCCCUGUACAUCUUUCGGUCCGGCGGGCGGAGGGAGUGGGGUGGGGUGGGGCGGGCGAAGGUUGUUUGGGUAAUUGGGGUUGGAGUGGAGUGGUGGGACUCGUGGGAGUAGAAGUGAAGAGUGCAGGCUACGCGUGGCCCGGUUAGAUAUGAUCCGGUGGGGUGGGCGUUAACGUGGUACGGACGGCUGGUUAACCUUUGUUUUUUGUUUUAAUUUUUUUUAUUUUGUCUCUUCUUGACAGUUUUUUUUUUUUCCUGAUAAAUCUCUUCUUGAAAGUUGUCAAGUGUUUGUGACGAAAUGGAAAAAAUUCACUUUUCAUCUCCAAACUUUGUGACAAAGACACUUUGAUCCCCAAACUUUUCGUCAGAACACAUUGAGUACAUGAAGUAAUGAUUUUUUGUCACAUUUAGUCAAAAAAAUGGGAAUUUACUCAAUUUGGACGGUGAAGAUCACGUGGCUGUUAACAAAUGUCCAAAUAUCAAUUUAUAACCAACACAAGUCAACUUUUUGAGGACAUUACACAAUUCCUUGAACAAGUUAUCCAUUUUGGUAUUAUUUCAAGUUCUUACUUAACGGGCAUUACCUAUGCAAAAUACUAGGGGUGGCAAUCGGGUCGGAUUCGGGUUGAGAUUUAAGUAUAACAAAGAACCUGCUGACCCGAACCCGACCCGCCAACCCGAAACGGGGGUCAGGGUACCUGACACGAACCCGAAAAUUUCGGGUUGACGGGUCGACCCGAAAUGACCCGAAACUUAAUUUUAAUUUAUUAAUUUAUCACUGUAAUUUCUAAUAAAAUCAAUUUUUCACAAAAUUAAUUACAUCAUCAAGUAAUAAAAAUUUAAAUAAAUAAUUUCAAACCAAAUUUAAAAUAAAUUAAACACCGUAAAAGUGUUUUAUCCCAAAUCAAAUGUAAAAUAAUUAAAACAGCGUAAAAGUAAGAAAUAACAUAAUAUAUUAUUUGUCCAAAUAUAAUAAUUUUAACUUCACACAAGUUAAAUAAAUUCAUUUAGGAUUAAAUAAUUAAUGCCUUUGGAAAAAAAAUGAUUUAGUUUAGUUAGAUAAAAUAAUUUUUAUGUUUAUUAAAUUAGUUUUAAUUCGUAAACGGGUCACAUCGGGUCAUAUCAGGUCACCACGGGUUGACCCGAAAUUGACAUGUUUUCUUUUCGGAUUCAUCGGGUUCGACCCGAUUCUGACCCGAACUUCCGAAAUCUCAACCCAAACCCAUUAAUUUCGUGUUAGGUUCGUGUCGUGUUUUCGGGUCAUGUCAGGAAUUGCCAUCCCUACAAAAUACUAGUUUUUUGUAGACAUUUUACUCUCAAACAUUCAAUUUAUAAAAAAUAUAGAAAUAUUUUUAAGUAAAACUCAAAAAGUGUUAGAGUAUAUUAGCUGUUUUUAAGUAAAAUAUAAAUGUUUUUAAGUAAAAUUCAAGUAAAAUGAAAAAAAACUAGUAGGUUAUCUAUUUAAAAGAAAUUAAAUAUUUUUUAAAAAGAAAUAUCCCAUAAAGUACCAACUCUUUAUGACUUUUCUCUAUUACAUGAACCAAGUACCAAGUUUUUAUGGGCAUUUUAUUCUGAAUCAUUUAAUUUAUGUUAAAUAUAUAAAUAUUUGCAAAUAAAAUUCAAGAGUCGUUACACAAAUAUUUUUACCAAAGGAAAACUAGCAUGUUUUGUAUUUAAUAUAAAUGAAGUAUUUGAAAGUAAAAAAAAUUGUCCAUAACAUACCAGUUCUUUACGAGUUUCUUCCAUUAUAUAAAUAAAGUACUAGUUAUUUAUGAGCAUUUUACUUUGGAUCAUUUAAUUUAUAUUAAAUAUAUAAAUGUUUAUAAGUGAAAUUCAAAAAGUGUUACACUAAUAUUAUUAUGAAAGGGAAACUAGUAGGUUUUGUAUUUAACAUAAAUUAAAUACGUGAAACUAAAAAAAGAAAUUAGCCACUUUUUACUAGCUCUUUACGGGUUUCUUCUAUUAUAUGAAUAAAGUGCUAGCAAUUUAUAGGCAUUUUACUCUGAAUCAUAUAAUUUAUGUUAAAUACAUAAAUGUUUGUAAGUAAAAUUUAAAAAGUGAUAUACUAAUAUUUUUACGAAAGGAAAACUAGCAGGUUUUGUGAUAGCCCAACUUUUAGGAUACUAUUGUUGUUUAGUCUCAAAAAGGAUAUUACGCUUUCUUUAGUUUAUUUUUAUUUUAAUACAUUGUUUUGUUUUAAAAACUAGAAAUCCUAAAUUCUAAAAAAAAAACCCUAGUUACUUGUGACUAAUUGAUUUUCUUAAAUUUCUCAUGUUUUAAUCGAAACCUUAAUUUGUCAUUCAUUCCCUUAUAAUAGCUAUACUACUCAUUUACAUCCCCAAUGUUUCGAAUAAAAAAAUAGAAUUAAGAGUUUUCCCUUUUGCAUUCAUCGUUAGGGUAAAUUAAGAUUUUUACGUCUUUUCAUAGUGUGAUUACUCGAUACGGAGUGUGUAUCACAUUUGGUGAUUAAGAGUGAGUUUUAGAUGAUAUUAAGUAUGUGAUUAGAAGUGAUAAUAAUAAGUUAGUGAAUUAUAAGUGAAAACCCUAGUGUACGCGAUUUAAGGAAAAACGGGUUGAACCGACGGGUACCGUCCACUACCGAUUGAACACACCAUUUGAUCAUUAUUUUAUCAAGUUAAUCUCAUUGUUAUUAGUGCCAAAUAUCAGCCUUUAAUCCAGCUCAAGAUGGCCGAAAAUAUUGACCAAGAAAAGGGAGGAAAAAGAAAAAAAUUGAGAUUGAAUCUUGUGGUGACACUUGGCGGUCAUCCACCUAACUUUGACCCAAACUAAUUACCAUCUUAUUAACCUUCUUGAAGCUUCAUUUUCUCCUCCAUUUCAUCAGCUUGGCCGAACCUCAAGGAGAGAGAGAGCAAGAGAAGAAAACUCCAUUUCAUCUUGAGCAUAGCUUGAUUGAGUGAGAAAACAAGAAAACCAAAUCGAUUAACUUGCAAAUUGAGAGCUUGGGAAGCUUGGGAAGCUAAAUUUCACAAGGAGAGAUGGUGGAUAAUUCUUCCAAGCAUCUUUGAGAGGUAUAUUGGCUGUCCAUCACAUUUAUUUCUCUUAAUCUUGUUAAAGUUUAGUUAGAAGCUCUUAAUCUUGCCUUAUGACGGGUAAUCAGUUGGUUUUGAUGGAUUUGUUGAAUAUGGAGCUAGGGUUUACAUUUUCAACUUUGAUUAUAGUUAUCUACCUCUUAAUUGAUGUUAUUGAGCUAGUAGUGGAUGGUUUUGAUGAUAGAGUACUUCUUGGAUAUGAAUUUCUAGUGGAAAAGUUCAAAUUCCAGAAUUAGAUUCUUCAUUGUUCUGUUCUGUCCGGUUUUAGUUCACCAUGAUAGAGGCCGAAUCAGGCUUGGCACAAAACAUGAAAGUUCUAGGGAAUGAUAUUUUAUAGUUUCCUGUAAAAUUUCAGCCUAAUCUGAGCACUUUAGCUCAUGAAAAAGAUAAAAAUACCCUGAGACUGCCUUAGGAAGAGUCCAGCAGACAGUUUUGACAUUUUCUCAUGUUGGCUGCGUUUUUCACCUUGAUCCGUACCAAACCAGUCUUUGGACAAAACAUAAAACUUUUAGCCCUAUGUUUUUUCUUUCCAACACCACUAAAAACGCCCUAAUCGGACUUUAGUAGCCUGAGUUAUUUUCGUUUACGCAUAAGGCGGUUAACAAGCUCGAAUGUGAGAUUCUGGUUCUGUCAUUUGAGAUUUUGACUUAGAUACACUGCAAACUGGACUGAGUGGUCUUCAUCAAAGUUGUAUACCUUUGUUUUAGCUUCGAAACGGUAUAAAUUUCACCCCAAUCCAAUAAGCAUAGCUUUGGUUGUGCUCGUUACGCUAAAUGACGGCAAAUCUGUCUUUUGUUUUAUGCCUUAAACUUCAUUUCCGGACAUGUACCUAGUUUAAUUUUGUACUCGUAUGACUUUGAGCCUAUGGAACGGCUAUUGAAAUGAGAUGAUUUUGUGUGUGACUUUGGGACUGAUUUGAGGAAAAUAUUGAAGCUAUAAAUGGCUAGAAAAUAGAUAAACACAAGGGGCAUGCCGCCAAAUUUUCACUAGAGGUAUAAACCGGUCUUUGGAGUUUUGGUUCGGUAAUCUGCAAAUUUGACUUGGAUACACUGAAAACUGGGUUGAGAUGUCUUCAUGAAAGUUGUAAUUUUUUGUCUAAGUUUCGAGACACUACCUAGUACAUUUUUAUCCGAUAACCACAGCUCCAGUUAUGGUCAAAAUCGUGUAACCCAUUUUGUACCAUUUUCAUUGUUGCACACACGCACGUGCAUUUCUCAACCGUUUUUGCCGUUUUGGACCGUUUAGGAUUAUUUUUGUUAUUUUGUUACCAUUCCGGCCGUUUCGGCCAAUUUCGACAUUCUUUUGGCCUUAACGUCAUUUUUGACCUUUUUUAUUAUUUUUAACCGUUUUCGAUCGUUUAAGUUAUAAACUGCUAUUGUAUAAUCGUUUCACUUAUGUGUGUAUAUAAUUUGUCAAUACAGACUGUGAGACUUUUGACAGUGACGGUCAAGCUCAGUGAAUUGUAUCGUUUUUCGUGUCAAGCUUUAUCAAGUGAGUAAUUGGGUUGUUAUUGAUGUGAAAUUGUCAAAGUGUUUUGUAUAUGCUAAAUGGAUACUUAGGCGAGGGUGUACUUUAUCUCACUCGACCUAAACCCAUCCUUUGUUUUGAUUUCCUAUGUGAGAAUACAUGCUUUAUGUUGAGUAUCACCCCAUUAACUCUGCUAAUCUCAAGUAGCUUUUCACUUCAUUAACUUAGUGGGAAAGGGGGAAACUUGGAGAAGAAAAGCAGUGGGUUAGAGUGAGAGAGUCAAGUGUGGACUCGUGUCUAACUUGUGUUGGUUAUAAAUUGAUAUUUGGACAUUUGUUAACGGCCACGUGGUCUUCACCGUCCAAAUUGAGUAAAUUCUCAUUUUUUGACUAAAUGUGGCAAAAAAUCGUUAAUUCAUGUACUCAAGUGUUUUGACGAAAAGUUUAGGGACCAAAUGUGUCUUCGUCACAAAGUUUAAGGAUGAAAAGUGAAUUUUUCUCAUGAGGAAAUUGCACACAAAGUCUCUUACAUCUUACGCUUUCACUACCGUCAUCCCUCCUUCCCACAUAGGACAGUAAAGUAGGUUGUCAAUUGGAACAUUUGAGUUGGAUUUUAACAUGUUUAAAUUCAAUUCAUAGAAAAUAUCACUGUCUUGAGCCCAAGCAAGUUUAAUUAAGUUAGAAUCACUUUUUUGUAACUCACACCUGACUCAUUUUAAUUCACAUCAUAUAUUUUUCACAUUUACAAAAUUUUUUUUUGAAGGACACAUUUACAAAAUCUAGUAAAACCAAAUGAUUUACCGAUUCACAAACAUCCAAUAAUAUAUAAGUAAAGUUGCAAUAUCAAUAAAAGUUUGAAUUUCAUGACAAAAAAUAGGGAGGAUCUAAAUCCACACCCUCCCAUUCUAAAUUCAGAUCCUAAUUACCAAUAUGGCAAUUAAGCCCCUAUCACUUAAUAACUUUUACUUAUAAUUUUUUUACAAUUCCAAAAUUAUCAUUUCAUAUAAUAAAAACGAUUUGUCAUAACACUAUUCUUUUAAUUAUUUUUCUAAUUUUUUAAAUUCAUUGCAUGUUGUUUUUAAUAAUUUGUACCACAUUAGUGUCUUUGAACAAUAAUAAAUUCAUGAAACCGAUCAAGUUAGGUAAUAGAAUUAGAGAUCUUGUAUACUUCAAAAGUGUUACUAUACAAAUAAUUUCAUUAUUUCAACAUAAUAGAUAUGCAUCCUAUAAAAGAAAGUGAAAAAUGCAAAAGAAACAUCCAAUGAUCCAUAAAUUUAGUAUGAUGUUUAAUUAAUAGCCAAAAGCUCCAAUAAGGUUACACAUAAAUGCUGAACUAUUAGAAAUUUUUAUAAGGAACAUGAAUAGUACUAUGAUAAUUUUGGUUGUUAUAUAUUUAGAAAAACAAAAUUAAUAUUAAAAAAGAGAAAAACAAAUUAAAAACACACAUUACACAUCCUAUAAGCCCAAGAAUUUUCAAAACUCAUGAGACUUUUGUUGAAAACAUUUAGAAGAAAACGUAAUGGAAUAAAUGACUAAAGGAACAAUUAAAUGUAAAGGGUUUUAAUGUCAUAUUGAUUUUUAGGGUGUGGAUAUAGGGUGUUAGUGUAUGGAUUUAGCCCCUCUGCAAAAUAUAUAGCUUACCAUAUCGUCCAUAAACUUAUCAACUAAAGAUUAAAAAAAUAAUUAAUCAUAAAAUUAGCCAUAUAAAUUUAAAUUUAUUUAAUCGGAAAUAGACCAACAAAUAUUCUUAAUUCCCAUAUAACCUAUAAAAUACCCAAAAAAAGAGAAAUAUUUUAGAUAAAAAACUAUAUGUUAAAAAUUCUAGUAUUUUAGUAUUUGGUACUCUAAAAUGAACGAUGAUGUAUAUAUAUGUCAUACCAUCAUUGUUGGGCCAAGUAUUAAGUAGUUUGAGAUUAAUGCAAUUCAACCCACAUUCAAAUCGGGCCAAAUAUUUUGAUUCAUGCUCAAUUUAAACUCAUAUUGCUUAAAAAUCAGCUCAGUAAAAUUAGGGCCGAAGGGAUUGCGAUCUAAUCAAUCCAACCCUAUUCACAACCUGAAUGUAAUAUGUUCACAUUUUUCUUACAUUUAUAUAUUUUUUUCUUAUAGUUAUAUUUCUUACUAAAGUAAAACCAACCAAUUUGGUUCUAAUCUCAAUUCAUCUUCUUCCACCUUUUCUGCUUAAAAUUGACAUGAAACCAUGCGUGAACUAUUUUAACCGAUCCAAAAAUUUCUUUUAAUUAAUCUCAAUUUUUUUUUGUCGAGUGUAAAUGCAAGAGAGAAUAGCUAACAAAUUGGGCUCCUUUUUUUUCACUCUUUUUUGAAUUGGACUUAUUUAGGAUGGUGGCUGUGGUGUCUUUCAACUAGUGCCAACAUGGAAAUUGAUUGAAAGUCAACACAAGUUGUCUAUAUAAGUUGGAUUAGUUGAUAAGGUUGAAUUACUAUUUAAGAAAGGGUGUGUGAUGUAAGGAUUAUAUUGGUAGGCAAUUGUCAAUUCAUAAGAAUCUCUAUAAGCCACCUUUAAUCCAAGUAACAUGCCCUAAUCUGUUGCGAUGACCAAAAUCAACAGGUCGAUGCACAAGCUAAAAUUGCUAUAGAAUGCUUUGCUUGCUUUCUGUUGUGCUCAUUAUGUGAAUACUUUUUCCAAUAAAUGAGACCAAUGGUAUUUAAACUUUUCUAGAAACAUUAAUUUGAUAUUUCACCUUUUAGUUGUGCAUCAAUUCAAUAUCUAUUUUUUUUGUAUUUUGUAAGGCCCGAAAACACCUCUUUUCUAGGCGACCACACAAUGGAGCAGUUGAUAAGAAAGCACAAGUGCUUGUGAGUAGAAGAGAUAAACAAUUUAAAGAUCAUAAACGGAACAAUAAGUAAAUAAAAAGGAAAGGAUUGCAAACCAAUUAACUACCCAAUUCCUCUUGAGCUUGUAGAUAAAUUCAAACAAGCUACUUCAAGUUGAUGAAUUACAAUCACUCUUGUGUACAAAGGAAGGUUCACCUCCUCCUUGCCCCGAACUCCACUCGGUCAAACCAGGACGUUUUACUAUCCCUCAGGACAACCCUCACAGAGCUACACUCAUGAAAGAUUCACUCACAAAUGAAAAGCUUAUAAUGAACCUCACACCACUAAGACUACAAAUCUUCUUUGAAGAGUAUUUUCUCACUAAAAUCUCUCUAGAUCUUUUGUAUCUUCGGUGUGUCAAAGUUGUUUGAAGUGUCUGACCAACCACUAUUUAUAUAGGACCAAGAAAGUGCCUCAUUAAUGCUUCCAACGGAUAGAAAGUAGCUGAACAGUCAACUAGCCGUUGGUAGUGUCGGACGUCCGAUAGCACUGUUUUAUGCGUCCGACAGCAGGCAGUGAGUUUGAGAAAUUUUCUUCAAUUCUUUCGGACGUCCGGUAGGCUGGUUUUCUGCGUCCGAAGAUACUCGAUGGUUGUCGGACGUCCGAUGCAGUCUUUUUCAGCGUUCGACAGCUUUCAGCAACCUUUGUUUUCUUUCAAUAGCACUUGUUCAUGGAAUCACAUAACUUCAUAAUUGAAAAUAUUUCUUGGAGAGAUAUUAGUAUCAUCCAUUUGUUUUGUAAACAUCAAAAAAUAGGGAUCAAGAUCAACAUAUUUGAUCAAUUCUAAACACAAUUUUGGUAGAAAUUGGUUGCUGAGGUUGGUCAAGUGCCAGUUUACAUAUAGUCAAGGCAUACACAAUUCUAAAAUUUUGAAACAUUUAGAAAACUAAUGUCAAAAUAAAAAACAGGGAAAAGGAGAAAAAAAAAAUUUGAUGGAUGACUUAGUGGCGGAAGCUUAGGAGUAAGAAUAAUUACAUAAAUAAUCUGAAUAAAUGAACUAAGAGAGAUUCACAACCUACCCUAAAAGGAAAACCAAGAUUCAACAAGAAUCUACCACUUGAGUGCACUUAAGAAGAGGAUUUAAUCCAACACAAUUGUGUUAAAAUUGAUAUAUAUUGUCAAAAGUCAAUAAAAUAAACCCUAUAAAGCCUAUUUAUAAGCUAUAAAUCUUUUAAACCAAAAAGGAAAAGAAAAUACAAUUAAAAUAGAAAAACGAUCAAUAGCUCAUUUUUUGGCCACCAUGGGAUUUGCGAACAUAUCCAACUAUGCUAGGUGCAGAUGGAUCCAAAUAUGCUAGGUGCGGAUCCGUUUUGCAGAUCGAAGUUGUUGCUUUCUGGCCUAAAUCCACGGGCUAGAUCUAAGAUUCAGAUUCGAGGCGCAGUCAUCUUGAUCGGGCAUCGAUCAGUGCGAAAUUGUAGCUUCUAGUAUUUGACUCCAACCCCCUUGUUGAGUGACUCAAUUCCCUUUUUUGGUGAUCAAACUCGUUCCACAUCAGUUCCUUCUACUUUAAAAGAACUCGACCCUGAGUUCUAUGAGGAAUUUUCAACACUUGAACAAAUCGACACUUUAAUAAUUUUUCCUUGCAAUUUAUAGGGUUUGAACACAAACAUAAACUAAACACAAAUUGGAUCAAAUGUAGAUUGAUAGCUGUACUGGUACAAAAUCAGGCACAAGCUUAAAAGUAGUAACCACACUAUCCAUUAUUGUUGACACAACUUGUACCUCAACUCUUGAACAAUAAAAGUCUUCACUAUAUUCGGUUUUAUCUUGACAUCCGCUGCUUGAAAAUUCAUCAAACUUUGAUCCACACCAUCAUCACUAGGAAAUUGUAUCAACUCCUUCAAGAGUGAAUAUGAAGGUUUGCUAGGAUGCACCUUAUCCUCCUUAAUAGUUAGUAGCUUGCGGAACAUCAUCUAGAUCAUCACCUACAUUUAAAUCACAGUCUAUAGCAAAAUAAUUAAUAAGUUAUUGUCAACCAAGUGGGCUGCUUUGGGCCGUCGUUGGCACCAAAACAAUCUUUUUCCCAUCCUUGAUGAAACAUUAAUAGAUUAUUUUCCUUCCAUUGAAUGUCACCUCCCAGUCAUAUUCCCAUGACCUCCUAAAUAACACAUGGCAUGCAUCUUAUCUACAAUGUCAUACAUGACACAAUUAGUGUAAUAUUUGUCUAUGGACAAUGAAACUAAACUUCUCUCAACUACAUUAAUAGGAUGUACAUCCUUUAUCCAACUAUUAAUGUAAGGAUCAGGAUGAAUCUCAAUAGGCAAGCUCAACAAUUUAACCAAAGCACUAGAAAAUAUAUUUUCACAGCUAUUAGUAUCAAUUACCAAGUCAAAAAGUUGAUUUAAAAUUUUACACAUAGUUCAGAAGAUUUGCUUGCUAUAUGUGUCAACUUCCUUCUUGGGUUAUGCACAGGUCACUCAUAGUCUACCACUCAUCAUCCUUAGGCUCAUAGACAUAUUUUCAUCUUCUUCUUCUCCGUUGCCUCUCACUCCAGUAUUCUCAGCAAAAUUUACUGUCUUACGCAGUGGAUAGUUGUUUGAGUGAUGCCCAAAUUACUGACAUUACUAUUACUUACCCUCCAUUGGUAUGGUAUAGGAAUUUGUGUUAGUUUUGAUAUUUUAUAGAGGAUUCAGGUUGGCAUGAACCUUCUUUAAAGCCCCAUUCAUUUCACCAAUCUUCAUCUUUUAUUCCCUAUUACCACCUCAACGAGUCUCUAAUACUGUCCAUAAUUCGUUUUUAACUAGUGGUUCUAUGGACUCCUUUACACAUCUAUGCCAACUUUCUUCCUUGCAUUCUUUUUGUAGGCCAAAUUUAAUUCAGCCUUCAAAGCUAGGUUGUUUACAUUCGCUACUAUAAGAAUUGAUUGAAUACCAAUCUCUUUUGAGUACAAAUUUAUUCAACCUAUUAAGAAAUCUUGACUGAGAUGUUCCUUAGUUUCCAUCAAAUUAUUAUGGGGAAGUAGGUGCAAAAAUCAACAUAGUAUUCAUGAAUAAUCUAGUUACCUUGAGUGCAAUUGAAAUUAUGAAAUGGGUACUAAUCAUAGUUUAGGAGAAGGAACAGAGUUAUCAAGAGAAGCAUCAUCUUUAGCCACGAUUAUAUGGGUUGCUUUCUCUAAUGUCAUCUCUAAUUUUGCAAUUACACCCACCAAUAAGAUGCUCUAUUUCUGCUCAAGUAGUAACUUACCAAUUUGACUUAUCAGUCUUUGGUGAUCUCCAUAUAAUUGAAGAAUCUCUUAAUUUUUGUAAUUCAAUCUAAAAAAUUCUCGUUACCCAGAUUACUAUUGAAAGAAGGAACAUCUACUUUCAAUUUAAACUCUUCAGACUCUUGAUUUUGACAUUGAAAACCCCUGUGAUUAGGGCUUUCUCUGCAAAAUUAAUCAUUAUUUGAUUAAUAGAUGCAUCUUCCUUAUAAGCUUGCUAUCUAUGAGGUCUUCUUUGUUCCGUAUUGGCUCAGUCAAGAGGCACUCUCUCACCCCCGAUCACCUUGUUCAAUCUAUCUUUUAUUAUGUGUCCAUGUCUUUGUUUGUUAAGGUUUCACUGAGACUUCUUUCAUGGACUUGAAGAAGUAGUGGUUGGCUAAAAGAUUCUAUUGCCUUGAUUCUGAUAGAAACCUUAAAAGAACUCCAUUUCCUCCACAAAAAUCAUGUGGUUCAUAAAUGUGUUAGUUUGGACUAAUGUUUUGGGUCAUGAAGCAAUACUGUAUCAUGCUUGGAAGUCCAACAAUGUUAAAAACUCCUUUCAGCACAAAAAUAUUUUAAUGAGGAAGAGUGUGAAAUUCAAGCACAAUCUUGGCGGCAAAAUAGUGAGUUAAGCUUAAGUACUUAUUAGAGUUUCAGACUUUUCAUGGCUUUUCAUCUUCUUCCUAAAAGAGGCCUCUUUCCUGCUAGCAGCAUUGCCCUGAGUUCUAUUACAAUUUGAAUAUUUUGGAGCCAUAACUCUUAUCUUUAAACUAGAUAAUUUUGAUUAAGUUGAAUGGUUGUUAAGAGUUGAACAAAAGGUCACUCUUUGAUCAAGUUUAUAAAACGAAGAUGAAGAAGUAAACAAAGAGUGCCAACUUUAAAGAAGAUCAAUAAGCAGCAGGGGAAAUGUGUGUAGGUAUUGAGUUUUCUUUCCACACAAGAAAAACUUAAGGUCAAUAUAUAUAUAUAUUGGUGAUUUUUAAAAGUUCGUUAUGUAUAUAUACAUAUAUAUACAUACUUGAGUUUGUUUCGGUUGAAACACGUGUAACCAUGACAUGUGCUUUCUAUGAUCUAGUGUUAAUAUUAACUAUAAUAACUGUGCCUAAGAACAUUUGAGCCUUGGAUUUCGUUUCAAUUAAAAUAGGGUGUAUUUCAUAUCAAACCAUAUGCACUAGAUGUUCUAAUCUAAUGCCCUGUACCUUUAUUAAGGCGGCAGAAUGACUCAUAGUCGGAGUUGGCUCAGGCAAAAAACCUUACCUUUGGCCUAAUACUCACUCUAAUAGCAUGUGUUGCCUCUAAAGCUACAUACAAAUCGAGCCGCUUGCGAGCAGGUUGAGUCAAGCUUGAAUUGGCUAAAUAAAGAAGGAACCUCCACCGAUGGGCACUGGCGAGCAUUCAGCCAAAUAAAGAAGGAACCUCCUCCCGUCGAGACUGUGAGGACCCGAAAUUUUACUUAUUUUAAUCUUAUUUUAAUGGUUUAAUUAAUUAUUUAUCCACCCGUUUUCUCCAAAUAAUUUAUUUCAACCAUUUUAGAUCCAAUUGCAUGGAACUAUAAUUUGCUUAUAUUUUUAAAAUGACUUGUUUCAAAAUUUAAUUUUUGAAAGCUCGUUAAGUGAAAAUAGUGAAUAUGCGAUUGGAAUCAAUAAUCGAUUCGAGAAUACAAUAAACUUGGAACUCGGGGACAUGUACAUUAUUCCUAAAAUAGGUAUUUUUAUGUUUAAGAGUUCAAAUGUUAGUUAGUUAUAUUAUCGUUAUAAGAAUUUCUUGGAAGUUUCACUUUAUCGCGUUUAAAUUGGAAGUACGCGUUUUUACGUGCGCGAUUAAUUGGGAGGUUUUAGACCUUCAUUUUAUACCUUUAAGAGUGAAUAAUAGUAAUAUGAAUAUAAGUGCACUGGUGAAAUAAACUAGAGAGGAAUCUAGCACGAAACGCGCGCAUAUGCGCACUAUUGAAGAGUUGACCUUAGAGUAAAUUAUAGCCACACAUUAAAGCUUCUUUUGGAAGCCUCAUUUAGAUCAAAAUUCCCUCUCUCUUCCUCCCCAAGACAGCCAGCCAUUGAGCUUGCAAAACAACACCAAAGUUCUCCAAAUAUCUUCACAAAAUCUUCAUCAAUCUUCAUCCAAUUCACAUCAAAUUUCAUCCACACUUGGCUCAUCACUUGGAGACCUCAUUAAGCUACAAAAAAAGGCUGCUGUCCACGGCUAUCUUAGGCUAAGGAGGGGCCGAAAAUUUCUGUCUUGUUCAUCUAGCGAAGUAAGUCACGAUCAACCUCGAUAAUCUUGAAUUAUGGAAGUUCUAUUGCACGUCUAAGCUUAUGCAUGCAUGUGGGUAGCUUGAUUAUAUUGGAAAAAUAGUUGUGUGGGCUCUAUGAACUCCCGCAUUUGAUGGAUGGACUGAUUUGGUGAAUAAUGAUGUUAUUAACAUUAGUUUAGUGCUUAAAUUAGUGAAAUAAUGUUGGGUUGUUGAUAGAAACUUGAGGAUGGUGCAAUGACCAAAAGUGACCAUUUUGCCCCUCUUAUAUUCAUGCACUUUGAUGUAAAAUUUUGACGUUCCAAAGGCUUGUUUAUGUUGUUUACAUGUUAUAGUGAGUGUGUAAAAAGUUUCAUUGAAAAAUAACUUGAUUUGGUCACUCAAAUGUUGGAAUUACGAAAGCUUAGAAAUCUGAAAAAUGUUCCCGUCACUGCUCUGGCAGUUGUUUUGUUUCGGCUAUAACUCAUUGCUCCGAUGUCAGAAACGAGUGCUGUUUGUGGUACUAGAAACUAGACAUUCCCAGAUUUCCAGUGGUAUAAAAUGUACAUUCUGAUUCCACCUGAGUAGUCCAUACCAAUCGUUUAAAUAUGACUGUCCUGUUUCACGUCUACACUGGGAGCUCUGUUUUGAGCAGUGAAUUGAUGCUCAAAUGUGAGCUAGUUGUGGACCGAUUUUGGAAAUGAUUUCUUCUAAGAAAUUGUAGCCUUAUGAAUCUAGUUUUCAACUCCACUAACCAUGCUCAAUUCCGAGUUGAAUUGAGUAACUUAUGACCAGAUUUCGAAACCAACUUUGUAGGCGGAAACCCUCAUUUUGGACAGGUUGUAACCAAUAUUGAUUUGGGACUUGUUGUUUCGAAAUUCUUAGUGUCAAUCACCUACCAAACACAUCUUGGAUGCUUUUUAGACAUUGUCUACCUAAAUGAACCAGAUUUAAGAUGUUUCUUUUGGCCAAACGUUUAGAAAGAGAAAUUUACAUACAAGGCAGAUUUGCUUUGAAAACUUGUGGAACUUUAACAACUUUGUUAACUGACUUCUGUUCGUAUAUUUCGAUGAAAUUUUAUAGUGGAAUAGCACUCAUAUGGUACUAUAAUACUGCCAAGUUUGGUGUCAUUCGAAGUCCUUCUCGAUGCCUAAUAGAUGUCCCAAAGUUUGCAUUUUAAAUUUGAAAAAUUUUUCCCUUUCUCUUGGCCGAAUGGUCAAAUUUGAUUUGGGGAGUUAUAUUUCGAAAAUUGUGAUGUGCAUUAUCUUUAAAUUGCUUAGUGGGUGUUUAUGGGCUCUUGGUUUCGAAAAUGGAGUGAUUUAGGACUGAUUUCAUUGCACAAAACUUUUGCAAGCAAAAGAAAAGUGAGAAGGCAAAUUAGCCUUGAAAUAUUUCUUGAACUUUGGUUGUUUUAAUGACCGCCUUUCCGUGGAAAUUUUUGUAUGAAACUUGGUAGAAAUGUUGUUCACACUUGGAGAAUUUAAUGUACCAAUUUUGGUAUAUUUCUAAUGCCGAAUCGAUGGCCAAAUGAUAUUUUCAAGAUAGUCUUUAAAUCUGGAAAAUGACUGAACAGUUUGUGAAAUGUGACCAACUUUGGACUGAUAUCUCUCAAUACUCAAAACUCCGAUUCUUGUUUCGCUUACUUUGUUUUAAACUUUGAUUGCAACUCUAAUUGAGUUUCAAAUCUGAGAAGUUAAUUCAAAUUCUGUGAAUUUUGCCAAAUUUUCAAAGUUGGCAAAAAACCAACCUUGAAACUGCCUUGAUAGCCUAAAACAGUAAAUUUGAGCCACCAUAUCUUGGUGUUCGAAACUCCAAUUCUUGUUCCGCUUGUUGUGUUGAAAACUUUGAUUGUAACUCUAAUUGAUUCCAAAUUUCAGAGGCUAGUUUGUAUUGUGUGAAUUUUGCCGAAUUUUCAAACUUUGUCAAAAACUAACUCCGAAACUGUCUUGCAAGCCUAAAACAGCAAUUUUGGGCCAAAUUUCGAAUGCCUUCCACUUGGAAUCAUGGAAAAGUAUAUUCUAGAAAUUUUUAGUACUUUGGAAGAAGUUUCGAACGGUAUCAAGUUUUUCAAUUUUGGACUUAUAAUGAGCGAGAUAUGAUUUUUCAAAGAUCUCGUAUCAAAGUGAAAAUUUUCGAAACUUAAAGAACUAGAGUUUUUCGAAUUCUUCUUUUUCCCUCGAUAUCACAUGAAUGUUUUACACUUGAUUUCAAAGAUGAAAACUUAAUUUCUCUUGUGCUUUAAAACCUCCACUUUUGAGCUUUGAUUCGCGAGUAAUUUAGGCUCGCUUUCGUGAGAUUUUCUUGGAUUGUACAAGCGUACAGUCAUUCGUGAUAAUUGAGAUAUAUAAAUGAUAGUUCACUAUUAAUUGUUCCGGCUCGCACGAGAACCUUCAAAAGAAUUCCAAGGUAGACGCCUGAACAUCAAGUGACAUUUCUUCUUUGUUUAUUUGGUGAGUAUCAAGUAUGUGUUAAAUGCUUAUGUGAUUGAGAUAUUAGUUGUACAAGUGUUAUACAUGAUACGUAAACUUGUCGAGCCGAGUGUGUACUGUAUCGCACUCGUUCUUAUUUGAAAUGCGUGAAAUUUUGGAGUACUUUCCAGCCUUCAAGCAGAAGUGAAAGCUCUCCUAAAGGGGGUUAGGUUUGACCUCAUGCUUGACCUGACUUGAUUCGCUUGACCUGACCUGACUUGCUUGACAUGACAUGUCUUGACCUGACCUGACUUGCUUGACUUGACAUGUCUUGACUUGGAAAAUAUGCUAUGGCUGCAUAAGUCGAUUGGAGCGAUGUCUCAUCGACCUCUGAAUGAUAGCAAGUACCACACCGAUUUGGUGGGAGGUAUCUCUCGAAUCAUCUCAGACAUAUUAAUUGAACGAUUGUAAGUACCACACCGAUUUGGGUGGGAGGUACCUCUCGAGUCGUCUCAGUACCCUAGACCUCUGAACGAUAGCAAGUACCACACCGAUUCGGGUGGGAGAUACCUCUCGAAUCAUCUCAGAACCCUAAAACAUUCUAAGUCGAUUGGAGCGAUGUCUCAUCGACCUCUGGACGAUAGUAAGUACCACACCGAUCCGGGUGGGAGGUACCUCUCGAAUCGUCUUAAAACUAUAAAUUGAACGAUAAUAAGUACCACACCGAUUUGGGUGGGAGGUAUCUCUCGAGUCGUCUCAAAAAUAUACAUGGAAUACGUGAAGUGCUACGAACUCAAGUACCUACCCGGGGUACGGGGUGUCGUCACGAGAAAGUAUUAAAAUUGAACUGGAGUAAAGUAAGAAAUCAUUAGCUCCAGAGUGCUUCUACAUCCUACUCAAGGGUGUUUAUUAUAAAUUGUGAAAUUUCUUGAAUGUUAUAGUUUUCACUAUUGUGUAAGUGCUAUUAUUAUUGAAUUACUUGUCUUGCAUAUUUUCUUGGCCUCACGAGCAUUCGUUCACCCCAUUAGAUUUGUUUUUCCUUAACAGGAGCUGAACUGGGAGGAAUUCUGGAGAAGCUUAAUUGAUGCCUUACUUGAUUAGCAUUGUAAAUGUAUUUGUUUAGAAUUUGAUUUUGGAAGCUGUAUAUUUUUGGGAUGUAAAGUAAUUGGGUAGAUUAUGAUGUAAGACUUGAAUAUUUAUGAAGGAAUUGACCUUCCUUUAUCUCUCCGAUUUUUAGUAUCGAUUGGUUAUUAUUGAGUGUAAAUUGAAUUAGUAUCGAGUCCUGGUGAGAGUUAGGCAGGCGUCCCGCCGAUACCCUUGGGUUCGCUCUUGGGAGAAAUGGGGGCUUCACAGUUGGUAUCAGAGCUUAGGUUUUAGAUUUUUGUAGAGUAUUCUAGGUCUAAAAGUUUAGGAUACCAGAUUGUGGGAUUUGAUUGUGUAUUAAGUGCAACGUGAUUUUGGUGCUUGAGGUUGUAGUACCACUUUUGCUUACAAAACAUUAUAAGACUUUACUCUUCAAGUUAGGUUGGAGGUGGGUCAAGAUUAGAAAAUCUAAAUAGCCAUCUAGUGAGUUUAAGGGUUAGAAACAUUGCUUUCCUCACUUUUUUGCUUGUCGAACAUUUCGAAAGAAAAGUUGAACCAUUUGAACAAUUUUGGCCUCCACUUUGAACUUGAAAAUGAGACAUCUUUGUAUUCCGUUUGGUUUGACUUAUUACUCUAGUUUGUACAAGAACUCUCACCUUGAAUCUAGCGAGGAGACUGAGAAUUUAGGAAGUAGCUCAAGCUUUUGGAUGUAAUUUGGAGUUAUAAUCAUUUGAAUGAUGUGGCUUUGUAUCAUGGAUUAUUCUAGUUUUGUCCCUAACUAGGUUUAUGAUUUUUCUUUUGAUCCUGCAUAGUAUAGUAGGGGUAGUGCUUGCCGUAAGGCCUUUUGUAUUUUACCUGCAAGUACUAUAUUUGUGGUAUUUAGUUGUCUAUAACUUGUAUUUGAUACUAUUAACUCGUUGUAUGCACAUUGACAUAUGAUAUGAUUUCUAACUUAUGCAAAUAGCUAUGUUUUGAUUUAAAGUGUUUUUGCCAUGUGUACCUGUUUUUCGAUUCACAUGCUUAUACUUUCUACUUCUAUUAUGCGUUUAGAAACUUGUUAAAUGAAUCAACGAGAAUGUGGACGGGGGCGUGGGCGUGGGUUUCAGCAACCCCGCACUCCCGAGAGAGGUGAGGGGUCCACGACUGGACCAAACCAAAAUCCUAGAAACGAAGAGGGUGACCAAGUGGUUAUGGCCAUUAACCGCAUGACCGAUAUUCUCAAGCGCUUAGUUGAGCAUCAGGGACCUGAACCAGUCAAUCAACCUAGGAACCAAGAGAGAGGUGAGGAUAGAGCUUUCGAGCGAUUCUUGAAAUUCGCUCCCCCUAAGUUUCAUGGAGGGUCUGAUCCCAAAGUAGCGGAAAAUUGGUUUAAAAGGAUGGUUGAAAUUUUUGCUGCUUUAGAUUAUACCGAGGAAAGGCAAGUGAAUUUUGCCGUUUUUCAAUUUGAAGGGGCGGCACGCUCGUGGUGGAAUGUUGUUAGUGUAAAGUGGAAAAGAGAACAAAUCUCUUGGACUUGGAUUAACUUUGAGAGGGAGUUUAAUAUUAAGUUCCUCCCGCCAAUUAUACAAGAAAACAGGGAGGACGACUUUAUUAAGUUAAAACAAGGGUUAUUAAGUGUGGCCGAGUACGAGGAGCGGUUCACCAAACUUUUCAAAUUUGCUCCUGAACUUGUACUUACCGAACGGAAAAGGAUAAGGAGGUUUAUUCAGGGGUUAAAUGUAGAAAUUCAAGAGUCCCUAGCAGCUGCUCAGAUUAUCACUUUUACGGAUGCCUUAGAUAAGACACAAAGGGUAGAAAAUGCUAAGUCUCAAUCUAAAACUUUUUACACUAGAAAGAGAGGUAACCUAAGUGAUAUUCCUAAACCAUCCGAGAAGUCUACCCAACCCUUUGAUAUGGAAAAAGAGGUUGGAGGAGUGAAGAUGCCUGAAAAAUCCGGAGAAACUCCAUCAAGCAAAGCCCCGCUAAAAGGAAAUCGGAGUAGACGAGAUCAACAAAAAGGGAAAUCUCAAACUGGUCAAGCCGUGACUCCUCACGUAACUUGUGGAUACUGUGGCCAAAUUAACCACACUAAGGCCGAGUGCUGGAAAAAACAAGGAAAAUGUCUGAGCUGUGGUAGUGCCGAGUAUAAGUUUUUGAAUUGCCCUAAAUCUUCUAAAGGAAAAAGAAAUUCUUAACCACCUGCUAAAUCCACUGCAAAAUCAAUCGACUACUAGAAGGAGUGAUUAAUGCUAAUGAUUGUACAAGGGACCCAAGUAGUAGAAACUCUACGAGUAGGAGUAAAUCUGACUUCACUCGACAAAUAGGGAUUGUAGUUUUACCCUAUCAUAGACUGGCACUUUUAGAGGUUGUAAUCUUUUGUAUAGGGGAUGACAUCCUUUUAUUGUAUACUGCGACUUAGCACAUUUUAAUCUUGUUGUUUCCCCUUUUCUUUUGAAACGAUUUGAUAAAUUUAAUAUAAUUUAGUGUAACCAUUAUGAUCUUUUUGGCAUAUGAAAAUCUACCUUGCUUUUAAUUGAUUUUACGACUUAUAUAUAUAUGUAAACUAUUGCUCCACGCCUCUAGACCUGUAAUAAGAUCAUGAAUGACACCUGAGAAUAGUUAAAUUCUAUAAGUAUGAGUUUUGAAAUGGGAGAAUUUAAAAGUGAUGGAAAUUGGUCACGGGAGGAGAAAGUAUUUGGGAUUAUUCAUACAUCAGAAUAUGAAUUUCGAGAACGAAAUUCUUUUUAAGGAGGGAAGGAUGUGAGGACCCGAAAUUUUACUUAUUUUAAUCUUAUUUUAAUGGUUUAAUUAAUUAUUUAUCUACCUUUUUUCUCCAAAUAAUAUAUUUCAAGCAUUUUGGACCCAAUUGCAUGGAACUAUGACUUGCUUAUAUUUUUAAAAUGACUUGUUUCAAAAUUUAAUUUUUGAAAGUUCGCUAAGUGAAAAUAGUGAAUAUGCGAUUGGAAUCAAUAAUCGAUUCGAGAAUACAAUAAACUUGGAACUCGGGGACAUGUACAUUAUUCCUAAAAUAGGUAUUUUUAUGUUUAAGAGUUCAAAUGUUAGUUAGUUAUAUUAUCGUUAUAAGAAUUUCUUAGAAGUUUCACUUUAUCGCGUUUAAAUUGGAAGUAUGCGUUUUUACGUGCGCGAUUAAUUGGGAGGUUUUAGACCUUCAUUUUAUACCUUUAAGAGUGAAUAAUAGUAGUAUAAAUAUAAGUGCAUUGGAGGUUUAGUGCACUGGUGAAAUAAACUCGAGAGGAAUCGAGCACGAAACGCGCGCAUAUGCGCACUAUUGAAGAGUUGACCUUAGAGUGAAUUAUAGGCACACAUUAAAGCUUCUUUUGGAAGCCUCAUUUAGAUCAAAAUUCCCUCUCUCUUCCUCCCUAAGACAACUGGCCAUUGAGCUUACAAAACAACACCAAAGUUCUCGAAAUAUUUUCACAAAAUCUUCAUCAAUCUUCAUCCAAUUCACAUCAAAUUUCAUCCACACUUGGCUCAUCAUUUGGAGACCUCAUUAAGCUACAAAAGGGGGCUGCUGUCCACGGUUGUCUUAGGCUAAGGAGGGGCCGAAAAUUUCUGUCUUGUUCAUCUAGCGAAGUAAGUCACGAUCAACCUCGAUAAUCUUGAAUUAUGGAAGUUCUAUUGCACAUCUAUACUUAUGCAUGCAUGUGGGUAACUUGUUUAUGUUGGAAAAAUGGUUGUGUGGGCUCUAUAAACUCACACAUUUGGUGGAUGGACUGAUUUGGUGAAUGAUGAUGUUAUUAAUGUUAGUUUGGUACUUAAAUUAGUGAAAUAAUGUUGGGUUGUUGAUAGAAACUUGAGGAUGGUGCAAUGUGAAUUUUGUCUUGUGAAAUAAUGUUCAGAGGCUAGUUUGCAUUGUGUGAAUUUUGUCGAAUUUUCAAACUUUGUCAAAAACCAACUCCGAAACUCUCUUGCAAGCCUAAAAUAGCAACUUUGGACCAAAUUUCGAAUGCCUUCCACUUGGAAUCAUGGAAAAGUGUAUUCUAGGAACUUUUAGUAUUUCGAAAGAAGUUUCGAACGGUACCAAAUUUUCUAAUUUUGAACUUGUAAUGAGUGAGAUACGAUUUUGUAAAAAUCUCGUAUCAAAGCGGAAAUUUUCGAAACUUAAGGAACUAGAGUUUUUCGAAUUCUCCUUUUUCCCUCGAUAUCACAUGAACGUUUUACACUUGAUUUCAAAGAUGAAAACUCGAUUUCUCUUGUGCUUUAAAACCCCCACUUUUGAACUUUGAUUCACGAGUAAUUUAGGCUCACUUUCGUGAGAUUUUUUUGGAUUGUACAAGCGUACAAUCAUUCGUGAUAAUUGGGGUAUGUAAAUGAUUGUUCACUAUUAAUUGUUCAAGCUCACACGAGAACCUUCAAGAGGAUUCCACGGUGGACGUCUGAACGUCAAGUGACAUUCCUUCUUUAUUUAUUUGGUAAGUGUCAAGUAUGUGUUAAAUGCUUAUGUAAUUGAGAUAUUAGUUGUACAAGUGUUAUACAUGAUACGUAAACUUGUUGAGUCGAGUGUGUGCUGUAUCACACUCGUUCUUAUUUGAAAUGUGUGAAAUUUUGGAGUACUUUUCAGCAUUCAAGCAGAAGUGAAAGCUCUCCUAAAGGGGGGGUUAGAUUUGACUUGACUCAUGCUUGACCUGACUUAACUCGCUUGACCUGACUUGACUUGCUUAACCUGACGUGACUUGCUUGACCUGACAUGACUUGACUUGGAAAAUAUGCAAUGGCUGCAUAAGCCGAAUGGAUCGAUGUUUCAUCAACCUCUGAACGAUAGCAAGUACCACACCGAUUUGGUGGGAGGUACCUGUCGAAUCGUCUCAGACCUAUUAGCUAAACGAUUGUAAGUACCACACUGAUUUGGGUGGGAGGUACCUCUCGAGUCGUCUCAGUACCCUAGACCUCUGAACGGUAGCAAGUACCACACCGAUCCAGGUGGGAGGUACCUCUUGAAUUGUCUCAGAACCCUAAAGCAUUCUAAGUCGAUUGAAACGAUGUCUCAUCGACCUCUGGACGAUAGUAAGUACCACACCGAUCCGGGUGGGAGGUACCUCUCGAAUCGUCUCAGAACUAUAAAUUGAGUGAUAGUAAGUACCACACCGAUUUGGGUGAGAGGUACCUCUCAAGUCGUCUCAGAAAUAUACAUGGAAUACGUGAAGUGUUACGAACUCAAGUACCUACCCGGAGGACGGGGUGUCGUUACGAGAAAGUAUUAAAAUUGAACUUGAGCAAAGUAAGAAAUCAUUAGCUCCGGAGAGCUUCUACAUCCUAGUCAAGCGUGUUUAUUAUAAAUUGUGAAAUUUCUUGAAUGUAAUAGUUUUCACUAUUGUGUAAGUGCUAUUAUUAUUGAAUUACUUGUCUUGCAUGUUUUCUUGGCCUCACGAGCAUCCGCUCACUCCAUUAGAUUUAUUUUUCCUUAACAGGAGCUGAACUGGGAGGAAUUCUAGAGAAGCUUACUUGAUGCAUCACUUAAUUAGAAUUGUGAAUGUAUUUGUUUAGAAUUUGAUUUUGGAAGCUGUAUAUUUUGGGGAUGUAAAGUAAUUGGGUAGAUUAUGAUGUAAGACUUGAAUGUGUUAUGGAGGAAUUGACCUUCCUUUUUUUCUCUGAUUUUUAGUAUCGAUUGGUUAUUAUUGAGUGUAAAUUGAAUUAGUACCGAGUCCUGGCGAGAGUUAGGCAGGCGUCCCGCCGAUACCCUUGGAUUCACCCUUGGGAGAAGUGGAUGCAUCACAGAGACAAACUCCCUCAUCUUUCUCCUAUCGAUAUACACUACAGAUUGGGAAAAGGCAUUUGCUUUUUUUUUUUUUUUAAAUGACUUUCAUGGGAAAACUUGUGCUAUUUACUUCUUACUACUAUUUCUAAAUUCUAAUGAAACUAAUGGUCAAUUCUACGUUGCCCAAUUUGAACACUUAGUUGCAACAAUCUAUCCCUCAACUUCUUGUAUGUGUCAAAUGAAUCCAUCCAUUGGAUAAUUGGGCAGCAAAUAUCUAUAUUUUGAGAUGCUUUUGUCAGUCAUGUCACAGGCUUAUGAAUAGGAGCACUAUCAAUCACAUUAAUUUGCAUUGUCCAUUCCAAAAAUUCCCAGUUGGCAGCAUUAAAAGGGUAUUUAAACACAAGUUGGUACAUUACUUGACUCUCAUGUGUAUGCAAAUUAGUUUUCUCUUUUUGCUGUGAGUGAAUUAUGGAAUGGAAAGGAUGUUGCAAUCUCUUUCGAACAUACAGUGAUGUUGUUGGUGGAAAGAUAGUACACCUACUAGUUAGAUUUGAGAAUGAAAAUUGAGAAUAGAUAAAGUUGAUAACCAAAAUAGAAGAUCUUUGGAUCGUUGUGCUUGGAAUGGGUAGAAGAGUCCUUUCGUAUUAUUCCUCUACAGGUUUCACGUAGUUAAGAGUACAUAAGCACCUUAUACUAAAUUUAUUACUCCCUCUGUCUCAUUUUGAUAGUUCUAGUUUUUUUCACACAGUUUAAGAAAAAGUAGUUAACGUUGUUGGAAAAAUAAAUUUAUAUUGCUAUUUUUCUAAAAUACCUUACAUUAAAUAAAGUUGGCUUUUCAUAUAUCAAUAUGUUUUGGAAAAUCUAAAUGCAUUAAGUGGGGUAGCUUAUAUUCAAUAGUAAUAAUCUAUAUUAAAUAAGGUAGUUUAUUGUAAUAGCAACUUACAUUGAAUAAGGGUAUUUUAGAGAAAUUAAAAGAUAACUAUAUUUUUCAAUUGGAAAGUGGAUUAUAAUUUGAGACAUACGAAAAAGGAAAAUAGGACUAUCAAAGUGGAAUGGAGGGAGUACUAAUUAACAAUACAAGGGGCCUUAUUGAUACAACUAAUAGUUUAAAAAGUUAAUGUGGAGCUGAUUGAUAGCUGAAUAAGAUUCAGUAUAUUUUACCAUUAACUAAUUAUACUCAUCGCCAAAUUUGGUGGUGUAGAGAUAUGAAAUAAGACUAUUUUUGUGUUGUUUAAAAAAGGUAAAAAAAUGACUAAAUAGGUAAUAAAAAGAUCAAAGACUAAAGAUACUUUAGAUGAAAAGUUAAAAGGGUGAAUGAUCUAUUAGCCAAAAUUUAUUUUAUCCAAAAAUUGUUGAUUUCUUGUCAAUUGUAUUAAAUUGAUUGAAAUGAAAAUUAUAGUCAUAAAAUGUGUUUUUAGUGAAACUUUAAGGACAAUAAUAGUUCAAAAGUUUCAUUUUCCCUUAAAAAUAGGGAAUGUUAAAUUGAUAACUACUGUUAUCAAACAAAUAAAACUUAGCAUUAACACUAAAACACAAUAUGGUUAGAAAUUAUUUAUUAUGCAAUAAGUAACUAACAUGAUAAUUUUUGCUUCUAUCUUAAAUUAACAAAACGACAAAAAGGAUAAAAACCUAACCAAUAAAAAAUGGCAUAGUAUAUUAACAUCAAUGUCUAUUGCCUCUUGCCUCUUAUGCUUUUUAUAAAUCGUGCAAGAGUAUAUAUAAGAAAAGAUUAGUAAGAUAAGAAAAGAUAAGAUAAUAUCGUCUAGCAAGAAAAGGGCUAGUAUCACAUAUAGCCAUGUGGUUAAGUGCUUUUUCAAGGUACAUCACUUGUAAUUUAAAAAUAUUCACUUACAUCCCUCUUUGGAUUUAAGUGGAAAAUAAAUGGAAAUGGACUCCACAAUAGAAAUUUCACCUAUGUACUCUGAUAGUAUAAUUUGUUACCUAAGUCUAAUGAUGUGAAACCUUUAUAAUGUUUUUCUUUUAAAAUUGCCUCCAAACAAACAUUUGCAAUCUAUCAAAAGGUUUAAAAUGUCACUAGUAGAGCAUUUGAACCUUUUUAUAGAUUACAAAAUGUUUGAACCUCUUUAUAUAUUACAAAUAUUUAUUUAAAGGCAUUUUUGAAAUAAAAAACUUUAGUUAUAUGUAAUAUCACUAGUAUCAAGUGCUGACUCUUGGAUCAUGUAUGGAAAAUCUCCACUAGUUGAGUCCAUCUUUGUUCAUUUUAUAUUGAAAUCAAGAUGAGAAAGUUUUAAUUUAAUAAUUAAAAUUGAAAUUCAUCUUUAUCUAUUUCAUAUUUAAAUAAAGAAGGUUUCAAUCUAAUGGCUAAGGUAUGAGGGUCUAGAACUUAAAAGUUUUAGAUCCAUAUCUCUUCCCUAACGUUUCUUAAAUCCACUCCUCUGUUGCUUAAAAAUAAAUAAACAAAAAAAAACAUAAAUCAAGAUAUAAGGAGUGUAAGUGAAUAUUUUUGAAUCAUAGGAGACGUAUCUUGAAAACCUUUAACAAAGGAUAAACUCCACUUUGCACCCUCAAACUUGUAUCACUUUCUCAUUUUGCAUCAUAAAUUUCAAUUUUGGACAUUUUGCAUGCUAAAUACUCACUUUUGGACACCUCACACCCUAAAUUCUCAAAUUUGUUCUAUUUAAAUCCAGUCAAUAACAAUUUUUGCAAAAUUUAGGGCAUAAAUGACUUAACAAAUCAAUGAUAAUGCACCGAAAGUAAUCAAAAGGCGCCAAAGUAUCAUAGCAAAAAUAAAACAAUAUAUUAUCAUUAAUUUGCACCAUUUUUUAUCUCUCUAAAUUUUACUUGUAAUAUUAAUAGUUGAGACCAUAUAAAUAAAUGAUAAUGUACUAAAAUGGUCAAAAAAGCUGAGGAAUCACAAUUGGAACAAAACGGUACAUUAUCAUUAAUUUUCACUAUUCUUUAUUACGUUAAUUUUAUGAAGAUAAUUAUUGAUUGGAUAUAAAUAGGACAAACUUGAGAGUUUAGGAUGUCAAAUAUCCAAAAUUAAGAGUUUAUGGUGCAAAAUAUCCAAAAUUGAAAUUUAAAGUAUAAAGCGAGAAAAUGAUAUAAGUUUAGGGGUGCAAAGUGGAGUUAAUCCUUUAACAACAAGGGACGUGUGUGAAAUUUACCCAAAAAAAAUAUAGCUACAGUAUAUGUUAGCCUGUUAGGGAAGUUGGGUAGAAAAAAGGAGUCGAGAAAGAUCGAAACUGGGCUAAAUCCCUUUACUGGGUUGGAUAAUUUAUUAUUCUAGUCCAAAUUUGAUUUGAUUCUAGGCGCUGCUUGAUUGGGUGGAUAUAAAUAAGAUAUCCUAGUCCAAAUCAUCAAUAGUAAAAUAAUAUAUAAAUGCUACCACUGCUUGACUGGGUGGAUAGAAAGAAAAAAAAGAGUUGGUUUUCAGUCUCAUGCAUUUUUGGUUGGUAUCUCAUAGGAGUUGGAAUCAGGUAGGUCAUGGGCUGACGGAUCGAGUUGAAACACGGUUAUUCUAGACAAGUCACCAACCCAGACACGAUCCGUUAAUUUUUUUGGGUCAGAUCCCUUGACCUGAAUACAAAUUGCAAUUUUUACUAAUCACCUUAAGGUGACCUAUUUCAAUAUGCAUUGAUAAUGAUCAAUUGAUCACCUAAUACAAAACUACUAAUUAGUCUAAUUACCUACAAUAAUUAGCAAUGUCUAAUUGCCUAUCAGAAUUUAGAAAUUCAUCCAAACAAUCAUAGUUUCAUAUGCUACUAUACAAAAGGUAAUCAUCAAACAUAAUACAAAUCCAGAUGGUUACAAACCAUAAAAGGACAUAACAUAAUCACAAGUUCUAAUACCAUCAUCAAAUCCAAAUGGCUACAAGCCAUACAUACUAAAUAGCAAUAAAUUAAAGUUUAUAAAAAUUUUUCAACCAUGCUGAUGAUUGUGAACUUAAUUAAAGACAACUGACUUUGAAGUCAUAGAUGGUGACAAAUUGAAAUAGAAUCAUUGAUCCAAGGUUCCAAACUCAAAUAGUCAAACUUAUACUUCUCUUCCAAACUUCACUGAAUCAAGGGAUGCAAGCACCUUUAAGUAACCUGCAGUAUGCACAAACAUCAAAGUAAUAAUGUUGUCACAUAUAGGUACAAUAAAACAUAUCAUGUUACAUUUUUCAACUCACCAAACUCAAUGACUUAGAGGUUGACUACAUUAAAUUUUGAAUCUUCAACAAAUUAUACAUUUAUCUUUUGAUAUAUUUAAAGAUAUGGUGUCUUGAGUUAUAUACUCCAAUAUCGAAUCUGUCAUCUUUGCAUUAACAAGAUGAGAAAAAUAAAUGAAUGCAAAAGACUAAAGAAAUAAAGUAGAUAUUAAAAAACAUUAAUUUACUAAUUUUACCUUUAUCCCCAAACAAUCAAUCCUUAGUACAUAUUAAAGUUUUAACUAUUUGUGGUGACAACAAACUAUCGAAUUGGUGUAGAUUUCUAUUACUAAGGUUUUUUUUGGUAUUUUUCUAUUACCAAGGUUGAAUGUAGAUUCUAGUGCAACAGUUGAUACAGAAACACAUAAGGCAUCCAUAGCUAAUUUUGCUAGAUCUAGAAAUUGAUAUUGUUGAGUCUUCCAGUAGUCAAGAAUAUGAAUCUCAUAUUUUCUUUUACUUUGAGACUUAUCUAGAUACAUUUUCAGUUGAGUAUUUUGUGCACCACCAGUAUACUCAAGACUAUCAAAUUCCUAUGAGCAUGAUAUUGAAAGAGAGAUAUAAUAAACAUGAAAACAAAACAUAUUUAAAACCACAUAGGAGUAUAUAAACUAAUAAGUCCAUAAUACUAUCAAAUUCCUCAAAUUCCUAUGAGCAUGACAUUGAAAAGAGACGUAUAUUAGACAUGAAAGCAGAACAUGUUUAAAACCAAAUAGGACUAUAUAAACUAAUAAAUCAAUAAUACUAAAACAUAUUAUCAUCAUACCUUGAAAAGAUUCAUUGAUUUGUUUCCUUAUAUUUUUGUUGCAUCAGAAGGGAUCUCAUUCAUCUCAUUUCUACCCCGAGAACACGAAGAUGAUGCCUAAGACGUCUUACUAACUCUAACAUAUUCAUUGAAGAGACUAUAAAAUGUAUCCCUCACCUUUGCUAGUUCUCUAGACCCCAGACCAUAUAACUUUUGAUAGCUAAACUCAAGAAGCUGAAAUUUAUAUUUCGAUCAAAUACCAUAGCAAUGGCUAAUAUAAUUAUUGAACUCAAACUAAUAUUUGUUAAAUUUCAAAAACAUUAGUUUAGUAAUCUUUUACAUAAAGCAUCUGAACUGUUAAAUUCCUCAAACAACUAUAAUUGAAUCAGAAAAAUUUGAGGAAAGUACAAGUUAGCAGUCAAGUAUUUAGAUCCUAAGAGUGCAACGGUUGCAUCAUUGAAAUUUUCUAGAAACUGCAAAUCUUUUCAACUCUUUCACACUCUUCUUAAGUUGGACAACAUUGAAAAUUGGAAUCACAUGAUUGCAAGUGACAAAGGCAAGAUGGUAAUAAAGAGUACUUGAGAGCAUCUUGUAAGUGGAAUUCUACCUAGUUGGGAUAUCAUGAACUAAGGCUUUUUUAGAAUCAAUGGAUGUUUGUGCUACACAUUGGGUAUGCUUAACUUUUCUUGCUUGAGAGCCCCUAACGUAUUUCACUUCCUUAUUCUAUCCACUGAAACAUCAAUUUCUUUCAAAACAUUUUACACAAUUAAAUUUAAAAUAUGAGCACAACACCUCACAUAAAAUAAAAUGCCAUCAUGCACCAAAGCACUUUUCAACCAAAGCUGAUUAUCAAGUAUUUGAACAAAACAAUCAUUUGCAGAAGCAUUAUCCAAAGUGAUACUAAAUAACUUCUUUUCAAUACCCUAAUCACUAGUCAAACUAUAAUUUUUUUCUACUAAAGCAAGUCCACUAUGUGGAGGAGGCAUACAAGAAAAAUUCAAAAUUCUUUUUUGUAGUAUCCAACUCCGAUCAAUAAAAUGUGCAGUCAAGCUCAAAUAUGCAUCAAUAACUAUAAAGGUCCAUGCAUCAGAAGUUAAACAAAUUCAAUUAGGACUCUUUAACAUGUAAUUUUUUAAUGUUAGCCUAAACAAUGUUCCUAGUAACAUGUUUAACUUGUGGUUCUAGACUAUGACAACCCCAUCUUCCCUUAGGGCAUACGCUAAAGAUUAGCAGACUAUUUGUUCAACUCUCGUCAGGACUAACUAACCAAAAAUUACCACAGGUACUAAAACGUACAACAUUAUUUCAAAAUAUCGCAACCCAAAAUUUUAUACAAUUCAAGCUUAAAGUACAAGUUGAAGUAUUCAAACUUAUACAAUUACAUAUAAGGUUUACUAAUACUGAGGAGUUUAAACAAAAAUUUCUAGAGUCUAGAACUAGCUCCAUUUUUCUCCAAAAUCACGUACCCAAAAUUUCGCCCCUGUAAGGAAAACAAAUGUGAUAGGGUCAGCUUUCGUCCAAUACGGUGCCACAAGUCAUGUAGUCGAAAUCACAUAGUUAGAACUUCAAUCUAUCAACAAUAAGCAUCGAGUAAAGGAAUAAGUAAACACCACAACUAAUAUAGAGCGGUUCAAGUAAAAGAAUACAGAUGGCUCUCAAAAGCCAAAUUCCCUAGUCGCAUUAGCUUGAUCCAACUUGGUUGACACUCCGUCAACGUUUAGAAAAACAAAGAAAUAUUGACCGUAGAUCCCCACUUUACAUCAGUUUCCAUCCAUCAAACAUACCCCUUACCGGGACCAAACACCAGGCAAAAACAGUGGUGGUAAUACUCAAGUAUAACAAUUAUCAGAAGCAUCCAAUAUUCAGUAAUUAGUGACAGUUUUCCUCAUGGCCCGUCCAUCUACCUCGACUAGCCCUUGUUGGCUUGAUUGGAUUAACUAUCAAUGAGGUUUGAGAUCAAAUUCAUAGUAAAGUCGUCGGAUAUUGGGCUCCAAACGACAUCCAAAUCAUGCACAAGUAAUAGGUUUCAAAUAAAUAGUAGACCGGUCAAAUAGUCAAGUGAAACCGAGUGUGAUAAAGUAUACACCCGUCCCGUCCAUACAAACCAUGAAAUAUUCCAUGUAAGCUACCAAAAUCAAGCUUGAAAUCUACUCAUAUACAAGUAAUAAAAGAAAAGAUGGUUUUUUAAUAUGGUUACCUUGAAACCCUAUGAAGAAAUGGAACUCAAGAGCUUCUUCCUCCCAAAUCUCUCCACCAAAGUUCUUAAUCCUCUCUAAAUAUCACUUUUUAUGGUUUGGAUUGUAAGUUUAAGGUGAAAACUCAAGGAUAGGAAAAGAAUGAAGGGUUGUUUUGGUCAAAUUUUGUUUUUAUUAAAGGUUAAAAAUGGUUUUAGUCAAAGUGUGACACCCCCACUUCUCCCUAAGGCGAACCAAAGGGUAUCCGCAGGACGCCUGCCUAGCUCUCGCCAGGACUCAAGCAAUUCCAUUCAACUUAUAUCCGGACCACAAAAAAAAAAUACAAAUCGAUAACUUAGAUGUAAUAAUUGCGGAAGUGUUCAAACUUAAUAACAGUUAUCCAUUCUUCAAACCACCCGUCGAUAUACAUAAUACAUUUCGUCCAAAGGUCACGUUUCCAUACCAAAAGUACAAUUCAAAGCCAAAGGCAUAAACAAAAGUAAUAGCAACCCUAAAACAAAAGCACAUCAGGAGGGCUGCUCCGUUUUACCUCCGAACUCAACCUGUUAAGGAAAACAAAUCUACAGGGUGAGCAAAACGCUCGUGAGGCCAAGAACACACAUGCAACCACAUAGUUCAGAUAACAAGCCCAAUAACAAUUCAGGUAUUAUCUUGCAAGUAAUUAAUAACACCAAUAAACUGUAACCAGAAACAAUUCAAGGAUAUAGAAGCUCUCAGGAGCUAAGUUCCACAUUUGCCGAUACCGUUUAUAUAUCUUUCCGUGAUGACUCUCCGUCAACCGGAUUGAUAUUUUCAUAUCCGUAGUUCACCACUUACUUCCCAUCCGUCCACCAUACACCACUUCGGGCCCGCACUACAUUUAUAAGGCAAUACUAUACGAGUAUGCCAAGCGAGAUCUCUCAAUAGAUCAAGCUUAUCAUUUGAGUCUCAUGGCUCACCGAGGUUCCCGACCAAACCCAUGCCGACUCGAGUUCCAAGGUCGGCCUAUGAGUUUGGGCAUCCCCCAUUUGUCAUGUAAAUGUCGAGGAGAUUCACUCCAUCGACGUAUGCAAUCAUAGCAUACCAUUUCAUGUAUUCAAGCAUUUGAUAGGUUUAAGCAGACAUUUCAAGUCAUGUAAACCAAGCAAAUCAUGUUAAGCAUGAGUCAUUCGUUUCAAAUGAGAACGAGUGCGAUCAAGUACACACUCGACUCCAUUUUGUCAAAAUCAGUUAAACUAAGCAUGAAAUCAGGUGAAUCAAGCAUGAAUCAAGACUUUAGGGUUCAAGUAGGCAUACACUUGACACUCACCAAGUUAUGCAAGCAAGUAAAUUGGAGGAAGAGUUCAAACUUCCACAGUAGGGUCCUCUUGGAGGUCCUCGUGCGUGCCUGAGCAAAUAAUAGUGAAUUAUCACCCAUAUCCCAAAUAUCGAGGAAUAAUUCGUUCACUAGUAUUACUCUAGGAAAUUCCGUGAAAAUGAACCUCAAUUACUCGUAAAUCGAGGUUCGAGAGAGGUUUGAUAACAUUCAACAAUAUUUAAGUCUUUAUCUAGGAAAUCGGGGAUAAAACGUUUAGAUAAUAUCAAAAGAAUAAAGAGUUCUUGAAAAACUCUAUUUCCUUGAAAGUUGGAAAAUUUUCAGUUUUGUUAUGAAUCUUUGAAAAAUCGUAACUCACUCGACAUAAGUCGAGAAUUGGAAAAAUUUAUACCGUUGAAAACUUCUUAGAAAGUACUACAAGUUCCUAGAAGACACUUUUCCAUGAAUCGAAGUGGAAAGUGCUCAAAAAUGAGCCUAAAGUUGCUGUUCCAAAUCACCCAGGAUUGAGCCGGGGUUGGUUUUUCGCUAACUUUGAAAAUUCGGCAGAAUUCACUCGUUGCAAACCAGCCCUUGAAAUUUAUAGAUCAAUUAGAGGUGCAAGUAAGGUUUAGGUCAGAACAAACGGAUCGAGAAUCGGAGUUUCGAGCACCAAGAUAUGGUAGUUCAAAGUUGGGAAAAAUUCAAGACUGUUACAAAAUUUCCAGAUUUGGUUCCAACUUUGGACCUUUAGUUAAGUGCCGAAACGGACUUGGAUUGACACCAAAUUUUGCAGUAUAAUACUUCCAUAUGAAGGUUAUCUCUAUAUCAAAUUUCACGGAAAAAUACCCUCGGGAGGGGGGUCAUUCAAUCAACCAAAGUUUGGAAAAAUCCUUAAGGCAAUCUGUCCAAAUCUAAGAUUUUCAAAACGAGCAGUCACCGUAUUUUGAUCAUAACUCUCUCAAUUUAACUCGGAAUUGGGAAUGGUUAAUAGUGUUAGAAAAUAAAUUCAUAGGGCUACAACUUCACAGAAGAAAUCGUUACAAGUUUCAGCAUGCAACUGGUUCAAAAUCAAGGCUCAAGUUGCAGCAUCAUCAAAUCAUUUCGGCAGAACGGAGAAACAGGACAGCCGACUUCAGAUGAAUGGUGUGGCUCACACACAUAAAACCAGGACGUGCAUUAUACACCGAUAAAAACAUGGAAACGUCUAGUUUCAAAUGCCGCUAACGGUACCUGAUUUUGACGUCGGAGUACGGAGUUAUGGACGAAAUACAACCACUGGUCUGGAUUACGGCGAAACCGUUUUUCAGUUUACUAGUUUUUGAAAUAAAUUCGUUUGAGCAACCAAAACUCAAUAUUUUUCAACAAAAUUUUGUACACAACUUUUACAACAUGUAAACUACAUAAUCAAGCCAUUAAAUCCUCAAUUUCUGCAAUAAAAUGACCGAACAGAGCAGGGGCAAAAUGGUCAAGUUUGGCCCUUGCUCUCUACGUGAGUUUCCUGCAGUUUUUCUUCAACGAAACACUAACUUAAACACUAAUCCGUCAUCAUAAACUUCAUCAAGCACAGAAUCAGCAACAACCCAAGAGUGGGAAUUCAUAGAGUCCACUUUUUCCAACAAUACAAGCUACUAAAGUAAAGAUUCCAACUCAAAUGCGUAAAUCAAACUCCAUAAACAAGUUUAAGAAGUUAGAUGGCUACCUACUUUGAUGGCUGUUCAAAUCAGAAAAUUUCGGUCCCUAUGAAGCCUGAAGACAGCCGUGAAACUCCUCCCUUUUCCAGCCUAAGUUGUUGUCCAAGUGAAAAGCUAAACGAAUGUGAAGUUUGGUGAGAAUCCAUGGAAGUUUUGGUAGGAAUUUGGUUGAGUUUUAGAAGAAAAGAAAUGGUGACUUUGGUUGUUCCUUUGCUGCAGUCUAGCCGGCCAUUGUAGCAGAGAAAAGGAAAUGAAUUUCGGCUCUGUAGCCUUUGCGUACAAAAGACGCUUGACGUCAAAUCCUUUGAUACGUCAAAUCAAUUUUAACUAGUACCCUACGCGCGCGUUUUGUAUCCGAUUUCUCUUACGUUUGUUGCACUAGUGCACUAAACCUCUAGGGCCCUUACAUUCAUAUAAAUAUUAUUCAUUCUUAAUUGUUCCAAAAUAAUGGUCCAAAGUCCCUCAAUUAAGCGCGCACGUGAAAACACGUAUUUCUAAUUUAGGCGUAAUAAAAAUUAAAACCUUUGAAAAAUUCUUAUAACGAUCGUACCACUAGUUAUUACUUGUGUGUUUAAACCUAAAAUUGUCUAUUUUAGAUCCAUUGUAUAGGUCUUAAAUUUUUAGCUUAUUGUAAUCCCAAUUGGCUAAAGUUUUUAGACACGUUUCUACUUUUUCGCUAAAUAGGCUUAUAAGAAAAUACUUAUUUAUUUAUCUAUGUUUUUAUUUUAUUAUUUUUAAAAUGAGACACUUUAGAAAUAUAACGAACUAUAAAAUCAUGUACUUAGGUCUAAUAGGCUAGAAAAUAUUAUUCGUGGUAAAAAUCCAAAUAAAUAAUUAUUUUAGCCAAAAUUAGGGAUUUUAAAAUAAUGGAAUUUUCGAAUCCUCACACAAAGUUAAAACACCAUAAUUUUAGUGACAAAUGGCAUUCCAAGGUUAAUCCUCAUCUAAUUGUCUCCCAAAUGUUAAAAUAUCUAGCCAACAUCUAAUUACCCCUUAACACCUUAUAAAAUAAAAUUUCUUUGGACAAAACUCCUCUUAAUAUUCAAAAAUUUAUCACACAUAUCUCACUUGUGGGUUCUACUUCAUAAUGCACUAAGAAGUUAACAUGUACUAAUUUAUAGAAGAAAAAUGAUUUGAAAACUUGACCCACUUAUGAAAAUAUCUAGAAAAUUAAGGCAAUAAAAUAAAGUAAAAAAAAUAUAUUCAAAGAAAUAAAAUAAAAUUAAAAUAAUUUUUCAGAUCCUCACACUUUCUCCCCCUUAAAAGAAUUUCGUCCUCGAAAUUCUCACCUUGAUUAACAAACAAUUCAGGGUAUUUUUUUUUGCAUUUCCUCUUCCACUUCCCAAGUUGCCUCUUCUACACCGUGGUUUCACCAUAGGAUUUUCACCAAGAAAAUUUGCUUUUUUCUUAAUUCCUUAACUUUUCGAUGAAGCAGUCGCACAGGUUUUUCCUCAUAGGUGAGAGACUCAUCUAAUUCAAAUUAUUUAGGUUGUAAGAUGUGAGUCGGAUCAGGAUAGUACUUCUUUAGCAUCGAGACAUGAAAAACAUCAUGAAUUCCGGAUAAACUCAAUGGUAAUUUGAGUCGGUAUGCCACUUUUUCGACUCGUUGAAGAAUUUUGAAGGGUCCCACGAAUCUUGAUUGGAACUUUUUCAUUUACCCGCCGCGACACUUCGCAAUAGAGUGACCUUAAGAAAUACAAGAUCUCCAAUUUUGAAUUCUAAAUCCUUCUUGCGAUUAUCUGCAUAACUUUUUUGUCGAUUUUGAACUGUUUGAAGUUUCUAACGAAUUAACUUGACCUUUUUUUGUACAUCCUCCAUCCAUGGCACUGUCGUUGGAUUUAAAAUUUUCUUUUCCCUUACUUCAUCCGAAUAAAUUGAUGAUUGUACUUUCUUUCAUAAAAAGUUUCAUAUGGUGCCAUUUGAAUAGACGAAUGAUAGUUGUUAUUAUAAACGAACUUCACCAACGUCAUGUGCUAGCCCCAAUUAACUCCAAAAUCUAAAAUACACGUUUUCAAUAUAUUCUCGAGGGUUUGAAUGGUUCUCUCCGAUUGUCCAUCUGUCUGAGGAUAGUAUGUGGUACUGAGGUUUAAUUUGGUCCCUAAUGCUUCUUGAAAUUUUUGCUAAAAUCGAGACAUGAAUCGAGGAUCCCUGUCUGAGACUUUACUCACAGGUACUCCAUGUAAUCUCACAAUCUCAUUUGUGUAUAACUGAGCCAACUUUUUCCAUGGAAUACUUCAUAUUCAAUGGUAAGAAAUGGGUCGAUUUGGUUAACCGAUCAACAAUUACCCAAAUGGCAUCAUGAUCCCUCUACGUCGGUUUGAGACAAAGUUCAUCGUAAUGUGCUCUCACUUCCAUUCAGGUAUCUUGAGAGGUUGUAACAAGUCUGAGGGUUUUUUAUGUUCAGUUUUAACUUGUUGAUAUGUGAGACAGAUUUAAACAUAUUGAACAAUCUUUUUUUUCAUGUUAUCCCACUAAUAUAACCCCUUUAAAUCCUGAUACAUCUUGUUACUAUCUGAAUGGAUCGUAUAUUUAGACUAGUAAGUUUCUUCCAAAUUUUUUUUUUCAAUGUUUCAUCCUUCAGUACAACCACUCGGUUUCGAUAUCUCAAAAUCCCCUCGAGACUCAAAUUGAAAUCAAGUAAUUCCCCCUUUUGCACCUUUUCUGUCCGUUUAUGUACUGCAGAGUCUUUCUUCUGAGUUUCUUUGAUUCGAUCUAGUAGGGUGGAUCUCACUGUAAUAUUUCUGAACAACUUCUGGCGUUUAAGGCGACAAUUCUACUCACUAAUCUUUUCAAGCAUAUUUCAUUCCUUAAUCAUUAAUCCAGUCACUUGAGCCUUUCGAUUUAGAACAUCUGCUACUACAUUAACGUUUCCAAGAUGGUAAUUAAUCGUACAAUUAUGGCCCUGUUUGGAAGCUUGGUUUUUUACCAAGUUUGUAUAAAACUAGUUUUUUAACAACUUUUGCUACAGGAACCCCAAAAAACUUAUCAAAGUUUUUAACCUACACACUUAAAAUAUCCAAAACACAACAAAAAAAAAUUCUCUUCCCCUUUUCUUCUUCUUCCUCCCCCACCACUACCUCCAUUGCCGGCUCCGUCACCAAUUUCCGGUGCCGGUCUUUUUUUUUUCCCCCCUUUUUUUCCCUCUCCCCCUCUUCCUCCCCUACCAUCAUCCUCUCUUAUCUUUUUUUUUUUCUCUCUACGUCCGGCGCAUAAGGGGGUGGCGCAGAGGGGAGCGGCGAUAAAAGAAAAUGGCCUAUGAAUUGAAGUACUCAAAAUAUAUUGCUCAUCUGGAGAUGGUUCCAUUGAAGUAUAUAUGGCCGGUGGUCCAAUUGGCUCCACUGACCCAUCCAGAGAGGCCACAACAAGUUGUGUAGUAGCAUAGUACUCAAAUAAAUCUUCAUCAUAUUCGUCUUUUAGCAGAUCUUGGAAGGUUCUCGUUUGAAUAACAUUUUUUUGCUCAUUAGACUGAAUCUUAGGACCAGAGGGGGGCAGAGGGGGCGGCGCAGAGGGGGGUGGCGGGGGAGGGGAAGGCGGGGGGAGGGGAAGGGGCAGAGGGGGAAGGCGGGGCAGAGAGGGUGGCGGGGGGAGGGGGGCGGCGGGGCAGAGGGGGGCGGCGGGAGGUGGAGUUGCUGCUGGGGGUGGCGGAGGUAACGGGGAAGAAGAAGAAGAAGAAGAAGAAAAAGAGAAGAAAGAAAAGAAAAAGGAAAGAAAGAAAAAGAAAAAGAAAAAGAAAAAGAAAGGGAAAGAGGAAAAAAAAAAGAAAAGAAAAAAAAGUUUUCACCCUACAAAAACUUCUAUAAAAUUUUUUCAAAAACUUCUACAGUGCACUACAGUAAAGUUUUAGACAAACUCCCAAAAAACUCAGGUUCCAAACAGGCCCUAUAAUCGUCUAAAAACUUCACCUAUCAUCAUUGCCUAAUGUUUAGCUCCUUCUAAGAAAAUAAAUUUGAGACUCUUAUGAUCCGUAUAGAUCUCGAAAGUUAUUUCAUAGAAAUAAUAUCUCCACUUUUUCAAAGCAAAAACAACAGCUGUUAAUUUCAAAUCAUGAGUCGGAUAAUUUUGCUCGUGAGCUUUCAACUUCUUAGAGGUAAAGACAAUCACAUUUCCAUUUUGCAUCAAUAUAUAUCCCAAUCCUUCCCUCGAGACAUCGAUAUAUAGUGAAACUGUCCUUUCUAUUAGGUAGAGUCAAAACUGGUGCCAUGAUCAACGUUUUUUUCAAUUCUUGAAAACUAAUUUCACAUCUACUAUUUCAAAUAAAGUUACCAUACUUUUUUGUCAGAUCAGUUAAAGGAUCGGCAAGUUUUAAAAAAUUUUUAAUAAGUCGACGAUAAUAUCCUGUCAGAUCUAGGAAACUAGGAAUCUUAGUAGGGUUUUCUGACCGUUUCCAUCCAAUAACAACUUCUAUUUUGGCCGGAUCUACUGCAAUGCCAUCUUUCGGAAUUACAUGUCCUCAAAAAGAUAUUUUCUCCAACCAAAACUCAUACUUACUAAACUUAGCAUAUAACUGGUGUUCUCUCAGAGUCGACAAUAUAAUUCUUAAAUGCUACUCAUGCUACUACCGAGUUUUAGAAUAAGCAAGAAUACCAUCAAUAAAUACAACUACAAACCGAUUUAAAGAGGAUUUGAAAAUCCGAUGCAUCAAAUCCAUUUAUGCUGUAUGGGUAUUGAUCAAUCCAAAGGGUAUGACUGAAAAUUUAAAAUAUCCAUAUCUAGAAUUGAAGACAAUUUUUGGUAUAUCCACUUUCUUGAAUCGCAAUUGAUAAUACCCCUGUCGGAGGUCUAGCAUAGAAAACACCACCGCUCCUUACAACUGGUUAAAUAAUUCAUCAAUAUGUGAUAAAGGGUAUUUAUUCUUAAUUGUUAUAUCAUUCAACCCCCGGUAGUUUAUACACAGUUUUAAACUCCCGUCUUUCUUUUUAACAAAGAGUACUGGAACUCCUCAUGGAGAUCCACUUUCUCGAAUAAACUCUCGCUCCAAUAAAUCUUGCAAUUGUAACUUCAAUUCCAUAAAUUCAGCGAGUGCCAUUUGAUAUGGAGUUUUAGAGAUAGGUAUUGUUUCAGAUAAUAGAUCAAUUUUAAAUUCUAUCUCUCUUUCUCUCUGGAGGUAAGGUCACUAAUUCAUCAGAGAACACAUCCAGAUACUCCUUUAUUACCGGUACAUUUUCUAUCUUCAACUUAUCUGUCGGAGUAUUUAAUAGAAAAGUUAGGUAACCUUGCGCCCUUUUACUCAACAAUUUCCUAACCCGAUUACCCAAAAUAAAUGCAGAUGAGGCUAAUCUACCUCUCACGUCUAGUGUUAAGGUUGCGUCCCCAGAUAUGCGAAGUUCUUUCACUUUCUUCUUGCAAUUUAGUUGAACAUCAUAUUGAAUUAAUCAAUCCAUAUCUAAGAUGACAUUAUACCCCUUAAUGGUUAAAUUUAUUAAAUCUCUCAAUAAUUUUCUCUCUCCAAUCCAAAUUUCACAAUUCUUAUAAACCAUACUAGUGAUCAAACGUUCAUCAUCCAUAGGAGUACUAACUUCGAAAUCAUAUGACAAUCUAACAGGUUUUACAUCAAUUUCAUACAUAAAAUUAGGGUUAAUAAAAGAAUGGGUAGCACUGAAAUCUAUUAGAAUCUUAGCUAAAUGGUAGAAUACAGAGAUCAUACAUUUUAUAACCUCAAACGAGUCAGGGAGCUGGUGUUGCUCCAUUGCAUACAUCCGAAUCGGCACUUUCGAUCUAUUUCCUUCCACCUUUGUCUGCCCAGGGUUUGUCUUAUUUGAAUGCUGAGUCUCACUCUUCUCUCAAGGCGGGUCUAGACAAUUGACGAUCUGAUACUUGACACUUCCACAACGUAAACAUUUUUUUUCUUCCUCCAACAACUCUCUUAGUAUGGUUCGGCUUCCUACAGUAUCCACAGGAGAUACGGGAAGCUGAUGCCGAGCCUUCUUGUGGCGCACCUCUUUGUUGUCCUCUCUCGCCUUGACCUUCUCUUGACGGGGCUCCUCUGGGCGUCCCGGAAAGACUUAUUCCGUCUAUCUCUCUUCCAAAUUUAAGAGGUAUAUUUUUAUCCCCUUGUCCAAAGUUACUACUAGGCAUAUCUCGUUUCUUUGCUUGAAAAGAUCUAACUUGUAGCCUUGCACUUUCAACCCGCUAGAUUUUCUCCAUAACAUCACUAAAUGUAUUGAUUUGGGCUACUGCUAAAUCUUUCUGAAUUUCGACAUUUAGCCCUUGAACAAAGUGCCUUAUUCGCCUUUAUUCUGUUACUACUAGAUCAGGAGCAAACUUAGAUAGUCUGGUGAAUUGAGUUUCGAACUCCACAAUGGUUUGGAUUACUUGACGAAGUUUAAUAAAUUCGUUCUCCCUUUUCUCCUGAAUCAAAGACGAAAAAUAUUUUGCAUUAUACUCUCUGAUGAAAUUUACCCAAGUUCUUGGGGUUUGCUCUCUUUUCCAUUUAGUUCGUAUCACAUUCCACCAAGAACAGGCUACUCUCUCUAACUGAAAAUCAGCGAAGGCUACCUGCCUAUCCUCAGUAUAAUGCAAUGCUGCAAAGAUAUCGAUCAUUUUCUUCAGCAAUCUCUCGGCUAUAUCAGGGUCAGGUCCUCCCAAGAAUUUUGAUAGGGAGAAUUUUUGGAAUCGUUCGAGUACUCUAUCUUUGCCUUCUACAUAGUUCCUAGGGUUACUAGAUUGGUUAACAGGGUUUUGAUCUUGACGGUCCACUAUUUGUACUAGCAAAUCUAUCAUAUGUUGGAUGGCUGUGGCUACUUGUGUAUUGAGAUCGGUCCCUAGUUCGUGAUUUUGUUCAAUUACUGGUUCGCGAUUACCCCUUUGAUUUAAGGGUUGCCUGGGUCCACGCCCACGGGCUUGUCCACUAUGUCUACCCAUCAUUGAUUUUUAACAAGUCUAGAAUUGAAAUGCAGAUGCAACAAUUAAAAUACCUAGAUGAAUAAGCAAGAUGCAAGAAUGUAAACAAGUUAGAAAAUCAAGUAUAUUUAACACAACCCCUUUCAUACAUAUCAUACAGUAAAAGUCAGGUACAAACAAAAUAGCCCCAUUUACAUAAGUAGUAGGAUCAUAUCAAAAGUAUAGUGAACAAAAACUAUACCAAAAGGACAAGAACAUCCAACUAGAGGUUUCCUAAUUACCCCUCACAUAUGGUCAAAACAUGACUCAUUGGAGUUCUAACCUAAUUUCCAAUAGAGCUAGUAGAUGUUUUAUUUCUAGGGCCAUGAUCUACGUCAGCCAAAUUUACAUCCACCACCUCUCCAAGUAAAGUCCUACAUUCCUGCAAAAUGCCCUCGGUUUGGUCUUCUACCUCUCUUAGCACCCUAGUGAGAAGCUCAUUCACCAUUUGCACCUGCUGGCGCAUAGCAUCCGUACGUUCUUGCUCUUGACCAACAGUCUCUUGCAACUCCUGGAUUCUAUCCGCCUGCAUUUCCAUAAUUCCUCCCAUUCUUUCCAUCUCAAUUUGAUCCCUAAAAUUGGCACGCCUAAGUCUUCUCCUCUCAUCUAGCACCGUCAAGACCACAUGAUUAGUAUAGGAGUAGUUUUGGCAACGACUACAUCUACUAGUCUGACUUGCGGAACUCCAACGUCGGAUUGGUCCCCCUGACCUCUCCUCAUAAUCGAUAAUUCGAAAGCGCUUCCGAGACGCCUCACUUCCACCCUCUCCAUUGGUUCCUUCCAUGACCUACAAGGAUAAGCACAAUUUACAAUUUAGACAAGGUUAAUCAUACUUAAUGACAUCCUAACAUGUCACAUUAAAGUUCCUUAGAAUCAAAUUUUCAUUUUGCCCAGGCCAUUUCUAACCUAGACUCUGAUACCAAUUGUGACAGACCCAUCUGCUCUUAGGGCAUACCCUAAAGGUUAGCGGACUGCUUGUCCAACUCUCGCCAGGACUAACUAAUCCAAAAUUACCACAGGUACUAAAACGUACAACAUUACUUCAAAAUACCGCAACCCAAAAUUUUAUACAAUUCAAGGUUAAAGUACAAGUCAAAGGAUUCAAGCUUAAACAAUUUCACAUAAGGUUUACUAAUAUCGAUGAGUUUAAAAAAAAUGUCUAAAGUCUAGAGCUCGCUCCACUCUUCCCCAAAAUCACGUACCAAAAACUUCGCCCCUGUAAGGAAACAAAAGUGACAGGGUAAGUUUUUGCCCAAUGAGGUGCCAUAGGUCAUGUAGUCGAAAUCACAUAGUUAGAACUUUAAUCUAUCAACAACAAGCAUCGAGUAAAAGAAUAAAUAAAUACCACAACUAAUAUAGAGCGGUUCAAGUAAAAAGAUACAAACUCGUUGACACCCCAGUCACAUUAGCUUGAUCCAAACUCGUUGACACUCCAUUAACAUUUAGAAAAACAAAGAAAUAUUGAUCGUAUAUCCCCACUUUACACUAGUUUCUGUCUAUCAAACAUACUCCUUACUGAGUCCAAACUCCAAGUAGAAACAGUGUUGAUGAUAUUCGAGUAUACCAAUUAUCAGAAGUAUCCAGUAUUCAGUAAUUCAAUGACAGUUUUCCUCAUGGCCCGUCAAUCUACCUCGACCAACCCUUGCUGGUUCGAUCGAUUAACUACUAACGAGGUUUGAGCUCCAAUUCACAGUAAAGUUGUCAGAUAUUGGGCUUCGACUAGCAUCCAAGUCAUGCACAAGUAAUAGGUUUCAAAUAAACAGUAAAUCAAUCAAACAGUCAAGUGGAAUCGAGUGUGAUAAAGUAUACACCCGUCCAGUCCAGAUUAAACCAAAUCACAGUCAUACAACUCAUAAAUUCCAGUCACAAGUAGUUCACUUUAAGCAACAAGUCAUACAAGUGGUACACUUACCAGUUCAAGCAAAGCAACGUCAAAAGUUCAUCCUCGGGUUAUGCCCUUGAUCACCAACAAACUCUAAGAACAACCAAGAUAAAAAUAUUAUGGUUCAACCAUCCAAAACUUAGGUGAACUAAGGAAAAUCCAAGUAACUCCUAGUGCAAAGAUUCAAAUAUAGUUUUAGAAUGAAAAUAGAGUAUUUGAAACCAAGGGACAUGAGUAACCAAGGAGUUCCUCAUUCCAAUUCAUGGUUGGAAAUUUCCAGCAGCAAAAUAGUGAAGAGAAACAACCAAAUCUCGAGUUUAAAGUAGAACAAAUGAAACUAGAAAGCAUGCUAGAAGAAAUCAUUACUUUUCCUCUUGUUUUACACAUGGUUUUAUCCAAAUUUCAUUUUAUACACCACCACCAAGGUGAACUCAAAUAAUCAUAAGCAACCUAAGUCCAAACCGACCCUAAAUUACCCCUCUAACAUCACUCAUAUCACGAGAAAGAAAGUAAUAAAAAUUUCAGCAGCAUUUCCCCUUAUUUCCUUAACUUUCCCUUUCAAACUCAAUACCUAUAUUCAUAGCAAUCCAACCUCAAUCACAACCACAAAGUUAUAGGCUAUAAAGUACACUUAUUUAAGGUCACAAAGCCACCCAAAAUAGCAAAUUAUCUAACUCAAGAACAACCACAGGAAAAAUGUAACCCUAAACUGAAAUUUACUACUACAAGUUGAAAUUUCUUAUAAUGAAACCAAAAUAACAUAUAAAAGUUAGAAAAUUCACAUGGCAAAGCUACUAGGUCAUACCCAAGUUCAAUUCAACAUAUCAAAGCUAAAAUUUCUCACUCAAAACUUGAAUUUUCCAACCACCAUAAAAACCAUGAAAUUUUCCAUGUAAUCUACCAAAAUCAAGUUUUGAAUCCACUCAUAUGCAAGUAAUAAAAGAAAAGAUGGUUUCUUGAUAUGGUUACCUUAAAACCCCUAUGAAGAAAUGGAAUUCAAGAGCUUCUUCCUCCCAAAUCUCUUCACCAAAGUCCUUAAUUCUCCCUGAAUGUCACCUUUUAUGGUUUGAAUUGCAAGUUUAAGGUGAAAAACUCAAGGAUUCAAAUAAGAUUCAAGAUUGGAGUUGAAGUUUUUUCUCUCUUUUUCUCUCAAAGUGGGUCGGCCAAGAAGGGAAAGAAUGAAGGGUUGUUUUGGUCAAAUUUUGUUUUUAUUAAAGGCUAAGAAUGGUCUUAGUCAAAGUCAAAACUCCAUAGCUUUAGUGACAAAUGGCAUUCCAAGGUUAAUCCUCAUCUAAUUGUCUCCCAAAUGCUAAAAUAUCUAGUCAACCUCUAAUUACUCCUUAACACCUUGUAAAAUAAAAUUUCUUUGCACAAAACUCCUCUUAAUUUUCAAAAGUAUAUCACACAUCUCACUAGUGGGUCCUACUUCCAUAAUGCACUAUGAAUUUAACAUAUACUAACUUAUUGAAGAAAAAUGAUUUGAAAACUUGACUCACUUAUAAAAAUAUUUAAAAAAUUAAGACAAUAAAGUAAAGUAAAGAAAUGUAUUCAAAGAAAUAAAAUAAAAUAAAAAUAAUUUUUCAGAUCCUCACAUUCUACAUAUAAACAAACAUUUCUAAUCCCCUCAUAUUCGACAAAUGAAAAUGGCAACUCAUGCCUAAUGAUUACAUGAUAUGAAUCCUGUUAGAAACCAAACCCGUAUUUCACAAGCCACGGAUCUAGACGAACAAUACCUAAGAUUUGGCAGCGGAAAAUUUAGACCAAUUAAUUCUAGGGUUCACGAACAUGUUGAUAUAAUCUCAACCCGUAAUUAAUCGAAUUGAAGAACCAAAGUUGAUGGAUAGAAGGUGCCACAAUUUAACAUACUCUUGAAUUGAUAAGCCAAAUUUCUUGAACACUCAAGAUAACUCUAAAGUAUUCAAAGGAAUCAUUUCUAAGAACCUAGGAGAAAAUUCUCUCACACAUAAGUGUUUUUUUUUUUUGCUGGAAAUUCUUGAUUAAUUUUAUUAAUAAACAAGAUAAGCCUUUUAUAGGCCUUACAAGACUCAAAACCUAAUCAUACUAGCAUAACUAAUAAAUAACUCAAAGUUCUAAAAGGACAAGUUCAACAAUUCGGCUUAGACUUCUUCACAAGCUAGCCAAAUGGAAACUAACAAUAGAAAACAUACUAAAAACUAAAAUAACUACUAGUUGACUACCAAUUAUAAACAACUAGACAUAGACUACUCACGGCCUUAUUCUUAAGAAAAGUUGGCCGUACAAUUGAUAACAAUUAUAACUUAAUUAAACAUACUAAAAACAAGAAAGGGACCCGAAUUUUUGAAAUUCAAUGAAUCGGCUUCUUAUAUGACUAGAACAUGAACCACUGGAUCACCAGCUCAAAUUAUUGCAUACAUCAUUAAAUCUCUAAAUUUCUCUUGAUGAAUACUUUUCAAUCAGAAGUAAUAAGAUACUGACCAAUAUCUUUUGUUAUUAUCUUUUGACAUUUUAUUAUGUGUCUUUUAAGGUUGCCAGUCUCAUUUUUACUCUGUGCAGAGUAAAUGCAAUGACAUAUUUUGCAUCUGCACUUCAAUUCCUUAUUUGAUUUUGAAGUUAGGAUAGUAAAAUGAGCCCAAACUUCAAAGUUUAGCUUCCUUUUUUGUCUCCUUUGAGAAUAGGGUUAGGGCAUUGAGACUGAUUCAUAGCUAUUUUGUCUUUAACAUUGUUGUCACUACUACUAUCAUCAUCAACAUCAACUGGCCUUGGAUUUGUAUUAUUUGCAUCCAUCUUUUAACCAAUAAAUAGACAUACAUGUCAUUGUCUAUUCGUGUUAAAAUUUCUUUUAACAUAAAAACAAAAUUUAAAAGAUAACGCAUUCACAAACAAUUUGACAUUAUGAGUAGAUGAUGCUUGCAGCCACAAUUAACAACUACAUUUAUAUUAAUAUUUUCAAUGUAAAACACUUAUGUCAUAAUGUCAAAGCUUGAGACUAACUGACUAAGUGUUUAUUUUCCAGAAGUGCAUCACCAGUAUUUAGUAGUAAGAACACUUUGGAAAGUUAGACGACUAUUAAACAUUGGGAUAAUGACAUCAAUUGAAGAUACAGGAGAUCAUGACAUGUAAAUGAACAUCCAAAAGUGAGAAAAAAAGUCAAUCCUUUUCUUUUCAAGAAGAAAGAGGUUUUUUUGUGUAACUUUUGUUAUUUAUGACUCCAAAACCUAUGCAAAAUCUCAAGCAAAAAAUUAAAACAAGACAAAUUUCCUAUCCAAUUCUAUAAGAUUUUCACAAAAUGAAAAUAAAUCAAACUAUGCAGGAGAUGAAGAAAUGUUUAGCUUAAGCCAUUGGAGUAUCAGUAUAUCUACUAUUACUUCAUCUAUGCGACUGCUACUGUGCUACAUCACUGAAAGAAAAAAAAUAUGGUGAAAAGCACAUAAAUAAUCGAUUUGGGGUCAAUUUGAAUUGUUUUGGAAUCCUUCAAUAUUUGAUGCUUAAGAGAGAGUAGGAGGGUCAGAGAAGGGUCACACAAAUUCAGAGGCUAAGGCUUUCGGUCGGAGAAGAAUGAUUGCCACUAACUACUGAGUGUUGAGGGAGUCUGGACUCUGGAGAAGAAGGUAAGAAAGAGGUGUUCUGCACUGAGGUAUUCUGCCCUGCCAACUAGCAGCUGCUAGUAAGAGAAUAAGAGUCAUUUGAUAAUACAAUUCAAUAACUAAACUUAAUAAAUUCAAAUUUUAAUAUAUUCAAAUCAUUUGGUAAUAAAAAAAUUAAACAUCUGAAGUAAUUAAGGGGUAUCGAAUUUCCUAGGCAAAAUUUGUUUUCAAAAUUAAGUGAUAAAUCAUUCAUUGAAUGUGAUAUGUACUCAAAUGUAUUAAAUUUAAUAUUUAAUAAUUCAAUAAUUUAAUGGAUUCAAAUUUCAAAUUUUAAACUUCAAUUUAAUGGAUUGCCACUAACUACUGAGUGUUGAGGGAGUCUGGACUCUGGAGAAGAAGGUAAGAAAGAGGUGUUCUGCACUGAGGUAUUCUGCCCUGCCAACUAGCAGCUGCUAGUAAGAGAAUAAGAGUCAUUUGAUAAUACAAUUCAAUAACUAAACUUAAUAAAUUCAAAUUUUAAUAUAUUCAAAUCAUUUGGUAAUAAAAAAAUUAAACAUCUGAAGUAAUUAAGGGGUAUCGAAUUUCCUAGGCAAAAUUUGUUUUCAAAAUUAAGUGAUAAAUCAUUCAUUGAAUGUGAUAUGUACUCAAAUGUAUUAAAUUUAAUAUUUAAUAAUUCAAUAAUUUAAUGGAUUCAAAUUUCAAAUUUUAAACUUCAAUUUUAUGAAACAUUGACUCAGAUUCAAAUCAUUUUUUUUUAUCUAUCGAAUCUAACCCAAUUUCCACUCAAGCCCGCGAAAGCUCAACCCAAUUUUAUGUUAGAUUUGUUUCGUUUUUUUGAAGCUAUUAGGCUUGUGAGUUAAUUAUCCAAGAAUGGAGCCGAAAGAAAAAGUGGAAAAAUAAUGAUGGAAGCAGCGAAGGGUGAAAUCCCGGUGUUCAUGCAUCUGUGAUGAUAUCAAGCAGAACCAGGGCAAUGAAAUCGCACAGCGUUGGAAUCAACAAGAUAUAUUACCCAGUACUAGUAGAAAAGUAAAAUUGGCAAUGAAAUCAGCUCAAUAGUGAUAUAUUGAUUAAACAAGAUAGUUACAGAGUUGGCGAGAAAAGAGAAGAAGAUGAACAAGAAUGAAGGAAAAACUUGGGAAAGAAGCAAUGAACUGGGAAUGAUCCCAAUUGAUUUGAUUACACAAUAUUCUCUUGUACUAUCUCCCAAAUCCACCUAUAUAACGCUGCAGCUAAUAACUUUGUUGUCAAUAAACCCCUGAUCAACUGUGGCAACAAUCCCUUAUCAAUAGACAGUUUUGAUUGAGUGACAAUAACAAUUGUCAAUAAAGACAUCCUGCCUAGAAAAAUACUACUCAUUUACAACACCUUACACAUGACUUUUCUACUACAAUAAUAUCUAAAAAAUGAAAAUAUCAGCAAUGUUUAAUAAAUAACAAAUGUAGGCACCCGUUACAAUAGAAUAUGCCAAAAUAAUAUAUUAAAUAUUCAAAUGUCAUAAAUAAGUGCAACAUCAUAGUACAAAUAGUUUCAUAAGUUUGAGUAGAACAAAUACUACUCAUAUAAGUCAAGGCUGCACUAAAAAAUAUAUUCCAAGUCCCAAAACAUAUCCUGCGCUUCUAAAACAUUUUCUAAACUUAAGACAGCACUAUAACCACAGUUUUUGAGCAGCCGUACUGCUAAUCUUCUUCGAAACCUCCAAAAUGAGCAAUGUAUCUGCAAUAAAGUAGUAAAGUUAUUAGUAAGGUUAUCAGGUGACAAAAGCAAAAUAGUCUCUAAUUGCUAAAUAAAGAACAAAAGUUGAAUAUCAUGAAUAUAUGAUAAAUACAUCAAUGUAAGAGAUAAAUAUGCAGUAGCAUUCCAUUUUUCAUUUUCUUGGGAUAGUGGCAUUCCGUGAUGUAUGACACUUAAAGUUGAUGGGACAUAUUCACUUUCCUAGCACUUCAGCCUCAAAGCAAUAUCUUUGUUAUCAAUCAACUUCAGUCAUGUAAUAUAACAAAUAUGCACAGAUUCAAGGCUAAAUAAGACUUGGCAAAAUCCAAAAAAGUAUUUUCCAAGUUUUGAGAGGAAGGAAGGGAGUUAGCUGAUUUCAUCCACUACAAUCCUGAAACCAAGAAAACAAAGUCCUUAGUCAGAGAAAUGCACCUGUCCUUCUAAAUCCAUCACCUCGUUCUUUAAAUAAGUCAACUAAGUAAUUUCUCCUGCAUUAACUGUAGGCACUCAGCAAGUUCACAGAGAACUCAAUAUUAAUUGGCCCCAGGAACAACUACGAACCUUGCAAAACUAUAAUGUUCUAUAACUGCCAAGACCACAGACCAAACACACUCUGCCUUGUGCAGGACAGAGGAGAUCCUAUAUUUAUCAUAUUUAUCUACUGCAAAACAGUCUCUAUUCUUUAGCCCUUCUGUGAUCCUCAAAUUAAUAUCAUGAAACAGAAACACUAUUGAAGCUUUUUUUUUGUGUAAUGUUAUUGUUUCAUGAUAACAAAGCUAUGAUAAAGCCACAAAUGUACUCCCAAGAUCAAAACACCAUCUGAUUAGAACCUUGUGUUGACAGAAGUAAUUCUUAAAUGUCCCUCCUCAGUCUUGAUAUUACAAGUUAAUAUUGUCACCUACCAAUAACUAAAUUGCAAUAACUUAUGUUAACUUUAAACCAUAGCAGCCAUUAUAUCUAUUUAGACAAGUAUAUAUAGUUGAAAAUUGCUUACCAAUCAGUUCGUUCAGAUGUGCCUUCAUCGUCUUACUUGUUGGCUUGCAGCUGUGCUUUCAAAGAUUUAAGGAGAUCUUGCAUUUCACUUUGUUGGUUCUGCAUUUCACUUUGCUGGUUCACAAGCUUCUCCAUAAGUUGUUGUUGAGAUUGGACUGUUAUUUCCAACUCAGCUGAGCGCUUCUCCGCUUGUUCUGCUCUUUUCUUGAAAUCAUCUAUCUCUGCAAGCUUUUGGGCAAUUAUUCCAGCUUUGGAGGGACCACGGCCAUGUACGUAUCCGGUUACACGUCCAGUUACUUCAAUGGAAAUGUCUUCUUCAGUCCUAUUUGCACCACUGGAUUCAGAUUCCAACUUUUUCUCCUUCAUCAUGCUCUGUCACAAAGGUAAAUUCUGAAGUUAGACUUUCAUAAGAGUUGUACAACAAUAUUAGAGUACCAAUUCCAUUUUUCUUACUAAGUUCAUAGCAGAUGUUUCGUCAACCAUUGCAUUCUUCUUCUUGCUGUAAUGGGUGAUGUCAUAAAGUUCUAUUGGUCCAACUUCCCUCCCUUCUUGUGCUUCCUGUUACAAUAAGAAGUUAAAUAACCUGCCUAAACAAUCCAAAAGACAUGUCUUCAAGAUAAUCAAAUACCCGGUCAGCUUUAUGACGAAGAAAGGAUUUUGUUCCAGCUGUAUGAGCAGUUUUUUGCUUUGAUCUAUUGAUCUUGUUCCUCUCACUUAUCUUCUGCACUUAUCAAGUUCAGCCGUGAUCAAAAUUUAACACACAAAAAGCAUGAGAAAGAACAAUAGUAAAUGAUCAAAAGUCGGCGUCUAUACCAUAAAAUUUAGACUACAGAAAUAGUCACAAAGGUAAAUCCAAUCAGAUUCUUCAACAUAUUGUGGACGAUUUGCAAGUGCUUCCUCUUUUGUACUAAAUUUCUUGAAAAUCUUGUGAAAAUUGUAUCGUCGACUUCUGUACUGUGUAUUUAACUGCUUAAGAAGUGCUGGCUUAACAUGUUCUCCUUCAUCAUAAGCAAAACUAUUCUGAAAUAUGAGUGAAAAAUUUAUUGUAAAUGUCAGAAAAAGUGCAUAAAUGUCCUGUUGCAGAACUAGUUGUUACCAAGUCAAGAAGAAAAACAAGCCUUCAAAACAAUUUCACUUACAUUAACAAGUUUUAGCAUUCCUUCCCUAUCAGAGCUGGCCAGUUUGGACCAUUUUUCUGCUUUCCAUUUGCCAUAUUUACGAAUGACACAACUUGCCUCUGAGAUGUACUGUUGUGCCCCUUCUCCAAUUACUCUUCCACUAACUUCAGAGACCUGGACUUUUACCUUUUUGCCGGCCUUCUUUUCCUUGGACAGUGCAAUAUUGCGAGUAUAUCCUCUUUUCCUAGUUACAUUGAUACCACCUACCCAAAACAUAGUUCACAGUUAUGAAUGUGAGUGGAAAAAUCUGAAAUGAAAUUAGCUGUGUAAUAUAAAUUACAAGUAAAUCUCAUAUACCGGUAUCAUUCUGUUGAACAUCAUCGCUCUCAUUAAUCCGGUCACUUCCACAACCAAUGGACUGGUUAGAUCCGACUUGUACUGAAGUAGGAGUAGUAUUUUGCUGCUCAAUAGAUGUAGGAGUUGUCAACUCAUGUCUUGAUGAUCCUGUAGCAGUUUUGCGACCAUUUGAGGUAGUAGGAUCCUAAAAUCCAGCCAACUACACAUUAGAAAUGUAUUUUUCAAAUAUUGCCAACUACCAAAAGUAAGAACUAACCUCAGUCUCAUCAAAUAGGCGAAUUUGAACUGACUUUCUAGAUAGGCUGAAUUCAGCACCAUUAUUGGCAUUGCUAGCCAGACUACCUUUUGGGCCACCAACUUGCUAUAGUGAAGUAAGAAAUACACAGCAGGUUUAGAUGCUUAAUUGUUUAAAACCAAUGGUAUAAAGAAGUGAAGGUACAAGUACAUAGCAAAGUCAAUUUUCAUCACCUGUUCACCUAUUUUUUCUCUAGCUUCUGCUGCAUUAGGUAUUUCAGCACCUCGAGUUGGUCGCAUAGGACAUUUUCCUUUCUUCCCUAGCCCAGCCAUGUAACUACAUGAUAAAAAGAUAUCAAUCAGCCAUGCAUUUAGACUAAAUAUGUCUAAAAUGCCAGGAUAAGGUACAAUUACCAGCAUGCUCACCCGAAGGAGGAACUUAAUUAAUAUGCCUUGUAUUUUACAAUAGAUAUUGCAAAUUAGAAGAUAAGAGUGACUAAAAAUAAUUCAAGAUAAGAAAUACACUUGAUUUGAACCAAAAGUUACAUUGUAACUAUAAAUAGAAACUGAAAAUGUUAUUUACAACAUCGUUUAGUCAGACUCAUAGUCAUCACUUUCUACAAAUUUUUCACUUUCAUCUUCACUCGAGCUCAAUUGCUGAAUCUCAUCAUCAUCAACAAAAAAAUCAUCCAUUUUCCUGGCAUGUUUAGCUGAAGAAUCAGAAUUUAGGAUGCCAGUUUCUACAGCUUCAUCAGCUAGCAUAUCACCUCUUUUCAAGUUAGACAAAUCGACAUUCUCUUGAACCCCAAUUAGGUCUUCAAGAUAAUCUUCUUGGUAAACUUGUUCUUCUUCACAUGAUUUAUCCUCAUCCUUUUCAAGAACAGCAUAUGAUGAACGUGGACAGACUGACUCGACAACAUGCCAAUCACCUCCAAGCCUCAUAUCCUUUACGUAAAAGACCUGUUCGGCUUGGGAAGCGAAUACAAAUGGCUGGUCUAUAUACCAUUUUUUUGACAAAUUGACGCUGCUUAGAUUACUCUGUUUGUCUAUUUUAAGACAUGAGCUAUUUUUCAAGUCCCACCAAUCACACUUGAACAGAACUACUCGGCUUUGACUGAAGGAGUAUUCAACCUCUAAGAUAUCUGUAAUAGCACCAUAGAAGUUUAUUUCUACAUCAGCAUGCUCACCCUUCACCAUAAUGCCACUAUUCUGGGUUUUUCUGUCUACCUCACGUGUUUUGGUAUGAAAUCUAAACCCAUUGACAUUACAACCAGGAUAUUUGAUCACUCUAAAAUCCAGUCCUUUGGCCAAAGACAACAAUUCAUCACAGCAUCUGCCUUGUGUAUGCAUGUAAGUGACCUAUAUAACCCAAAUAAGAAAUUAGAAUGACUGAACAAAUUAACAACUAUAUAAAUACCACAAGUUUUCUAGUAGUUUGUUCCAUACUUACACGAUCUUCAAACCACUUUGGAAACUCUAAAUCGUGCAUCUGCUCUACAUUCGACACAUUUUGCUGCUGAAGCAAUUCUUUGUGCAUCCUAUACAAUAGUAUUAUUAGUUAUCUAUGUGCUACGGUUAGUGCUAUAAUUGACUAAACAUAUAACACUUCUCAUAUACAUAAGGUAAUAAAUUUAUUACCUUAUGUAAUCAUCAAUUUCUUCACAAUUUUUCAAGAUGAAUAAAUGUAUUUUCAUCAACUCUGAUUCACUUAAGCAACAAAAUGUUGCUGCCCCAAAAGGCCGAGCCAUUCCAGAAAAAAUAGACAACUUUCCAGCAGCCUCAAAGCGUUCGGUGUUUCUUUCUGGUUCAUUAAAUAUUGUAGGAACAUUGUGCAAGUACCUAGAAAUGAAUGUUAGACAUUCAUCAUCCAAGUAACGCUCAACAAUGCAUCCUUCCGGUCGAGCUCUGUUGUGCACAUAACCUUUGUAUUGACCCAUUUUUCUGUGUCACAAAAAUGCAGCCAUAAGAUGUCACAGCAGUACGACCCUAUGAAGCAAAAGAAGAUUCAGUCUUAAAAUAGCCUUUACACUACCUCUCAAAUGGGAACAUCCACCGGUAUUGUGCUGGGCCAGCAAGUUUUGCUUCAGCAGGUAAAUGGACCAUUAAAUGGACCAUUACAUCGAAGAAAUUUGGAGGGAAAAUUUUUUCAAGUUUGCAGAGUAUUACAACAAUGUUUUUCUCCUGUGCAUCUAACUCAUCUACAUAAAGAGUCCUGGAACAAAUUUUCCUAAAAAAAUUGCUUAGUUCUACCAAAGUUUGGGAAACAUCCUUUGGCAGCAUGCCUCUAAUUGCUAAUGGAAGUAGACGUUGCAAGAAUACAUGAUAAUCAUGACUCUUCAUCCCUGAAAUUUGGCACUCUUUUGGCUUAACACAAUGAGAUAUGUUUGAGGCAAAUCCAUCGGGGAACUUGAGUGAGCUCAAAAACUGGAAUAGUUUUUGUUUUUCGCUGCGUGAAAGAGUGUAGCAUGCAGCGGGCAUCACCUUUGAAUCCCCUUGAGUUUGAAGAUGCAAUUCUUCCCUCAAUCUCAUUUCCUUCAAAUCCUCUCUAGCUUGCCAAGUGUCCCUAUUUUUGUGUCCCGUACCCAUCACUGUAGCCAACAAAAUUUCACACACAUUCUUCACGAUAUGCAUAAUGUCCAAGUUGUGUCUAAUUUUGUUAGUACUCCAAUAUGGCAGCUCAAAAAAAAUGCUUUUCUUCAACCAAUUUGACUGAUUUUGCAUGCGUUUUCUUUUCUUCUGUUUAAGCAAUUCAGGUGCCUUACCAAACACCAUUUGAUCAAACUCUUGAAGUUGUUCAAAGAUUUCUUCACCGGAUAAAGUUCUAACAGGCUGUCUAAGAUCACUCUUGCCAUCAAAUGACUUUCUUUCUCUGCGCCAUUUAUGGUCCGCUGGCAAAAAUCGCCGGUGCCCCAUAUAGCAACAUUUUAAUCCAUUUCUCAGAUAUACACUGGUUGUAUCAUCUAAACAAAUAGGACAGGCCUUAUAACCUUUCGUACUCCACCCUGACAAAUAGGCAUAUGCUGGAAAAUCACUUAUAGUCCACAAUAGAGCAGCCCGUAACAUAAAUUUUUCUCCCACGGCUGCAUCAUAAGUCUCAAAGCCAGUGUCAAAAAACUCUUUCAACUCAUCAAUUAGAGGCCUAAAAAAUAUAUCCAUAUCAUUUCCUAUGCACUUAGGACCUGGAAUAAUCAUUGAUAACAGGAAAAAAGGGUCCUUUAAGCAUUUCCAAGGUGGUAGAUUGUAAGGAACAAGGAUUACAGGCCAUAUACUAUAUGCAUUAUUCAUGUUUCCAUAGGGAUUGAAACCAUCAGUUGAAAGCCCCAACCUAACAUUACGAGAAUCUUCGGCAAAAGAUGGGUGACUGUUAUCAAACUCCUUCCAAGCUAUUGAGUCAGCAGGGUGUGUCAUUGUGUUUUCCUUGGGAACGCGUCUCUCUUUAUGCCACCUCAUAUCUUGAGCUAUCUCCUUGUUUAUGAAUAGUCUUUGCAACCUUGACUUUAAGGGGAAAUAGCGAAGCACUUUUCUAGGAAUUUUAGAACCCGGGGAUUUAUAACGAGGUGCUUUACAUUUUUCAUUUGGGCAGUGAUCGAGGCUUUCAUUUUCUUUCCAAUAAAGUGCACAAUCAUUUUCACAUGCAUGUAUUUUUUCACACUUGAGUCCUAGCUCACGAAUUAAAUUUUUUGCAUCAUAGUAUGAGCUAGGAAUUGAUGCCAUGGGGAAGACUUGAAUGAGGAAUUUCAGCAGCAUAUCGAUGGAUUUGCAAGUCCACCGAUUCAUAGUUUUCAAAUGAAGGAUAUGGACAACAAAGGAAAGUUUUGAGUACUUAUCACAACCCGGGUAGAGACUUUUUUCAGCUUCAGAUAAUAAUCUAAGAAACUUACUUGCUUCCCCCUCUUGCUUAUUUGGUAUAUCCCUAUUAUGUUCCCCCGAAUUUCUCCAAUUCUCGCCAAAGUUUGCAGUACCAACGUCAUUUAACAUUUCUUGAAUAUCAUCUGACUCACUGUUUUCUUCAUCUAAAACUAUGUUAUCAUCUUCAUCCUCAUCAGAAUCCUCAAACCUUUCACCAUGAUAUACCCACCUAGUAUAGCUCUCAACAAUUCCCCCACACAAAUGACUUUUCAUGACCUCCAUAGUUUGAUCCUCAAAGUUGUUGCACCCUUUACAUGGACAAGGGAGCUUAUAUGUGGGAUCCUUGCCUAAAUAAGCGAACUGAACGAAUUCUUUCACUCCUGCCAAAUAUCUAGGAUGCAAGUAAUCUUUAAUUGUCAUCCAACUCCUAUCCAUGUUUUUUCAAAAGCACCGUUGAUCCUAACACAAAAAAAUAUGCAACCAUGAUAUUACAACAACACAUAUAAUAAAUAUAGGAAAUUAAUCUUCCCAUACAACAAUAAUAAAAAUUAAACAAAAUACAACACAGCUAUUACUAAAUUCAAACAUGUCACAAUGUAAGCAUGUGAGGAGGCUGUGUGCAAUGCAAAACACAAUGUAAGGCAGAUAGGAAUUAAUUCUGGAGUCUUGUGAGAUUUUCUUGGCAAGCACUACUGUAUCCCGGGCCACACAGACAAUGAUCACCAUAUCAGCUUAGUUAACAACAUAGCCAGGGCCAGCUAAUCAAACCAGAAGUUUCAGGGAUGAGGAGGCAAAGUUUAAGGUGUGUAAGGUUCGAUCAGUACAGUUUGGACAGAAGGGCAAGCCAUACCUGAAUACCUAUGAUGGUCAUACCAUUCGUUACCCAGACCCACUCAUCAAGGCCAAUGACACCAUCAAACUUGACCUGGAGAACAACAAGAUUACUAAAUUCAUCAAGUUUGAUGUUGGGAAUGUUGUCAUGGUGACUGGGGGAAGGAACAGAGGUUGGGUUGGAGUAAUCAAGAAUAGAGAGAAACAUAAGGGAAGCUUUGAGACCAUCCAUGUCCAAGAUGCCACAGGUCACGAGUUUGCAGCAUGAGAACAAGGAAUUGCAGACUCCAUAGGUCCUUAGCCACUCUAUUAUGGAGGGAUAACAAGAACAUUUCUGAUAUUGAAGUUUAGUCACUUUUGACAAUUAAACUACUUGAGGUAGUUGCUGUCCCAUUACUUUCAUUAGAAAGUGACCCAAAAAGUUCCAUCAGAUGCCUCAACAUGUACAGGCAUCACAGCAACAGAUCUCAUAUGAACAUAAAUGCUGCUACAUUUGGACAAAUUUCCAACUCAGCGUUUUGAAAAAAAAGGGGAGGGGGAGAGCAUGAGUCCACACACAGCACUUUAGACACCGUUAGACAUCAAAAAUCACUAAAACCACUAACAAGGAGACAAAAAUAUUAAGAAAGAUGUGAGUGAAACAGUCCUUACAGAAUUAAGCAGAAGUUCUGGGCUAGUCCUGAAAAUAAAUUAAAAAAUUUAAAGUUAUACAAAUCUCAUGAAUGUAAUUAGUCAUUUAUGCUAGAAAAAGUACCAGACUGUAAAUUGUCAUCACAGAAAAAACACAUAGAAGGUCUAAAAUAGCCUACAUGAUAAUCAUGCCCAAAAUAUAGCAGAAGAGACCAAUGACUUAACCACCUUCAGUCACCAGACACACCCAUGCCAAAGCAUCAAUAAGAUCAGCAUGCUACUUGGAAUAGCUACCAUAAAAUUCUAAAAUAGAUGUUGAUACAACAGUAAAAAACUGGCACAAUCAGAGGAUUCUUACAUCUUCCCGCUUGUUCACUACUGAAGGACCUGAAGUGAGGAUUAUACUACUAAUUAAGAAUUUCACUAAUGGACCAAACCAGCAAAACUAUAUGUUUUACAUCCCAUGCUCCAGCCAGAGUCAGAAUAGAAUCCAAAGAAUAUAGUUAAUAUUUCUAUAAGAUGCAAUUGCAAUCCUUGGCACUUAAGAAUGGCAUCAACAUGUUGACUUAACCUCCUACUCAAAGUGCAAACACCCAUGUCAUAUGGGCCACAUUUUUUUUUCAAACUCAGAUAAAAGAAAAGCAUAUCUGAAGCAUCUUGAGACCAUCAAAAGAUUCACAAGAAUUUUCAAGUCAUAUCAACUCUAGGAAUUACAAGAGUAUACAAACCCAGAUAUUUUAUAAGUUUCAACUCUAUCAGAAAUAUAGCACUCGAUUAGAAAAAAGAGACUGCUGCCAAUCCUAACUAUGAAGAACAUACAAGAUCACUACAAACCGGACCAGCAUGCAAGAACUUAACCUUUUUGUAAUCUAACUCGCAUGCUAUAUUUGUCAAUUAUCACAAAAUUGAAAGUUUAGAAUUUAAUAACCAUAGCGAUUGAAACUAACUAAUGUGACAACAGUAAAGAGCAACAUACUUCAGUUCAACUUCAGGUUUGUUAUGUCUUUCAACUUCUUGACAAGGGAAGUUCUGCAGUCAGUUUUUGCCAAGGCAAAGGAAAUCAUCAAAAGGCACCACUUCUCAUCAAAGAAAACAUGGCAAUGUUAUAGUGGAUAAGAUAUCAUCUUUAUGUAAAGUAACAAUGCCAAGAUUCAGAUUCUAUCUGUUUCCGAUCAUAUUCUGUGAUUUCAAUCAGAAAAGUAUAUUAAAUAAAAAAUAUGAAGUUGUUUCUGAAUUGUUAGAGACUCAGAGGCAAAAGUUCAGCCAAACUUGUAUCUGACAAAAGUUAGAAGACACAACAUUGGAAAAGGUGCAAAGCCCUGGGUGUCUCCCCCAAAGGGCAAAGGUAUCAAGUUGUCAGUUAUAGAGGAACAAAGGAAAAGGAUUGCUGCCCAGGCGGCUACUACUGCCUAAUUUUUCUACUAUUAGCGUCUUUGGGAGGGUAACAUUUUACUUGCAAAACUAGUAUUAAGAUGUUGCAAUUUUUGAGUUGGGUUUAAUGUUUUAUUUGUCUUGUUUAGUUACAGUUUUGGACAUUAAAUAUUUGUGUUGGCGCGGUGAUUGCACUGCUAUCUAGAACCCUACAGUUACAGGUUUAAAAAAAAUACAUAUAGAUAUAUGACUAGUUUCUGAUAAGUAUCAAAGCUAAGUAUUACCCCAACGAGUCACUACUCAGAAGCAAAGUACCUAAAACAGCCUCCUGGAUCUGGCAGAGCAUUAUGGGAGCAAGAGAGGAGGUGGAGGAAGGUAUAAGGAGGAAGAUAGGAAAUGGGAGGAGCACAAUGGUAUGGGACGACAAAGGUGGUGGAAAAGGAGAAAGCAGAAGCAUUAGGUGAAUUCUUGAAGCUGACAGGAUUAGGAAAGAAGGCAUGACCUUUCUCUUGCCUGGUGGCAUUGGUUAGCUUCAAGAGGCCAUUUGGUGUGAUUUCAGCUAUGCCAUCCAGGCUCAAGUUUGACGACCGGAAUCCGUUGUAGGUGAUACUAAGGUCCUGGGAAGAUGCAAAGCCAGAUAGAGUGGAAACCACAAGCAGUAUAAGCUUGAUUAGAAUCAACAUGGCUAGCUAAUGGCUGAUACUAGCUUCAAGUUCUCUCCAAAAUCUGACAAUGGUUUUAAGUAUAUCCUUUGCUUGUCAAUAAGAUAUCAGCAGUAUUAAUUGACUCUCGCGAGAGAUUCUGAUUGCCGGGCCUGGCGGACAUUGAAAAUAUCGGAUGAUUGUGCCAAUGGCUGAUAAAAAACUUAUCAAUUUUUCCGGUCACUAUCAUUAGUCCAUCCAGGAACAGUCAUUGUCACGUGCAUACUGAUAUGUAAAUCCCUUAUCCGUACCAAAGAAUUAACUCAUGGCAUAUUAAUCUUAUUCCAUAAUAGUACCUAUUCAAUCUAGGUCCCUGCCUCCUUCGACUCGACAACAUUUAACAAGUACUUCGCAAGCCUCUAAACAAGAAUAGACUGAGAAGAAUGACAAAGUGAAAUGCACCAGAAUACCAAGAAAUUAGCCAAAACAAGGGGAACACACACACACACACAAGGCGAGAUGCAAAUAUAUAGCAGUUGGAGAAGCUAAAGUUGACCUUUCUAUUUUAAACCCCAUAAAUAAUCUGUUUAUCAUACUACAAAAACAUAUAGCAGAUCGAAAUCUUGUAAAGUUUUCAAUGAAUAACCAAUCAAACAACUAAGUUUUUUUAGCAGCGGAAGGUUUUAUUUUGUCAGUCUCUAGAUCAAAAAGAAGAAAAUUUUGCCAAAUGUACGUGUCAAAUUAAACCUAAUUGAUCAGCUAUAGUUGACGACGACCGUUUCCUAACUCAGAUUUCAGUUCUAUCGCAGUUUUUGGAUAAAAUAUCAAACUUGUCAUUCUCAAGUCUGAAUGGAAUUUAAAUCUAAACGGGGGAAUUCAUUAGGGGCAAACCAUUUGGGGGAAAAUUAGGGAGGCAAAAGAGAAUCAGCAUACCUUUUUUUGUAGACAGUUGCUGCUAAAUGUGGUCUUCUAUUUCAUCAUUUCCCAGCCAAGAUCGAUUAGCAGAUGGCGAGGAGAUGUUUCUUGGUUCUCGGCGAGGAGAUGUUUCCGGCAGAGAUGAGCAGUGUGUUUUUUGGUUCUCGGCAGAGAUGAGGAGCAGAGUGUGUUUUUUGGUUCUAAGUGUUGCUUGUUGGCUGUUGGCUCAUGGCUGGUAGCGUUUUGUUCGGUGAAUGACUAAACAUGACCGCGAGUUGUUGGUUUCACUAAGUGUUCAAGUCAAUUCCGCGCUUCUCCUCAAACUAUUGACUUUGAAUGAAAAUUCAAUUCCUUACAUUUCCCCCCCUACUCGUAUCAAAAUUUCAACCCAAGUUUUUUAGUUUUGAAUUAACAUUUUACUAAUAUAUUAUUACUUGCAACUUUUAAAUAUUUUUGUAAAAAUAUUCAUAAUAGGUAAUUUUUUUAUGACAUCAAACAGUUGAUCCCAUAUUAAUAUUGAUAUCACUUUCUCAAAAUUGUGAACUAAAUUACAACUUACUUAUCUUUCUUUUCAUUAUUUUUGCCCAAAACUCCAGAAUUUUUUUUAUUUUAUAAUAAGGAGAGAUGAUUUGUUUCAAAUGGUUAAUUUCACUUCAAAUUAUUGCACUAAUAUUAAUUUACAUGACAAAAUUUGAGUUCCUAAUAGUUAAAAAAAUCAUUAGAGAGCAAAAACAGAAUAACAAUUGGUUGUCACUAAUGACCAAAUUUCUUGUAAUACAUUUGCAAGAUAUAGAUUUAUGGGUAAUUUCUUUUUUUUUUUUGCUUUCACAUAUUUAAUUUAUGUUAAAUACAAAACCUACCAGUUUCCCUUUCAUAAAAAUAUUAGUGCAACACUUUUUGAAUUUUACUUACAAACAUUUAUGUAUUUAACAUAAAUUAAAUGAUUCAGAGUGAAAUGCCCAUAAAGAGCAGAAUAUUUGUUCAUGUAAUGGAGGAAACCCACAAAGAGUUGGUACUUUAUGGGCCAUUUCUUUUUUUAAAAAAAAUUUAAUUUAUGUUGAAAAGAUAACCUGCCAGUUUUCGUUUUGUAAGAAAUCAGUGUAACACUUUUUGAAUUUUACUUACAAACAUUUAUAAAUUUAUCAUAAAUUAUAUGUUUGAGAGUAAAAUGCCCAUAAAAAGUUGGUACUUUGAAUAGAUAAUGCUCAUUUGCCCAUAAACUACACUCCCUGAAGGCUAUCUUGUUAAUUACUUUGUAGUACUUUGUUAUUCCUUUGCUAAUACUACUUGGCAUGUAGUACAAAGGAUAAAUCUGACAUAAAUUUCUUAUUCCAUUGAUAAAAAGACCUGCCUGCCUUAUAACUAUUGUAAUGAAAGAUAUAUCUUUAGAGUUUAUAACAAAUUAUUACUUAAGUUUGAGAAAAUUAUAAAAUAUUUAUGCAUAGUUUAUCAAGAUACCAUUCGCAAUUUCCUAAUAAAAAAAUAGGGGCUAAAUUGUAAAAGUUAGGGUGCCAUAAUAGAAAUAAUAAAAUUGGUGUAUUACAUAUGGGGGUUAAAUUGCAAAAGUUAUAGUGUCAAAGUAAAAUUAAUGAAAUUGGUAAAUUACAUAUGGUGCUAAAUUACAAAAGUUAGGGAGUAAUAAUAGAAUUAAAGAAAUCGGUGUACUACAUAUGGGGCUAAAUUGUAAAACUUAAGGUAUCAUAAUGGAAUUAAUGGAAUUUUUUAUAACAUUUGGGGCUAAAUCGCAAAAGUUAGGGUGGCACAGUAGAAUUAAUGAAAGUGACUUAGAAAUAACUACUUUAAAUAGUGACGAUUAAUUCUUGUCACUAAAUCCGAAUCAAGAGAGUGACAGUGACGAUAUUAGAAGUUGUCACUGAAUAAAUCAUUUUAGUGACAACAUUUUCCAAGGUCGUCACUGAAGACACUGUCGCUUUGAGCAAUUAUGACAACUCUCCUUGUCGUCAAUAAACAUUUAGUUGUUUUGAUGGAAUUGUGACAACUUUAGGUGUCGCGACUAAAGAAUCCCCUUUUGUGACGAAAUAUUGUCAUUACUAAAAAAUGUUGUCACUAAUAACUUUUUUUAGUGAUCAGUGACGACAACAAAAAGUCGUCCGUAAAUAGGCCAAGCAAUAGUGAUGAUGUUCUUAAUGUCGUCACUAUUGUGUGUUCUAAACACUCCCGCCUUCUUGCUAAAUCUUGGCGGGAAUUUACUAGUGACGACUUAGAAGUCACAAAUGAGUUGCCUCCCAUUAAAGGUUUGUGACGAGUUAGAAAGUCGUCAAUAAAGGAUAGACUUUUGUGACAACUUCUUUUCGUCAAAAAGAAAAGUUGUCACUGAUGACCAAUUUUUGUUGUCACUAACUACACUAUAGUUUUAUUGACAAAAAUUGGUCGUCAAUAAACAUAAACAGUGACAACAACGAAAAGUUGUCAAAGAAAGUGGUAGAAUUACUGACAACUUUUAUCAAGUCGUCACUAUCGCAAAACUCGCGCCUUCCAAAUCCCAUGGCACGAAGUAGUUUUGUGACGACAAUUAAAAGUUGUCACUGAAAACUUAGUUGCUUUGAGUCAAUUGUGACAACCUUCAAAGUCGUGACUAAACAACCUCAUUUUGUGACGACUUUUUGUCGUCACAAAGAAAUGUUGUCACUAAUGACCUUUUUUCUUGUAGUGACUCAAUCCAUAAAUGGCUAGUGAACACCUUAUCUCAAUCAGACAGCAUACUCAGAGGUACCCCAUGUAGUUUACAGACCUAAUCCAGGAAAAUUCGAACUACUAUUGGUGCAUCAAAAGGGUGGGAUAGGCUGAUAAAGUGUGCUGACUUGGUGAACCUAUCCACUACCACCAUAAUAGUGUCCCUUCUCUUUGAUACUGGAAGUUCUUCAAUAAAGUCCAUGGUUACAUGACUCCAUGAGUACUGAGGUACAGUAAGUGGUUGCAGAAGGCCAGGGUAAGCAGUGUGCUCAUCUUUACAUUUUCUAAAUGUAUCGCACUGCAACACGGUUUCUUUGAUGUCCUUAUGCAUCCCUGGCCAGUGGAACCAUUGUUUAGCCCUCUGAUAGCUUGCCUGUAUUCCAAAAUGCCCUCCUAACUGUGAAUCAUGUAUUGCAAUAAUAAUUUUCUUCCUUACUCCCCCUUCUGUGCCAAUCACCAUCUUUCCUUUGUAUCUGAGCACACCAUCCUGAUAGGCGAAAACUGGUAGGCUAUCAGGGGUGAGCAGUAGUUGCUUGAUGAGAUCUUGUGUUUUUUCAUCCCCAUCAUAGCUUCCAAUUACUUCUCUUACCCACUUGGGAAUGACACAAACCAAUGUGGCACAGUCUCUUUCUUCCUUGUUGGUUCUCCUAGAUAGUGCAUCUGCAGCCACAUUCUCCUUCCCUUUUCUGUACUGAAUCUCGUAGCUCAGUCCCAACAAUUUGGUUGACCAUUUCUGUUGAAAUGUAGUGGUAACCCUCUGCUCCAACAAGUACUUCAAGCUCUGGUGGUCAAUCCUUAUUAUGAAGUGGUGUCCUUCCAAGUAGUGUCUCUAUUUAGCCACAGCCAUCACCAGGGCUAGCAGUUCCUUUUCAUAGAUGGAUAGUCCCAAGUUCCUAGGACCAAGACUCUAGCUCAGGAAUGCCAAGGGUCUCUUGUUGAUAUGUGAGACAGAUUUAAAUAUAUUGAACAAUCUUUUUUUUCAUGUUAUCCCACUAAUAUAACCCCUUUAAAUCCUGAUACAUCUUGUUACUAUCCGAAUGGAUCGUAUAUUUAGACUAGUAAGUUUCUUCCAAAUUUUUUUUUUCAAUGUUUCAUCCUUCAGUAAAACCACUCGGUUUCGAUAUCUCAAAAUCCCCUCGAGACUCAAAUUGAAAUCAAGUAAUUCCCCCUUUUGCACCUUUUCUGUCCGUUUAUGUACUGCAGAGUCUUUCUUCUGAGUUUCUUUGAUUCGAUCUAGUAGGGUGGAUCUCACUGUAAUAUUUCUGAACAACUUCUGGCGUUUAAGGCGACAAUUCCACUCACUAAUCUUUUCAAGCAUAGUUCAUUCCUUAAUCAUUAAUCCAGUCACUUGAGCCUUUCGAUUUAGAACAUCUGCUACUACAUUAACGUUUCCAAGAUGGUAAUUAAUCGUAUAAUUAUAAUCGUCUAAAAAUUUCACCUAUCAUCAUUGCCUAAUGUUUAGCUCCUUCUAAGAAAAUAAAUUUAAGACUCUUAUGAUCCGUAUAGAUCUCGAAAGUUACUUCAUAGAAAUAAUAUCUCCACUUUUUCAAAGCAAAAACAACAGCUGUUAAUUUCAAAUCAUGAGUCGGAUAAUUUUGCUCGUGAGCUUUCAACUUCCUAGAGGUAAAGACAAUCACAUUUCCAUUUUGCAUCAAUAUAUAUCCCAAUCCUUCCCUCGAGACAUCGAUAUAUAGUGAAACUGUCCUUUCUAUUAGGUAGAGUCAAAACUGGUGCCAUGAUCAACGGUUUUUUCAAUUCUUGAAAACUAAUUUCACAUCUACUAUUUCAAAUAAAGUUACCAUACUUUUUUGUCAGAUCAAUUAAAGGAUCGGCAAGUUUCAAAAAAUUUUUAAUAAGUCGACGAUAAUAUCCUGUCAGAUCUAGGAAACUAGGAAUCUUAGUAGGGUUUUCUGACCGUUUUCAUCCAAUAACAACUUCUAUUUUGGCCGGAUCUACUGCAAUGCCAUCUUUCGGAAUUACAUGCCCUCAAAAAGAUAUUUUCUCCAACCAAAACUCAUACUUACUAAACUUAGCAUAUAACUGGUGUUCUCUCAGAGUCGACAAUAUAAUUCUUAAAUGCUACUCAUGCUACUACCGGGUUUUAGAAUAAACAAGAAUACCAUCAAUAAAUACAACUACAAACCGAUUUAAAGAGGAUUUGAAAAUCCGAUGCAUCAAAUCCAUUUAUGCUGUAUGGGUAUUGAUCAAUCCAAAGGGUAUGACUGAAAAUUUAAAAUAUCCAUAUCUAGAAUUGAAGACAAUUUUUGGUAUAUCCACUUUCUUGAAUCGCAAUUGAUAAUACCCCUGUCGGAGGUCUAGCAUAGAAAACACCACCGCUCCUUACAACUGAUUAAAUAAUUCAUCAAUAUGUGAUAAAGGGUAUUUAUUCUUAAUUGUUAUAUCAUUCAACCCCCGGUAGUUUAUACACAGUUUUAAACUUCCGUCUUUCUUUUUAACAAAGAGUACUGGAACUCCUCAUGGAGAUCCACUUUCUCGAAUAAACUCUCGCUCCAAUAAAUCUUGCAAUUGUAACUUCAAUUCCAUAAAUUCAGCGAGUGCCAUUUGAUAUGGAGUUUUAGAGAUAGGUAUUGUUUCAGAUAAUAGAUCAAUUUUAAAUUCUAUCUCUCUUUCUCUCUGGAGGUAAGGUCACUAAUUCAUCAGAGAACACAUCCAGAUACUCCUUUAUUACCGGUACAUUUUCUAUCUUCAACUUAUCUGUCGGAGUAUUUAAUAGAAAAGUUAGGUAACCUUGCGCCCUUUUACUCAACAAUUUCCUAACCCGAUUACCCAAAAUAAAUGCAGAUGAGGCUAAUCUACCUCUCACGUCUAGUGUUAAGGUUGCGUCCCCAGAUAUGCGAAGUUCUUUCACUUUCUUCUUGCAAUUUAGUUGAACAUCAUAUUGAAUUAAUCAAUCCAUAUCUAAGAUGACAUUAUACCCCUUAAUGGUUAAAUUUAUUAAAUCUCUCAAUAAUUUUCUCUCUCCAAUCCAAAUUUCACAAUUCUUAUAAACCAUACUAGUGAUCAAACGUUCAUCAUCCAUAGGAGUACUAACUUCGAAAUCAUAUGACAAUCUAACAGGUUUUACAUCAAUUUCAUACAUAAAAUUAGGGUUAAUAAAAGAAUGGGUAGCACUGAAAUCUAUUAGAAUCUUAGCUAAAUGGUAGAAUACAGAGAUCAUACAUUUUAUAACCUCAAACGAGUCAGGGAGCUGGUGUUGCUCCAUUGCAUACAUCCGAAUCGGCACUUUCGAUCUAUUUCCUUCCACCUUUGUCUGCCCAGGGUUUGUCUUAUUUGAAUGCUGAGUCUCACUCUUCUCUCAAGGCGGGUCUAGACAAUUGACGAUCUGAUACUUGACACUUCCACAACGUAAACAUUUUUUUUCUUCCUCCAACAACUCUCUUAGUAUGGUUCGGCUUCCUACAGUAUCCACAGGAGAUACGGGAAGCUGAUGCCGAGCCUUCUUGUGGCGCACCUCUUUGUUGUCCUCUCUCGCCUUGACCUUCUCUUGACGGGGCUCCUCUGGGCGUCCCGGAAAGACUUAUUCCGUCUAUCUCUCUUCCAAAUUUAAGAGGUAUAUUUUUAUCCCCUUGUCCAAAGUUACUACUAGGCAUAUCUCGUUUCUUUGCUUGAAAAGAUCUAACUUGUAGCCUUGCACUUUCAACCCGCUAGAUUUUCUCCAUAACAUCACUAAAUGUAUUGAUUUGGGCUACUGCUAAAUCUUUCUGAAUUUCGACAUUUAGCCCUUGAACAAAGUGCCUUAUUCGCCUUUAUUCUGUUACUACUAGAUCAGGAGCAAACUUAGAUAGUCUGGUGAAUUGAGUUUCGAACUCCACAAUGGUUUGGAUUACUUGACGAAGUUUAAUAAAUUCGUUCUCCCUUUUCUCCUGAAUCAAAGACGAAAAAUAUUUUGCAUUAUACUCUCUGAUGAAAUUUACCCAAGUUCUUGGGGUUUGCUCUCUUUUCCAUUUAGUUCGUAUCACAUUCCACCAAGAACAGGCUACUCUCUCUAACUGAAAAUCAGCGAAGGCUACCUGCCUAUCCUCAGUAUAAUGCAAUGCUGCAAAGAUAUCGAUCAUUUUCUUCAGCAAUCUCUCGGCUAUAUCAGGGUCAGGUCCUCCCAAGAAUUUUGAUAGGGAGAAUUUUUGGAAUCGUUCGAGUACUCUAUCUUUGCCUUCUACAUAGUUCCUAGGGUUACUAGAUUGGUUAACAGGGUUUUGAUCUUGACGGUCCACUAUUUGUACUAGCAAAUCUAUCAUAUGUUGGAUGGCUGUGGCUACUUGUGUAUUGAGAUCGGUCCCUAGUUCGUGAUUUUGUUCAAUUACUGGUUCGUGAUUACCCCUUUGAUUUAAGGGUUGCCUGGGUCCACGCCCACGGGCUUGUCCACUAUGUCUACCCAUCAUUGAUUUUUAACAAGUCUAGAAUUGAAAUGCAGAUGCAACAAUUAAAAUACCUAGAUGAAUAAGCAAGAUGCAAGAAUGUAAACAAGUUAGAAAAUCAAGUAUAUUUAACACAACCCCUUUCAUACAUAUCAUACAGUAAAAGUCAGGUACAAACAAAAUAGCCCCAUUUACAUAAGUAGUAGGAUCAUAUCAAAAGUAUAGUGAACAAAAACUAUACCAAAAGGACAAGAACAUCCAACUAGAGGUUUCCUAAUUACCCCUCACAUAUGGUCAAAACAUGACUCAUUGGAGUUCUAACCUAAUUUCCAAUAGAGCUAGUAGAUGUUUUAUUUCUAGGGCCAUGAUCUACGUCAGCCAAAUUUACAUCCACCACCUCUCCAAGUAAAGUCCUACAUUCCUGCAAAAUGCCCUCGGUUUGGUCUUCUACCUCUCUUAGCACCCUAGUGAGAAGCUCAUUCACCAUUUGCACCAGCUGGCGCAUAGCAUCCGUACGUUCUUGCUCUUGACCAACAGUCUCUUGCAACUCCUGGAUUCUAUCCGCCUGCAUUUCCAUAAUUCCUCCCAUUCUUUCCAUCUCAAUUUGAUCCCUAAAAUUGGCACGCCUAAGUCUUCUCCUCUCAUCUAGCACCGUCAAGACCACAUGAUUAGUAUAGGAGUAGUUUUGGCAACGACUACAUCUACUAGUCUGACUUGCGGAACUCCAACGUCGGAUUGGUCCCCCUGACCUCUCCUCAUAAUCGAUAAUUCGAAAGCGCUUCCGAGACGCCUCACUUCCACCCUCUCCAUUGGUUCCUUCCAUGACCUACAAGGAUAAGCACAAUUUACAAUUUAGACAAGGUUAAUCAUACUUAAUGACAUCCUAACAUGUCACAUUAAAGUUCCUUAGAAUCAAAUUUUCAUUUUGCCCAGGCCAUUUCUAACCUAGACUCUGAUACCAAUUGUGACAGACCCAUCUGCUCUUAGGGCAUACCCUAAAGGUUAGCGGACUGCUUGUCCAACUCUCGCCAGGACUAACUAAUCCAAAAUUACCACAGGUACUAAAACGUACAACAUUACUUCAAAAUACCGCAACCCAAAAUUUUAUACAAUUCAAGGUUAAAGUACAAGUCAAAGGAUUCAAGCUUAAACAGUUUCACAUAAGGUUUACUAAUAUCGAUGAGUUUAAAAAAAAUGUCUAAAGUCUAGAGCUCGCUCCACUCUUCCCCAAAAUCACGUACCAAAAACUUUGCCCCUGUAAGGAAACAAAAGUGACAGGGUAAGUUUUUGCCCAAUGAGGUGCCACAGGUCAUGCAGUCGAAAUCACAUAGUUAGAACUUUAAUCUAUCAACAACAAGCAUCGAGUAAAAGAACAAAUAAAUACCACAACUAAUAUAGAGCGGUUCAAGUAAAAAGAUACAAACUCGUUGACACCCCAGUCACAUUAGCUUGAUCCAAACUCAUUGACACUCCAUUAACAUUUAGAAAAACAAAGAAAUAUUGAUCGUAGAUCCCCACUUUACACUAGUUUCUGUCUAUCAAACAUACUCCUUACUGAGUCCAAACUCCAAGUAGAAACAGUGUUGAUGGUAUUCGAGUAUACCAAUUAUCAGAAGUAUCCAGUAUUCAGUAAUUCAGUGACAGUUUUCCUCAUGGCCCGUCAAUCUACCUCGACCAACCCUUGCUGGUUCGAUCGAUUAACUACUAACGAGGUUUGAGCUCCAAUUCACAGUAAAGUUGUCAGAUAUUGGGCUUCGACUAGCAUCCAAGUCAUGCACAAGUAAUAGGUUUCAAAUAAACAGUAAAUCAAUCAAACAGUCAAGUGGAAUUGAGUGUGAUAAAGUAUACACCCGUCCAGUCCAGAUUAAACCAAAUCACAGUCAUACAACUCAUAAAUUCCAGUCACAAGUAGUUCACUUUAAGCAACAAGUCAUACAAGUGGUACACUUACCAGUUCAAGCAAAGCAACGUCAAAAGUUCAUCCUCGGGUUAUGCCCUUGAUCACCAACAAACUCUAAGAACAACCAAGAUAAAAAUAUUAUGGUUCAACCAUCCAAAACUUAGGUGAACUAAGGAAAAUCCAAGUAACUCCUAGUGCAAAGAUUCAAAUAUAGUUUUAGAAUGAAAAUAGAGUAUUUGAAACCAAGGGACAUGAGUAACCAAGGAGUUCCUCAUUCCAAUUCAUGGUUGGAAAUUUCCAGCAGCAAAAUAGUGAAGAGAAACAACCAAAUCUCGAGUUUAAAGUAGAACAAAUGAAACUAGAAAGCAUGCUAGAAGAAAUCAUUACUUUUCCUCUUGUUUUACACAUGGUUUUAUCCAAAUUUCAUUUUAUACACCACCACCAAGGUGAACUCAAAUAAUCAUAAGCAACCUAAGUCCAAACCGACCCAAAAUUACCCCUCUAACAUCACUCAUAUCACGAGAAAGAAAGUAAUAAAAAUUUCAGCAGCAUUUCCCCUUAUUUUCUUAACUUUCCCUUCCAAACUCAAUACCUAUAUUCAUAGCAAUCCAACCUCAAUCACAACCACAAAGUUAUAGGCUAUAAAGUACACUUAUUUAAGGUCACAAAGCCACCCAAAAUAGCAAAUUAUCUAACUCAAGAACAACCACAGUAAAGCUGGAAAAAUGUAACCCUAAACUGAAAUUUACUACUACAAGUUGAAAUUUCUUAUAAUGAAACCAAAAUAACAUAUAAAAGUUAGAAAAUUCACAUGGCAAAGCUACUAGGUCAUACCCAAGUUCAAUUCAACAUAUCAAAGCUAAAAUUUCUCACUCAAAACUUGAAUUUUCCAACCACCAUAAAAACCAUGAAAUUUUCCAUGUAAUCUACCAAAAUCAAGUUUUGAAUCCACUCAUAUGCAAGUAAUAAAAGAAAAGAUGGUUUCUUGAUAUGGUUACCUUAAAACCCCUAUGAAGAAAUGGAAUUCAAGAGCUUCUUCCUCCCAAAUCUCUUCACCAAAGUCCUUAAUUCUCCCUAAAUGUCACCUUUUAUGGUUUGAAUUGCAAGUUUAAGGUGAAAAACUCAAGGAUUCAAAUAAGAUUCAAGAUUGGAGUUGAAGUUUUUUCUCUCUUUUUCUCUCAAAGUGGGUCGGCCAAGAAGGGAAAGAAUGAAGGGUUGUUUUGGUCAAAUUUUGUUUUUAUUAAAGGCUAAGAAUGGUCUUAGUCAAAGUCAAAACUCCAUAGCUUUAGUGACAAAUGGCAUUCCAAGGUUAAUCCUCAUCUAAUUGUCUCCCAAAUGCUAAAAUAUCUAGUCAACCUCUAAUUACUCCUUAACACCUUGUAAAAUAAAAUUUCUUUGCACAAAACUCCUCUUAAUUUUCAAAAGUAUAUCACACAUCUCACUAGUGGGUCCUACUUCCAUAAUGCACUAUGAAUUUAACAUAUACUAACUUAUUGAAGAAAAAUGAUUUGAAAACUUGACUCACUUAUAAAAAUAUUUAAAAAAUUAAGACAAUAAAGUAAAGUAAAGAAAUGUAUUCAAAGAAAUAAAAUAAAAUAAAAAAAAUUUUUCAGAUCCUCACAUUCUACAUAUAAACAAACAUUUCUAAUCCCCUCAUAUUCGACAAAUGAAAAUGGCAACUCAUGCCUAAUGAUUACAUGAUAUGAAUCCUGUUAGAAACCAAACCCGUAUUUCACAAGCCACGGAUCUAGACGAACAAUACCUAAGAUUUGGCAGCGGAAAAUUUAGACCAAUUAAUUCUAGGGUUCACGAACAUGUUGAUAUAAUCUCAACCCGUAAUUAAUCGAAUUGAAGAACCAAAGUUGAUGGAUAGAAGGUGCCACAAUUUAACAUACUCUUGAAUUGAUAAGCCAAAUUUCUUGAACACUCAAGAUAACUCUAAAGUAUUCAAAGGAAUCAUUUCUAAGAACCUAGGAGAAAAUUCUCUCACACAUAAGUGUUUUUUUUUUUUGCUGGAAAUUCUUGAUUAAUUUUAUUAAUAAACAAGAUAAGCCUUUUAUAGGCCUUACAAGACUCAAAACCUAAUCAUACUAGCAUAACUAAUAAAUAACUCAAAGUUCUAAAAGGACAAGUUCAACAAUUCGGCUUAGACUUCUUCACAAGCUAGCCAAAUGGAAACUAACAAUAGAAAACAUACUAAAAACUAAAAUAACUACUAGUUGACUACCAAUUAUAAACAACUAGACAUAGACUACUCACGGCCUUAUUCUUAAGAAAAGUUGGCCGUACAAUUGAUAACAAUUAUAACUUAAUUAAACAUACUAAAAACAAGAAAGGGACCCGAAUUUUUGAAAUUCAAUGAAUCGGCUUCUUAUAUGACUAGAACAUGAACCACUGGAUCACCAGCUCAAAUUAUUGCAUACAUCAUUAAGUCUCUAAAUUUCUCUUGAUGAAUACUUUUCAAUCAGAAGUAAUAAGAUACUGACCAAUAUCUUUUGUUAUUAUCUUUUGACAUUUUAUUAUGUGUCUUUUAAGGUUGCCAGUCCCAUUUUUACUCUGUGCAGAGUAAAUGCAAUGACAUAUUUUGCAUCUGCACUUCAAUUCCUUAUUUGAUUUUGAAGUUAGGAUAGUAAAAUGAGCCCAAACUUCAAAGUUUAGCUUCCUUUUUUGUCUCCUUUGAGAAUAGGGUUAGGGCAUUGAGACUGAUUCAUAGCUAUUUUGUCUUUAACAUUGUUGUCACUACUACUAUCAUCAUCAACAUCAACUGGCCUUGGAUUUGUAUUAUUUGCAUCCAUCUUUUAACCAAUAAAUAGACAUACAUGUCAUUGUCUAUUCGUGUUAAAAUUUCUUUUAACAUAAAAACAAAAUUUAAAAGAUAACGCAUUCACAAACAAUUUGACAUUAUGAGUAGAUGAUGCUUGCAGCCACAAUUAACAACUACAUUUAUAUUAAUAUUUUCAAUGUAAAACACUUAUGUCAUAAUGUCAAAGCUUGAGACUAACUGACUAAGUGUUUAUUUUCCAGAAGUGCAUCACCAGUAUUUAGUAGUAAGAACACUUUGGAAAGUUAGACGACUAUUAAACAUUGGGAUAAUGACAUCAAUUGAAGAUACAGGAGAUCAUGACAUGUAAAUGAACAUCCAAAAGUGAGAAAAAAAGUCAAUCCUUUUCUUUUCAAGAAGAAAGAGGUUUUUUUGUGUAACUUUUGUUAUUUAUGACUCCAAAACCUAUGCAAAAUCUCAAGCAAAAAAUUAAAACAAGACAAAUUUCCUAUCCAAUUCUAUAAGAUUUUCACAAAAUGAAAAUAAAUCAAACUAUGCAGGAGAUGAAGAAAUGUUUAGCUUAAGCCAUUGGAGUAUCAGUAUAUCUACUAUUACUUCAUCUAUGCGACUGCUACUGUGCUACAUCACUGAAAGAAAAAAAAUAUGGUGAAAAGCACAUAAAUAAUCGAUUUGGGGUCAAUUUGAAUUGUUUUGGAAUCCUUCAAUAUUUGAUGCUUAAGAGAGAGUAGGAGGGUCAGAGAAGGGUCACACAAAUUCAGAGGCUAAGGCUUUCGGUCGGAGAAGAAUGAUUGCCACUAACUACUGAGUGUUGAGGGAGUCUGGACUCUGGAGAAGAAGGUAAGAAAGAGGUGUUCUGCACUGAGGUAUUCUGCCCUGCCAACUAGCAGCUGCUAGUAAGAGAAUAAGAGUCAUUUGAUAAUACAAUUCAAUAACUAAACUUAAUAAAUUCAAAUUUUAAUAUAUUCAAAUCAUUUGGUAAUAAAAAAAUUAAACAUCUGAAGUAAUUAAGGGGUAUCGAAUUUCCUAGGCAAAAUUUGUUUUCAAAAUUAAGUGAUAAAUCAUUCAUUGAAUGUGAUAUGUACUCAAAUGUAUUAAAUUUAAUAUUUAAUAAUUCAAUAAUUUAAUGGAUUCAAAUUUCAAAUUUUAAACUUCAAUUUAAUGGAUUGCCACUAACUACUGAGUGUUGAGGGAGUCUGGACUCUGGAGAAGAAGGUAAGAAAGAGGUGUUCUGCACUGAGGUAUUCUGCCCUGCCAACUAGCAGCUGCUAGUAAGAGAAUAAGAGUCAUUUGAUAAUACAAUUCAAUAACUAAACUUAAUAAAUUCAAAUUUUAAUAUAUUCAAAUCAUUUGGUAAUAAAAAAAUUAAACAUCUGAAGUAAUUAAGGGGUAUCGAAUUUCCUAGGCAAAAUUUGUUUUCAAAAUUAAGUGAUAAAUCAUUCAUUGAAUGUGAUAUGUACUCAAAUGUAUUAAAUUUAAUAUUUAAUAAUUCAAUAAUUUAAUGGAUUCAAAUUUCAAAUUUUAAACUUCAAUUUUAUGAAACAUUGACUCAGAUUCAAAUCAUUUUUUUUUAUCUAUCGAAUCUAACCCAAUUUCCACUCAAGCCCGCGAAAGCUCAACCCAAUUUUAUGUUAGAUUUGUUUCGUUUUUUUGAAGCUAUUAGGCUUGUGAGUUAAUUAUCCAAGAAUGGAGCCGAAAGAAAAAGUGGAAAAAUAAUGAUGGAAGCAGCGAAGGGUGAAAUCCCGGUGUUCAUGCAUCUGUGAUGAUAUCAAGCAGAACCAGGGCAAUGAAAUCGCACAGCGUUGGAAUCAACAAGAUAUAUUACCCAGUACUAGUAGAAAAGUAAAAUUGGCAAUGAAAUCAGCUCAAUAGUGAUAUAUUGAUUAAACAAGAUAGUUACAGAGUUGGCGAGAAAAGAGAAGAAGAUGAACAAGAAUGAAGGAAAAACUUGGGAAAGAAGCAAUGAACUGGGAAUGAUCCCAAUUGAUUUGAUUACACAAUAUUCUCUUGUACUAUCUCCCAAAUCCACCUAUAUAACGCUGCAGCUAAUAACUAACUCCUUAGCUCAUCCAAUCUAGUUUGGGCACGUGGCCCUUUGUGCCAAAUUCUGUUGCAAGACCACUUGCAGCUGAUCUCACGUUUUCUAAACUGAUUUCCAGUAAAGGCGUGGAUUUGACUCUCACGCCUUCUAUUGUGUCUCUUUAUCACAUUUCACGACUCCUCUAUGCAAAUUACGCCUUCAGUUUGUUUCUUCAGUUUCAACUUCUACUUCAUGACAAUUGCUUCUCUUUCAAUCAAUCUUGUCCUCAAGAUUGGAAUUCAGGGAACUCCCUCUCGAUUUUUUCUGCAUCUUCCCACGUGGGCUUCGGCAGGAGUGGUUCCCCACCAGUGGAUGAGCCACUGCACAGCUACUGCAUUUUUCUUCUUGAUGAUUCUGCGAUCCUCUUGGUGUUGCCCCUUAGACCUUGGGCCAAAGUACUUAGCAGACAGCUUGGUGUUGCCCCUUAGACCCAUAGAUGUUUGCCUAUAUGGCUGUAGCCUUAAGUAGACCCAAUCUCCCACACUGAAUGUUCUCUUGCUCAUAUUCUGAUCAGCAUAUAACUUCAUCCUAUCCUGUGCUUCUUGCAAGUUCUUUUUUAGCAAAUCAUCCAACCUCCGUCUGUCUCUCAAGUGAUCUUCUACUGCUGCCACCUUGGAGUGAGAGUAGUGUUCUAGUGCUAGCUAAGAAUGGGCCAUUCCAUAUAAGGCCUCAAGUGGACUUAUGUGCAUAGCUGUAUGAUAUGUAGUGUUGUACCACCACUCUGCAAGGAAGAGCCAGGCAUUCCACCUCUUAGGUUCUAGAUGUGUCAUACAUCUCAAAUACAUUUCUAGCACCUGAUUUACCCUUUCAGAUUGACCAUCUGUUUAAGGGUGGUAAGCAGUGCUCAACUUUAGAUCAGUCCCCAGCAACGUGAAUAACUCAAUCCAUAAAUGGCUAGUGAACACCUUGUCUCAAUCAGACAGCAUACUCAGAGGUACCCCAUGUAGUUUACAGACCUAAUCCAGGAAAAUUCGAACUACUAUUGGUGCAUCAAAAGGGUGGGAUAGGCUGAUAAAGUGUGCUGACUUGGUGAACCUGUCCACUACCACCAUAAUAGUGUCCCUUCUCUUUGAUACUGGAAGUUCUUCAAUAAAGUCCAUGGUUACAUGACUCCAUGAGUACUGAGGUACAGUAAGUGGUUGCAGAAGGCCAGGGUAAGCAGUGUGCUCAUCUUUACAUUUUCUAAAUGUAUCGCACUGCAACACGGUUUCUUUGAUGUCCUUAUGCAUCCCUGGCCAGUGGAACCAUUGUUUAGCCCUCUGAUAGCUUGCCUGUAUUCCAAAAUGCCCUCCUAACUGUGAAUCAUGUAUUGCAAUAAUAAUUUUCUUCCUUACUCCCCCUUCUGUGCCAAUCACCAUCUUUCCUUUGUAUCUGAGCACACCAUCCUGAUAGGCGAAAACUGGUAGGCUAUCAGGGGUGAGCAGUAGUUGCUUGAUGAGAUCUUGUGUUUUUUCAUCCCCAUCAUAGCUUCCAAUUACUUCUCUUACCCACUUGGGAAUGACACAAACCAAUGUGGCACAGUCUCUUUCUUCCUUGUUGGUUCUCCUAGAUAGUGCAUCUGCAGCCACAUUCUCCUUCCCUUUUCUGUACUGAAUCUCGUAGCUCAGUCCCAACAAUUUGGUUGACCAUUUCUGUUGAAAUGUAGUGGUAACCCUCUGCUCCAACAAGUACUUCAAGCUCUGGUGGUCAAUCCUUAUUAUGAAGUGGUGUCCUUCCAAGUAGUGUCUCUAUUUAGUCACAGCCAUCACCAGGGCUAGCAGUUCCUUUUCAUAGAUGGAUAGUCCCAAGUUCCUAGGACCAAGACUCUAGCUCAGGAACUGCAGGGGUCUUGCAUCAGUACAGCUCCCAUCCCUUCAUAGCAGGCAUCAGUCUCAAUCACAAAUGGUUUAGUAAAGUUAAUUAGUGCUAGUACAGGUGUGCUACACAUUGCCAAUUUCAGCUUCUGAAAUGCCUCAUCAGCUUUUGCAUUCCAUUGGAAACCAUCUUUCUUCAACAACAUAGUGAGAGGUUUUGCUAUAGUUCCACACCUCUUCACAAAUUUCCUAUAGUACCCUGUCAGCCCUAGAAAUCCUUUCAAUUGCCUCACAGUAGCUGGUUUUGGCCAACUCAUCAUGCUUACUACCUUUUUAGGGUCAGCCAUCACCUCCUGAUCAGAGAUGAUGUGUCCUAAGUACUCUACUUCUGUUUGAGCAAAUGAGCACUUGCUUUUCUUAGCAUAGCGCUAGUGCUUCUUUAGGAUGUUCAGUACUACUGCCACAUGCUCUAGGUGACUAUCCAAGGUGGGGCUGUACACCAAGAUAUCAUCAAAGAACACCAAAACAUACUUUCUUAGUUGUUCCCUAAAAAUAUGGUCCAUGAGACUCUGAAAAGUGGCUGGAGCAUUAGUCAGCCCAAAUGGCAUGACCUUGAAUUCAUAUAAUCCUUGGUGAGUUCUGAAUGCUGUCUUGUGCCUGUCUUCCACCUUGACCCUGAUUUGAUGAUAGCCAGCCCUCAGAUCUAUCUUGAUGGAGAAUUUGGACCCCUGCAGUUCAUCAAUCAACUCAUCUAUCAAUGGCAUAGGGAAUUUGUCCUUUACUGUUAGCUCAUUGAGCUGUCUAUAGUUGACAGAGAACCACUAGCUUCCAUCCUUCUUCUUUACCAACAAUAUUGGAGAUGCAAAAGAGCUGUUGCUGGGCUAAAUGAUCCACAUUUGCAACAUUUCCUUGACCAAUUUCUCUAUCACACCCUUCUGCAUAUAUAGACAUCUGUAUGGCCUGUUUUGAAAUGGAGUUGCUCCUUCCUUCAGUGGAAUGGCAUGGUCAUGACUCCUGGCUGGAGGCAUGCCUUGUGGCUUAGAAAACACUUCCCCAAACUGGUUCAGCAGUUCCUUCAUUUCUGCUGGCAUCUGCUCAUAGCCCAACUUUUCCUCUUCCACUACAUAGAGUUGGGCAGUGAUUCCAUAUGCUUGCUUCCUCCUCCAUUUAGCUAGUUUACUCCCUUUGACAAGUUUCAACUUAAGCUUUUCUACUUCUCCCUUCAACUCCACUGGUUCUUUUCCUUUCAGGAACUUCAUAGUCAGCUGUUUGAAAUCAAACUCAAUGGGACUAUAUUUGGCCAACAAGUCAACGCCAAGCACCAUGUCACAGCUACCCAAUCUAAGUGUAUUGAAUUGGUGAUGGAAGUCCUGCCCUUGUAUGCCCCAUCCCAUCAUCUUUUGUAGUUAUCUAGAUUCUUCAGCAUUCCCCUUUUGCUCCUCAAGUGAGUUACCAGAAUCAACAGGCUCAUCCACCACUAUGAAGUGCAUAUGAGCCUAUUUGCAAAUAUGCCUCAAGGUAUAAGUUUCAGCACACUUGAAACACAACCCCUUUUCCCUCCUAUAAUUGAAUUCAGAAGGAGUGAUUCCUUUAAAUUGGUUGGCUGAGUGAGUCCCUAUCUUGGUGUUCUUAUGGGAAAUGAAUUCUGGUUUUUGGUUGUUAGGCCACUUCCCCUUAUUUUGUGGGUUAGAGGUCUGUAAAUGAGUUGUGGUGGGAUAUUUUUGGAUGAUUUUUCCUAGUGCCUUCCUAACGGCUUCUUCUAGAUUUUUUUCCUGCAGUUUAGUACCUUCAAUAGCAUCUGCUACGGUAAGGGGCUUGGUCAUCCUAACCAUGCUAACAAUCUCAUGUGUCAAGCCGCUAAGGAAACAAGAUCUAUAAUAAAAAUCAGGUUGUCCAGGAAGGGAGGACAUUACCAGGGACUUCAGCAGCUCAAACUUUUCCAGGUAAUCUAUUACACUACCAAUCUGCACCAGUUUGUUGAACUCCACUAUAGCCUCCUCUGGAUCUCUUUCUCUAAACCUUUCGCAAAUAGCCAUUGCCAAUUCCUUCCAGGGAACUGCUUCUCUUUCAUGGUACAUGCCAUGGAACCAGAUAUCUGCCUUGUCUUUAAGGUAAAGCUGAGCAAUAUCAGAUUUCAAAUCUUCCUCUACUCCAUGGAUCUGGAAGUACUUGUUAGCUCUCCUAACCCAUUCCCUCGGAUUGACCCCAUCAAACAAGGGAAAGUCCAUCCUAGCCAGUUUAGCUCCCCCUCUUCCUUCUGUUUUCUCAUACUUCCCAUUGACCACUUCCACCAUCUGGUCAUUUCUAGUGCUAUUUCCCUCUACUUCCUUCCCUUUAUCGCUUAGUUUGGACAUAAUCUGUGCCAUCAUAUUCAUCAUUCCCUCAUAUUUUUGGUCCAGAUUCUUAAUGGCUUUUUCUAUGCUCUCCUGCCUAUGCUCCAUUACUCUUACUGUCUGCUCUAUUCCAUCAUUCCUGUUGGCAAAUGUCCUCACGACACUUCCCAGCUCGGUUAGAUCCUUCCUCAGCAUUUCAUCUUGAGUCUUAGUCAUCCCAAUGGCUCGUGGUUGAGCUCUGAUACCACUGUGAUGAUAUCGAGCAGAACUAGGGCAAUGAAAUCGCACAGCAUUGGAAUCAACAAGAUAGAUUUCCCAGUACUAGCAGAAAAGUAAUAAUUGGCAAUGAAAUCAGCUCAAUAGUGAUGUAUUGAUUAAACAAGGUAGUUACAAAGUUGGCGGCAAAAGAGAAGAAGAUGAACAAGAAUGAAGGAAAAACUUGGGAAAGAAGCAAUGAACCAGGAAUGAUCCCAAUUGAUUUGAUUACACAAUAUUCUCCUAUACUAUCUCCCAUAUCCACCUAUAUAACGCUGAAUCUAAUAACUAACUCCUUAGCUCAUCCAAUCUAGUUCAGACACUUGGCCCUUUGUGCCAAAUUCUGUUGCAGGACCACUUGCACCUGAACUCAGGUUUUUUGAAGGUGUGGAUUUGACUUCCACGCCUUCUAUUGUGUCUCUUUAUCGCAUUUCACGACUCCUCCAUGCAAAUCACGCCUUCAGUUUGUUUCUUCAGUUUGAACUUCUACUUCUCUGGGGGAUUGCCGGAAGUUCAAUAUCACUGGUGGUAGGGAAACCAUGGAGGCUCUCUGACUUUGCGGGAGUCUGAAGCAAAAAAUCCCGGGCAGUGUGAAGCAAAAUCUGAAUUGUGGGCUUGUGUUUGCGGCUGAUGACGGUAUUAUUGUCCACCUGAGUCUUCCGCCCAAAAAAGGUGACCCUCCUAUUAUCCCUGCCUCAUCAUCUACUUCACGUUUUGCUUCUGCUAACUUCCGUACCACUCAAAACGAGUUUUGGGUCGAGGGUGAGGGUAGGGCACUAGAACUCGAGAAAGAAAUGGAGGAGACUGAAGUUGCCGUGGUCUGGAGCUUAGGAUUGAUGAUGCUUGAGUUCGGAUUGGGUUUUGCCCGCCAACAAUCACCCGGAGCUGCUUAAUUUGGUAGGGAAAAAUCAGAACAGGGGAGUGGUCUGGAGGCAGGUUACUCCGUGCUAGCGACCUAAUUGAUAUUGAUGGUCAAACUAGAAAGAGGCGGAAUUUGGGGUAGAAUCCCUCUAAGAAUUUGUGUUUCUCGCCACUAUUUCAAGAAGUAAUCAGGUCCUUGAAUUCCAACCCUGCUGGUAGACCUAGUUUGGAAGAAAUAUUUCAAGGUGAUUUGUUUAAGGGCUGUAAGCCAUUUGAAAAGGUUGUAGGGAAAAUCUUUUAGGGGCGUGUCUUUGAUGGUAAAGGCAUCUACAAACUGGGGAAAAUUCUUAGCUACCACGGGGAAUCUCUGGUUUACCAGACCAAGUAUAAGCCCAUCAAAAGCUCUGAUCACUAUGUGGCUUUGAAGGUAAUGGAGAAGGAGAAGUCUGCUCCAGAAAUCAGUUGAGAUCAGUGUGGAUGCUAAUUCCCAUCCAUGUAUCGUCGGGGUUAUAAACAAAUUUGCAAGUGGUGCAAGUUAUUGUGUCUCCAUGCCCUUGUUUGAUGAGGGUUCAUUGAGGCUUCUUUCAAGGACUUGAUGAAGUGGUGGUCGGCCUGAGGAUUGAAUUGCCCUGGUUCUGAAAGGUCUUCGUUUCCUCAUCAUAUGGUUUUCAAACGUGUUAGUCCAGACCAUAUUUUGUCUGUAGGAAUCCUUUAUGCAUUGCUUUGGGUCAUGAAGCCAACUCAGUGUCAUGCUUGGAAUUCUGACAAUGCUAAAAAUUCGGUGAUGAAUUCAACGAUUGAUGAAUUCAGUCAUAUAUCAGAAUUCUACGAUGCUGGGGAGGCUUAUUCCUCCAAGGCUGACAUAUGGCUCCUCAGAUUAGCUGCUUUGGAAUUGGCCUAUCACCGCAUCCCUGUCAAGACAUGAGCAGGCUUAAUGGCUUUAACCUCAUACAUCAAUCAAAACAAUUGUUAGCCUAAUUUAUAUAGCCUGAUGGAGAUAGGCAAUGAUAUUAGCAGGACUGAAGCACCGCUUGUCGCGGGAGAAACAAGACAGUUCACCAGCAAUUUCAGUAACUUUUGUCAGCGUAUGCCUCCAUGAAAAUCCAGCACAAAGACCGUUAGCUAUCCAGCUGUUGGAACAUCCAUUCUUGAGAAGUUGUACUACUCUUGAAUGUUUCGAUAAGGUGCUUAAGUAAUAUGGCCAUUUUGAAGCUUCUCCUGCCCUGGGUUUGCUUGAAAUAUUUUGUGUUUCGACUUAUUGUUUUUGAUGCUUAAAGGUGCUUAAGUAAUGUGGGAAGUUUGAAAUUUUCUCCUGCCUAUGUUAAAAAUGAGAAAUUUCAUAUUUUCGGCGCACUGUUUUUUGUACUCUUUUAAGUUUAUCUUGCUUACUUUUUGACAUCCUUUUGUGAAAUUUAAGUAUUUAAUUUUUUUUUAAAAUUUUGCGUUAAUUAUUCACCUUUGGAAAUUGAGAAUGCUUGGAUGUGGGUGUUACAACAAAAAAUUUUUGGGGCUGCUUCUUCUCAAAUUGUUACUUGGGUACUUUAUUUUUUACUGCAUUUGGUUUUGCAGGUAAAAUUUUCAUAGGAAGGGGAAAACUAAAAGUAGAAAUGCCUUUAAUAAUCAUUUCACUAGUCGAUAAUUCCUUCAGAAUGCCAAUUGACACUGGAUGUUGAAAUUUUGAAUGCAUAAACCUACUUUACUGAGAGGCAAUUGGUGACAUUAUGUUUACUGAAGUGAUUCUUUGCACUGCUACAGAACGUACGAACUGGUUAUAAAAACCAAAGUGCAUUGAUAGCCUCUGCUCGUUUCCUAACUCGUAAGACCUAGAUUUGCUUCAAAAAAAAUUUUUUUACCCUCAACUUUCUUUCAAAAUUUACUUAAGUGUAACUUCUCCAACAAAAGCUAUACCAACACGGAGAGGAAAGAAGUGGAGAAUACUUUGAAAAUGACUGACUCAGUAAUGCAGUACAAGUUUUUUUACGUGUUUUCUUUUGAUGAUUUUGCAAGUGGAAGGUAUGCUUUUGUUGUUUUUUCACAUUUUUAUCAUUUUCGGCACUGACGGACUCUGUUAUUGCAUCUAGAUAAUCCACCUAAUUCUAUACUAAAAUUCUAUGCAGUUGUGUUUUUCUUCUCCUCCUCCACAAAUCUUUUUUUCUUCCCCCCCCCCCCCCUCUGUUUCGAACUUAUGCCUAAUGGUAUGCCUAACUUGCGACCUUUGUAAUGAUAUGGCCUAUUUCUUAAUGUCAAUUUGCUGGCACCUUCAAGCAAUCUCAAGUUCUCAAACAUUACUAAAAUCUUUUUAUUUGCUACAAGAUCAACAGUAUGUGCAAAGAAAAAGUGGAAUAGUAUCAGAGAGUUUGUCCAAAAUUGUCUUAUUUCUGCAGCUCUUUUGCGGAAUAUCCCAUUCUGCUGGAGCAGCAGACCUUUUGGCAAAAAGUCCUUGUGGCUUCAAUGUUUUGGAGCAAUUAGUCUUUCCAGUCCUUCUUUUUUGCAAUAUCUGCUGGAUUUGAAUUCUACUUAACAUCCUCAAGAAAGAAGGACAACUUGUAGUUUCCACUCUAGACAUGUAUUAUUGAGGUUAACGUUAGUCUGUUUUAGUUCUUUGAUGCUUGCUAAAUUGUGUGUUCAGUGCUUUGUACGGUUGUAUGACUUUCUUCAAGCAAUCUGUGCAUUGUUGUUUCUCAUUCAGAAAACUUGCAAUCCUUAAUAGUUGUAAGAAAUGGAUUUUCUGUCUCCUGAUUUCAAUUAAAUAUGUAUGUAUGUGUAUCUAGUCUUUCAAAAUGGAGCUUCUGAAGUAUCAGCAUAUUUUACACUUGUAGACACUAAUUCUGGAAAAACUAGAGAUAAAUAUAUAGCGAGUCAGGAUUUGUUGUUUUUUCUUUCAUCCUUGUAGUCACUGUGCUGGCAACUUCCAAAGUCUCAUGAAGAGCUUAUUGUUUCCUAAAUUAUCCAUUAUGUUUGACAAUUGGCAGUGUUUCAACUUGAGGAUAUGCUCUGGUAUCUUCAGGGCUUUAGUCUAGAUAUGUAUUGAACACUUGCAAUAGCUUCAACUUGAUCCAUUUUUUUGACAUGCUGGCUUUCAUUGCAUGGAAACUUGAAUUUACUUGGUUUAAUUUUAUCAAAAGUUUGUCAGAGAAGUUUGUUUUAUCUUUUUAGUUGAUAUAGAUGACAUGUGCUAUGUUGAUGAAUGCACAUCAUCAGUUGUAUCGGCUCGUAGAGAGCAUGCUUGGAGCAGGCUGAUGACUCCUGUUAGAAGUUUUUGGAACUAUAUAGGGUACAUACCUCAAAUAUGAUACUUGAUAUGUGCCCUCUUAAAGAGUCCUUGAAUAUUGCGUGUUCUGUGAAAGAUGCAUAUAUCAACAUUAUAAUAUCUUGACUGUAUGUUAGCAUCAGCAAUGUAGAUCUUGAAAUGUGCAAUUAUAGAAGAAGUGGUUUAUUACCUCGAUGAAGAUUUAGUCUUUAUAGCUAGCACCUUACACAACGCAAGUAGAAAGCCAAAUGGAAAAUCAUAGAGUUUUACCUAUAAAAACCUAAGUGUUCACAGUGACUGCAGAAUGCAGCGUUCACUGUAAGUGUUACUUUUCUGCCAGGAGAUGCCUGAUAAUUUGCAUUACUGACUUUGAGUGUGUUAUAUGUACAGUUAUGAAUGUACACAUAAAAUUCCUUUAUUGUGUCAAAUAUUCUUUAGCUACAAUUUCAGUGAGAAUCCACUCCCAGACUUGGUGCAGAUGUCGUACAUUUCUUUCUGUGCAUGAUAUAUUUGGUUCAUUAAACUGCAAGACAUCUUAAUGUAUUUUGGCUUCAGAAUUCGCAAUAAAUUGGCGUUAUGGUAACGAAUGGUUAAUGAAUCUAUUCAAAUUAAUCAGCAUGUUUUGUUGUGGCUCACAUUCAUAAAUCAACAGGAUACCACUAGGGGUGUCCUGGCAUGUAGCUCACACCAUCAGAGUGACACAGCCGAGCAUUAUUUCUCAAAUUUUGUAGUGAAAGCGAGAUUGCUCAAUCUCAAAUGGUUCAAUUGAGAAUAAUAUAAAUGUGCAGAAAUAGAAAGUGGUAACUUAGAUUUGUAUUUUUGACGAGUGCACUUUAAGUUUUCAGUCCAUACCUUAUGCUUACGAUUUUCUUCCAGCUUCACAAUGUCCUGACUUCUGGGCCUUUAAGUUUCUGAAUAUUUAACCAAAAACUGAUGCAUAGAUUUCUUGUUCCACCAAGUGUUUUAGAUCCUUGCACUGAUUCAUAUUUGGCAAGAUUUCUACAUAUUCUUUGCUUAGAAUUUUUUUUCUUCCUGAAGCUCAAAAGUUUUGGCCAUCAUUUUGUAGGUCAAUGGAUGCAACAUAAUUGAACACUCAAUUACACAGGACGAAAUUCAAUACGAUUCAGGGACAUCCCCAAGGCGUUCAGCCCUGGAAAUGCAAAGAUGUCUACUUGAGUGAGAUUCACAUUAAAGGCAAAGAAACACUUUUCCCCUUUCAUGUGGCCAGUCGUAGCAUCCAAGGGAAGGCAUUGGUAGAAUGCAGAAGUGACAAAAAUGUCAAGAAAAAGACGAGGUGAAUACUAAGAUUAUUGUAGGAAGCCGUGCUCAAGAAUGAUACGAUUUUUAGCUCUCUGGUUGCUAGGAAUUACGUAAGUUGGUAUAUAUGUCCCAGGGCAAGAAUGAUAGAUGUAUUUACGGAAGACGAGGUGAAUACUAAGAUUAUUGAAGGAAGCCGUGUUCAAGAAUGAUACGAUUAUUAGCUCUCUGGUUGCUAGGAAUUACGUAAGUUGGUAUAUAUGUCCCAGGGCAAGAAUGAUAGAUGUAUUUACAGAAGCCCAUAUGGGCGGCGUUGGGGCAACUUUUCAAAUAUGGCUGCCAAUUAACGUAGGCUGUGGUGCAUGCAUGGAUUGGAUAUCAUAUCAGCCUGGGGUUGUUUUUAUUCGGAAAAAAAUGGAUUGGUCUGUAUCUCAUUACAUAUUUGUUUGGUAUGUGCUUAACGUUGUGCAAGUUAUCAAAUAAGCAAUCGUUUGGUACUUUUUUCUUCAAUUAGAUUAGUCUGUAUCUCAUUGCAUCAUGAUUUAAAAUGGCCCUCGUUCCUUCAUUUAGAUUGAGUCGAUCGUGAGAUUUAACUCCUAGUUGAAUUUGAAGCUCUCAAUUCUCUAGUUUGCCGUUCUCAAUUAGGAAAAGAAAAAUAAUGUUGUGAAGUACUCCUCUCACUGGAGUCAUACAGCCAUGGCUCCCAGAUGACAAAAGCAAUUACACAGACAUUUCGUCAAAAUGACAAAAAUAUAGCAAUUGUAUACAGCUCAAUUAUCAGGAAAAGGAAGAGUUUUGAAUGCUUGCAUGGGGCAAGAAGUUGAAAUCUUACUCGAACUUGUAAAGCUUCAGAGAGAGGAAAAAAUGCAGUAGAAAACUCCAAUUUUGUAACCACAUCGAGUCAAGAAUUUUAUUCAGUACACUAACCAGUUUCAUCACGCAAGUAAACUCAAAUGCAUGUAAAUAAUAAAUUUGAAGAUGACAGCUUUAAUCUUUUGUUAUUGUUUGCAGUUAAUUAUAUGUCUUUUUAGUUUUAUAAUUUUGAAGAAUACUGUUUCUAUGCUUAGUUGUUAUUGUUUCUUUUUAGUUUUAUAAUGAUGAUGAUUACUGUUUAUAAUUAUGUUGACAAUUAUAUUUCUUCAAAAGACUCAAGAGUGUCAGAAACUAAUUAAAGAAAAUUCAAUGGGCUUGCAAUGGAGUGUUUUUCAAAAACUAGUUUUUCAAAUAUAAUUUCAAUUUUUAAAAAGUACUCUAAAAGGUAAUGUAAAAAUUAGUUUAAAAUUUUCAAAGAUAUCUUAAAACAUAUUUUAGAAACUCUUUUACUCUUAAGAUCCCAAAAUAUUUCAAAAUAUAAUCUAAAAACUCUGCUACAACAAAAUUUUUCAAAAAUACCCCAAAAACAACUAAUCCAAACGGAGAGUUAGUUUUUCUGCUUCAAAAACAAAUUUAGGAUUUGAUACUUAGAAAAUUGACUAAAAGGGAUUACAUAGUAAUAAGACACAUGCCAUCAUACUAUAUGCUGCAUCACUAUCAAUCAUGCACGUUCAACCAAAUAAGUGAAGUAAUUUUACCAUGUUUGGAACCCACCAGACAAAUUAAUAAUUCUAUUUUUCGUUGUCAAACCACCUAUCUCAAAAUCAACAAAAUUAAAAAUGGCAUGACGACUAUAUUGAGUAGAUGCAUAAAUGGUUUUUCAAUUUCACUUGGUUAUAUUUGGAACAGUAUAACAGUAUGGACCAUAUUGAGUCUAUUCCGUCGUAAAGAAGGCACGAGGGUCGUCCACGAAUGCGGGUCCAAUUAUGUAUGUGCAAUACACGGCAUUGAAUUGUACAUAUCUUUGAAUUCGGUAACAAUAAUUGGAUUUUAUAAACAAAUAUUCAAUAAGAAGUAUAAGCUACUAGGGUUGGCCUAGUUAAGGGAAGAAUUUUAGAGUUUUUUCUAUUAUCAAGGUCAGAAUUUGAAUUUUAUGUUUAACAAUUGAAGAUAAGAAGACUGUGGAGAGGAGUGGAAAGGUAAAAGGAAAGAAAAAAAAAUAAAGAAGUGUGUGUGCUCGCAUGUAUAUAUACACACAUCCACACACACAUAUAUGCGCACACAUGUAAAGAAAUGAUAUAUUUUAGGGUAAAUUACAUUUUAGCCGCCUGUGGUUUUCGCAAAAACCACAUAACCCCCCAUGAUUCAAAAAGCUAUACAUAAACUCCCUGUGGUUUGGGUUGAACUGUCAAAUAGACGGAAAGCAUGAAUCGUGAUGAUUCGUGGUCAAAACGCGCUGAUUGUACUGAUAGCAGUCAAAACAUUCCUAAAUUACCCCUGUCAGUUUUAAAGCACCCAAUAAAGCUUAGAUCUGUGGUCCUCAUCUCUUUCCAGCUUCCGAAUGUAAUUUGCAGCUGACUUUCCACUGAAUGUUGGUGAAGACAAUACAUUUAGUGAAGAAACCAAACCAAGAUAGAGAAUGAAGGAAAUCUGAAGGUGAGUUAUAACAUCAAGGUGCAGUCUUUUCCUUUUUCCGGAUUACAAAGUUGGGUAAAAAAAAAAUAAAUGUAACAAUAAAACAAUAAAUGGAUCGUUUUUGGCAUUGCAUGAUUAAGUGAGGGGUGGCGGUUUUGCAGUUUUGCUGGUUAAAGGAGAUCUAAGCUCCCGUAGUCUUCUUUCCUCAGAAAGCAACCUUGCGAACCUACAACAGAUGGGAAGACAAAUAAGUUAUACUUUACAAAAAUUACUCAAGGUUGUAAGAUUAGAGAAAUUGAGCCUGGUUACAAUAUUGCACAAAUUAGAUAUAUUGAAUUGCUGAGUAGUUUUUGUGCGUGAAGGAGCUAGAUGCUCAAGCCUUUGAUUUUUUUUUAAAAAAAAGAACAUUCUUUUGAUAGACUAAUAAUUUGUAGCAAGAAAACUGCUGAAGAGAAUCAAAGCCUCAAUUAUAUGACUGAAAGAAUAACAUUAUUGGUGAAAUUAAUAGUUGCAAGAUUGAGUCCACACCUUUUAGUGCAUCUUAUAUGUUAAACUGAUGUAAAAAAACUUACCAGAUGCAACAAUAGCUUUCGUGAAACUCUUCCACUGCUACUUUUUGAUCUUCAAUGGUAGAUCUACGGUUUUAAUUUUGUGGGUUAAAUUUUUUUCUCUUUCAUUCGGCGGUUAUAUUUUUCUCUCUCUUUCUCACGACAAAGACCAGAGCAUCUGACUUCAUCUGCUUCCCUUUUGUAUUUAUAUUAGGGUAAUUUGGACAUUUUAUCCACGAAUCGUCACGAUUCAUGCUUUCCGUCUAUUUGACAGUUCAACCCAAACCACAGGGGGUUUAUGUAUAAUUUUUUGAAUCAUGGGGGGUUAUGUGGUUUUUGCGAAAAUCACAGGAGGCUAAAAUGUAAUUUGCCCUAUAUUUUAGUAACCUAGUUCGUGUAUGUUUCGAGUGCAAGUUUAUCAGGAAAAAUUUUUAGAGUAUUUUCUUGACAAAUUUCUGAUUUACCUCUUUACCUUAUAAACAUCACAUUGUAAAAUGUAUUUUUUCUAAAAAAAAAAUUCCUAUUCUAAUAGAUCCAGUUCUUAUUUUUUCAAAAAAUAAAGAAAAAUUUGUAUUGCUAAAAAUGGGUGAUAGAAGAUGCUUAAAGGGCAGAAAUGGAACUUUGAACAUUUUUGAAUGGAAGAUUCAAUGCUGAUUGAGACCUUAUAAAUUAGAGAUCUUGUGUUCAAAUUUCAUUGUCCCCUUUUUGCUUCUUAAUCUAUUCUUUCUCCGCUGAAAAAGGAAGAAGAAGAGGGAAUUAGCGUGUAAGUUUAAUAUGCUUGCGUGCAUUUACUUUGGCAUGCAUACACACACAUAUAUAUGUAUAUAUAUGUAUAUAUAUAUAUAUGUAUGUAUGUAUAAACAUCAUGCUCAAUGAUUAAACAAGAAGAAGAGGGAAUUAGCGUGUGUAAGUUUAAUACGCUUGCGUGCAUUUACUUUGACAUACAUACACAUAUAUAAAUAUAUAUAUAUAAACAUCGUACUCAAUGAUUGCCACGGAAGAUUCCUCCUAAGCCAAAUUAUUUAAAGUAUUUAUACUUCCUUCAUUACUUUCAACGUAAGCAUAUAACUUGUUUUCUCAAUUAAUUGAAGUUGAUCAGCUUCACUAACACCAAAUAAAUUAUUAGUAACAUGAUAAAUAUACUAUCCUUUCUCUCCUGAGUCAAACACCAUGGCGGAUUGACUAUGAGCAGUAUAUUCAGAUUAGGCUGAUUAAUAAGAAACCCUAAGCCACAUUUGAUCGUCCGUUUGAAAAAGUCUAACCCAAUCUAGCUACUUAUGUGUAAGCUUAUCCAAAUCGGCCGAGAUGUGGUGAAAAACCCAGUAUUCAUUUUCAAAGUUAGGCUUAUACUGGAACACACGUAAGUAAGGGAGAUCACAUUCAGGUAUUGUAGUUUUUCAUGAUUUUCUUCGGUAAAAGAGUUAAACCCCACCUGCACUAGGGUACAACAAACAAAGGUGAGUUGGAUAUACUUCCGUACGACUGCAGAACUCAUUUACACAAUGCGAUUUUGAUGCAGCAAUAAGAAAUUAUAUCAAACUUGAAAUCAGUCAUCCUUUGGGGUUCUAUAAAUACCAUCCUCCCUGUCAGUUAUGGACACAUUCCUGCCUAGCUACUUUUAGUUUCAGCCAAACUACAUAUUCAUACCUAGCUGAACUGAAAUUAAACUUUCCAUGGCAUACCAGAGCGCCUACAAUAUGAAUUACCAGAUACUACUAUGCUUGAUACUCUUCUCCCUAGUCCUUCUCCUGCCACUGCCAUCCCAUUCUGCUGAUCCAAGCCCAUUGCAAGAUUUCUGCGUUGCAGAUCUUGAUUCCUCUUUAUACAUUAAUGGCUUUCCGUGCAAAAACCCUGAUAACGUAUCUUCACAAGACUUCUUCGCCAAUGGGUUCCAACAAAGUCCAGGAGAAUUCAAUAUUUUUGACGUCAAUGUCACUCGUCAAGAUGUUCAGCGAUUUCCAGGACUCAACACUCUAGGGCUGUCAAUGAACCGAGUGGUUUUGAAGCCUGGAGGGCUGAAUGCACCCC